rnacentral:lncRNA from 1 species
AACAAUCCAAACAUUUGUGGAAAAUACCAAUAAAUGCUCAGCUAAAAACGAAAGAAGACGUAGAAUAAGUUUACCAGUUCGGCCUGAAAAAAUUAGUAGAACAUGACAUGAUGAUAAGAAUCUAGUUCUAUUUCCAUUGUUUAAAACCCAAAUUCCAGAAAUCAUGAAAAAUGGAAACUUCAUAUGGAAAUUGAAGCUUUACCUGCAGAUCAGCAGCAGCAAACGGAAUCCAACGGCAUGUACGUCAAAAGUGAGAGAGAGUGCUGAGUGAGAUAAGUGAGAAAAUCGAUAAACAAAAGGAAAAUGGUCAGGCAACGGCAUAUACCUCAAAAGUGAGAGAGAGAGAGAGAGAGAGAGAGAGCUGAGAGAUGAGUGAGAAAAUCGAUAAACAAAACCCCUCAAAAUCACAAAAGAAAAUUUGAACAGAAAACAAAUUUGCAAAUCCAAAAUCACAAAAACGAAAUUGAAACAGCCACACCGAGAAAGCUGUAAUACUCACCAGGAAGCUAGCUUUUCUGGGUAAAAAAAUUAUUCGAAUCGAAUUGAACCACCAAGGAAAAUUCUACUGGUUCAGUAGUUUUUCCAGCAAGAAAGCACCUUGUUUGUAAUUCGUGAGAGGUUGGACAGCGAGAGAAACUGAUUUGGGAGCCAAAGAAAGCGAGGUUGGAGACCGACAGAGGCUGAGAAUUGCGAGAGAGAAAAAGGAAAAGGAAAGGAAGAGCGGAGAAGAAGUCACGAUUAUCGACGCGUGGGUAGCAUUCCACUGUGCCAAGGACGAAACGAACGGGCAAUGAACCCAACCAUUGAAGAAAGAAGCAUCAAAAUACACCAAAGUAAAGACUUGACUUGGUUUAUAGAGUGAAACUUUAACGAAAAGUUUCUGGUAUUAUUUAUUUUAACAAAAAAAAUAUAUAUUUUUAUACUAAAAAAUCAAUCAUGGUAUUACUCACUUUACCUUUUAUUUUGUGCUUAUCGUUAAAAUUCAAAGUUUUCAAACUCUUUUCAUUAAUUUUCCUUUUAUAUAAUUGGAAUGUGAUACACCUUAUUUUACUUCUCACAUUUUUUUAAUUUUCGAUAUUCGGAUCAGAUGAAUUGAAGAAGAUCAACGAACAGAAAUUAUCAAGGAAUGUGAAAAGUAAAAUAGGGUGUGUAGAUAGCAUACCCCAUAUAAUUAAUCAAUAAUAUUCCAUAACAAGAGCUAGGGCCAUAUAUUAUACAAGAUUCUAAUAGAUGCUAGACGUUAAUCGGACAACGAGUUAGGACCUAGCUGUUAGACAGAUUUAAGUAAAUUUACUAUAUAUUAUAUAAAUAAAUGUCUUUUAUACUUAAAAUGACACAUAAUUGUAUUGGGAUAUAUAAAUUACAAAAUAAAAUGACAUAUAUAUUAUAAAGUAUUAAAACAUAGGAGAAAAUACCCAAAUGUGAAACAACAACUGUAAACAAUUUUUUAAGGUGGACGGUAAAUGAUUCAGCUAUUUACAAAAUUCAAAAAGUGGGAUCACGAACUACUGGAUGGUUGUAUUAAUUAUUUGGCGGUGCUCUAAUAUAAUACAUCCAAAUGGGGGUGGACCACAUAAUACACCCCAAUGGAUCGUUUUAAGCUACUCCACUGCUAAAACUAUUGCAAAAUGCGCAUCAGGAUUGUACUUCUAUUAGCUACGCCUUUCCUUACUUGGCAAACGAACCAUAUAGUACACCAAGAUGGAUGUUAUACACGUUGGAGUUUGAGCAGAAUUUUAUUUGUUAUCUCAUUGUCUCACAUUGCUAAAAUUGAAAAGUUUAUAAUAUAUAACGUUUGCGUAUGAACUUGAGAAACGACAUACUGUUAGCCGGCCGAGAAGUUACAGGGAAAGAGAGGAAAGGAAGAAAGAAACAAACACGAAAGGACAAACACUAUCCAAUAGAUUAUAAACAAUGACUUAUUAGGGUGAUUACAGUUAUUCAACCAUCAAUAAUGCAUUAUUUUAGUUUGGAAUUUGAAAGCAUUUGAGAAGUAACAUGACAACAACAACAUAAUAAACACAAGUGAUUAGAAAAAAAGACCCAAAUGUGAAAGAAUAAUUAAAAACAAUUAUUCAAGAUAAGCGAUAAAUGAUUUAACCAUUUACAAGAUAUGAACUUAAAACAACAAUCCAUUGAAUCAUUGUAUUAACUAUUCAAUGGUGCUCUAAUAUAAUAGAUCCAAAUGGGGACCGACCAUAUAGUACACCCAAAUGGACCAUUUUUAGGAUCCACCGCUAAAAACUAAUGCAAAAUGGCCAUUAGGAUUGAACUUGUAUUAGCUAUCUUUCCUUACUAGUCAAAUGAACCAUAUAAUACACCCAAAUGGAUGCCAUAUGUGCAUAUAUAAACAAUGUUUUCAAAGGAUGAAAUGACUUUCUUGCCGGUAUGGGGGAAGAGGAAAGAAACUAGCACGAAACUGCAGACCCUAUCGAUCCAUUAUAAUAAAUUUCAAUGGUCUAAGUUGUUAGUUAAUUGUGCAAGGUAAAAACUUAUUCACAGUCAUCAACUUAACCACGUAUCUAUGGAAGACAUCGUCUCAUAAAACUUGGAUUAAGAACUGAAGUUCUCUUGUAACUCUACACAAUUGAAAGCCAGGCUCGCUCAAUGGGGCUUGAGUUUUUUGUAAACUUGCGUAUUUAGUGGAGAGGGCAGGGACCUCAUUUUUAUACAUGGAAUUCAAUAAGGAUCCCUCCCAUUAAGUGAUCCUUAUCAAAGAGUAACCUUAUCACCGUGAAACACUUAUGCAUUAUAUCAGCUAGAAGACUUUUAGUUUUACCGAGAAUGUAUCUGACUUGAAACUGUAAAGAAAUACAACUCCUGAUAAGUCUACCACAUGUGUCAAUCCUUAUCUCCUUAUCAUUCCACAUGUCUUUAAUCAAAUCACCAAGUGUUUGCUCUCAUAUACAACCUACACAAGUCUCAUGUAGUUUCAUUUAACUUAUUUUCCACAACGGUAAAUAUAUUUUAAUGGCUCCGGUUUUCACAUGCCAGUCAGUCACACGCUCAACUUCUCAACGUUAGGGCUCAAUGGCUCGAAGAGAGCUUCCCCAAUGGAUCGUUUUAAGCUCCUCCACUGCUAAAACUACGGCAAAAUGCGCAUCAGGAUUAUACUUCUAUUAGCUGCGCCUUUCCUUACUAGGCAAAUGAACCAUACAAUACACCAAGAUGGAUGUUAUACACGUUGGAGUUUGAGCACAAUUUUUUAUUUAUUUUUUGUUAUCUCAUUGUCUCACAUAGCUAGAAUUGAAAAGUUUAUAAUAUAAUAACGUUUGCGUAUGAACUUGAGAAACGACAUACUCCGGCCGGCCAGGAAGGUGCAGUGAAAGAGAGGAAAGGAAGAAAAAAAAACGAACGCAAAAGGAAAAAGACUAUCCAAUAGAUUAUAAACAAUGACUUCUUGAGGUGAUUACAGAUAUUCAACCAUUAAUAAUGCAUUAUUUUAGUUUGGAAUUUGGAAGCAUUUGAGAAGUAACAUGACAACAACAACAUAAUAAACAAAAGUGAUUAGAAAAAGACCCAAAUGUGAAAGAAUAAUUAAAAACAAUUAUUCAAGAUAAGCGAUAAAUGAUUCAACCAUUUACAGAUAUGAACUUAGAAAAACAAUCUAUUGGAUCGUUGUAUUAAAUAUUAAGUGGUGCUCUAAUAUAAUAGAUCCAAAUAAGGACGAACCAUAUAAUACACCCAAAUGGACCAUUUUUAGGCUCCACUGCUAAAAACUAAUGCAAAAUGGGCAUUAGGAUUAAACUUGUAUUAGCUAUAUUUCCUAGUCAAAUGAAUCAUAUAAUACACCCAAAUGGAUGCCAUCAUGCAAUAUAUAAACAAUGUUUUGAAAGGACAAGGUACCUAACACUGUCUUUUUAUAUAUGUAAGCAACAACCCUAAAUCUUAUUGGAGCUAAUUAACUAAUGUAUUUAUUAGACAGUUGGAUUCCUUAGCAAGUGGUUAACUAUUUUUGUUUAGUUUAGUAGUCAGGUCGUAAUUAAUUAGUCAAAUGAACCAUAUAAUACACCCAAAUGGAUGCCAUAUAUGCAUAUAUAAACAAUGUUUUCAAGGGAUGAAAUGACUUUCUUGCCGGUAUGGGGGAAGAGGAAAGAAACUAGCCCGAAAGUGCAGACCCUAUCGAUCCAUUAUAAUGAAUUUCAAUGGUUCAAGUUGUAACUUAAUUGUGCAAGGUAAAAACUUAUUCACAGUUAUCAACUUAACCACGUAUCUGUGGAAAACAUUGUCUCAGAAAACAAGGAUUAAGAACUAAAGUUCUCCUGCAACUUUACACAACUGAAAGCAAGGCACGCUUAAUGGGAAUGGGACUUGAGUUUUCUGUAAACUUGCGUAUUUAGUGGAGAGAGCAUGGACCUUAGUUUUAUACAUGGAAUUCAAUAAGGAUCCCUCCCAGUAAGUGAUCAUUAUCAAAGAGUAGCCUUAUCAACCUGAAACACUUAUGCAUUAUAUCAGUUAAAAGAGUUUUAGUUUUAUCGAGAAUGUAUCUAACUUGAAACUGUAAAGAAAUACAACUCCUGAUAAGUCUACCACAAGUGUCAAUCAUUAUCUCCUUAUCAUUCCACAUAUCUUUAAUCAAAUCACCAAGUGUUUGCUCUCAUAUAGAACUUACACAAUCUCAUGUAGUUUCAUCUAACUUAUUUUCCACAACGGUAAAUUUCAAUGGCUCCGGUUUUCACAUGCCAGUCAGUCACACGCUCAACUCCUCAACGUUCGGGCUCAAUGGCUCGAAGAGAGCUUCCCCAAUGGAUCGUUUUAAGCUCCUCCACUGCUAAAACUAUUGCAAAAUGCGCAUUAGGAUUACACUUCUAUUAGCUGCGCCUUUCCUUACUAAGCAAAUGAACCAUAUAAUACACCAAGAUGGAUGUUAUACACGUUGGAGUUUAAGCAGAAUUUUUUUUGUUAUCUCAUUGUCUCACAUUCCUAGAAUUGAAAAGUUUAUAAUAUAAUAACGUUCGCGUAUGAACUUGAGAAACGACAUACUUGUUAGUUUAUAAGUGUAUUUGCUGAAAUAUAAUAAGAAGUCAGUUUUAAAUAUCAGCCCUUGGAUCAUAGUCCAAGUGUGCAGCUAAGAUGUAAUCUUAGAUUAAUUAAUAUUUCCUCUUGCUACAUGUGCUAAGUGUGUGUGAAUGAAUGAAACAGUGCAGAGUUCGUUUCUUCUUCCUCAAGCUGAAUUCUCUCACUCUCUCUCUAGAUUUCUUACUCUCUUCCUUUCUUCAGUAUUUUAUACAUUAAUUGAAACACUCAUACAAGAUCAUAGUUUGUAUGCUAACAUGGCCUCAGAGCUGUGUUCGAUCAAUUGAUACUGGGCAUUUGGAUCUGUGAAGAGAGCUACCCAGCAACUCAAAGCUGCGAUCGAGUUGAUUGCGAUCUGAGUCUAACAUGGAAGGAUCGGGUAGUGGUGAGGUGAGAGCACCAAUUUUCAAUGGUGAAAAUUAUAAGUUCUGGAGUAUUAAGAUGAAGACCAUUUUCAAGUCCUACGGAUUGUGGAAUCUGGUUGAAAAGGGUUUCGAUGAAUCAGAUCUGAAGAAGAUUGAUGAAUCUGAGGCGAAGAAGAAAGACAAAGAAGAGUCUAGUGGUGCUGGGAGGAUGACGCUUGUUGAGGUGCUCAUGAAGGAUGCUAAAGCUCUGGGUCUGAUUCAGGGCGCUGUUUCAGAUGAGAUAUUUCCCAGAAUCUCUCAUGAAGAAACUUCAAAAGGCGCAUGAGACAUUCUGCAGCAAGAAUACCAUGGUGAUAAACAGGUUAGAAGUGUUAAAUUGCAAGGUCUUCGUAGGGAAUUUGAAUAUACCCGAAUGCGAGAUGAUGAAUCACUUUCUGUUUAUCUUACAAAACUAUUUGAUCUGAUAAAUCAAAUGCGGAGCUAUGGAGAGGAAUUAUCUCGAGAGAGAGUUGUUCAGAAAUUAUUAAUUAGUUUGCCAUCAGCUUAUGACUCUAUCUGUUCUGUUAUUGAGCAUUCGAAAGAUUUGGAUGUGAUUGAGGUACAAGAGGUGGUGGCUUCUUUGAAGAGUUUUGAGUUAAGGAUUGAUUGGCAUUCUGAAAAUAAAACUGAGAGAGCAUUUGCUAGCCUUAGUGUGAAUCCCAAACCAGUUAAGUUUACUGGAAAUCAAAAUGCCAAGUACCAUAAGAAUUGGAAGGACAAAGGCAAGAAGUGGGAUAACAAACCCACAGAUGGGGCUAGAAAUUCUUGUAAGCAUUGUGGCAAGCUACAUUUUGGUGAGUGUCGAUUCAAAGGCAAACCAAAAUGUUACAACUGUGAUAAGUUUGGUCAUCUAGCAAGGGACUGUAAUAGCAAGAAGGCAGUGCAACAGCUUAAUUAUGCCACUCAGGUAGACUCUACACCAAUCAUGUUUUAUGCUAGUAAUCAAACUAAUACUAGUGUAAAAGGAUGUGAAGAUGUAUGGUAUGUAGAUAGUGGGUGUAGUAAUCAUAUGACUGGAAGGGAGGAUCUACUGGUUGAUAUUGACAAGUAUGUGACUGCAAAGGUUGAAAUGGGUACUGGACAGCUUGUUGAUGUAACUGGUAAAGGAAGUCUUAUGGUUGAAACUAAAAUAGGCAAGAGAUAUAUCAAGGAGGUUAUGCUUGUGCCUGGAUUGAAAGAAAAUUUGCUCAGUGUAGGUCAAAUGAUGGAGCACGGUUAUUACUUGGUGUUUGGAGGUCAUAAAGUAGAGAUCUAUGAUGAUAGCUCAUAUUCCAACCUGAUUGCCAGAGUACCAAUGAAGGGAAAUCGAAGUUUUCCAAUGAAGUUACAGUCUGGAAUACAUAUUGCCUACAGGGCAAAUGUAUGUCCUUCUACUGCUAUGUGGCACAGAAGAUUGGGUCAUCUGAACAUGAGCAGUUUGAAAUUGAUGCAGGAACAAGAAUUGGUGGUCGGGUUACCGGAGAUCAAAGUAAUUAAAGGAGUGUGUGAAGGCUGUGUUCUUGGCAAACAAUGCAGAGAAGCAUUUCCAAGAGAAGCCACUACUAGAGCAUCAUUUCCUCUUGAGCUUAUACACAGUGACAUUUGCGGACCAAUGCAGACAACUACAACAGCUGGAAAUCGAUACUUUCUCACUUUUAUAGAUGACUGCACCAGGAUGUGUUGGAUUUAUUUUCUAAGGCAUAAAUCUGAAGUUCUCAAUGUGUUUAAAAGGUUCAAAGCUACUGUAGAGUUGCAGAGUGGAUAUAAACUGAAGAAGCUUAGGAGUGAUCGAGGAGGUGAAUACACCUCAAUGGAAUUUAACAGAUUUGUUGAAGAUGUAGGCCUGGAAAGACAACUUACCACUCCAUACACACCAGAGCAAAAUGGUGUGGCAGAGAGAAAGAACAGAACCAUCGUGGAAAUGGCUAAGUGUCUUAUGUUGGAGAAGAAGGUUCCACUUGAAUUCUGGGCUGAGGCAGUCAAUACCUCUGUGUACAUUCUGAAUCGAUGCCCAACCAAAGCCUUACAUAAGAAGACACCUUUUGAAGCUUACAGUGGGAGAAAACCAGGAAUUAAGCAUCUAAAAGUGUUUGGUUCUUUGUGUUAUGCUCAUGUGCCAAGUCAACAGAGACAAAAACUCGAUUUGGCAAGCAAGAGGUGUAUUUUCUUGGGAUAUGGUAGUUGUGAGAAGGGAUAUAGACUGUAUAACAUUGAAUCUGGAAAGGUGACUAUUUCCAGAGAUGUUGUGUUUAAUGAAGAAGCAUGUUGGGAUUGGAAUGCACAGAAGGAAAGAAGGGAGAGUAUCCAGAUCAUUGAAAUGUCUGCAGGAGAACAAAACUGUGAAGGAAGUGCUUGUGAUUCUGAAACACAAUGUGAAGUCAGUGAAGAGAAUGUUGGGUCAGAUUUAGUUACUGAGCUAUCUGAUCAUCAAGAAAGAGUGACAGGUCCACAGGAUUUUGAUCACACUCCUCUCAAGUACAGAAACAUUGCAGAAAUAUAUGAAAAGUGUAAUCUGUGCAUAAUAGAACCCGAAUGUUUUGAAGAGGCUGCCAAGGAUGAAUCAUGGCAGAAGGCUAUGGAAGAUGAAAUCUCUAUGAUUGAGAAGAAUCAUACUUGGGAUCUUGUUGAUAGACCAUUUGAUAAACCAAUCAUUGGAGUCAAAUGGGUUUAUAAAACAAAACUAAAUCUGGAUGGUUCAGUGCAGAAAAACAAAGCACGGUUGGUUGCAAAGGGGUACUCUCAGAAGCCUGGAAUCGAUUUCAAUGAAACUUUUGCACCUGUGGCAAGACUUGAUACUGUGAGAACCUUGGUAGCCCUUGCUGCACAGAAAUGAUGGAAAUUAUUUCAGUUAGAUGUAAAGUCUGCAUUUCUAAAUGGAGUGUUGAAUGAAGAGGUGUAUGUGGAUCAACCAUCUGGUUUUGUUAUACAGGGCAAGGAAGACAAAGUGUACAGGCUCAGGAAAGCUUUAUAUGGUUUGAAAACAAGCUCCAAGAGCUUGGUAUGAAGAAAUAAAUUCCUAUUUUGCAAAGGCUGGAUUCCACAGAAGUCCGAGUGAAGCUACUCUUUAUAUCAAGACAUCUCACAGUGGCAUUCUUAUUGUGUCACUGUAUGUAGAUGAUAUUAUUUACACAGGGAGUUCAAAGGAGAUGAUAGCUGAGUUUAAAGGUGAGAUGAUGAGACAAUAUGAGAUGACUGAUCUAGGAUUACUUCAUCAUUUCCUUGGUCUUGGAGUAUUGCAAACAGAUAAUUACAUCUUCUUGCAUCAAAAGAAAUAUGCAAAGACUUUGCUUGAGAAAUUUGGACUUAGGGAUUGUAAGCCGGUUGCAACACCAUUAGCUAUGAAUGAAAAACUUACAAAAGUAGAUGGAAGUGAUCUGGCAGAUGAGACUUUAUAUAGACAAAUGGUGGGAAGUUUGCUAUAUUUGACAGCAACAAGGCCAGAUAUUAUGUUUGCAGCAAGCUUAUUGGCUAGGUUUAUGCACAAUCCUACCAAGAAGCAUAUGGGGACAGCUAAGAGAGUUCUGAGAUACAUACAAGGCACUGUGACCUAUGAAGUUGUCUAUGAAAAGGGAAAAGGAGCAGUGUUGGUUGGUUAUUGUGAUAGUGAUUGGAGUGGAAGUGAAGAUGAUAUGAGGAGUACAUCUGGCUAUGCAUUCAAUCUUGGUUCUGGUGUGUUUUUCUUGGGCCUCAAUCAAACAAAGCAGUGUUGCUCUUUCAACUGCAGAGGCAGAGUACAUCAGUGCAGCAGAAGCUACUGCACAGGCCAUUUGGCUAAGAUUUGUACUCUCUGAUUUCGAGGAAGAACAAGCAGAACCAACUAAGUUGUUGUGUGAUAAUACCUCAGCAAUUGCCAUAUCAAAGAAUCCAGUUCAUCAUCACAAAACCAGGCACAUUAAUCGGAAAUUUCAUUUCAUCCGAGAUGCACUUCAAGAUGGUGAGAUUGAUCUGGUAUACUGCAAGACUGAAGAGCAGGUUGCAGAUAUAUUCACUAAAGCUUUGGCAAGGGAUCGAUUUGAAGUACUGAGGACAGCUUUGGGAGUGAUUUCAGCACAUCACUUAGAAGGGAGUGUUAGUUUAUAAGUGUAUUUGCUGAAAUAUAAUAAGAAGUCAGUUUUAAAUAUCAGCCCUUGGAUCAUAGUCCAAGUGUGCAGCUAAGAUGUAAUCUUAGAUUAAUUAAUAUUUCCUCUUGCUACAUGUGCUAAGUGUGUGUGAAUGAAUGAAACAAUGCAGAGUUCGUUUCUUCUUCCUCAAGCUGAAUUCUCUCACUCUCUCUCUAGAUUUCUUACUCUCUUCCUUUCUUCAGUAUUUUAUACAUUAAUUGAAACACUCAUACAAGAUCAUAGUCUGUAUGCUAACAAUACUUAGCCUUGUUCACCGCCCAGAGAUGAUAACACUUAGUGUAUUUCCUUUAAGUUAACAUGGGCUUCAUAAAAGAAGGGAACCUUUCCUGUAUCUUAUAUCACAACAUAGCAAAAUGAUUGACUAAAAAUACUACCAAACCUGAGAGACGAAUUUGAACUUGCAACUAACUGCUCAAUUAUCACCUAUGGAAAAAAUGACGAUAUAUAAUAUAAUCACCUUUCUUUUGUUGGAAAAUAAUAAAGUAGACGCCCUUUAUGACAGCGAGAUCGAAACAGUAUUUGUUCAAGGCCUUCAUCCUCGCGCAUUUUGAUUGCUUUUGACACUGUUAAAGCACCCAUUAAAAUUUGAAAGGGUCACCAUAGAUCAACAACUAUACAAUACAGAAAAGUAACAUCAAAGCUAAUUAAGCAAAAACAACAGUUGGAGAAGAGUAUGGCAUUUUGUUUGGCCAGGGCUGUGGAAAAUGUCAAUAUCAUUUAGUUGUAAGGUGAGAAGCAUUCUUUAUCCUUUCUGUACGAGAGACAAUAAAUUUAAAGUUCUUGUGAUGAAAUCAUGUAAAACAUUCAGAAGUCUUGAUUUAACCCUUUCUCAAGAUCAUAGGUUUGUCAUCUCAACUUAUAUCUUAGGUCUUAUGAGUGCUCGUAAUACACUAAUAUGACACUUGUGUUCUAGCCAGGACAGAAACAAAAUCAUGCAGGAAAUUGUCAUGACAACUCAAGUGUAAAAUGCGACCGGAAAAACACUAAACAGGAUAGCUAUGCUCUCUUAGUGUAAACCUUAACAACAAAGACUAUACCGUAUCUGUCACAGUGAUAUGCGACCAUAAGCCCAACUCCAAGGAUCAGCUUUCCAAGAGCUUUGAAGGCUACAAAUCAAAAGUUACAUGCAGUGAUGACAUAAUCAUGCAAAAAUACAAUCAUAAAUUAAAGGAAAACAUACUGACUUCUAGUUCUGGCAAUUCACUAUUGGGCCAUAUAUUUGAACCACAGUAUGAUGGAUACCUACAAUACAGAUCACAAAUAAAAUCUGUGCAGACACAAAGUAUUAUGUUUUGUUUACGCAAAAUCUGUAAGUUCUCAAAUAGGAUAAAUAAAGGUAAACAUAUCCUAGCAUAAAGAAGAUUUGUCCUGGCUAAUUCUAAGAAACCUUGUAUCAAAUGUAUGAUAGUUAUUCAUAACUAACACAAACAACAGUUUGGCCAAACAUUACUGGUCUGAGCGAUAUACUGUGUGACCACAGACAUAACAGACCCCACAUGUACUCAGAUUAUGAUUGAUGUCCCUAUAGACUUUUACCUUUGAAUUAGAGAUUUAUCUGUUGUAGGGCUAUCCAAUAUUGGAUUUGCAUAAAACGAGCCUUUUAACGUAUCUGCAAAACCAGAACACAAACGGAAAAUGAAUGAUGCUAAGAUCUUAGAGUUUCCAAAGAAACAAAAUUUAAAACAAAGAACAUAAAGUGAUACCAGGCUUUCCAGAUUCCAGCUUCUCUUUUCCAUGACUCCAUCCAAAAUUGUACCUAAACAUGGAUGGCAGGUAAAAAGAAGAUAAGCAAUAAAACAUUGUAAAGAUUCCCAAGAAAAGCAAUAAAAGUACGUAAAUAUUAGUUAAUAAUGCCAAGACCAUAGUCUGUGACAAAUCCAAGAGUUGAGAUGAGACUAUCUUUGUGGCAGGAAUUUUUGGAAUUUUUCUCUAUUGUAAGGAAAACAUAGAUUGAUGUUUGCGUUUACACGAAAAUUAUGUCAACGGCUUAAGAGAAAUCAAAGUAUAACAAUGGGAGUAAAAUGACUUACCUACUAUGAGGAUCUUCAAGUUCCUUCUUCACCUCUUCGGGCAGAUUGGCUAAUCUAAUAAACGAAAAGAAAACUCCCAUGAGCAGUGCUAUAACAAACUAUCUUCCUAAAUUCAUUAUGAAUUGCAGUUAAAACUUAAAAUGAACAUGAAAAUCCUACGUAGAAGGGAUAUACCUAGGUGACAAGCCUAGAAGAUUCCCGCGCAAGGAAGAAUAUCCCGGAACCUGCAAUUGGAAACUCAACGAAACAAUUACAAAGAUGCUAGAAAGAAAAUACGUAUUAGUUUACAACAAAACGCUAGCUCUCACGAGAAUCGAUUAGGUAUGAAGCAUCAAAACAAUAGCAUGAGACACCAUAAUUUAUGAGCUAUGAAUGGAAUAAUGGAGCAAAAUAUCGUUGCCCAAAGCACAAUCUACAAUCUACAUGACAGAGAAAGUACCCCGACAUUACAUAUGCAAGUUCAUGUGGUUUAUCUUUUUAACCGAUUCGUUAACAAAUUCUUUCUGCACAUAUAGUUUUAACUUACCAAAACUGGUAAUGGAAGAGAUAAUCAGUAAUUAACAACGGAAAUCGCAUAACGAAAUCAUACUUGAGUGAUUGAUAGGAUUCCCAACCCAUUUGGUCCAAAUCCUUCUUCAAUCUUCACUGACAAAUCUUUGUCCCUGUCCUGUAUCAAUCCAAAAUAAAAAAACGAUAAUUAGAAAAAUCGAAUUCUCGACAUGAUCGACGAGUUAAAACAUAGCAAUUAAACAAAACUAUGAAUAAAACAAUUAGAUUCUGUUUGGUUGCUGAGAAAAUGAAGAGAAUAACAACCAAAAAGUCAACUGAAAUAAAAUUUUGCUCUAACUUCAACGAAUUCUCUUGAGUUUCUGAGCACCCAAACAGAAAAAAAAAAAUUAUAGGCAAUCAAACCAAACUCUCAUGCUCAAUUUUCUCGGCAACCACAAAAAGAACUUAGAGGGGGGGGGGAGAGAGUUACUUGGAGCUCGGAGUAGGAUAUGGUGACUAGUGUGACGGUGGGGACGGCGGGGUCGGAGGACGGAGGCAUAGUUCGACAAUAAAUUUGGCGGGAAAGACGGCGGUUGGAGUGUGACGAUGGGGAAGAAUCCGUGGGAACGAAGAGGAAUUUUGGUGCGGAAGGAGGGUUUUUAUAUCGGAGGGAGGGAGGGAGGGAGGGAGGGAGGGAGAGAGGUUGAGAGCGAAAGGUGUGAUUGUCAAUUUCAAAAGAAAGAAGAGAGGUUUAGCGUCAAUUCCCUUUACCUCCAAACCAAAGAAUGCAUUCACGAUCAUGACGUGGCAAAAAUUGAAGGUGGAGACGAAUAUAUUAAAUAGGUAUAAGUAUUAGUUAAAUUUAAAAUUAAUUGUGUACUAUUAAAAAUUUGUUUGAAAGGAUUUUUAAAAUGACUGAAAGCGUUUUUUAUUAAAAUAUUUUUCAAAUCAAUUCUUAGUAAAACCAAGUGGAUCCUAAAAAGUUAUUUGGAUUACUUUAUACAAAAGCCGCAUAUCUUGAGCACGUAAAUAACAUGCUCUCUACUACUUUAUCUAAAAUUAAUUGACGAUGAGCCAAUAAACUGAAAGAUUAUGCGCAACUUUGAUUAUCCAACGAGUGAAGAGGCAAUUUACACCGACCUCAAGAAUUUGGGCUCACAAUCACUAGCCGAUAUGUUUUUUUCUCACAUUUACCUGACACGGCAAGUUCAUAGUUCAAUAUUCUGGUUCUGGUGUCCUAUGACCCUGACACGGCAAGUUCCACUUUUUGUUCAUUUUCUUGACGAAACCAUCACAUUUACCCUUACGGUACGGCACGGUUCCGGGCAUGGAGUAUGGAUUGGGUUCCGUUGCAGUCCCGACACUACUUGGCACUGUAGAGAGGGAAAUACAAAGACAACUUUGGAUUUCUUACAACGUAUUGUUCUUAUUUCACGUCCUGUUUCUCGAGUUCGGUGUUUCCGGUUGCAAAUUUUGGUUCGGCAGUGUAGUGCUCAGGAGAGGGGACUGUCUCACAUUGUUCCAAGCAGAGGCGUUUGACAACGAUUGCGAUAAUGUGUUUUUCUACUGGGAGAACAUACAGCAGUCAGCAGUUAUCUUUUCACAACCGUCUUCAGUAUUUGGAGGCACCUCAAGAAAUUAUCAAGGACAAACGAAUGUAGAAAAGAAGAAAUAUCGAAGUUAGUUGACAAAAGGGGACGAAAAAUUGUGAGAUACAGAGAAGAAGAUAAGAAGAAACUCGAUGCAAAUUUUAAGCUAGAUUAGUUCUUUUUCAUUAACGAGCGAUACAGAGAAGAAGAAACAGCUGCAUUUGGAAAUAGCCGCUUUAGUUGCCUAGUUUGUAACAUUAGCUUUAUGUAAAUCCGGGGAAGAAACAGGAGUAAAUAAAACACAAUCAGGCAGUACCACAAAAGAAAAAUGUACAAUUAGGAACAAUCGUCACUUCUCAAACUUUGUAGUAGAUCCAGGUAUCCGAAGGACUCGGGGCUAAUGUACCUGCAUUAACAAAAGACAAAGAUCAGAUUUGUGGAAGGGAGUCGCAUGGUAGUUAAAAUACUCAGCCAUGCGUGAACGGUUUGAGAUACCACCAUAGAGGCAUCCUCCAAGUGUGAGUUUCUCUCGUAUAGGAUCACUUAUUGUAAGAAUAUCAGUAGUGACAGUGAAAUACCUUUGUCGGGAAAGGAAGUCAAUGAUGACAAAAAAGUAAUUUGGCUUGAAACAUUGUGUCCUCCGUAUGAUGCUUGCAACAUGCAUCACUGAAUCAACUUGAAGCUCUCCACCUCUCCAUCUGUUAAAUGUUUCAUAAGCAGCAUUGUUAAAGUUCUCUCUGUUUGGGGGGAUAUUGCAGAUGGUUUUGAAUGAAGAAAGGCAAAAAUUCAUGCUAAAGGCAUAGUUUACAACUAGUAUUUGUAAAAGCUAAGCUCUAUAGGUCUCACCUUGAUUCUUUGGCACAAAUAGCUAAAGUUUUGAGAUGGGACAAAAUGGGUCCCAAGAUCCACAUACAGCGCAUCCGAUGGUGUUGAAAUCCUUUUCCCAGAGAUAAGCACCAAGAAAGACAUGACAGUGCUAAACUUAAAACAAAUACAAGGACAAUCGCCACUUCUCAAACUUUGUAGUAGAUCCAGGCAUCCGAAGGACUCGGGGCUAAUGUACCUGCAUUAACAAAAAAAAAAACAAAGAUUAGAUUUGUGGAAGGGAGUCGCAUAGUAAUUAAAAUACUUGGCCAAAUUCAAAACAUUUGAACAAUCAUAAAAUUUUGAAAGAAAUACGAAAUACAGACUUGCCUUCAUUAUCGAACUAAGAAAUCGAAAAAUGAAAGAGGCGUUUGACGAACUGAUUGUGAUUUGACUCAAACAUAUGAUGAUGACAAUGCAUCACCACCUUGAUUGUGCCUCUGGAUCAAAAACACACCAUCAGGAUCAAAAUUGUGCACAUUUUCCUUCAUAGGUUUGUCCCAUACUAGAUUAACCCCUGUUCUCUUAAUUGUCACAUAAUGAGCAUUUCUAUCUGGCAUUUCAAAAGUUAUAUCAACUUUAUCCCCGCUUUGCAAAUUGAGCUUAUUGUUCGAUAUUUGUCCCUGCCAAAGAAAAUAGUCUCUAAACAUAAUAUCACCCUUUUCUAUAACCCAAUCUUCCUUGCCUAUGCAGGUCUGCAACUCAGUACGCUUGGUAUUAUUUAUAUCAAUACUGGCACGAGGAUGACCAUCUUUACAUCUGAUAUAAGGUAUUGAGUGGUGAAAGCAGAAUAGAGUCAGUCCUUCAAAAUUACGACCAUUACUCGGUGGAAUUUCAAAACUGAUUGUAUUACCAUCUUCGACAAACUCAAACCAAUCAGGAACAUAAUUCCCACCGAGAAAAAUGCCACCAUAUCCACAAUAAGUCCAUUCCUAUAUAUACAAUGCAAGUGUCAUAUAUACUAGCAUAUGGGCACACACAAAGUGUGAGAAAUUUUUUUAUUUUUGUUUUUGAAAUAGGAGAGAGGAAGCGAGUGAUAGAGAACGUGGGAGUGGGAAAUUUUUUUAUUUAAUUUUUUAUUUUUAUAAUUAGAAAUAUGUUAAAGAUUACAUAUAGGUGAGGCCUUGAAAGAAAAAAACAAAUUUUGGUUGUGUGAAAUUACAUUUCUGCCUCAUAUUUCUUAUUCAUGUUCUGUUUUAAUUAGAUGGUUAAACUGGUAAUUUCAUAGGAUUUUGGUUGACAAUGAGUUUUAUUAAUUAGUAGAGAUAUAUAUAUAUACACACAAACACAUGUACAUGUGAUCGUUGUGUGUGUGCAAGUGCGCCAUAGGAAGGAAAUUAGAGAGAGAGAUAUAUACACACAAACACAUGUACAUGUGCGCGUUGUGUGUGUGCAAGUGCGCCAUAGGAAGGCAAUUAGAGAGAGAGAGAGAGAGAGAGAGAGAUACCUUUAGGAUGUUCCUCCUAAAAUCAGCUGUGAGUUUGGUGCAACAUUGCAUAUCAAUCCAUGUCAUGGAGUUUAAUGACUUAUCCAAGCCUGGAACCUCAGUGAUUGCGCUUGAAUCACGUACAUUCAGUUCUAUCAUAUUCGACAUUUUCGAAAAAUUGGGCAAUGUUACCAAAUUAUAGCAAUCAGAUGCACAAAGAAAUUUCAAAUUUGUUGGUAAAUCAUAGAUUGUAUGAAGGCCAUAUCAAUCAUCUAACCAGAGACUUUCAAGCUUUGAAAGAUCACUGAGGCUGGGUAGGGUGUGAAUGAUAUAGCAGUUACUUAACUCCAGAGUUAUAAGCUGUGAAAGACCACUCAGGCUGGGUAGGGUAUGAAGGGAACUGCAGUAACUUAACCGCAAACUUUCUAGCUUUGAAAGGCCACUGAGGCUGGGUAGGGUAUGAAAAUCAUUAAAUGAAAGAUUCAAAUGUUCUAAAGAAAUUAGACUCCCAAAACCUUUUGGGAAUGCAUCAUCGCUUAAACUGUUCCAUGAGAGAUCUAAAUUUCUUAAAGAGUCUAAGCCGUGUAACGAAUCGGUAAAUUGCAAAGGAAACGUCAUGCGCGCUAGAGAUAAAUGAGUGAGAUUCUUCAAUCUUACUGUGGAACGCGGUACUUGGCUUAUGGCUGUGUAAGAUGCUUUAAGUACUCUCAAUGAUAUCAUCUUCCCUAAAUCCUCGGGCAGUUCACUGAAUUGCAAACAUCCAUUAAGAAUAAGAGUAUGAACGGAUUUGGACUUGUAGAAAUCCCCAGGAAGCGAAAUAAGAUUCCUGCAGUAAUCAAGGUUCACCAAAGAAAGUUUUUUAAGAUGACCAAUGGAGGGGUGAAUCUCGAACAAACUCUCACACCAUUCCAAUAUCAACUCUUCAAGAUUUGGGAGAUUUGAAAAGUCUGGUGAUUUUUUUAAGUCAUGGCAACUUCCGAGAUUAAGGAUUUUCAAGUUUCCAAGCGACUGUUGCACAAAAUCAAAGGAAAAUUAAAAUUAAUAUCCAAAAGGAAUAUCUCGUAAAAAAGAGAGGGAAAAUCAAAUAGAAACAUAACAUCAUUAUGUGUAAUCGAUUGUACCUUGGAGCCCUCCCAAACUUGUACCAGUUUGCUAAACGUUAUUUUUAAAAUAACUAGUUCUCGUCGUUGAUCAAAGAAAUCAUCUGGUAUGGACUCUAAAGGGCAUCUAUCCCAGCACAACCAUAUUAACUCUUUGGAAAGAUGUUUGUAUUCUCCAUUGAGCUGCAAGUCAUAGAGCUGGAGCAGUCUCAGUUUCUUCAUAUUGGCAAAUGCUUAUGUACUAAAACUAGCCUGCAUAUAGCUUGGAAACGAAUCAGGGAAACCUACAACAAGUCCUUCAACUUCUUUAGUUCCCUGUUAACAACACAUUAUAGUGGGUAAGAAAAGGAUUAUCUGCAUCUAUUCCUAAUUGAGCUUCUUUAUGUAAAUACAUAUAUUUACACGUGAAUGUUUCUAAUGUAUAAUAGGCAUACGUGAAUGUUUUUAAUGUACGAUGCAUUAAUACAAAAUUUUAUUUAUCGAGAAUGUACUUAUAGAUUUAUCUCUCAAUACAUCAGUGACCUCUUGAUGGUUCCACAAUCUACUCCAUUCUCCAGGAGGACGACGGGGAUUUCCAUAAAUGAUUACUUUGGUCAUUUCUCGAAGCAAAUCAUGCAUAUUCAACUUGUUGUGUUCAACAGUUAUAAGGCAUCAUUCACAGAGGACACUGAUUCCUAUUGUUGCAAAAAAGUUACAUCCAUCUAAUAUUUUUGCGACAUCGUCCUUAUCCCAUCCAAUAAAGAAACAAGAUAUGUCAAGGAAUAUAUCCUUUUGUGUAGGAUCUAGCCUUUCAAAGCUUACUCUUAGAGCUUUCAUUAUUCCUUCAUCAGGAAAUUUUUUCAAUUUCUCCAACUGAUUUUCCACUAUGUUGGGGUUCUUUCAAUCAUAGAAGAACCUAAAACUUCAAGGGCUAGUGGCAAACCACCACAAUAAGAAACAACCUCUUUUGAGAGUUCAAGAUAUCCUUCAUUAGGCCAACUAUUUCCAAAGGCAUGCCAACUAAAGAGCUUCAGAGCUUCUUCUUCAUUCAUUUCCUUAAGCGGAUAUGUCUUGUCCACUUUCAUGUUCACUUGCUUUAGUAAACGUUCAUCUCGUGUCGUUAUGAUAAUUCUACUUCCUGGGCCAAACCAAUCACGAUUUCCAGCUAUUGCAUUUAGUUGUUCCACUUUGUCUACAUUGUCAAUAAUGACAAGUACGCUUCUACGUUGGAGAUGAUUUUUUAUCAGACCCAUACCUCGAUCAACACUGGUUAUCUUAGACUUGGUAUGUUUCAAGAUGUCAGAAACAAGUUUUCCUUGCAAAUCAACCAGAUCAUAUUCACCAACGUUGGCAAGGAAACUUUUGAAUUGGAACUUAUGAUGAAUGUGGUUAUAAAUGGCUUUGGCAGCUGUUGUUUUACCCAACCCACCCAUCCCCCAAAUUCCAACCAUGCGAACAACAUCUGAUCCACCAUUUGAAAUAUAAGUGAUGAUAUCUUGAAUGCGAGUAUAUAUUCCAACUGGGUGCUUGGCCACAUGUAAUUUUUCUGCACUUGGAAGCCAUUCCGGGAUAAUCUUGUCAACAAUUUCUCUAAUAAGCUUUGCUUCACGCCUGAAAAAUUAAAUUGGUAAGCUUAGUACGUAGGCUCAGUAGGAGCUAUUAGUACUAAUAUAAACAAUUUUCUUUCCUUCUUUCCUUCGCGUGUCUCUGUAUAUAUAUAUGUACACAAACUAGCUACUAGCUAGUAUGUGAUUUUGUGACCAACUUCAAUAAAAGAAACAAAUUCAUUCAUGGAUAUAUUAAAGUUAGGUGUAUCAAUUAAACUCCAAUUAAGAUUCAAGAAAUUUGUGGGAUGCAGGUUCGGGGUUCGGGUGAAGGCUGUGUUGAGAAUCAAUGUCAACCCAAAACCAUAAGUAAUCCACAACCCAAUCUAAAGUCCAAGUCCAUAUCUAGUUUGAUGAUGUAAGUGCUUACAAUUGCAAAGUUAGGCAAGUUAGGUUGUGUGUGAAAACAAAGCAAAGUUAGGCAAAGUUAGGUUGUGUGUGAAAACAAAUAAUUAGGUGCAAUUAAUGUGUUUUGUGUGGUAGUAAAUAAUCUUAGUUUAAUUAAGUAGCUUUCAUUUGGUUUGCUAUAAAUACCCAAGUCCCCAAGCCUUGUAAUUCAUCCAAGGAAAAACAAAGCCUAGAGCUAAAUAAGAAAAGCUUUGCUAAUUAGUUUGUUUUGUGAGCUUUCUUUAAGAGUGUGCUCUAUUUUUCUUCUUCUUGGGAUCAUUAGAGUUAUCUUGGAUACUCUUCUUAUUCAACAAUUAGUAUCAGAGCCAAGUCGGUCAGGGAUCGUUCUUGGUAGAGCAUUGGUUGUAAAGUCUCUUGAAAUUCCGAGUAUGCUCUGUGGUUGCAGUUUUGACUGAUCUUCCACAUCAGAAAAGAUUUCUUGAGAUUAUUGCUGGGGUUAUCACAAACCUUGAGAGGGAGCUUCUUUGUGUCGAGAGUAGUGUAUUACUCUGCACGGUAGUCACUCAAGCUUGUUCGGUGUAGUCAAAGUCUUGCCGAUACGAUGGGUGAUCUUCAAGUUGUUGGAGGAAUCAAUAAGCUCAACAACCAAAACUAUAACACGUGGGCAACGUGUAUAGAGUCUUACCUUCAAGGUCAAGACUUGUGGGAGGUUGUCGGUGGUAGUGAAGUUACACAACCGGCAGCGGAAGAUGCUAAUGGCAUCUUGCGAAAGUGGAAAAUUAAAGUAGGCAAAUCAAUGUUUGCCUUAAAGACCACAAUAGAAGAAGAAAUGUUGGAGCACAUUCGAGAUGCUAAAACGCCAAAGGAAGCAUGGGACACUUUUGUUACACUCUUUUCGAAGAGGAACGAUACAAAAUUGCAACUUCUCGAGAAUGAGUUGCUAUCGAUGGUACAACGCGACAUGACGAUUGCCCAGUACUUUCACAAGGUGAAGUCGAUAUGCCGCGAAAUUUCAGAAUUAGAUCCAACAACUCCUAUUGGGGAAACCAGGAUGAAGAGAAUAAUUAUCCAUGGUUUGAGACCCGAAUAUCGAGGGUUCAUUGCCGCUAUACAAGGAUGGCCGACACAACCAUCGCUUGUUGAGUUUGAAAAUUUGCUUGCAGGUCAAGAAGCUAUGGCCAAGCAAAUGGGAGGAGUCUCACUGAAGAGUGAAGAGGAAGCGCUCUACACCAACAAAAGCAAAGGCACCUUCAAGCGGUACACUGGUAGUGAAUCUAAAAAGGAUGGAGAAAAGGUGCAAAGUCACCAAGGAAAUGGAGGCUCUCAUUCUGGGGGAGCUUGGAAGAAUCGCGGUAAUAGUAAAAAGUUUAGUGGCAAGUGUUACAACUGCGGGAAGAUGGGCCACAUGGCGAAAGAUUGCUGGACCAAGAAAGAGCCUGCUGAAAGUAAUACUGCUACUUCCAGUUCGAAGGAGAAUAGUGAAGAUGGCUGGGAUGCUGAAGCAUUAUUCGCUACAGAGGAAGAAGAAUUAGCUCUCACGGUAACAACACCAGAACGAAUUGACUACAAUAAUGAUCCAACAAGUGGAAGAUGUUACACUUCACGAGAUGUGGUGUUUGAUGAAGCGUCCUCUUGGUGGUCAUCAGAGAAGGAGGUGCUACCAGACUCUAGAGAAUUUGGAGAACAGCUGCAACAGAAGAUGGGGGAGCAUACUAUCCAACUCCAACCAAUUUCAGAUGAAUCAGGAGAUCCAAAUGGCAAUGAUGUCGAACAAAGAGUGGCUCAGAAUCCUUGGGAAACUGGCGUGUAUCAACAACCAAACGAAGAAGGUGGGCCGAGUGAAACGGAAGAAUCAACUCCACAAUCUCAACUCCGAAGGUCAACAAGAACACGAAGGCCAAAUCCUAAAUACGCCAAUGCAGCCAUAAUUGAAGAAUCAACAGAACCUGAGACGUUCGAAGAAGCAUCGCAGAGUUCUGAGUGGAUGACAACUAUGAAAAAAGAGAUCGAUGCACUUCAGCAAAAUCAGACUUGGGAUCUCGUGCCAAAGCCAAGAGAUGUGAAAUCCAUAUCCUGCAAGUGGGUUUACAAGAUAAAUCGCCGUCCAGAUGGGUCAAUCGAGAGGUACAAGGCACGAUUGUUAGCUCGUGGUUUCUCUCAACAGUAUGGACUAGACUAUGAUGAAACGUUUAGUCCAAUGGCGAAACUUACAACUAUACGAGUCCUACUUGCACUUGCAGCCAACAAAGACUGGAAUCUGUGGCAGAUGGAUGUUAAGAAUGCUUUUCUUCAUGGAGAGCUGGAUCGGGAGCCAAAUGUCAAAAUGAGUGCAUAUGAAGGAAAAGAUUUGGAAGAUGCGACGAUGUAUCGACAAUUGGUAGGUAGUUUGAUCUACUUAACCUUGACUCGACCUGACAUUUCUUAUGCAGUUGGUGUGAUGAGUCGGUACAUGCAAAAUCCAAAGAAGCCUAAUUUGGAAGCAGUUCGACGAAUACUGAGAUAUGUGAAGAGUACAAUUGACUAUGGUCUUUUGUACAAGAAAGGUGAAGACUGCAAGUUAGUUGGUUACUGUGAUGCUGACUAUGCGGGAGAUCAUGACACCAGGAGAUCAACAACUGGGUAUAUGUUUAAGCUUGGUUCUGGAACCAUCUCUUGGUGUAGCAAGAGACAACCGACGACAUCAUUGUCAACCACUGAAGCUGAGUAUCGAGCAGCAGCAAUGGCAGCUCAAGAGAAUGCAUGGCUGGUACAGUUGAUGAGUGAUCUACAUCAACCAGUAGAUUAUUCAGUACCACUGUACUGUGAUAACCAAUCGGCAAUUCGCUUGGCAGAAAAUCCAGUCUUUCAUGCAAGAACUAAGCAUGUGGAGGUACACUACCAUUUCAUUAGAGAGAAGGUCUUGCAAGAAGAUAUUGAGAUGAGACAAAUCAAUACAGAUGAUCAAAUUGCAGACUUGUUCACAAAAGGUUUGAGUACUGGCAAGUUUGAAAAGUUUCGUCGUCAACUCAGCAUGGAGAAAAGAAUGAGAGCUGACAUUGAGGGGGAGUGUUGAGAAUCAAUGUCAACCCAAAACCAUAAGUAAUCCACAACCCAAUCUAAAGUCCAAGUCCAUAUCUAGUUUGAUGAUGUAAGUGCUUACAAUUGCAAAGUUAGGCAAGUUAGGUUGUGUGUGAAAACAAAGCAAAGUUAGGCAAAGUUAGGUUGUGUGUGAAAACAAAUAAUUAGGUGCAAUUAAUGUGUUUUGUGUGGUAGUAAAUAAUCUUAGUUUAAUUAAGUAGCUUUCAUUUGGUUUGCUAUAAAUACCCAAGUCCCCAAGCCUUGUAAUUCAUCCAAGGAAAAACAAAGCCUAGAGCUAAAUAAGAAAAGCUUUGCUAAUUAGUUUGUUUUGUGAGCUUUCUUUAAGAGUGUGCUCUAUUUUUCUUCUUCUUGGGAUCAUUAGAGUUAUCUUGGAUACUCUUCUUAUUCAACAGGCUGUGGUCCGUGGGCUACAGGUUGGGGUCGGCUGGGGAGUGGGGAUUAGGGAUUGGGGGUUGAAAGUGGGAGGUUGACGGGGUGUGAAUCAAAGAUGGAAGGUGAAGGGGUGGGCUGCGAGCUUGCGAGCGUUGGUGGGAUAAGGUAGGCCUACAAUUUUAUAUAGAUACAUAGGUGAAACUAACAUGUAAAGUUGUGAACACUUGUAACUAAAAUUUAAAGGAAUUGGUUACGAAGGACUAACGCUCCAUAUUUUAUCAAGUUCAAGGACAAAAUGUAAUGAAUUUUUAGUUGAGGAACCAAAACUACAAUUUUCCUCUAGAUUUUAUAUGAGAGAUUAAGGUGUAUUAAUUAAGCAUGUUAAUUAGAGUAAUACAACUUAAAUAUUGAAAAGCACGUGAAUGAUUACCUAUUAUCAGUGAUUUGAAGAUGGUAGCCAGACAAAUUUGCAGCUUUUGUAAGAACCUCUCCCCACUGCUUUACCCCUUUUUGUUUAGCUUCACGUUUCUUGUCAUCCUUUUCUUCACCCAUGCCCUCUACGUGCUCCUGAAAUUCUUCGGCUAACUCUGCAGCUUCUCUAAGAGCCUUUCUCCACUGCUUUACCCUUUCUCGUUUUUUUUCACGUUUCUUGUCAUCAUUUUCUUUACGGAUGUUCUUUUUGUGCUUCUUAAAUGCUUGGGCUAAAACUCCAUUCUGCUUCCUGACAUGUGAAGGAUCAAUGUGAUAGAAUAUUGGCAAAACAUGUCGCCCCAGUUUGUCUCUGCACUCCAUGAUCUUCACCAGCUCGUUAAGACACCAACUCGAAUCCGCAUAGCUCUCCGAGAAGACAAUGAUAGAGAUCUUCGAUUUUUCGAUUGCCUGUUCCAGUUCUUUUUGUAUUUCUUCCCCGCUUUUUAGAUCAUCCUCAUCAAUAUAUGCCUGGUAUCCCUUGUCUGUUAAUGCCGCGUGGAGGUGGUCUGUGAAGCCAUUGCGUGUGUCUUCACCGCUGAAGCUCAAGAACACAUUGUAAUUCCAAAGUUUUGACUUGGAGGAGGAUGAAGAGGAGGCUUCGUGGCUUGUCAUGGCGGUAUCCACCGUUAUGGCACAGCAGUGGUUCAUAUCACGAUUGAAAAAUGGCAGUAGUUCUGUUUGUGCUGUCGAACGGAUGAUCCUGAAAUACCUAAACCCAAGUCAAGCUCCUUCAGUCAACAAGAACAAAGUUUAUAACAUAAUAAUGUUGGCGUAUGGACUUGAGAAACAACAUAAUGUUGGCCAGAAGGUGCAGAGACAAACUUGAAUGCAAGCUUUCUCAAAUUUUCCAAACAAUACAGAUGACAAAAUCAACAAAAUAGAAUGGAAAAUGACUUACACUUUUAAGGCAUGCUCGAAUCUUGAUCUAAAAUUGGUGCUGGGUCGAUUGUUGGUCACCAAAUCUAAAUGAAGAAUUCCUCAGACCAAAUGAAAUUAAAAGUUAGGACUUCACAAAACCAAUUGAAAAUCUGAUUCCAAAGUUCCAAACACCCACCAAAUGAUUCCGGAUAAAGUUUAAACUCAAAAACCCAACAGAAACAAAAGCAUUGGUGUGGAUUAACUAUAUCUGAUUGUCGAACGGAUGAUACUGAAAUACCUAAAAGGCUAAACCCAAGUCAAGCUCCUUCAAUCAACAAGAACAUAGUUUAUAAUAUAAGGGCACGUUUGUUUGACAGGAUUAGCAAGGCUUGGACUGGACUAGACUAUAGUCCUGUGUUUGGUGUGCAACCGGAUUAGCUUUAAUGGGCUUAGGUGGGACUCGCUCGGAUUACACGCCUCCUUACAAGUUCUUAACGAAGAACCCCAAUUUUGGGCGGACUCGUAAGCACGGAGAGAAAACCGCGAGGAUCCCCAACGUCCUGCUCGUCCUCAUCUCUGCGAGGAUCCCCAACGUCCCUCGUCCUGCUCGUCGCUCGUCGUCGAUCUUGCCCUGCUUCCUCGUCGUCGUUCUCCUCACCCUCAUCGACGAAAGCUUCUCGUUGGUGCCCAACCCCAUGCCUUUGCCUCCCAUCAACGAUCUCACUUGCAUUGUCACUGGAUCCACCAGCGGCAUCGGCCGCGAAAUCGCCAGGUCUCCUCCUUCUCCUUCCUUCAAAUCUCCAAACAUUGACGAUUUCAGUUUUCUUGUUAGCUUGUUUGUUUAGUAUAAAUAAAUCAACUCAAUUUGCAAGAUUGCAUUAAGACUUAGGGGUCCCACUGUUUGGUUACUGAGAAUUUUGAUAACCUGGUGCCCAUUUCUCAGUUUCAAUUGUGAAUUUUGAAUUAGUUUUGCUUAAACAUGAAAACUGAACAGGCAGCUGGCGGAAUCAGGCGCGCAUGUUGUAAUGGCGGUGAGGAAUACGAAAGCAGCUAAUGAGUUGAUCCAGAAGUGGCAAAAUGAAUGGUCUGGAAUGGGGCUUCCUCUCAAUAUUGAGGUAACUUAUUAACAGGGCCAACGCUAAUAUCUACAUUUCAUUAAUUAUAUACAAACAAUACUAUUGUUUAACUUUAAUAGGUAAUGGAACUUGAUCUGCUUUCAUUGGAUUCUGUUGUGAGAUUUGCCGAAGCAUGGAAUGCUCGUUUAGGACCUCUCCAUGUUCUUAUCAACAAUGCUGGGAUAUUUUCAAUUGGAGGUUGAUCGCUUUGUUGACAUUUUUACCUGAUUUCAAAUGUUCAUCCCUUCAGAAUCUGAUCGGUCAUUUGCUGGACUACACUGUCAUUGGUGUGUUCAGAGCCGCAAAAGUUUUCUAAAGAUGGUUACGAAGAACACUUGCAAGUGAAUCAUCUGGCUCCAGCGUUGCUAUCCGUCUUGCUAUUGCCUUCCCUUAUUAGAGGAUCUCCGAGUCGAAUUGUUAAUUUGAAUUCCGUUGUAAGUUCCAUGGUCAUCAUGCAUACAAUUUUACACUCUUCUACUUUUGCUUUUCUGGGUAUAUAUGAUAUAUAUAACAUUCGCACACCUACGUACACACACAUGGAAAGAAAAACUAGUUGGCAUAUAUGCUAACUAGUUGUAGAUACAUCCUUAGGUUUUUAGAUUGGCACUAUAAAUGUAUUUCACAGUUUGAUAUUCUUGUUUUAUUGUUAUGUUAAUCUGAGAAUGCUCGUUCUUUCUUUAUAUAGAUGCAUUAUGUUGGCUUUGUUGACACAGAAGACAUGAACGUUGUUUCCAGGAAAAGAAAAUAUACAAGCUUAGUGGGUUACUCAAGCAGCAAGUUGGCACAGGUGGUCUUGAAAGUCUUUAUUGUUUGAUGGUUUCCAUAUUUUAGCUGGAACAAGCUUGUAAGAGCUACAAGCUUUUCUUCCUAUCCAUCUUUGUGGAAAUGAAUUCAGGUCCUCUUGAUCUGUAAAGUUUAACUACUUUGUGCGAUAUAUAUAUAUAUAUAUAUUUGAAAUACAGGUGCCUCUGUCUUUAUUUAGAUCUUUUUAGUUACUUGGACCUGUACAUUGAUCAAGUGCUUGAUGAUUGGGUGCUAUAAUCUGCUUGUGUUUUUUUUUUAAUUUUUUUUUUAAUUUUUUUAAUUUUUAUGGUUUCAACUUCUGCUUUGAUCUCUCUUUUCUAUUAGUUUGUAAAAGCUGGUCAUCUAUUACCCAAGGCUGGACACUUGCACAUAAUUAAAUGUCAAUUAACUGCGGUGGUAUGUAUAUAAUUUUCGACGCUAAAACAAGACUACUCUAACCUAGUCGUAUAUGGAUUGCAGAUUAUGUUUAGUAGUGUCCUACAUAAGCGGCUGCCUGCUGAAUCUGGCAUUAGUGUAGUGUGCGUUUCACCUGGAAUUGUCCAGACUAAUGUUGUAAGUAUCUUGACGCGUUCCCCUCCCUUCCUUGUUAUCUCGAAGAAGGAUGUGCCUUCAAGGUUUCUAUAUGAAAGUUCUAAUUGACAGUCUUGCAUGUUAUUAUUUUAUGUACCUUGAAGAUUUUACGUUCAAAUAUUAUUUACAUAUACAGUAUAGUAUAUUGAAUUUUAUGUAUCAUUUUGGAUUUCAAUUAAUUACAGGCAAGGGAUCUACCCAGGAUUGUUCAGGCUGCGUAUCAUCUAGUACCUUAUUUGCUGCAACAUUCACUACUUUGCUGGCGGCCGUCGUAAGCACCCCAGGCGCCGCCGCUGGUUUUCUGUUAAAUGGGUUUUUUUCUUUAUUUGAGUUAUUUUUGUUUUUGUGGGGAAGAAGAUUGGUAGAUGAUGUGGUCCAAUCUGGGAACCAAUGCAUUUUCUUAAACGGCUGAGAUUGAAAGACUGAUUUGGCCUGGUAGAGCAUCCAAGUAAAAAUUUGGGUGUGUAAUCUGUGUGUGUGCAUCUGUAUGUGUGUGUGUGUGUGUGUAAUCUGUGUGUGUGUAAGUGUAAUAUGUGUGUGUAUGUAAUCUGUGUGUGUAUACUAUGUGUGUGUGUGUGUGUGUAAUCUGUGUGUAUGUAAUCUCUCUCUCUCUGUGUAAUCUGUGUGUGUGUGUGUAAUCUGUGUGUGUGUGUGUGUGUGUGUGUGUAAUCUGUGUGUAUGUAAUAUCUCUCUCUCUGUGUGUAAUCUGUGUGUGUGUGUGUAAUCUUUGUGUGUGUGUGUGUAUGUAUGUAAUCUCUCCUCUCUCUGUGUGUAAUCUGUGUGUGUGUGUGUAAUCUUUGUGUGUGUAAGUGUAAUAUGUGUGUGUGUGUGUGUGUGUGUGUGUAUAAUAUGUGUGUGUGUAAGUGUAAUAUGUGUGUGUGUGUGUGUUUGUGUAGUGUGUGUGUGUGGGUGUGUGUGUUUGUGUAUUGUGUCCGUGUGUGUGUGUGUGUGUGUGUGUGUGUGUGUGUGUGUGUGUGUGUGUGUGUGUGUGUGUGUGUGUGUGUGUGUGUGUGUAUUGUGUGUGUGUGUUUGUGUAGUGUGUGUGUGUGUGUGUGUGUGUGUGUGUGUGUGUUUGUGUAUUGUGGCCGUGUGUGUGUGUGUGUUUGUGUAGUGUGUGUGUGUGUAUGUGUGUUGUGUUGUGUGUUGUGGUAUUGUGGUCGUGUGUGUGUGUGUGUAUUGUGUGUGUUUGUGUAGUGUGUGUGUGUAGUGUGUGUGUGUAUUGUGUGUAAGUUUGAACCAACUUAAGUAGUACAAUUUGAUUAUGUAUGCAGUGUAUGUAUGUAUGCAGGGUGUGUGUGAGUGUAUGUCAGUGUGUGAGAGUGUGUAUGUCCGUGUGAGUGCAGUGUGUGCAUCUGACCAGUGUGUGUGUGUGUAUGUAUGCCGUGUGUGUGUGUGUGUGUAUGUAUGCAGUGUGUGUGUGUAUGUAUGCAAUGUGUGUGUGUAUGUAUGUAUGUAUGUAUGCAUGGUGUGUGUGAGUGUAUGUCCGUGUGUGAGAGUGUGUAUGUCCGUGUGAGUAUGUGUGUGAGUGUGUAUGCAGUGUGUGUGUGUAUGUAUGUAUGUAUGUCGUGUGUGUGUGUGUGUAUGUAUGCAAUGUGUGUGUGUGUGUGUAUGUAUGCAAUGUGUGUGUGUGUGUGUGUGUGUGUGUGUAUGCCGUGUGUGUGUGUGUGUGUGUGUGUGUGUGUAUGUAUGCAGUGUGUGUGUGUGUGUGUGUGCAGGGCAAUCAAACCGGAACUCAAGAAAGUGUUCGUCCAAAGGCUUUUAAGCGACAACGCAAGUGGAUGAAGAUUUUGGCUAAUGUUAACAUGGAUGUAUUUUAUUAAUGUUAACAUGGAUGUAUUUUAUUAAUCAUACAAUCUUAUGUUAUGGCUUAUAACUUAGCUUUGCACUAGUAUUUUGGCUUAUGUUAACUAGCCAUUUUGUAAAUUAUGGAGAUCUAUUUUGGCUAAUGUUAACUAAUGUUAUGUUAACUAAGAUUUUCUAAAUUAUGGAGAUCUUCUUAUGUACUUGUAUUUGUUGAAGUUGCAUGUAUUGGGCACUAUUAUUUUUCUUCUGUUGGGUGAUAGAGUUUAAACCAAGCUACAUUUGCAAAUUAAACCCAAUUCUAUUAGCAGGUAAUAGAAACAAAACAAUUGUCAAUUUUUUUUAAGAUUCAUAAUAUACAUGGCAAAAAUAUGCUCCAAUUAACUCAUAUCAUGAGAUUUGUAGCAUUACUCUAUUACACAAUGGCAAAAAUUUGUAGUCCUAGUCUAAGCAAACACAAAUCUGGUGAACAGUAUUGUUUUUCUUAUCCUGCUUCUUAGUCCGACAUUACACCAAACGCUUCACUAAAUUAGUCCAGCUUAGUCCAGUCUAAGCCAGUCCAGCUUAGUCCCGGCAGCUAGUCCAGCCCGAGACAGUCCGGCGCAACAAACGCACCCUAAUAAUGUUGGUGUAUGGACUUGAGAAACGACAAAAUGCCGGUCGGGAAGGUGCAGAGAAGAGUAAGAGAGAGAAAAGAGGAAAGAAACAAACACAAAAGGACAAAGAUUAUCAAAUAGAUUGUAACAAUGACUUCUUUGGUUGAAAUGUGUAAGCAUACUUCUUUGGUUGAAAUGUGUAAGCAUCUAAGAAGUAGCAUGACAACAACCGCAUAAUAAACAAAAGUGAUAGAAAAAAGGACCCAAAUGUGAAACGACAACUAAAAACAAUUGUCUCGCAAGCCGUCGGGUUUCGCCGGAAAAUCUGGGUUUUCGAAGAAAACAAGUGUGCAUGAAUAAAUAGUCCAAAAAUGGACCUCAAAUCAUCACCGGACAGGAUUUAACCCAUGAAUAUAAAGGUUAAACGAGAAAUCUCACCUGGGUUUUGAGUUUCGAAGCUUGAAACUCUUGGCUCCAAGGGUGGAUCACUGAAAUGGUGCUCCGAUGAUGCAUGCAAAGAUAUAUUCGAGUUCCUUGAGUCUCAGGGAUUCCAAAUAUGUGAUUUUGGGGCUGGGUUUGUGAGAGAAUCAAAGUGAGAGCAAGGGUUAAGCUCUCGGAGUUUAGAGAGAGAAUGAGAGAAUUUGAGAGUUAGAGAGAGAGAGUGAGUGACAGGUGUCGAGCAAGGGGAAGAAGGGAGAGAUUUGUCACGGGUGAGGUAAAAACAAAAACUGUGGGCCGGAUUUUUGGGUUUGAGAGUCCCACGCCCAAAGAUUUGGGCCGGAAUGACAAAGCCCAACACGAGGGCAUAAUCGUAAUUUGCACCUACUUUCAGAACGGGUUGUUACGGUUAUCCACCGUUAUGGCACCGCCGUGGUUCAAAUCACGACUAAAAAAUGGCAGUAUUUGUGAUUGUGUACCGAACGAAUGAUAUUGAAAUACAUAAACCCAAGUCAAGCUUCUUCAAUCAACAAGAACAAAGUUUAUAAUAUAAUAAUGUUGGCGUAUGGACUAACGACAAAAUGCCGGUCGGGAUGGUGCAGAGAAGAGUAAGAGAGAGAUAAAGAAACGAACACAAAAGGACAAAGACUAUCAAAUAGAUUUAACAAUGACUUCUUGGUGGUGAUUACAAGUAUUCAACCAUCAAUAAUGUUUUAUUUUAGGUUAAAAUGUGUAAGCAUCUAAGAAGUAACAUGACAACAACUACAUAAUAAAUAAAAGUGAUAGGAGAAAAGACCCAAAUAUGAAACGACAACUAAAAACAAUUAUUCAACGUGAGUGAUAAAUGAUUCAACCAUUUACAAUAUUCAAACGUAGAACCACGAUUCACUGGACGGUUGUAUUAACUAUUAGGAGGUGCUCUAAUAUAAUACAUCCAAAUGGGGGUGGACCACAUAAUACACCCACAUCGUUUUAAGCUCCUACAUGCUAAAACUUUUGCAAAAUGCGCAUUAGGAUUAUACUUCUAUUAGAUGCGCAUUUCCUUACUAGGCAAAUGAACCAUAUAAUCCGCCAAGAUGGAUGUUAUACACGUUGGAGUUUGAGCAGAUUUUUUUUUGUUAUCUCAUAGUCUCACAUUGCUAGAAUUGAAAAUUUUAUAAUAUAAUAACGUUCACGUAUGAACUUGAGAAACAACAUACUUUACUGCCGGUCGAUCGGGAAUGUGCAGUGAAAGAGAGGAAAGAAAGAAAGAAAUGAACACGAAAGGACAAAGACUAUCCAAUGGAUUAUAAACAAUUACUUCUUGGGGUGAUUACAACUAUUCAACCAUCAAUAAUGCAUUACUUCAGUUUAGAAUUUGGAAGCAUUUGAGAAGUAACAUGACAACAAUCACAAAAUAAACAAAAGUGAUUAAUAAAAAGACCCAAAUGUGAAAGAAUAAUUAAAAACAAUUAUUCAAGAUAAGUGAUAAUGAUUCAAUCAUUUACAAGAUAUGAACGGUUUGGAAACGCAUCACAUAGUAGUUAAAAUACCCGGCCGUAAAUGAACGGUUUGAGAUACUGCCAUAGUGGCAUCCCUCGUAUGUGAGUUUCUCUCGUAUCGGAUCACUUAUUGUAAGAAUAUCAGUAGUGAAAGUUAAAUACCCGUGUCGGGAAAGGAAGUCGAUGAUGACAACUGACAAGAGAGAAAUUUGGCUUGAAAAAUGUAUGAUGUUUGCAACAUGCGUCACCGGAGUAUCAACUUGAAGCUCUUCAUCUCUCCGUCGUUAAAUGUUUCAUAAGCAGCAUUGUUAAAGUUCUCUCUGCCAGGGGGAACUGAAGAUGGUUUUGAAUGAAGAAGAAUGGAAAAUAUAAUUUAGAAAAUGAGAAAGAAAAAUAUAAUUGAAACUAAAAAAAAUAAGAAAUAAAAAGAGAGAUUUACUAUUUUCUAGGAGGUCUUGGAGUUGGCCGUGACAGUAAGAGAGGAUGAGCGAAUAAAUUGGGCCAAUUACUUGCUCUCUUGGACUUUGGGCUUUUGGUUUGGACUGGGCCAAUUACUUACUUGGGCCCCAUCCCAACUUGACUUUUUGUCGGUCGGUAUUGGCUAAGGUGAACGUGCUAAACUAGAAAUUUGAGGUUUUGAAUUAGCGAAUGAAUGUUAAGUAAGAGUGUCAUGAUCAGACUUGUAAGACUGUCUUUAAUAAGAAGUUGUUGCGUUUUGUCAAAACCGGUCCAUCUAAUUACAAAUUGUAACCAUAUUAGUUGAGUGCAUAUGCUACAUCACAUUUAGUGAAUAUUCAGUACGGGUGAUACAUGGUCAAACUUGUAGGUUGUUCAUUAAGAAGUUACCACGUUCUCAAGAGUGGAGUUAGAGGGGAGCACUUCCCUACCAAAGUGUUUUCCUUCUCCCCUUUACAAGGGAUUUGUGUCACUAUUAGAUAGGAGAUUCGAACACAAGACCUUGAAUUGAGAGGUAAACGAUUUUACAAAGCUUCUACGAGCACCUUCUUGUUUACCAAACUUAAUGAAACUAAAGGAGGUCUUAACGCCAUUUUGGCUAAUAGUAUUCUGUAUAUUUACGAAUGGUUUUAAGUUUGGGCUUAAUUGGAUAAUCAGAGAGUAGUGCAUCACACUAUGGAUAUUCAGAAACCGAAGGCAUAAUUCAUAUUCCUCCAACAAGUCCACGCAAAUAACCACAAUCAGAAUGUUAGUUCAUAACUGGCCAUAUAGAACGCAAUACAAAAGCACUAAAAGCGUCCAAGUGAAAGUGCUUUCUCCUCAUGUAGUUUCAUUUAACUUAGUUUCACAUGCCAGUCCGUCACACACUCAACUCCUCAACGUUCGGGCUCAAAGCAUUCUUUAUCCCUUAUGUACGAGAGACAAUAAGUUUAAAGUUCUUGUGAUGAAAUCAUGUAAAACAUUCAGAAAUCUUGAUUUAACCCUUUCUCAAGAUCAUAGGUUGUGUCAUCUCAACCUAUAUCUUAGGUCUCAUGAGUGCUCGUAAUACACUAAUAUGACGCUUGUUUUCUGGCCAGGACAGAAACAAAAUCAUGCAGGAAAUUGUCAUGACAACUUAAGCGUAAAAUGCGACCGGAAAAACACUAAACAGGAUAGCUAUGCUUUCUUCGUGUAAACCUUAACAACAAAGACAAUACCGUAUCUGUCACAGUGAUAUGCGACCAUAAGCCCAACUCCAAGGAUCAGCUUUCCAAGAGCUUUGAAGGCUACAAAUCAAAAGUUACAUGCAGUGAUGACAUAAUCAUGAAAAAAUACAAUCAUAAAUUAAAGGAAAACAUACCGACUUCUAUUUCUGGCAAUUCACUAUUGGGCCAUAUAUUUGAACAACAGUAUGAUGGAUACCUACAAUACAGAUCACAAGUAAAAUCUGAGCAGACACAAAGUAUUAUGUUCUGUUUACGCAAAUUCUGUAAGUUCUCAAAUAGGAUAAAUAAAGAUAAGCAUAUCCCAGCAUAAAGACGACUUGUCCUGGCUAAUUCUAAGAAAGCUUGUAUCAAAUGUAUGAUAGUUAUUCAUAACUAACACAAACAACAGUUUGGCCAAACAUUACUGGUCUGAGCCAUAUACUGUGUGACCUCAGACAAAACAGAUCCCACAUGUACUCAGAUUAUGAUUGAUACCCCAAUAGACUUUUAGGCGGUGCUCUGAUAUAAUACAUCCAAAUUGGGGUGGACCAUAUAAUACACCCCAACGGAUCGUUUUAAGCUCCUCCACUGCUAAAGCUAUUGCAAAAUGCGCAUUAGGAUUAUACUUCUAUUAGAAGCCCCUUUCCUUACUAGGCAAAUGAACCAUAUAAUACACCAAGAUGGAUGUUAUACACGUUAGCGUUUGAGCAGAAUUUUUUUUGGUUAUCUCAUUGUCUCACAUUGCUAGAAUUGAAAAGUUUAUAAUAUAAUAACGUUCGCAUAUGAACUUGAGAAACGACAUACUGCCAGCUGGCCGGGAAGGUGCAGUGAAAGAGAGAAAAGGAAGAAAGAAACAAACAUGCAUGAAAGGACAAAGACUAUCCAAUAGAUUAUAUACAAUGACUUCUUGAGGUGAUUACAGCUAUUCAACCAUCAAUAAUGCAUUAUUUUAGUUUGGAAUUUGGAAGCAUUUGAGAAGUAACAAGACAUCAACCACAUAAUAAACAAAAGUGAUUAGAAAAAAAACCCAAACGUGAAGGAAUAAUUAAAAACAAUUAUUCAAGAUAAGCGAUAAAUGAUUCAACCAUUUACAAGAUAUGAACUUAGAACAACAAUCUAUUUGAUCGUUGUAUUAACUAUUAAGUGGUGCUCUAAUAUAAUAUAUCCAAAUGGAGACGAACCAUAUAAUACACCCAAAUGGACCAUUUUUAGGCUCCACUGCUAAAAACUAAUGCAAAACGGGCAUUAGGAUUAAACUAUAAGAACUAGGAUUGCAGGGAAGACAAAACACGCAGGAAAGCUGUAAGACUACACAAGGUUUUCACUGUGAUUGCAUACCCUCAACGUUGUAGGGAGCAACCUUUUUAUAAUCACUUUUCAGAUUACAUCAGGGUUUCAAAAACCCUAUUUACAAGCUUACAUUUUGAAAUUCAAAUACUAUAACUAAUUCUGAUAAAACAAAUAUUUAAAAAUUCAAAUGAUUUUAACAGAAGCUCCACUUGAUAAGUGUUGUUGACUGAGUAAACCAACUGAAGAAUUUCUGUUUGAAGAGGAAACUUGACUCCGUCUAACAUAAACUUGUAUUAGCUAGCUUUCCUAGUCAAAUGAACCAUAUGAUACACCCAAAUGGAUGCCAUCAUGCCAUAUAUAAACAAUGUUUUGAAAGGACAAGGUACCUAAGACUGUCUUUUUAUAUAAUGUAAGCAACAACCAUAAAUCUUAUUGGAGCUAAUUAACUAAUGUAUUUAUUAGACAGUUGGAUUCCUUAGCAAGUGGUUAACUAUUUUUGUUUAGUUUAGUAGUCAGGUCGUAAUUAAUUAGUCAAAUGAACCAUAUAAUACACCCAAAUGGAUGCCAUAUAUGCAAUAUAAACAAUUUUUUCAAAGGAUGAAAUGACCUUCUUGCGGGUAUAGGGGAAGAGGAAAGAAACUAGUACGAAACUGCAGACCCUAUCGAUCCAUUAUAAUAAAUUUCAAGGGUCCAAGUUGUAAGUUAAUUGUGCAACGUAAAAACUUAUUCACAAUUAUCAACUUAACCACGUACCUGUGGAAGACAUCGUCUUUGAAAACUAAGAUUAAGAACUGAAGUUCUCCUGCAACUCUACACAAUUGAAAGCUCGCUCAAUGGGGCUUGAGUUUUCUGUAAACUUGUGUAGUUAGGGGAGAGAUCAGGGACCUCAAUUUUAUACAUGGAAUUUAAUAAGGAACCCUCUCAUUAAUUGAUCCUUAUCAAAGAGUAGCCUUAUCACCGUGAAACACUAAUGCAUUAUAUCAGCUAGAAGAGUUCUAGUUUUAUCGAAAAUGUAUCUGACUUGAAAUUGUAAAGAAAUACAACUCCUAAUAAGUCUACCACAAGUGUCAAUCCUUAUCUCCUUAUCAUUCCACAUCACCAAGUGUUUGCUCUCAUAUAGAACUUACACAAAUCUCAUGUAGUUUCAUCUAACUUAUUUUUCACAACGGUGAAUAUAUUUCAAUGGCUUGGUUUUCACAUGCCAGUCAGUCACAUGCUCAACUCCUCAAAGUUCAGGCUCAAUGGCUCAAAGAGGGCUUCCACUUCACUCUGAUUCACCUCCCUUUUACUUUGACGGGUUCCACUUCGGAUUCUGCAUUGACAAAAAACAGAAGCAAAAGAUUGUUGAGAGUUCUCCCACAUUGGUGAGGGACAAAGCUUGUUAUGUGCUUAUAUGAUCUUAGGCUACUUCCAAUAUUGCCAAUUUGUUUUAUGGUGGAACCUCAAUUUCAUCAUGGUAUCAAAGCCAAGUUGUCGACAUGUGAAGCCCAAUGGCCACAUGCGCUCCACGUCACCCAGUUGUUGUACACGUGUAGGCUUGAAAAUCCGUCACAUGUGCGGGGUCGUGUUGAGAGUUGUCCCACAUUGGCGAGGGACAAGACUUGCUAUGUGCUUAUAUGAUCUUGGACUACUUCCCAUAUUGUCAAUUGGUUUUAUGGUAAAACCUCAAUUUCAUCAAAGAUAACGAUCUGUUCUGAUACAAGGAAAGUAAGAUGAUUAUAUAACUGUAGGUCUAGUAUAGGCUGUAAUGGUUUAUGUUGCAGCAACUCCGUCAGCAAGUGAUUUUCAAGUAAGGAAUCUUGAGCAUAAUUAACGAACCUGAUCCUUGUCCACCAAAACUGCCCGCACACCUUCAGCAAAAUCAUUCCGCAAAGACGAUCUUCUAGCAACGCGAUAUUCAGUUUUCAUCACACCAGUUAGCUGGUAUGGAUCAAGUAAAGCACAUGUUACUCACUCAGAAAAUGUGAAAUACUACAACACAAAAUCUAUCAAAAGGAUGCAACCUUGAAGAGCUUCAUUUGCCCACUCCACCACUACAACGGAAACAAUUUGAUAGAAAAUACUUGACAGCCAUGUACAAGCCUCUCAAUAGAAGAGUAAGACAGAUUUCAUUUCAUCAUCGAUAAACAAAUGGCAUUGACAAACUUACCAGUAGCAUCUGAACUCUGCUGCUGCUUUUUAAGUUCAUCAAUUGCCACAAGAACCGACUUAUUUGCACCAAAUGCUGAAGUUAUUUGAGGUAAAAGACUCCUGAGCUGCGAUUCGAAUCUGGGUUGCUGCUGAAUUUCACCACAGUUGUAAUUGACAACAUUGACAAUUGUCUCUCUCGCAAUAGUACCUUCGUAAUGAUCCGGUACUGACCUUGGCCCGAUAGGCCAAUACCAAAGGCCAUUGUUAUGGCCACGAAGCUUAUACGUGGCUGUCAAGCCCGACACGUGAAUAGCAUACUCUACUACUGUGUUACAUUGUGAGAAUUUUAUCCAAAAUUAAUUGACAAUAAGUGAAUAAGUUGAAAGAUUAUGUAUGACUUUAAUUAUGCAAAGAGUGAAGAGGCAAUUUUCACCAAACUCCAGUAAAAAAUUUGGGCCUCACAAAUCACUAAACCCAAUAUGCUUUUCUCUUAUGCCUUUUGUUCAUGGUUCGAUAUUCUGGCGUCCGAGGACCCUGACAUGACAAGUUCCAACUUUUGUUCAAUUUCUUGACGAAACAAUCACAUUUACCCUUACGGCACGGCACGGUUCCGGGCAUAGAAUAUGGGUUGGGUUCCGUCACAGCUCCAACACUGUAGAGAAGGAAAUAAAAAGACAACUAUUUAUUUCUUACAACGUAGCCAGUCUCUUGACAUGGCUCCUGCUGUUUUGUUCUUAUUUCACGUCCUGUUUCUCGAGCUUGGUGUUUCCGGCAGGGCCGGUCUAGAGAUUUUUGAGGCCCGGAGCGACGUAAAAAAAUAUGCUCACUUUAUAUAAGAAAAUUAUUUGUUUUCACAUGUAAGACAUGGAUAAAAUUAUACUUACAAAAACACUUAAACUUAAUAAUUUAGAAACAAGGAAAAACUAAUUUAUUUUGUAUCGUGAGAAUGAAACAAAAAAACUCUGGUCUCUUCCGCUCCACCUCGGCCUGGAUUAGGCAGGUUGGAGCUCUCACCCCUGGCCAUGUACGAGGCAUUUUGGAUAGGCAACUUUUAGUUUCUCUUGGAAUAUCGCCUAACUCCUGUAAAGCUCCUUCUAUUGUCCCUGUUCAUUGGCUCCCCCCUCCUUUUUCUUGGGUUAAAGUGAAUACUGAUGGCCUUGCUAAAGGUAAUCCGGGUCCUGCGGCAUGUGGCGGGGUUUUUCGUGACUCUGCAGGUUAUUUUCUUGGUGGUUUCUCCCUAAGCUUGGGUCAUCGUACUUCUUUCUAUGCGGAGCUCCAUGCUGUCAUCCUUGCUAUCGAAUUGGCCCACACGCGGGGCUGGCUAAAUUUAUGGCUUGAAAGCGACUCUUCUAGUGUAAUAUCAUGUUUUGCUUCUGGAUCUUUCUCUCCCCCUUGGUCUCUCCAGACACGCUGGAACAAUUGUACUCUCCAUUUGCAGAACAUGGUUUUUCGUUGCUCUCAUAUUUUUCGAGAAGGGAAUGUUGUGGCUGACAAAUUAGCCAAUUUAGGGCUUCUAUCAUCUUCCCUUGUUUGGCAUUCCACUCCCCCUAUAGAGAUCCUUCCUCCUCUGCACUCAGAUUUCUUGGGCAUGCCAACCUACAGGUUUGUCUCCUCUUCUUGAUGUGUGUUCUCCUUUCUUUUCCUAACCUUUUUUGGAUUCCCUUUUGUUUUGCAGCUUGUCUUGCAGGUUAUUACCUUUUAGGUUUAUUGAGGGGUUUGGGCUUAUGUCCGCCCAGUCUUUUCCUUGUAUUUUCUUUUCCAAGAGGGGUACGGUCUAUGUCCCCCCCUCUUUUGUAUUUUCUUUCUCAAAAGGGGUAAGGUGCAUGUCCCCCCCUUUUUUGUAUUUCUUUUCUCUUGUUCUAUGAGGGGUUAGGUUUAUGUCCCCCCCUGUCUAGGUGUAUUUUCUUUUUUCUUAUCAAUAAAUUUCCCUCGUACCGCCGAGGUUCUCCAAAAAAAAAAAAAAAAAAAAAAAAAAAAAAAACUCUGGGUUUACAAGUAGAUAGAUAGAUAGAUAUGGCACAAGUUGCGGAUUGCUUUGCUAACUAUGAUGUUGAUCUGGCUGGGGUUCAUUGGUGAGAUUCUUGAUUUCCUUGUGCUACUUUGACAUAUCACCAUAAGUUGUCUUUUUUGCCUUGUUAUAGUUUCGUGUGGGGUUUUUUUUCUUCUAAUGUUGAUUGGGUUCUUUUCUUCCAACUCCUGCCCACUCAUUAUUGUCUGAACCACACCUAGUAUUACCCUCAUAUCCACUAAAACUUCAAGCUUUACCAAUUUGUCACAAGCGAAGAUGGUAGCUCCCAACACCAAUGAGGUUCCAAACAAUUACGAUCGAAAAAGCGAAGUGAAAGCUUUUGAUGAGACAAGGGAAGGCGUUAAGGGUCUUGUUGAUGCCGGGAUAGCCGAGGUUCCUAGAAUUUUUCAUCAACCACCACAAUUGGACGAUCAGUACUCCAUCAACAAUACAAGCACUGACUCAGAAGCCACCCAGUUUAGCAUUCCGCUAAUAGACCUUGAAGACCAUGGUAAUCCAACUAAGCGCAAUGAGAUUGUUGCAAAAGUUGGAGAGGCAUCAGAGACUUGGGGCUUCUUUCAAAUAGUGAAUCAUGGGAUACCUGUAGGUGUUCUGGAGGCGAUAAAGGAUGGGGUACGUGGGUUUUAUGAGCAGGACACUCGAGUCAAGAAAGAGUUUUACACUCGUGAUCACUCUAAACCUUUGUUUUACAAUAGCAACUUUGAUCUUUAUAGUUCACUGGCAACGAAUUGGAGGGAUACUUUUAAGUGUUACAUGGCUCCAUAUCCUCCUAAGCCAGAAGACUUGCCAGAAGUAUGCAGGUAUUUGACAACCCAAUUCUCUGGUUUAAUUGGUGACAUUAACCUGGUGCAGAUUCCUUCCUUGAUGGAUUAGAUCAUUAAACUCCAUACUUUUGACAAGUUUAAUGUGCUUUCCUGGUUUUCAACUUGCAGAGACGUACUGAUCGAGUAUUCAAAGCGAGUAAUGGAGUUGGGGAAAUUGUUGUUCGAGUUGUUGUCGGAGGCCCUUGGGCUAAAGCCAAGCCACUUGAAUAGCAUAGAUUGUAGUAAGGGGCUACAGGUUUUUAGGCCAUUUACUAUCCUGCUUGUCCACAGCCAGAGUUAACUUUGGGCACAAGCAAGCACGCUGAUGAUUCCUUCCUUACGGUCCUUCUGCAAGAUCAUAUUGGUGGUCUGCAAGUUGUUGAUCGUCAAAAGAAGUGGAUAGAUGUACCCCCUGUGCCUGGGGCUUUAGUGGUGAACAUUGGAGAUCUUUUACAAGUAAGCACACGUAUUACAAUUGCCCUUUUUUUUUUCUCCCUAAAAACUACUAUUAAAUUAAGAGAAUAGUAUCGUAAACUAAGCUAGUUUGUUAAUGACUAAUACUCGAGACAAGCUUUGGUCGCAUGUUAGCGUUUCUCUUAGAAUAUGUCUUAGAAUUCUUCGAUUAUCAUAAUUAGGUCUUUUAUGUUCAAUUCUUUUUGGGAUUUUCAGCUCAUAUCAAAUGAUAGAUUCAAAAGCGUAGAACACAGGGUAUUGGCGAACCGUGAAGGUCCAAGGAUAUCCAUUGCCAGCUUCUUUAGCACAGGUUUGCUACCAUUUACAAAUCUCUAUGGACCUAUUAAGGAGUUGGUAUCAGAAGACAACCCUCCAAAGUACAGGGAGACUACUGUGAGGGACUACGACACCCAUUUCUAUGACAAAGGCCUAGAUGGAACCUCUGCCUUAUCUCAUUUUAAGAUCCCAACUUAGACAUGGAGGAGCACAGACCGCAACGAACAAAUCCUGUCUACUAAAUAAUUUUGCAUGAAAAUAUAUAUUGGUUGUUUAAUCUGAAAGCGCUUUCGCACCACAAAAUUCUGGAUAUGCAUAUUAUUUUGUUUUCUGUUUGCAUAUGGUCUAAUAUACUUGUAGAAAGGGUUGGGCUUCUACCCAUGCAUCUCAGGUACAAACUUCCCCUCCUAUAAAUUAUUGUAAUAGUUUCGAACUCUCUAUCUUCCGCAAAAAAAUUUAAAAAGUAAAUAAAGAAGUAAAAUUUAAAAAAUAAAAGGGGGUUUUCUAACACUUUUAUUCAUCAUGUUUACAGUUUUUGUGGCAUGCUGCUUAGCGCUUAACGAAUUCAACUGUGGUUGUGGUUGCGGUUGCGGUUGCAUAUCAAUACUAUUAUACCAUAAGUGUGGGCUUGUUUGAGAAUGUUUUUAUUUGUAAGAAGCGGUUUUACACAAUUGUGUCGAAAACCUGUUAAAGUAUUUAUUAUAAUCCAACUGCUUCUUGGAGAAUCACUCUCCGUAAAGUCAGCUAAAAAAAGUAGCCAAUCCCGUCCAUCCUCCACACUAUAUAACCCGUACACGAAAGAGGAAGCUGAGGAGAAAGCAGCCAAAAAUGCUAAGAAGAUUAUAUUUUUAUACUAUAUUGAUGUAUGACAAGUGAUAUGUACAUUUCCGGUUGCAAAUUUUGGUUCGCCGGUGUAGUGCACAUGGGAGGGGAUUGUCUAGCAUUGUUCCAAGCAGUUAGAGGCGGUCGGUUGCGAUGAUGUGUUUUCUACGGCGAGAACAUACAGGAGUCAUCAGUUAUUCUCGCAACCGUCUUCCAUAAUGAAGGACGAGAGAGAAAAAAACGAAUGUAGAAAGAAAACAUACAAGUUGGUUGACAAAAGGGGAAGAAAAAUUGAGAGAUACAGAGAAUAAGAAAAGAAGAAAAUCGAUGCAAAUUUUAAUACAUAUGUAGUAGAUCCAGGUAUCCAAAGGAUUCGGGGCUAAUGUACCUGCAUUGGUGAAAAAACAAAGAUGAGAUUUUUGGAAACGCAUCACAUGGUAGUUAAAACAUCCGGCCGUAAAUGAAGGGUUUGAGAUACGGCCAUAAUGGCAUCCCUCAGGUGUGAGUUUCUCCAUCGGAUCACUUAUUGUAAGAAUAUCAGUAGUGAAAGUUAAAUACCCAUGUCAGGAAAGGAAGUCGAUGAUGACAGAAGAGAGAUUUGGCUUGAAAAAUGUAUGAUGUUUGCAACAUGCGUCACCGGAGUAUGAACUUGAAGCUCUCCCUCUCUCCGUCGUUAAAUGUUUCGUAAGCAGCAUUGUUAAAGUUCUCUAUGUCAGGGGGGAAUCUGAAGAUGGUUUUGAAUGAAGAAGAAUGGAAAAUAUAAUUUAGAAAAUGAGAAAGAAAAUUAUAAUUGAAACUUAAAAAAUGAGAAAUAUAAAAAGAGAUUUACUAUUUUCUAGGAGGUCUUGGAGUUGGCCGUGACUGUAUGAGAGGAUAAGCUAAGUUCCAAUGGAAAGUGGAAAUUUUCAGAGCGAGAGGGUAGCGGUUUUUUCGCUUGCUCUCUUGGACUUUGGGCUUUUGGAUUGGAUUGGGCCAAUUACUUACUUAGGCCCCAUCCCAACUUAUGACCUUUUGUCGGUCUGUAUUGACUCAUGAGUCAGACUUGUAAGGCUGUCUUUAAUAAGUUGCCGCGUUUUGUCAAAACUGGUCCAUCUAAUUACAAAAUUGUAACCAUAUUAGUUGAGUGCAUAUUCUAAAUCACAUUUAGUGAAUAUUCAGUACGGGUGACACGUGGUCAAACUUGUAAGGUUGUUCAAUAAGAAGUUAUCACGUUCUCAAGAGUGGAGCUAGAGGGGAGCAUUUCCCUACCAAAGUGUUUUCCUUGUCCCCUUUACAAGGGAUUUAUGUCACCAUUAGACAGGAGAUUUGAACACAAAACCUUGAAUUGAGAGGUAAACGCUAUUACAAAGCUUCUACGAGCACCUUCUUGUUUACCAAACUUAUUGAGACUAAAUGAGGCCUUAACGCUUAUAUCUUAGGUCUUAUGAGUGCUCGUAAUACACUAAAAUGACACUUGUUUUCUGGCCAGGACAGAAACAAAAUCAUGCAGGAAAUUGUCAUGAAAACUUAAGUGUAAAAUGUGACCGGAAGAACACUAAACAGGAUAGCUAUGCUCUCUUAGUGUAAACCUUAACAAGAAAGACCAUACCGUAUCUGUCACAGUGAUAUGCGACCAUAAGCCCAACUCCAAGGAUCACCUUUCCAAGAGCUUUGAAGGCUACAAAUCAAAAGUUACAUGCAGUGAUGACAUACUCAUGAAAAAAUACAAUCAUAAAUUGAAGGAAAACAUACCGACUUCUAGUUCUGGCAAUUCACUAUCGGGCCAUAUAUUUGAACCACAGUAUGAGGGAUACCUACAAUACAGAUCACAAAUAAAAUCUGAGCAGACACAAAGUAUUAUGUUCUGUUUACGCAAAAUCUGUCAGUUCUCAGAUAGGAUAAAUAAAGAUAAACAUAUCCGAGCAUAAAGACGAUUUGUCCUGGCUAAUUCUGAAAAACCUUGUAUCAAAUGUAUGAUAGUUAUUCAUAACUAGCACAAACAACAGUUUGGCCAAACAUUACUGGUCGAGCCAUAUACUGUGUGACCUCAGACAAAACAGAUCCCACAUGUACUCAGAUUAUGAUUGAUGUCCGUAUAGACUUUUACCUUUGAAUUAGAGAUUCAUCUGUUGUAGGGGUAUCCAAUAUUGGAUUUGCAUAAAACGAGCCUUUUAACGUAUCUGCAAAACCAGAACACAAACGGACAAUGAUUGAUCCUAAGUUCUUAGAGUUUCCAAAGAAACAAAAUUUAAAACAAAGAACAUAAAGUGAUAUCAGGCUUUCCAGAUUUCUUUUCCAUGACUCCAUCCAAAAUUUAUGAGUUAUGAAUGGAAUAAUGGAGCAAAAUAUCGUCGCCAAAACAGCGCAAUCUACAAUGUACAUGAUGGAGAAAGUACAGCAACAUUACAUUAAGUUCAUGUAACCUUUGGUUUCACAUGUAAGCCUUUGGUUUAUAUUUUUAACCGAUUCGUUAAUAAAUUCUUCCUGCACAUAUAGUUUCAACCCGAAACCGAAAAUUCCAUUGUCAAACAAAUAUGUAUAAUACCAGAAUUAAGUAAAUUACAACAUAUCACCAUACCGAUACUGAUGUGAUUCAGAAUUAAGCAUUUUUAACUUAUCAUAACUGGUAAUGGAAGAGAGAAUCAGUAAUUAACACUGGUGAUUCAGAAUUAAGCAUUUUUAACUUAUCAAAACGCGUAACGGAAUCAUACACGAGUGAUUGAUAGAAUUCCCAACCCAUUUGGUCCAAAUCCUUCUUCAAUCUUCACUGACAAGUCUUUGUCCUUGUCCUGUAUCAAUCAAUCCAAAAUCAAAAAACGCAAAACUAGAAAAAUUGAAUCCUCGACAUGAUCGACGAGUUAAAACAAAACUAUGAAUAAAACAAUUAUAUUCUGUUUGGUUGCUGAGAAAAUGAAGAGAAUAACAACCAAAAAGUCAACUGAAAUAAAAUUUUGCUCAACUUUCAACGAAUUCUCUUGAGUUUCUGACCACCCAAACAGAAAAUAAAUUAAAGCCAAUUAAACCAAACUCUCAUGCUCAAUUUUCUCGGCAACCACAAACAGAACUUAGAGGGGGGAGGAGAGAGUUACUUGGAGCUCGGAGUAGGAUAUGGUGACCGGUGUGACGGUGGGGACGGCGGGGUCGGAGGACGGAGGCAUAGUUCGACAAGAAAUUUGGCGGGAAACACGGCGGUUGGACUUUGACGGUGGGGAAGAAUCCGUGGGACAGAAGAGGAAUUUUGGUGCGGAAGGAGGCAUUUUAUAUAGGAGGGAGGGAGAGAGGUUGAGAGCGAAAGGCGUGAUUGUCAAUUUCUUUUUUUUUUUUAAGGAAUAAAGAAAGAAAAGAGGUUGAGCAUCAAUUGCUUUUCCCUCCAAACCAAAGAAUAUAGAGAGUUUUAACGAAAAGUCCACGAUACUAUUUACUUUAAUGAAAAAUUAUAUUUUUACACUAAAAAAUCAAACCUGCUAUUAUUCACUUUAACCUUUAUUUUGUCUUUAUCGUUGAAACUCAAAGUUUUCAAAUCAUUUUCAUUAGUUUUCCUAAGAAUAUAUUCACGAUCACGAUGUGCGGCAAAAAUUGGUGGUGAGGACAAAUAUAUUAAAUACAUGUAAGUAUUAGUUAAAUUUAAAAUUAUUUGUGUACUAUUAAGGAUUUGUUUGAAAGUGUUUUUAAAAUGAUUGAAAGUAAUUUUGGUUAAAAUGUUUUUUAUAUCAACUUUUAGUAAAACCAAGUGGAUCCCAAAAAAACAUUUGGUGUACUUUUUUACAAAAAAUGCAAUUUUAGAAUCCAAAAUUAAUUUAAUAAAAGUGGGUUUAGUCUUUUUUUAUUAUUUUUUAUUUUAACAAAGGAUAUAAUCUAUCUUGAAGGUGAGAGGGUAGACUUAACCUCACAAUGAGCUAGCACAUUAAUAAUGUGAUUCAAAUUCGCCUUUGCGAAAAUUGAAUUUAAGACCUCUCACUUACAAGUGAGGAGGAAUGCCUUAAAUCGUAGUACUAAGUAAUGUGUUUAAUCAUUUUUAAAAGACUUUAAAACGAGCCCUAAUUUGUAUCAAAUUAAAAAAUGUUGAAUUGGCCGGAUGUAAUAUGUAUUGGGUAUUUCCUCAUUCAAUAAUAUUUACGUUGUUUUCGGCAAAAAAAGAAAGAAUUCAAUUGGAAAAAAUAAAAAAAUGGGAAAUAAGGAUAUUCUAAUUAAGGUUUUUAUUCAUUGUUUUAGGUGGAUGGUUCAUAUGAAGAUUAUGAAACACUUUAAUUCUCUAAUGUGAGGUUCCGCCUCGAUCCAAAGUUAAACAGUGAAAAAUAUAAUUAAGAUUGUUAUUAAUUAUCAAUUCAUGUAUAUUUCCCCAUGUAUUACGUUUACUAAGUUAGACAAUGAAAAAUACAUAUAAGGCGUUACGAGAAUAUGCGUGGCUGUCAAGUCUGACACGCAAAUAGCAUGCUCAACUUGUAUUACUCCCUAAGGAUUUUAUCCAAAAUUGACGAUGAGUGAACAAGUUGAAAGAUUAUGCACUACUUUAAUUAUGUAACAAGUGAAGAGUCAAUAUUCGCCAACCCGACAAGUUCCACUUUUUGUUCAUUUUCUUGACGAAACAAUCACAUUUACCCUUACGAUUCCGGGCAUAGAGUAUGUGUUGGGUUCCGUUACAGUUCCAACACUACUUAGCACCGUAGAGAAGGAAAUAAAAAGACAACUUUGGAUUUCUUACAACGUAUUGAGUCUCUCUUCAUGGCUCUUGCUGUGUUGUUCUUAUCUCACGUCCUGUUUCUCGAGCUUGGUGUUUCCGGUUGCAAAUUUUGGUUCGCCGGUGUAGUGCUCAGGGGAGGGGACUGUGUCACAUUGUUCCAAGCAGACAGAGGCGGUUGACAACGAUUGCGAUAAUGUGUUUUUCUACGGGGAGAACAUACAGCAGUCAGCAGUUACCUUUUCACAACCGUCUUCAGUAUUUGGAGGCACCUCAAGAAAUUGUCGAGGACAGAAUGUAGAAAAGAACAAAUAUCGAAGUUGAUUGACAAAAGGGGACGAAAAAUUGAGAGAUACAAAAAAGAGGAAGAUAAGAAGAAAUUCGAUGCAAAUUUUAAGCUUGAUUAGUUAUUUUUCAUUAAUGAGCGAUACAGAGAAGAAGAAACAGCUGCAUUUGGAGAUAGCCGCUUUAGUUGCCUAGUUUGUAACAUUAGCUUUAUGUAAAUCCGGGGAAGAAACAGGAGUAAAAAAAACACAAUCAGGCAGUACCAAAGAAGAAAAAUGUACAGUUAGGAACAAUCACCACUUCUCAAACUUUGUAGUAGAUCCAGGUAUCCGAAGGACUCGGGGCUAAUGUACCUGCAUUAACCAGAAACAAAUAUCAGAUUUGUGGAAGGGAGUCGCAUAGUAGUUAAAAUACUUGGCCGUGCGUGAAUGGUUUGAGAUACCACCAUAGAGGCAUCCUCCAGGUGUGAGUUUCUCUCGUAUCCGAUAACUUAUUGUAAGAAUAUUAGCAGUGAAAAAGAAAUACCUGUGUCGGGAAAGGAAGUCAAUGACAAAAAAGCAAUUUGGCUUGAAACAUUGUGUCCCCGUAUGGAGCUUGCAACAUGCAUCACGGAAUCAACUUGAAGCUCUCCACCUCUCCAUCUGUUAUGUUUCAUAAGCAGCAUUGUUAAAGUUCCAUCUGUUUGUGGGGAUAUACCUACAGAUCCUCCUCCUGGAUUCUUUGCCUCUAUACGUGAAAACCCAACAUCUGGGAACAAACAAAUUACAUUCUCUGGCAUAGCAAGAACAGUCCUCUGAAAUGUAUCCAUACAAAGUUAGGACACAACAAAUUCAAUAAGGCAAUGUAAUUCACAACAUUGACAAUCUCUGUCUGACAAGGCAAUAAUACCUCUGUAAUGAUCCGGUAGCGACCGUGACCUGAUAGGCCAAUACCAAAGCCCACUGUUAUGCCAUCCAUGAAGCUUAUAUGGGCUUCUUGAACUCAGAGAGUUUGCAUAUUAGAGAAUACUCAGCAGUGAAUACCUGAAAAACGUGCAGCACAAAUAUCAUAUCGGCAGCCUCUCAAAUCUUAAGAAAACUACAAAUGGUAUCUUAGAAUAGAAAUGAAUCCUCUCCAACCAAUACAAAUCAUAUUACCCAAGUUCAAGCAAAAUCAAGAUUAAACAAAUGAUCAGAUUUGUAGGUUGCCCGAGAAUGUCAAACAUGAUAUUACAAAAGAAAAAAAAAUAUUGUAUGUAUUGAUAUUAAUAAAUACAUGCUGAAAGCACAAUCUUAGCCGCAAUUUUCGCCCAUGAGCGGUAGGUCUCGGGUUCGAGACUUGGGAGCAGCCUCUCCAUAAAUUGGGGUAAGGCUAGCCGACAUUCACCUCUCCCAGACCCUGCGUAAAGCGGGAGCCUUGUGCACUGGGUACGACCUUUUUUUUUAUACGAGAUUGAAUAGCCAAAGCAAUUAAAGAAGUAGCAGAACUCAUAUAAGUGACUUUCACAUUGAACUUUUAGGCUUAUCAACAAAUACAUCAUUAUGAUUCUAAUACAUGAAUUUUGUUAAAAGGGCUUGCUUGCUUGUAUUAAGGCUUAAUCAUCAAUGAUUUUGCAAGGGUCAAUCGUAUUGCUAGUUAUAAAUAUAUUCACUAUGAAAAUUACCAAAAUUACAUCUAAUAUGGUAGUGAAGGAAGUCAUCUUAUAUUAUCUUGAUUUUAGAAAACUGUGUAAGGUUAUAAGUCUGCUAUUAUAUAUAGUUAAAAGGACACAAUUAGACCUCAAUCAUAUUCGGUGGUUGGUUUUUGGUCGUGAUCUGCUUCACAUCACCGCCUGCAGGUAAUCUAAAUCUGGGUUAUUACUUAUCAACAUAGUUGCCAGAUACGGAUACAGUUCGAGUUCCUGAUUCGGUUCGGGUACGGAAUUCGAUGGUAACCUAAAGUAUCAUUCGUUAGAGAGUAUACAUAGACAGCACGAUAUUUAGUUCGAUCCGUUCUUAAUUCGUUAAAAAUAUAAAUUAAAAAUAUUUAUAAUAUACAUUUUACAAUAAUAUUUAUAGUUAUUGUAAACAACUAUUUUUGUUUAAAUUGAUUAUUUUAUAAGCAACUAGUUAUUUACCCAGAUGGGUCCCCCCCCCCCACUAACACAAUAAAAAAAUGUAAAAAUUACAAUUAAACUAAACAUUUUCUCUUCGUCUGCCCUCUACCUGAUGGAGAGCUUCCCAAAAUUCCAGUUGUUUCCAUCCUCUCUUCUCAAAAAAUUAAAGGUGUUUUUUCUUUUCUGUAUUCUGAUUAAAAAUUAUUAAAGAUUAUUGGAUGAAUCACCGAACUGACCACCGAAUCCAAAAAGUACUGGUGCGUACGUACCGAUACGGGAUUCGGACACCAUUUCACCGAAUCCGGCAACUAUGCUUAUCAAUGAAUCAACGUGCCAACUUAAUGGACACCAUCUAUCUCUAUAUGGCAAAAAAACAACACAAAAAUGAACAAUGAAGUGAAACAAUAAACAACAUGACGUGAAACAGCAUGAACAUCAAAGACUAACUUUGGUUCAAAGCAAAGCGUAAUGUAGAAACCUUCGGCAGAACAGGGGUGUUUUUGUCCUUUUGAAACAACCACUUUAAUAUCCUUUCCUGCAUUUACCAUGAUUGGUCACUCUUAAAACCUUACCUAAGAGACCCAAAAACAAAAAUAACCGCCGAAAGAGCUAAACAUACAUAUCUAGAAAAACUUAUUUAACUGCAUGCUAAAAUGGAAGUGUAAAAUUGCCAGGAAAGAUAAGAAACUAUUCAAAUACGAGUUCUGGGCGUUACCGCCACAAAAGGCACGACCCGAGCGGCUAUCAACAAGAACACACUUCACAUUUGUGUCAGCUUCCCCUUCAUCUAGAUAGCUCUUGUAUUUCACAUCCAUAUCUGCAUUUUCCAACAAUUCCCACUUAAACUGAAACACAUAAUUCUUUGGAAAAAAGCUAACUUCUUCGAAAUUUGAAUCCAACGUUUCGUCUUAUAACAAAUGCAAUACCAUAGAUUUGUAAUCAAUACGAUGCCAUAAAGUUCAAGCUCAAAAAUUCAAAUCAGCUCCAAAUCAAAAGCAUUUACAGAUACAUACAUAUAUACAUGUGCGUGUGUGUGUGUUUAUCUACAUACCUAGGUUCAUGGCGUUGAGAGCUCGGGGGGCGACCGAGGGUGAUGACGGCGACGCCAAUUGGGUGGAUGCUGCUCUUGACGAACGCGUCGGCGGCGGCCAUGAUCCCGAAGGGGCGGAGGAGGCGAGGGGAUUUGGAGGGUUUGUAAAGAGGGAGGUUCGAAUUUGGAUUGAGGAAGAAGAAAGCGGACGACGAUUUGCUCAGAAUUUGGGUCGCUCCUCCCAAUAAGCUUCCCAUUACUUCCGUUCGAGAGUGACUCUGUCAGUGUAGAGAGAGAUAUAAUUUUUGUGCUUCUAGACCGGACUACCCUUGAUAUUUCGAUUAAAUUACCGGGAAAAAAGAACUGCCGCGGUGGCUCCAGAGGGAAACUUGAAAUUUGAAAGAAAUUUGAAAGAAAUAUGAAAUAUGGACUUGCCUUCAUUUAUCGAACUGAUUGUGAUGAUGACGAUGCAUCACCACCUUGAUUGUGCCUCUGGAUCAAAAACACAUCUUCAGGAUCAAAACCGUGCAUAUUUUCCUUCAGAGGUUUGUCCCAUACUAGAUUAACCCCUGUUCCCUUAAUUGUCACAUAAUGAAUUUUUUUGAAUGCCUCUGGCAUUUCAAAAGUUACAUCAACUUUAUCCCCGCUUUGCAAAUUGAGCUUAUCGUUCGAUAUUUGUCCUUGCCAAAGAAAACAUUCUUUAAAUACAAUAUCGCGCAUUUUUAUAACCCAAUCUUCCUUGCUUAUGCAGGUGUGCAACUCGAUACGCUUGGUAUUAUUUAUAUCAAUACUGGCACGAUGAUGACCAUUCCAUCUGAUACAAGUUCUUGGCUGAUAAGGAUUGAAGCAGUAAAGGCAUAACAGAGUCAGCCCUUCAAACUUACGACCAUCACUCAGGGGGAUAUCAAAACUGACUUUAUUACCAUCGUUGACAAACUCGAACCAAUCAGGAACAUAAUUCCCAUUGAGAAAAAUGCCACCAUAUCCGCAAGAAGUCCAUCCCUAUAUACACAGUGCAAGUGUCAUAUAUAUAUACAUGUACAUGUGCGUUGUGUGUGUGCAUGUGCCCAAUAGGAAGACAAUUAAAAAGAGAGAUACCUUUAGGAUGUUCCUCCUUAAAUCAAUCCUGAGUUUGGUGCAGUUACUCAUAUCAAUCCAUGUCAUGGAGUUUAAUGACUUAUCCAAGUCUGGAACCUCAGUGAGUGCGUGUGAAUCACUUACAUCCAGUUCUCUCAUAUUCGACAUUUUCGAAAAAUUGGGCAUUGUUACCAAACAAUAGCAACUAGAUGCACCCAGAAAUUUCAAAUUUGUUGGUAAAUCAUAGAUUGUAUGAAGGUAACGGCAGUUACUUAACUGCAAACUUUCAAGAUUUGAAAGAUCACUGAGGAUGGGUAGGGUAUGAAAAUAAUUACCCGAAAGAUUCAAACCUUGUAAAGAAAUUAGACUCCCAAAACCUUUUGGGAAUGCAUCAUCGCUUAAUCUGCACCAUGAGAUCUAAAUUUCUUAAAGAAUCUAAGCCGUGUAACGAAUCGGGAAAUUGCAAAGGAAACUUCGAUUGCACACGCUCUAGAGAUAAAUAAGUGAGAUUUUUCAAUCUUACUGUGGAACGCGGUACUUGUCUUAUGGCUGUGGUAGAUGCUCUAAGUUCUCUCAAUGAUGUCAUCUUCCCUAAAUCCUCGGGCAGUUCACUGAAUUGACAACAUAGAUAAAGAUCAAGAAUCUGAACGGAUUUGGACUCGUAGAAAUCCCCAGGAAGAGAAUUAAGAUUCUUGCAGGCUAUGAAGUUCACAAAAGAGAGUUUUUUAAGAUGACCAAUGGAGGGGUGAAUCUCGGACAAUCUCUCACACCUUUCCAAUAUCAAAUCUUCAAGAUUUGGGAGAUUUGAUAAGUCUGGUGAUUUUUUUAAGUCCUGGCAAUAACUGAGAUUAAGGAUUUUCAAGUUUCCAAGCGACUGUUGCAAAAUCAAAGGAAUAUUAAAAUUAAUAUCCAAAAGGAAUAUCUCAUAUAAAAAAGAGAAGUAAAUAAAAAAAACAAAUAGAAACAUAACAUCAUGAUGUGUAAUCGAUUGUACCUUGGAGCCCUCCCAAACUUGUACCAGUUUGCUAUUCGUUAUCUCUAAAAUAACUAGUCUUGGUUGAUCAAAGAAGUCAUCUGGUAUAGACUUUAAGGGGCAUCCUUCCCAAAGCAACCAUAUUAACUCUUUGGGGAGAUGUUUGUAUUCUCCAUUGAGCUGCACGUUGUAGAGCCUGAGCAGUCUCAGUUUCUUCAUGAUGGCAAAUGCUUCUGUACUGAAACUAGGCAUGUUAGAGCUUGGAGGCAAAGAAGGGAAAUAUGGUGCUAGCCAUUCAGGGAAAGGAGGGAAAUAUAGUGCUAGUCCUUCAACUUCUUCAGUUCCCUGUUAACAAAAGGUUAUAUUAAUGUGUAAGAAACGGAUUAUUUGCAUACGUUUACAUGUAUGAGUACAUGCAAGUACUAUCGUUGGCUAAUUGAGAUGAAUGUUACUUAUUGUAUAAUUCACACCCGUGAGUUAUAUGUGCUUUUCGUGUACAAUGCAUUAAUUCAGAAUUUUAUUGGGAAUGUACUUACAGAUUUAUCUCUCAAUACAUUAGUGACAUCUUGAUGGUUCCACAACCUACUCCAUUCUCUAGGGGGACGACGGUAAUUACCAGAAAUGAUUACUUUGGCCAUUUCUCGAAGCAAAUCAUGCAUAUUCAACUUGUUGUCUUCAACAGUUAUAAGGCAUCGUUCACGGAGGUCAUUGAUUCCUAUUGUUGCAAAAAAGUUACAUCCAUCUAAUAUUUUUGCGACAUAAUCCUUUUUCCAUCCAAUAAAGAAACAAGAUAUGUCAAGGAAUAUAUCCCUCUGGGUAGGAUCUAGCCUUUCAAAGCUUACUCUUAGCGGUUUCAUUAUUCCUUCAUUAGGAAUUUUUUUCAAUUUCUCCAACUGGCUUUUCCACUCUGUUGGGGAUCUUUCAACCAUAGAAGAACCUAAAACUUCAAGGGCUAGUGGCAAACCACCACAGUAAGAAACAACCUCUUUUGAGAGUUCAAGAUAUCCUUCAUUAGGCCUACUAUUUCCAAAGGCAUGCCAACUAAAGAGCUUCAGAGCUUCUUCUUCAUUCAUUUCCUUAAGUGGAUAUGUCUUGUCCACUUUCAUGUUCACUUGCUUUAGUAAACGUUCAUCUCGUGUCGUUAUGAUAAUUCUACUUCCUGGGCCAAACCAAUCACGAUUUCCAGCUAUUGCAUUUAGUUGUUCCACUUUGUCUACAUUGUCAAUAAUGACAAGUACGCUUCUACGUUGGAGAUGAUUUUUUAUCAGACUGAUACCUUCAUCAACACUGGUUAUCUUAGACUUGUUCCGUUUCAAGAUGUCAGAAACAAGUUUGCCUUGCAAAUCAGCCAGAUCAUAUUCACUAACGUUGGCAAGGAAGCUUUUGAAUUGGAACUUAUGAUGAAUUUGGUUAUAAAUGGCUUUGGCAGCUGUUGUUUUACCCAAUCCGCCCAUCCCCCAAAUUCCAACCAUGCGAACUUCUGAUCCACCACUUGAAAGAUAACUGAUAAUAUCUUGAACGCGAGAAUUGAUUCCAACCGGGUGCUUGGCCACAUGUAAUUUGUUUGUGCUUAGAAGCCAUUCCGGAAUAAUCUUAUCAACAAUUUCUCUAAUCAGCUGUGCUUCGCACCUGAAAAUUGAAUUGGUAAGCUUAGUAGGCUUAGUAGGAGCCAUUAGAACAUAAACAAUUUUCCUUCUUUCCUUCGUGUGUGUGUGUAUACACACACACACACACACAAUAACUAGCUACUAGCUAAUAUGUGAUUUUGUGACCAACUUGAAUAGAAGAAACAAUUUCAUGCAUUGAUUUAUUAAAGUUUGGUGUAUCAAUUAAACUCCAAUUAUGGUUUAGAUUUUAAAGGAAAUUGGAGAAAUGGUCCCUGAACUAUGAUCAAAUUGUGGCUUUGGUUCUUAAAACUUUAAAUUAUUAAAGUUAACUCUCUCCCACCUCCCUCCCACCUCACCUCCUCCAAACCCCAGCCACACCAUUGUAGCACUUUCCCAACAGCCAAAACAAAAGAAAGUUUCUAAUCCAAAUUUGGAACACAUCUCCCCUUGCAAACAAAUUCACAAUGACAUCCAUCCACGCUAUCUCGAAAGGUAAAAUUCAAGAAAUUUGUGGGAUGCGGGAUCGGGGUUAAAGUGAAGGCUGUGGUCCAUGGGCUAUAGGUUGGGGCCGGCUGGGGAGUGGGGAUUAGGGAUUGGGGGUUGGAAGUGGGACGUUGACGAGGUGUGAAUCAACGAUUGAAGGUGAAGGGGUGGGCUGCGAGCCUGCGAAUGUUGGUGGGACGAGGUAGGCCUGCAAUUAUAUAUAUAUAUAUAUAUAUAUAUAGGUGAAACUAACAUGUAAAGUUGUAAACACUUUCAACUAAAACUUAAAGAUAUUGGUUACGAAGGACUAACGCUCCAUAUUAUCAAGUUCAAGGACAAAAUAUAAUGAAUUUUUAGUUUAGGAACCAAACUACAAUUUUCCUGUAGAUUUUAAAUGAGAGAUUAAGGUGUAUUAAUUAAGCAUGUUAAUUAGAGUAAUACAACUUAAAUAUUGAAAUGUAGGAGAAUGAUUACCUAUUAUCAGUGAUUUGAAGAUGGUGGCCAGACAAAUUUGCAGCUUUUGUAAGAGCCUCUCCCCACUGCUUUACCCCUUGUUUAGCUUCACGUUUCUUGUCAUCCUUUUCUUCACCGAUGCCUUCUUUGUGCUUCUGAAAUUCUUCGGCCAACUUUGCAGCUGUUGUAAGAGCCUUUCUCCACUGCUUUACCCUUUCUCGUUUAUCUUCACGUUCCUUGUCAUCUUUUUCUUCACGGAUGUCUUGUUUGUGCUUCUUAAACGCUUGGGCUAAAACUCCGUUCUGCUUCCUGACAUGUGAAGGAUCAACAUGAUAGAAUAUUGGCAAAACAUGUCGCCCCAGUUUGUCUCUGCACUCCAUGAUCUUCACCAGCUCGUUAAGACACCAACUCGAAUCCGCAUACCUCUCUGAGAAGACAAUGAUAGAGAUCUUCGAUUCUUCGAUUGCCUGGAACAGUUCUUUUUGUAUUUCUUCCCCUCUUUCUAGAUCAUCCUCAUCGAUAUAAGCCUGGUAUCCCUUGUCUGUUAAUGCCGCAUGGAGGUGGCCCGUGAAACCAUUGCGUGUGUCUACACCGCUGAAGCUCAAGAACACGUCGUAAUUCCAAAGUUUUGACUUGGAGGAGAAUGAAGAGGAGGCUUCGUGGGUUGUCAUGGUGGUAUCCACCGUUAUGGCACUGUAGUUGUUCAGAUCACGACUAAAAAAUGGCAGUAGUUGUGUUCAUACUGUCGAACGGAUGAUCCUGAAAUACCUAAACCCAAGUCAAGCUCCUUCAGUCAACAAGAACAAAUAUUAUAUAUAAUAAUGUUGGCCGGAAGGUGCAGAGAAAGGGAGAGGAAAAGAGAUAAGAAAGGAACGAAAGGAAUGAAAGGACAAAGACUAUCCAAAAGAUUCUUGGCUGUGAUUACAGCUAUUCAUAGGAGAAACAACGGACAUAUUUUUAUAGGAGAAACAACCUGCCCAUCUUCAUAUAUAAUGCAUUUCAAUAGGAGAAACAACUUUAGUUUGUACUAGAAUUUUUUACCCGCGCGUUGCUGUGGGAUUUGAAAUUGUAUGAAAGAUUAUCUUUGAAAUAUAUAAUAGAUUGUGUGAUCGAAGAUUAAUACUAUUUACAUUGCAAAUGUUGAAAAAAGUUUUACAUACAAAAGAUUUUACGAUACAAUCCACAUACAAAAGAUGGUAAAUUUUUUUCUAUCUACAACAUGCAUUAUGUUAUGGAAUGAUAUAUAUAACUAAGUGCCAGAAUACAUAACUUCAUAACUUAUAUUUUUUUUGACAAAUUAAUCACAUUCAACUGUGGGAUAGCAAGGUUGCCUAUAAAAUUGUGAAGUCAUGGAAGCAUAAAGGACAAAUAACAAAUGAGUUUUGAGAAAUUAUUCCACAAAUGUCAUUCUGCAAAAUGUAUUAAAGACGAUUGGUAUAAGAUUAGUAAUCAUGAGUAGUGUAACAACAUCAACAAAGUAACUAUAAACCAUAGUUGAACAUAAUCCAAAUAUCGUUUGCAAAAACAAAAGAAAAAGAAAACAGACUUACAAUAAUUCAGCCUUCAAUCCUGAAGUCCUACUCAAAGAGCCAAACUUGAAUGCAAGCUUUCUGAAAUCUUCCAAACAAUACAGAUAAAAAGGUAACACCCUAGUCAGAAAUGAACCGAGCUGCUAGCUUUCAAAGAAACCCAGAUGACAAAAUAAAAAAAUAGAAUGGAAAAAUGACUUGCACAUUUAAGGCUUGCUCGAAUCUUGAUCUAAAAUUGGUGGCGGGUUGAUUGUUGGUCACCAACUCUAAAUAAAGAAUUCAUCAGAACCUAGAAAUUUAAACAAAGAAUUUUCCAAAAUCAACAUUUACUAAAAACCAGUUACUUGGUUAUCAUGCAUGAUGGCUUGCCAAAGACUGAAUUAAGGAAUGCACAACUUUACUUUUAUGAUUAUUUUCAAUGACAGCUAAAAGGUCAGAUCCAAAUGACAGUUAAAUUCCUUUUCUACAAAGUUCGAAAUUAUAUGGCAGUUUGGCAUCUGUUGAAUAACAUGGUUGAAAGAUUUAAAAUUGAUACAUUCAAUUUUUAUGUGUAAAACUAUAACAUAUACCUAAAGCUAUUUGGUCUAUAUAUCCAUAUCAAUCAUGUUGUAAUUAAAUGUUUAUCGAUGUAAAUAGAUGAUUUCAGUCAUGUGAUAACAUGUUUCUUGAUGGUAUACGCUGAAGUUUGGUCUAAGUUGGAUAAAAAUCGACCAAAAUCUUAGUAAGAGACUCUUUUAACUUUUAACCAAAAAAUGAGCACCACAAUACUACACUUAUAAGUUUUUAUCAUGCACAAAAUAUACAGCACUGAUAGCCACUUUUAGAGCAAGAACAAUACUUUACCAGACGAAAACAACAAAACACUCAAAACCCAGAAACAAAAACACACUUAGGACUCAAACUCCUCAAAAACAUGAGAAAGAGAGUGCGUGAGGAGAGAGAAUAAAAAAAAAUAUUAUUUUUCACAAACUCAAAAUUGUUUAUAAAAUUACAAAUCAAAACAAAUGAAAAUCCAAAAUUGCCCUAAAUUAAAUCUGUUUAGUUAAAUGUUUAUUGCCCUUCAAAUGUUAUUACACCUGACAAUUGCUUUGAAGUUGAUAUUUUGGUCAAUCCAGGGGAAAAGGAGUUAUUGCUUUUGGAGCAGUUGUCAUGGAGAAUCCCAUCUCCAUGUUAAAUAAAAAAAGGUCGUACCCAGUGCACAAGGCUCCCGCUUUACGCAGGGUCUGGGAGAGGUGAAUGUCGGCUAGCCUUACCCCAUUUUAUGGAGAGGCUGCUCCCAACUCUCGAACCCGAGACCUACCGCUUAUGGGCGAAGACACUUGCCAUCGCACCAAGUGGCCACAAUAAUUUAGGAGGCCCUUCUCUCCAGAUUUUCUCAAUAACUUUCCUUUUCGUAGCUGGUAAGAUUGCAACUCCAAGAAUUGCUCUGAAGAGAUAUAUACAAACAAAAUCAAACUAAAACUAAGCUAUUGGAAGAAAUUUACAAAACAAAAACACAAUUUCAACUCAGAGUUAAAGUCAACAGAAACCAAAUGGUACAAGUUGACAAAAUAUAUGGUCAUGAAUCGAGAACUUCAUCAAACUAACAGCAAUAAAAUCUCCUAUAAUCUGUCUAAAACCAAAAAAGAGAGAGGUAAUUUCAAGACCUUGUAACGCUGAGGCCUCGUACAGUUGUAGUAAUAAUAUAUGGUUGAUGCACCUGUUGCUCAAUCAAAUCCUUUGUCUGGCUAAAAAAAUAAAAAUCUAUAAAUACAUUCACGUCCAAUUUAUGAGAAAUCAUGGGAAAGCAAAUGCACUGAUAACGGAAUCAUGAAUAUGAAGAACUUGCCAAAAAGAAAAAGAAAACUUCUUGUAGUGUGCCAAGAACAUCCUCCUACUCCUAGCAAAUUUUUUAUGGCAUUAUCCACUUCUCAAUUCAUAAUUCAACCAGUAACUCAAAGUCUAUAGUGUAUGAAAAAGUGAUAUCUUAGUUGAUCUCGAUGAUAAUUAAGUAGAUUAAAUGACGACCCAUAAAGCAUACAAAUUCAGAAAAGAAAAGGUUGAAAACUGCCAUAAGAAAACGCAGAAUAUAUAAAUGGGAAAUCAAAAGAAGAGAAGCGAAAAAGGAAGAAAAAACCAAACAAAAUUAUUAGGUUUGGGAUAUACCUUUAUCCGAAAGGCCACAACCAUCAAAGUCAAACAUAAACAAUCCAAAAAUUUGUGGAAAAUAACAAUAAAUGCUUAACUAAAAAUGAAAGAAAACGUAGAAUAAGUUUACCUGUUCUCCCCCUAAUUAAACUGGAAUACAAUUCACCACUAAUAUUCUUGUCAUCCUCUUCAGCCUGAAAAAUUUAGUAGAAAUAUUCAAUGAAGACGCUUAAUGGAGACAGUAAUAUUAGCAAUGGAGGAAUUGAAUUGAUAACUAAAACUGCAAGACCAAAUGACUACAAUAGGUUCAAAACAGAAACUCGUCUGUUAGAUGUCUCAUCUUUAGGCAGUGCCUUGUUCUUUGUUGCAUGUCUUGUGAAGUUCAUGUAAAUCAACAAAAUUGAUACUUUGGACACACCAACAAUGGAGAGGUAAAAAGUGAAAAACAGAAGGAAUGUCUUCAGAUUUGUAAUGGAUUUUGCAAGUCAGAAAUUCUGUUCGAGAAUUUGCAACCCAGAAAGUCCACCAGCAAUUAUUAACAAUCACAGAUAAGCACCGAAUGAAGGCCAAUCUAAUACAACAACAACAACAACAACAACAAAGCCUUUUCCCACUAAGUGCGGUCGGCUUGAAGGCCAAUCUAAUACGCCAAAAUAUUCAGGGCACUAAAGAACUUAUUGCCCAGUAUCAACGAUAGAUAAGCACAUGUGAAACUAAAGAAAUUUUUCAUUACUAUCAACUCCAAAAAAGAUAACCUAUGCAAUCCAAAAAAUGUUGAUACAGAGUUGGAGUAUCGAUGCUUGAAAUUGGUAUUUGAACCACCAACUACCUCCGUGAAUAUGUUUGUUUGCUUAAUGGUUUGGGUUGAAGUUGCGAAAGGAAAUAUAAUUUCUUAAAAGGAGAGAAUGCAGAGACAAUACAGAAUGGUUCACGUGGCCACCUCAAAACAGAUUGACAAUUAAGCUUCAUUAUGAAUGGAAAGAUUAAUAGAUGAUAAUUAAGAAGGCCUGAUACCCAAGCCGAAAUCAGAGAUAUCCUUUGUAAACAAAGAGAUUGAGCAUUUCCACUAAAAAAUAACCUUUUUUGUGAGGGGUGGGAUUGGGUGGAAGGCUAGAUAAAGACAUCAAAUUUUAUACUUAUUGCAUGCAAGGUAUGCAACAGCCUCCCGCCGAUUAAAAAUCCCAGAAAUAAAAGAAAUCGAAUCAAGAAAGAAGAUAAUUGCACAAUAAUUACACCUUCACUAAGAAAAUAAAUUAUAAAAUCGAAGACCGUGAGAAUAAUGUCUUAUACAUUAAGCCUGCCAAUUACUAAAAACAAAACAUUUUGCCAUGAGGAGAAGUAAGAACAUACCCAAACUUGUUUGCAAAUAGAUGAGAAAAAUUUAUACCUGAAACAGAUGGAAAAUUUAUUAGGAAAGAUAAAUCAGCCCACAUGUGUGUAAUCUAUAUACAAAAAACCACUCUUUUCAUUAACCAAAUCGUUUCACAAAUCCAAAAACACAGAAUUAUAUCUUGAACAAUGCCAAUUAAUGAUUUCCCAUUUACUUAAGCCCAACAUCAAAGCCAAUGAACUGAUGAAAGAGCGAAAAUGAGAAACAUAAAACCUCAAUUAAGCAAUUAAAUGGAGUAUUACUUGAUAGAGCUGGAAAAUUACCCAGUAAGAUUAAAAAAAAGAGAGAUGAGAUGGAGUGAGAAUCACAUACCGGCAUCACCUUUAAAUAUGUAGUGCUCCUCAGAGAGAGGAUCAAGAGUGACUGAUGAGAGGGCAGAGAACGAAUGAUUGAGAAAUUCAAGCUCUGAGCUCAAAGUUGGGGCCUCCACUUUCCAACUGGGGAAGAAAUAACAGAGAAAACACAGAGAGCCAAUCCACCAAAACUAUUAAUCAAAUGGGUUCCGUCUAAUUCAAAAUUUGGACCACCCAAAUUCCGAUGAAGCAAUAACCAUUCAAAAUUCCAACAGAUUGAAGCCCUCACAGACUACAAAUUAUCAAUACCCAGCAAUAAAAAAUUUGAAAACAGUAAUAAUGAAGGAAAAAGAAAUUAAAGCCGCAAGCCAUUCUCUAAAUCUCAGGCACCAAUCCAAAUCACCAGUAAUUUGCACAUAAUGAUAAGAAUCUAGCAGUAUUUCCAUUGUUUAAAACCCAAAUUCAAGAAAUCAUGAAAAAUGGAAACUUUAUAUAGAAAUUGAAGCUUUACCUGCAGAUCAGCAGCAGCAAACGGAAUCCAACGGCAUGUACCUCAAAAGUGAGAGAGAGCUGAGAGAUGAGUAAGAGAAUCGGUAAACAAAACCCCCAAAAUCACAGAAGGAAAUUUAAACAGAAAACAAAUUUGCAAAUCCAAAAUCACAAAAACGAAAUUGAAACACGAAAGCUGUAAAACUGACCAGGAACGCUAGCUUUUCUGGGUAAAAACUUUAUUCGAAUCGAAUAGAAGAACCGAGGAAAGUUCUACUGGUUCAGUGGUUAUUCCAGCAAGAAAGCACCUUGUUUGUAAUUCGUGAGAGGUUGGAACUUGGAGAGCGAGAGAAGCCGAUUUGGGAGCCAAAGAAAGCGAGGUUGGAGAACGACGGAAGCUGAGAAUUGCGAGAGAGAAAAACGAAAAGGAAAGGAAAAGCGGAGAAAAAGUCACGAUUAUCGAAGCGUGCGAAAAUGAACGGGGAAUGGGGAUCUGGCUGAGGGAGACAGAAUUCGAGAAAGCGGAAUGAAGAGAAUCGAGAAGAGGAGGAAUCAUUUUAAGCGGAUGAUCGACGCGUGGGAAGUAAACUAUUAUUUACAAAUCUAAAGCAUUACCCGAACUUAUAAUACAAUAGCUACUUUGACAGAAGAAAAGAUGGAGAGUGAGAUGAUUGCAUUCCUUUUCAAAACAACUUUUAAGAUUCCAUAAUAAACUAAUAUAUAUGAAGAUGUGCCCCGUGGUAAAAGAGAGGAAGGAAAGAUUAUCAAAAGUUUAUUGUUCGUGAAUCGUGAUUACAGCUAUUCAACUUUUGUAAAUUUUCUUAACAUGAGUGAGAUUUGCAUUCUUUUUCAACCGAACUUCUUUUGAUUUCAUAAUAGAUUAUUAUACGAAGGAUAAAUGCUUAACAGAUUCUCUCAAAAUCGAUGCUUUUCAUGAACUUUUUAGCUAUCUUAUGUUUUUAGACUUAAUUACACUAACACUUUCUGUGGUUUAAGAUAGUCUUACGUUUGAAAUAUUACACUAACAUCCUUUUAAUGUAAUGUCUCAAACGUAAAGGAAUUUUGUGAAAACUCGACUAACUUUAGGAGUGUUAGUGUAAUUAAUCUAUUUUGUGCAAAUAUUGUAAAAUAUUUUACCAAAUACAUUAAGAGCUCGUUUUGAUGUGUUUUUAAAAUGACUAAAAACGUUUUUAAAUAAAAUAUUUUUUUGUUCCAAAAGCACUUAAAUUGUUUUAUGCAAGAAGCACCAGUUAUGUGCUUAUUCCAGAAAGCACUUUAAAUGUUUUUCUAGAAUUUACUUACAUUUUUAUUAAGGAUUGGUUUAAAAAACAUUUUCACAAAAAACGUUUUCAGUUAUUUUAAAAACACAUCCAAACAAGCACUAAGUAGCGGAUAGUUUAUAGACACUUUCACUUUAAAAAGUAGGGAACUUUAACGAAAAGCACCCGGUACUGUUCACUUUAACGAAAAACCAUAUUUUUACACUAAAAAAUCAAUCUUGGUACUAUUCACUUUACCCUUUAUUUUGUUCUUAUCAUUAAAACUCAAAAUUUUCAAGCCAUUUUCAUUAGUUUUCUUUAAAAAGUAUUCUUGCAUAUUUCUAACAGACAUGUACGGUGGAAAAAGAUCACUUCAUAAUUAAAUAUUAUGUUGUUGAUUACGCCUCUCUCUAUUUGAUUAAGUUUCUUUUCACUCUUCUCUAAAAAAUAAUGGUUUCUUUUCACAUUAUUAAACCGUUGUAAAGUAAACUUUUUUUUUGUAAAAGUGUUUUUAAUUAAAAAAAGUAAUGUCAAAGUGUUUGGUAAAUUUUUAUAUAAAUUACUUUGAAUAUAUUAAAUAACUAUAAAAUAUAUACUAUUUAAUGUGAUAUAAUAAUUGUCAAAGACAAUAAUGUAUGAGCAAAAAUUGUAAUUUGUAAAACAUGUAGAGGUAUACUAUUUGAAAAGUUCAUUAAAUGAGCGUUAAUUAUUAUACUUUGAAAAAGAAAAAAAAAUAUACUUUUUUAGAAGCAUAGUACACCCUACUUCUCAUUUUCUGUACUUUUUUCUACUUUUAUUGACAGUAGUUUAAUAAGUUGCUUUCUUUGAGAGUACUCAAACCAAUCCUUAAUAAGUGACCAUUUUGAACUUUCUUGGCGCCAUCGGUGUGGAGGGAGAGAAAAGAAACUAGCGCAAAACUACAGACACUCGAUUCGUUGUAAUAUAUAAUAAAAAAUAAUAGUCACGUAUAAAAUAUGGUACAAUUAUAGUUCUGGCAUAUGUCUCUACCAAAGAUAAUCGCCGUGUCUUUCAAAUUUGUUGUUAAAUUGGGGACAACAUGAAGAUUUUCACACUAAUCUAAGUACAACGUUUCAAACCUUGAAAGACCACUAAAGCUUUGAAAAGUCUGGUGAUUUUGUUAGGUCAUGUGAAUGACUGAAAUUAUCGAUUUUCAACUUCCCAAGCAACUAUUACACAAAAUAUAAUUUAAAACUCAAGAGGAGGAAUCAAAAUCGAUAGUGUCUUCAACUUAACCACUAAUAAGUGUAGAGUACAAAAGACCAUGCAAUUAGUAGUUGUGCCCUUCAACAAAAAGAGAAUCACAAUGUUAGUUGGUCACAUCACAUGCCCAAGGAAAACACGGUACAAAAGCACUAAAAGCGUCCAAGCGAAAGUGCUUUCUUCUCAUGUAGUUUCAUUUAACUUAUUUUACCACAACAGUAAAUAUAUUUUACCACUGCGCCAAUUACGAAAAUGAACGGGGAAUGGGGAGCUGGCUGAGGGAGACAGAAUUCGAGAAAGCGGAGUGAAGAGAAUCGAGAAGAGGAGGAAUCGUUUUAAGCGAUGAUCGACGCGUGGGAAGUAAACUAUUAUUUACAAAUCCAAAGCAUUACCCGAACUCAUAAAGAUGCUCUAAAAACUUUCAAAGAUUCCACAAUUUCUGUUUGAUUUCAUAAUAAACUAUUAUACGAAGGAUAAAUGCUAAAAAUUAGUCUCAGGAAAGCACUUUGUUUGUAAUUCGUGAGGUUGGACAGCGAGAGAAGCCGAUUUGGGAGCCAAAGAAAGCGAGGUUGGAGACAGAAUUUGAGAAGCAGCUUCCUGAUUUUUUUUUUUUUAUGAGAGAAGGCGGAAUGAAGAGAAUCGAGGAGAUGAAUCAUUUUAAGCGAUGAUCGACAUGUGAGAAUUGAGACGAUCUUAUAGCAACGCGAUAUUCAGUUUCAUCACACCAGUUAACUUGUAUUGGUCGAGUAAAGCACAUGUUACUUUCUGAAAAUUUGAAAUACUACAACGCAAAACCUAUCAAGAGGAUGCUACCAUGUGAUGCAAGAAACGAAAAGGUACAAAGUCCAGACUCACUCUGGUUGUCAUUUUCCCCAAGCGCAGAUGCAACUUUAGCGAAUUAAGUUUGUCUCAAAGAAAGUGUCUUUCCAAAAAAAAAAAAAAAAGUGAAAACGGAGCACCCUUCCCCAGACAUUAAGGGCGUGUUUACGUACACGUAAUCAGAAUAAGAAUGUGGAAUUGAAUUUCGAUUACGGAGUACUCUGAUGUUUACUAAACAUGGAGAAUAAAAAAAGCAAUGGGGCCCACACAAAUUUUGGAAUUCAAUUCCUUGUAUUGGUGGAAUUUGAUUCCCUAGAUAUAUGUUGUAAUUCAAUUCCUGCUUGUUUGGACAAUCGGAAUAACACUUUUGUUCCCUUUAUGUCCUCACUUACUUUUUUUAUUUCCAAGACUAUCCUUUAUAAACUCAUUAAAGUAUAUAAAAUAUUUGAUUUGGGACAAGGGUAUUUUAGUAAUCAUACUGGUUUAUAAUUCGAUUCUGCUGAAUUAGUAAAAAUCUUUAUGGAAUUAUAUUCUGAUUUCAGAACAUUUAAGUAAACAGUUUCAACAAGAAUCUGAUUCUGACUUCUCUUCAUUCCAACUCCUCCUUAAUUUAAUUCCUCAUUUUUUUCAUUACCGUUAUAUAAAUGUGCCACAAAGAGCUUCAUUAGCCCACUCACCACUGCAAUAGAAACAAUUUGAUAGAAAAUACUUGAUAGCAACAUACAAGCCUCUAUUUUAUUGGAAAAAUCAAAAUACAAAAUCAAUGUUAUCAAUUUUCUAUCUAAAUGAGAAUUACGGUUUAAGCGAGUUAUGUGGAUACCUAAGCAGGUCUAGCGCACUUUCUUAAUUUUCAAAUGCUUAAGAACUAAUUAGGACGCUGAUCAGCAGCCUAACGUUAGGCGAAGAUUUUUAGAACAUUAAUUACUUGUUCUCCUAGAUCUCCGAGUCCAAGAAAAUUAUGAUCACCCAUUGUUCAAUCUUAAUAUAGUCAGUACGUGGUUAUUUAACCAUUUUGUUAUAUUUAUCCUUUCUCGUUAAAUUAAGUAAGUGAUAAUAACUUUCCUGGAUCCUGUAAUCUAGAAGAACAAGACUAUAUAUCACAUGGAUAAACAUAAUCAGGCAUAAGAAAAAGUCGAAGAAUUCAUAACAUAGAGUAAUGCUAAAAAUACUAAAUUUGUAAACUAAAUGACAUAGAAGUUGAUCGUUAAAUUAUUAUUUAAAUAUUAAUAAACGUGUUCAUGCUCACACAUCAUUUAAUUUGUAAAUUUUAUUUAUAAAUCUUAAGCAUUACCUGAACGCAUAUAAUACAAUAGCUGCUUUGACAGAAGAAAAGAUGGAGAGUGAGAUGAUUGCAUUCUUUUUAAAAGCAACUUUUGAAGAUUCCAUAAUAAACUAUUAUGUAUGAAGAUGUGCCGUGGUAAAAGAGAAGUAAAAAGGAGGGAAGGAUUAUCCAAAAAAUUAUUGACCGUGAUUACAAUUAUUCAACUUUUAUACAUUUCUUCGAACGGAGAUCCAAGAAAAGAUGGAGAGAGAGAUUGGCAUUGUUUUUCGACACAACUUCUGUUGAGUCCAUAAUAAACUAUUAUAAGAAGAAGGAAUGCUAAAGAGAUUCUUUCAAAAUCAAAACUUUCUCAUGUUUUUGGGGUUAGUUAUACUAACAUUUUUUCUUUCGUAUAAGAUAUUACGCCAACACUCCUUUUAGUGUAAUGUCAAACGUAAGGGGAUUUUGUAAAAUUUGAUUAACUUCGACGUUAGUGUAACUAACCUAUUUUUAUGCAAAUAUUAUGUCAAAUACAUUAAAUGGCGGAUAAUUUAUAAACAAUGUCACUUUAACAGAGUUUUCUUACAUCUUUUUUAUAGAUAUGGACGGUGGAAAAAGAUCACUCCAUAAUUAAAUAUUGUGCUAUUGAGCGCGCUUUCGGGGCGCUUUCGGUGCGGGGUUUUGGCCUCCGCCGCUCCGCGUGCUGUUCUUUUACCUUUUUAUCUGCCAUUCGCGUGCUCCGCUGGUCCCAGACCCCUGAACAAUGUGAUGAUGCCAACUAACGUUAACCCCACUAAAGCAUCGGAAAUUGCGUCUGAGGAUAGAAAAGGCAUACAUGCAGAUCCUCCUCCCGGACUCUUUGCCUCUCUAUAUGUGAAAACCCAUCUGGGAACAAACCAAUUCCAUUCUCUGGCAUAGCAAGAACGGUCCUCUGAAAUGUAUCCAUACAAAGUUCGACACACAAAAUUCAAAAAGCCAUUGCAAUGUAAUUGACAACAUUGACAAUCUCUGUCCGACAAGGCAAUAAUACCGAAGCCCACUGUAAUGAUGGUAACCUGAUAGGCCAAUACCGAAGCCCACUGUUAUGAAAUCCAUGAAGCUUAUAUGGGCUUCUUGUACUCUCAGAUUUUGCAUAUUAGAGAAUACUCAGCAGUGAAUACCUGAAAAACGUGCAGCACGAAUAUCAUAUCGGUAGCCUCUCGAAUCUUAAGAAAACUACAAAUGGUAGCUUAGAAAAGAAAUGAAUCCUCUCCAACCAAUACAAAUCAUAUUACCCAAGUUCAAGAAAAAUCAAGACUAAACAAAUGACCAGAUGUUGUAGGGUGCCUGAGAAUGUCAAACAUGAAAUUACAAAAGAAAAAAAUAAUCGUAUGUAUUGAACAUUAAUAAAUACAUGCUGAAAGCACAAUCUUAGCCGCAAUUUAUGACAUUCAUACAAGAUGGAAUCGCCAAAGCAGUUAAAGAAAUUGCAGAGCUCAUAUAAGUGAUUUUCACUAUGAACUUUUAAGCUUAUCAACAAAUACAUCAUUUCGAUUCUAAGGCUUAAUCAUCAAUGAUUUUGCCGUUGGAUAGUGGCCAAAUUAGCGGCCGACUGAACAACAAGCCAACUCUCCUUUCGGCUAUUAAACAAAGAAAAGUUUGGUGGACAUCAUCAUGAGUAAAGACACAAUGAUGAUGUUUGUUGAAAAGAAAAAGGAAGGUCAUAAUGAUGUUUGUAACUUUGGAUUUUUUAUAGUCAAAUGGAAUUGGGUUUAUUUGGCUCCUUCCUUUGCAACUUGACAAAAGAGCUUUUUUUUGGUAUUUUCUAAGGCAGCAGCAGCUGCUAUAUGUUUGAGGAGAAGCCGAGAGAUACCAAGAAGAGCGUUCGGCUCUCCCAUUUGAAAUUUUGUUAGUAAUCACUCAAUCAAAGAUGUUGGUGCUACUUGUGUAGCUUUUGGGAGAGAAGGAUUUUGAUAUGUGUUUCUUCUUCUCCAUUUGUUUCUUAGUUUGAGUGAGAGCUAUUGGUUGUAUGUGGGAUUUAGGUUUGAGAGUUAAAACUCUAUUUGUAAUUUCCUUUUGAUAUUAGUGGAAUUUCCUCGCCGUCUCGGAACUGGACGUAGGCUUACGCCGAACCAGUAUAAAUCCUUGUGUUUUUUGGAUUAUUUGUCUUGUCAUAUUUUGCCGUAUUAGCUUUGGUUUCAUAUUUGAAGCUUUCACACAACAUUUGCAAGGGUCAAUCGUAUUGCUGGUUGUAAAUCUAUUCACUAUGAAAAUUACCAAAAUUACAUCUAAUAUGGUAGUGAAGGAAGUCAUCUUAUAUUAUCUGGAUCCAAAAUUGUACCUAAACAUGCAUGACAGGUAAAAAGAAGAUGAGCAAUAAAACAUUAUAAAGAUUCCCAAGAAAAGCAAUAAAACUACGUAAAUAUUAGUUAAUAAUGUCAAGACCAUAGUCUGUGACAAAUCCAAGAGUUGAGAUGAGACUAUCUUUCCGGCAGGAAUUUUUGGAAUUUUUCUCUAUUGUAAGGAAAACAUAGAUUGAUGUUUGUGUUUACACGAAAAUUAUGCCAACGGCUUAGGAGAAAUCAAAGCAUAACAAUGGGACUAAAAUGACUUACCUACUAUGAGGAUCUUCAAGUUCCUUCUUCACCUCUUCGGGCAGAUUGGCUAAUCUAAUAAACGAAAAGAAAACUCCCAUGAGCAGUGCUAUAACAAACUAUCUUCCUAAAUUCAUUAUGAAUUGCAGUUAAAACUUAAAAUGAACAUGAAAAUCCUACGUAGAAGGGAUAUACCUAGGUGACAAGCCUAGAAGAUUCCCGCGCAAGGAAGAAUAUCCCGGAACCUGCAAUUGGAAACUCAAAGAAACAAUUACAAAGAUGCUAGAAAGAAAAUACGUAUCAGUUUACAACAAAACGCUAGCGCUCAUGAGAAUCGAUUAGGUAUGAAGCAUCAAAACAAUAGCAUGAGACAUCAUAACUUAUGAGCUAUGAAUGGAAUAAUGGAGCAAAAUAUCGUUGCCCAAACAGCACAAUCUACAAUCUACAUGACGGAGAAAGUACCCCGACAUUACAUAUGCAAGUUCAUGUGGUUUAUCUUUUUAACCGAUUCGUUAACAAAUUCUUUCUGCACAUAUAGUUUUAACUUACCAAAACUGGUAAUGGAAGAGAGAUAAUCAGUAAUUAAAAACGGUAAUCGCAUAACGAAAUCAUACUUGAGUGAUUGAUAGGAUUCCCAACCCAUUUGGUCCAAAUCCUUCUUCAAUCUUCACUGACAAAUCUUUGUCCCUGUCCUGUAUCAAUCCAAAAUCAAAAAACGACAAUUAGAAAAAUCGAAUUCUCGACAUGAUCGACGAGUUAAAACAUAGCAAUUAAACAAAACUAUGAAUAAAACAAUUAGAUUCUGUUUGGUUGCUGAGAAAAUGAAGAGAAUAACAACCAAAAAGUCAACUGAAAUAAAAUUUUGCUCUAACUUCAACGAAUUCUCUUGAGUUUCUGAGCACCCAAACAGAAAAAAAAAAAUUAUAGGCAAUCAAACCAAACUCUCAUGCUCAAUUUUCUCGGCAACCGCAAAAAGAACUUAGAGGGGGGGGGGAGAGAGAGAGAGAGUUACUUGGAGCUCGGAGUAGGAUAUGGUGACUGGUGUGACGGUGGGGACGGCGGGGUCGGAGGACGGAGGCAUAGUUCGACAAUAAAUUUGGCGGGAAAGACGGCGGUUGGAGCGUGACGAUGGGGAAGAAUCCGUGGGAACGAAGAGCAAUUUUGGUGCGGAAGGAGGGUUUUUAUAUCGGAGGGAGGGAGGGAGGGAGGGAGGUUGAGAGCGAAAGGCGUGAUUGUCAAUUUCAAAUUUUUUUUUUUAGGAAUAAAGAAAGAAGAGAGGUUGAGUAUCAAUUCCCUUUCCCUCCAAACCAAAUAAUACAUUCACGUUCAUGAUGUGUGGCAAAAAAUUGAAGGUGGAGACGAAUAUAUUAAAGGGAUGUGCUAUCCACACACCUUUUUUACUUCUCACACACCAUUUGUUAAUUUCUGUCCGUUGAUCUUCUUCAUUUCAUCUGAUCUAACGAUCGAAAAUUAAAAGGGUGUGUGAGAAGUAAAAAGGGGUGUGUGGAUAUCACACCCCUAUAUUAAAUAGGUAUAAGUAUUAGUUAAAUUUAAAAUUAAUUGUGUACUAUUAAAAAUUUGUUUGAAAAUAUUUUUAUAAUAACUGAAAGCGUUUUUUAUUAAAAUGUUCUUUAAAUCAAUCCUUAGUAAAACCAAGUGGAUUCUAAAAAGUCAUUUGGAUUACUUUCUACAAAAAUCACAUAUCUUGAGCACUUGAAGCGCUUUUGGAACCCAAAAUUAAUUUAACAAAAGUGUGUCUAGUCUUUUUUAUUUUUGAACAAACGAUAUUAUCUACUUUAAGGGAGGGGAUGAGCUUAACCUCACAAUGGACUAUCAUAUUAAUAAUGUUCAAAUUCACCUUUAUUCAUUUUUAAAAGACUUUAAAACCAGCACUAAUUUGUAUUAAAUUCUAAAACUUUGAAUUGGGAUGUAAUAUGCAUUGGGUCUUUAAUAAUAUUUAAGUUGUUUCCGGCAAAAAAGAAAGGAUUCAAUUGGGAAAAAUAACAAAAUAUGAAAUAAGGAUAUUCUAAUUAAGGUUUUUAUUAAUUAUUUUAGGCGGAUGGUUCAUGUGAAGAUUAUGAAACGCUUUAAUUCUCUAACGUGCGAUUCCAUUUCGAUCCAAAGCUAAAUUUAUAAAUUUCUAAUUUUUACUUUCUAAUUUUUACAAAUUUCUUUUCAUAAGAGUAUAAAUUUAUAAAAUUUGGUUAAAGGAUCAAGAAGUUUAAUUAGAAGCAAUGGUUUUUGUUGUUUAAAAUUAGCAAGAGGUCCUAAGUUCGAAACGCUUUGGGCAUGUUUAUUUUUUUCAAUUUUAACAAAUUUUUGUUUGGUUGUUAAUUUAUUUUUAGUUACUAGCUAGUAGCUAUGUAGGUUGUUAUUUAAAUAUUCGUUUCAAUUCAAGUCCAAUCUUCAACAAUGAGUAAUACGUAAACCAAAUUUGUAGCGCAAAUUUGUAAAUUAUAUGACGUGUUAUCAAAAUAUUUAAUUUAAUGCUCAUUCAUUACUAAUACAUAUCAAUUAAGGACUCGAAAACAUCAUUAUUGUUUUUAGUCCCAUAUUGACAAGGUUAGUAAAUAAGAAAAAACACCUCAUGAUUUAUACAAAAACACUUUCAAAGUUCAAAUGGAAAACAAAACUCAUCGUCUAUCUACUUAUAAGCCCAGAGUUGUUUGGUUUUCUUCUCUCAAUACAAAAUAAAUUAGUCCUUUUGUGUUUCUAAAUUAUUGAGUUUGAAGUGCUUUUCUAAGUAUAAUUUUAUUAAUGUCUUACGUGUGAAAAUAAAUAAUUUUCUUAUAUGAAGUUAGGGCACUUUUUUUUGUGUCGUCCCGAGCCUCAAAAAUCUCUGGACCGGCCCUGGAUGUUAUGAGAAUAUGUGUGGUUGUCAAGCCCGACACGUGAAUAACAUGCUCUCUACUACUUUAUUACACUGUGAAGAUUUUAUCCAAAAUUAAUUGACGAUGAGCGAAUAAACUGAAAGAUUAUGCGCAACUUUGAUUAUGCAACGAGUGAAGAAGCAAUUUACACCAACCUCCAGUCAAGAAUUUGGGCUCACAAUCACUAGCCAAUAUGCUUUUUUCUCAUGCCUUAAGUUCAUAGUUCAAUAUUCUGGUGUCCGAUGACCCUGACACGACAAGUUCCACUUUUUGUUCAUUUUCUUGACGAAACCAUCACAUUUACCCUUACGGCACGGCACAGUUCCGGGCAUGGAGUAUGGAUUGGGUUCCGUUGCAGUCCCGACACUAUUUAGCACUGUAGAGAAGGAAAUACAAAGACAACUUUGGAUUUCUUACAACGUAUUGAGUCUCUCGUCAUGGCUCUUGCUGUGUUGUUCUUAUUUCACGUCCUGUUUCUCGAGCUUGGUGUUUCCGGUUGCAAAUUUUGGUUCGGCAGUGUAGUGCUCAGGAGAGGGGACUGUUUCACGUUGUUCCAGGCAGACAGAGGCGGUUGACAACGAUUGUGAUAAUGUGUUUUUCUACUGGGAGAACAUACAGCAGUCAUCAGUUAUCUUUUCACAACUGUCUUCAGUAUUUCGAGGCACCUCAAGAAAUUAUCAAGGACAAACGAAUGUAGAAAAGAAGAAAUAUCGAAGUUAGUUGACAAAGGGGACGAAAAAUUGUGAGAUACAGAGAAAAAGAAGAUAAGAAGAAACUCGAUGCAAAUUACUUGAGUCUAAAGUAGGAGGGGAAAUCGUACUAUUCAUAUGAACAGUGUUUUAGACCACAUUUCAGUUUAUUUACAAGAUUGCCACUCAGAUGCUUUUAGCUUUUAACGAAGAUGCCAUCAGUUCGAAUGAUGGGAAUGCCCGUAUGGGGUUAACAUCACACGGUUGGGGGUAAAAGUUGUGUUUGGAUCAAAACUUAACUUUGGGCCCAAGCAAAAGAAUGCCCAAAAGAAGGCCUGAAGGAAGAGUCGGCCGAAGCCCAGCCGAGACCCAGAAAAGCAGGAAAGGGCCUCCUCUGACUUGGUGCAGCUCAUGAAGACCACUUGCCCACCUACCCAAAGGUCAAGUGGUAUAGACUGACCAGCUACACAGCCCGUAAAGUACUUUAUGGUGGCAUUACAUGUAAAAAAACUGAUGAGUCAUCACCCUCAAACCGCAUUCGGGCAAGGCUGUUGCUACAGGAGGACAUGCUGGGUUGUCUAUAAAAAAAGAAAGAGAAAUCAGGAUUAAGGACACUCAAUCAAACAAACAAAUGCAAGCACAAACUCUGCUCAAAAGCUAGAUUUGCCUUCAAAACGAAGUUGUAGUCAGCCCAAGCCUUCAUCCCUCGCGGGAUAACCUUUCCUUCAAACCUUUGUAAUAGCUCUGCUACCUUGUUCAACCUUGUUGUAGUAUCGAUUCACCUUUUGUAAUCUUUCUCCCUCUCUCAAAACUUUCAGACCUUUAACAAAACUACAAAGAUAGGAGCCUGCAAGACGAGCAGCCUUGCCUGAUAAGGUUUAACCUUGCCCGACCUUCUAUGCUUUGUAUUUUUUGUCUUUUCAUUCAUUAAGCCUAGUAAUAUGUUGUAUGAUCCCAGUUAUAUGCAAGUUAUUUCUAGCAAGAUGACCAUUAAAAAGCUUUCUCAGUACAUAGACCCGAUUUGAAUAGAUCUUCAGUAUUCAAAUCAGAUCUAAGUCAUAAGCCCUCGGGCAUGUAUAUUUGAUCAGUUAAAAGUCCUUGGCCUCCAGGCAUAAAAAAGAACCUUAUGUGGACUUAACCCAUCCACAACAAUCCUUGAUAAACGAGAAGUCCAAAGUUACUUGGGGCGCAAGUAAUCGACCUACCAUUUAGUUUUAUUUCUAUUAUAUGAUGAUUAUCAUAGAACGUUUAUGCAUGGAAUGGAUUCUGAUAGGAAGCCUCAAGGCCUACACCUAAGGCCCCACAAAGGCACCUAUUUGGGUUCAUUCCGUUCUGCGGUCUAGAGCGUUCUGAGUAGAAAGAACAAAUUCUGAUAGGAAGCCUCAAGGCCUACACCUAAGGCCCCACAAAGGCACCUAUUUGGGUUCAUUCCGUUCUGCGGUCUAGAGCGUUCUGAGUAGAAAGAACAAAUUUCUGAUAGGAAGCCUCAAGGCCUACACCUAAGGCCCCACAAAGGCACCUAUUUGGGUUUGUUCUAUCUCUCGGACGCAGGUAAUCAGAAGUAUAAUAGUUAUAAAACUCCUGCAAUCAAUGGAAUAAGUAUUAUGUAUUCGAGUACUGGUUUAGUAACCGAUGGGAAGCCUCAAGGCCUACACCUAAGGCCCCACAAAGGCACCUAUCAUAACUAACCCGGUUCCUCGGGCACAUAUAUAUAUACAUACAACUAAAACUCGACAUCCAUUUCAUAUCUGCCAUGCUGAAGAUGGCAGUGGCACGCCUGAGUACCUAAAAGUUAAUUUUGAUUGUGAGCCUCAAGGCCUACACCUAAGGCCCCACAAAGGCACAUUUCAAAGUUAACUUUGUCCUUUUCUUUCAGCCUUGCCCGACGAGCCUUGCCGACGAGUCUUGCCCGAUAAAGAUUCGCCUGACGAGACUUGCCCGACAAAGCCCAACCGUGAAGCAGAAGCCCGACAGCAGCCCUCAACCGACGCAAAACCUCCAGGGGAGCUGUGCAUUUCGCCGACCAGGAUGGAAGAAUGGACAGCCUACUAAACCGAUGGGAGCCUACUAAACCGAUGGGAGCCUCUAUGAUCAGGAGAGUUCAAAGGCAGCACAAAGCCUACAUGAAUUCUCUGAAGACCCCCGCAACAUCUGAAGCCUCCCAGAAUAAAAAACUGGAGAAGACAUCAUCUGGGGGAAGUAAUCAGCUCCGCUGGAGAAGUAAGAAAGAGGUGGAAAAUGCCAGCAGCAAAAAAGAAGGUGUGGGGAAUCAUGUACCGCAGAACCAGCACCCUGGGAAGUAUAGGAUCUUGAGGAGAGCUCAAGAAGAUCUGAUCAUGGUGCCAACCCCUGGAUGGAAGCCAAAGCCUACUUGCGUUGGAGCUGUUUCAUCUGAAAGGAAACCACCUUCUCUGCCAUUGGUAGAUCCUUUUGGUGAAGUUCCAAAACAAACACUAUAUGCGGGCAUGAAUCAACAGCAACAGGAGGGGGCACCAGAACCACUACUUCCAGCCGAUGCCAUGGCCUGGUUGGAUGAGUUUAUGGACCAGAUUGGGAGCAAGAAAGAAGAUUUGCUCGAGCCUAGUAAUUUCCAUAUCAACAUGACAUACGUAUUAUCUGCCACGUUUGGUGCCCGACCUGAUCAGCCAGCUACUAUGGAAGGUGAUUACUUGACAACUGAGCCAAUGAUGGCACAUGUCAAUAUAGAGGAAGUCAAAGAAGGAGAAUCGGGCAAGGCUGAAACUUCUGAAGCAUCCAAAAGUGGUCCUUUAAGGAUUUAUACCGAUGAAAUGGUGUUCAGCCGCCCGAACAUCUCGCUAGCCAACCAUCUGAAGCCCAUAUACGUUACAGCUCACCUGGAAUGUGUGCCCUUCAAAAGAAUUUUAAUAGAUGGUGGAGCAGCUGUUAAUGUGUUACCAGCCAAGCAAAUGAAGAAAAUGGGAAGAGGAACGGAGGAUCUUAUUCCGACAGACCUCACGGUCUCUAGCUUCUCAGGCGCUAUCACCAAGACCCAUGGGAUAUUGCCUUUAGAAGUGGAUUUGGGGUCUAAGCAAAUCAUGCUGGCAUUCUUUGUGGUGGACUGCACCUCCACUUAUGGAGCCUUACUCGGAAGAGAUUGGAUCCACCAAAGUCUGGCCAUACCCUCCACUCUUCAUCAACAGGUAGCUGUUUACCAUGAGGCGGGCACAGAAGGACCAGGUUUUUGGGAGAUGGUGGAGGCCGAAUCAGGGCCAUUUCUCCCCACAGCCAACGUUGCGGAAACAAGUUUCUACAACCCCAACGUAGGAAUCUUGAAAUGUUCAGGAGCUGAUGAGAACGGCCGCCCUACCAAUGUGACGACCCAAAAGCUUUUGGAACAAGGAAUGCUCCUCACAAGAGAUGAGUGAGAUAGACCUUGUAUCAUCCCAAAUCCCCUACACCAUCAAUGACUGGACAGAAGAAAAAAGAUCAGGUAAUGGCAGUCAGAUCCCUGAUUAAAAGACUGUUGGUGUAUGAGAAUGGAAGAAGGCAAGAAAGAGAGCUCUUGGACAAGGAAGAGCAGGAAUAGCAGGUGGGAGAUACGAUCUAGACGGGCCAGAAGACCUGCCCGAGAGCCCGGAGUUGGUCGAGUUUUUGUGUGCAGAACCGGAUAAGCCACCACCAGAAGUCCAGGAUCCUCUGGAAGUUAUUGCUAGGAACAAAGGAGGAUCCGAGACCAAUACAAAUUAGUGGUUUAUUGGGGGUUGAUGAUCGGGCAAAGGUUGUCGAUCUGUUGCGAGAGUUCAAAGACUGUUUUGCUUGGCAUUAUACUGAGAUGCCAGGGUUAGAUUCAGCCUUGGUGGAACAUAGAAUGCCCAUCAAGGAGGGAUAUAAACCAGUUAAGCAAGCACCACGAAGGAUGUCAAAGGAGAUAGAAGAAAAUGUCAAAGAAGAGAUCGAAAGGCUAGUAAAAGCUGGCUUUAUCAGACCGGCCAAAUAUGUAGAGUGGUUAGCCAACAUUGUACCCGUUUUAAAAGCUAUAACAAAAGCAGUACGAUGUUGUGUUGAUUACAAAAAUCUUAAUAGUGCUACACCAAAAGAUGAGUAUCCUAUGCCCAUGGCCGAUCUAUCCAUAGAUGCAGUAGCAAAACAUAAAGUCUUAUCUUUUAUGGAUGGGAAUGCCGGGUAUAAUCAGAUAAAGAUGGCUUCAGAAGAUAUACAUAAAACAACAUUCAAGUGUCCCGGUCAUGUGGGGGUAUAUGAAUAUCUGGUCAUGCCAUUCGGGCUCAAGAAUGCUGGUGCCACCUACCAGAGGGCAAUGAAUGUCAUCUUUCACGAUCUGAUUGGCCAGAGUAUGAAAGUAUACAUUGAUGACAUCGUAGUGAAGUCUAAGACAGAAGAGCAGCAUUUGGAAGACCUCAGACAAGCAUUAACAAGGAUGAGGAUCCACAAAUUGAAGAUGAAUCCAAAGAAGUGCGUGUUUGGAGUGAGAGCAGGCAACUUCUUGGGAUUCCUGGUGCAUCAAAGAGGUGUAGAAGUAGACAAGAACAAGUCUCGGGCAAUAAUGGAGUCACCGUCACCCACCAACAAGGUACAACUCCAGAGGCUAUUGGGCAAAAUCAAUUUCUUGAGGAGAUUCAUUGCCAAUUUAGCGAGCAAGAUCCAGCCGUUGACUCCUUUAUUAAGACUGAAAGAUAAAGAAAACUUUGAGUGGGGACCACCACAUCAACAAGCCUUUGACAGCAUCAAGGUCUAUUUAACUUCUCCACCAGUGUUGGUGCCACCUCAAAGGGGAAAACCCUUAAAGCUGUAUAUUUCUGCCUUAGAGAAGUCAAUCGGGAGUUUGCUAGCCCAAAAUAAUGAAGGCGGGAAGGAGCAGGCAUCGUACUACCUCAGUAGGAUUCUGACCGAGGUAGAAACUAGAUAUUCCCCAGUGGAAAGAUUAUGCUUGGCUCUAUAUUUCACUGCCAGCAAGCUAAGGCAUUACAUGUUACCUUGUCACGUACACAUCAUCGCCAAGACAGAUGUGAUAAAGUACAUGUUGUCAAAGCCAAUGCUAACAGGGAGGAUUGGGAAGUGGAUUCUAGCAUUGUCAGAAUUCAGUUUCCAGUAUGUACCCCAGAGAGCGGUCAAAGGCCAAGCAAUUGCUGACUUCCUGGCCGAACAUCAAGAAUCUCAAGACGAAGUAAUCAAUAUCCCAGGAAGCCUGGAGGUCACUAGCAUUUGGAUCCCGCUAAGAGAAGAUAUCUCGGGCAAAGAAGAUUGGGUCCAGCAAGAGAUAAGAAGAGUGACUGGUCUCUGGAUCACUCCUUGGAGGUUAUAUUUUGAUGGAUCUCACACUCAGAAGGCUUAAGAAGCAGGGAUUGUGAUUAUAAACCCUCAUGGGGUCUAUCAUUAUUAUUCAUUCCUCCUAGACUACCAAGGAAAUACUAAUAAUCGGGCAGAGUAUGAAGCUUUGAUAAUUGGUCUGGAAAUCUUGAUGGAUCUGGGGGCAGUAGAGGUGGAGAUCUUUGGAGAUUCAGAGUUAGUAAUAAACCAGCUAAAUGGGGAGUUCAAGUGCAGACAUAUUACCAUGGCAGGAUAUUACUUGACGGCUACGCAAUUACUGAGUUUCUGGGAUUCUGAGAUAUCAGUCAAUCAUGUUCCCAGGGAAUCCAACUUAGCAGCCAACGAGAUGGCACAACUAGCCUCAGGAGUGCCAAUACAGGAGAGAAGAUAUGGGGUAGAUGUCGAGAUCCAAAGAAGGAACCUCCCUUCUAUCUUAGAAAGGGGAUUCAGCCUGGAUGUAAUAGCUCUAGAAACCGAAAUAGAAGAUUGGAGGUCCCCUAUCAUUCGUCAUUUGAAGGAUCCCUCUUCACCUACAAGCAAGAAGAAUAGACAGCAAGCAACCAAGUAUGUCUUGUGGGCGAAGAACUUGCUAAGGAAAACUCCAGAUGGAUUACUAUUGAAAUGCUUGGGCCAAGAAGAAUCCAUGAGGGUAAUGGCCGAAGUACAUGAAGGGGUAUGUGGAGCACAUCAGGCAGGAACUAAGAUGAGGUGGUUGCUUAGAAGAUAUGGUUAUUUCUGGCCCGACAUGGAAAAAGAUUGCAAGUCUUAUGCCAAAGGUUGUGAAGAAUGUCAACGGCACGGACCUCUCCAGCAUGUGCCCUCAGUACCUUUAAAUCCAGUAGUCAAGCCUUGGCCUUUCAGAGGAUGGGCAAUGGACUUCAUCGGGCAAAUCUAUCCAGCUUCUAGUAAAUGGCACACUUUCAUAAUUGUGGCAACGGAUUACUUCACCAAGUGGGUGGAAGCAUCAACAGUAAAAUCCAUAACUUCGGCCGAGGUCAAGAAUUUUAUCGAGACCAAGAUUCUGCACAGGUAUGGGGUGCCCGAAACUAUAGUAACGGAUCGUGGGCCAUCUUUUAUCUCAAAAGAAGUUGAGGAGUUUGCAAGCAAGUACAAAAUAAAGAUGAUCCAAUCCAGUCCAUACUACCCUCAAUCAAAUGGCCAAGCAGAGGCCAGCAACAAGAUCUUGGUCAACAUCAUCAAAAGAAUGGUGGUAGAUAGUCCAGAAAAGUGGCAUGAAAGGCUGGGGAACACUUUGUGGGCAUACAGAACUUCCAAGAGGGCAGGAACAGGGACAACUCCUUAUGCUUUAACUUUCGGGCAAGAUGCGGUACUCCCUAUGGAGAUCAAUGUAAGUUCGGUCAGAAUUCAGAACCAAUUUGGGUUACAUAGUGAAGAAUACAUCGAAGCCAUGUGUCAAGGAAUUGAAGACUUGGAUGUAGCCCGAAUUGAAGCCUUGAACCAGAUUCAAGAAGGAAAGAAAGUUGUUGCCCGAGCUUAUAACAAGAAGGUGAAGAUAAAGUCUUUCAAAGAAGGAGAUUUAGUGUGGAAAACAGUCAUCCCGCUAGGAGCUCAGCUCAGGGGCUUUGGAAAGUGGAGCCCGACAUGGGAAGGUCCUUUCAUUAUUAGUCGAGUUUUGAAUAAAGGAGGAUACUACCUAGCAUACCUCGAAGGAAAUGGGCAGAAACAUCCCAUUAAUGUUAAAUUCUUAAAGAAAUACUGUCCUACAUUAUGGGAUGUUAGAGAUUGUUACAUUGAAGAGGGGGCAAAGUAAAGCAGGCGUCGGGAGUUUCAUAUGCAGUGUUUGUUCAUCAACCAUUCAAAGAAAACAAAAAGACAAAAGUUGCUGAAAUAAUUUUUAUUUCAUGUCGACAAAUUGGUGAAAUUAACAAAAGAUUCAAUUUCUACAUAUUACAUUUGAUUCUCUCUAAGUAUAGUGAUUUCUUCAGCUGGUUUUCCGAUGUCUUCAUGGAUGGAACCCGAUCAGGUGAUCGGGUUGUGCGGCCAACAUAUGCUUGGUAGAGGAUCAUCCGACAGAGCCACCACCAUAUGUGAUGGUGAAGCCUGACUUAUGACGGCAGCAAGCAGGAAAUCAAGCCUUCGUGAAGAACUCGCCUGACCAAGGGUGUUGGGGAUAGCAGGGUGUUCGACCAAUGGUGUUGGAGAUAGCAGUCAUUUGAUGAAACCCCCUUUUUUCUCACGAAAAGGGAGUUUUAGGAAACUCCACUCAAAAUCUGAAGAACCCAUUUCUCAGUUUUUUUUUUUCCGAGGAAGAUUAGAUGGUUUUGACAGGAGGGGUUCCAAGCCAGAAUUUAUAGGACCCAGAGGACAGUUCAAAGGUCGUGGGAAGAUCAAGAGACUCCGGGUGCCAUUAAUUUCAUCCAAAAAACACAAGUUCCAAGGGCAAAGAUGCAGCCGCAUGAAGAACUUUUCAAUUAAUAUUGGCGCCUGGAAUUCCAGGCUAAAUAUCAAUUGAAGGGGGCACUGUUUGGAUCAAAACUUAACUUUGGGCCCAAGCAAAGAAGGCCCAAAAGAAGGCCUGAAGGAAGAGUCGGCCGAAGCCCAGCCGAGACCUAGAAAAGCAGGAAAGGGUCUCCUCUGACUUGGUGCAGCUCAUGAAGACCACUUGCCCACCUACCCAAAGGUCAAGUGGUAUAGACUGACCAGCUACACAGCCCAUAAAGUACUUUAUGGUGGCAUUACAUGUAAAAAAGCUGAUGAGUCAUCACCCUCAAACCACAUUCGGGCAAGGCUGUUGCUACAGGAGGACAUGCUGGGUUGUCUAUAAAAGAAGAAAGAGAAAUCAGGAUUAAGGACACUCAAUCAAACAAACAAAUGCAAGCACAAACUCUGCUCAAAAGCCAUAUUUGCCUUCAAAACGAAGCUGUAGUCAGCCCAAGCCUUCAUCCAUCGCGGGAUAACCUUUCCUUCAAACCUUUGUAAUAGCUCUGCUACCUUGUUCAACCUUGUUGUAGUAUCGAUUCACCUUUUGUAAUCUCUCUCCCUCUCUCAAAACUUUCAGACCUUUAACAAAACUACAAAGAUAGGAGCCUGCAAGACGAGCAGCCUUGCCUGAUAAGGUUUAACCUUGCCUGACCUUCUAUGCUUUGUAUUUUUUGUCUUUUCAUUCAUUAAGCCUAGUAAUAUGUUGUAUGAUCCCAGUUAUAUGCAAGUUAUUUCUAGCAAGAUGACCAUUAAAAAGCUUUCUCAGUACAUAGACCCGAUUUGAAUAGAUCUUCAGUAUUCAAAUCAGAUCUAAGUCCUAAGCCCUCGGGCAUGCAUAUUUGAUCAGUUAAAAGUCCUUGGCCUCAAGGCAUAAAAAAGAACCUUAUGUGGACUUAACCCAUCCACGACAAUCCUUGAUAAACGAGAAGUCCAAAGUUACUUGGGGCGCAAGUAAUCGACCUACCACUUAGUUUUAUUUCUAUUAUAUGAUGAUUAUCAUAGAACGUUUAUGCAUGGAAUGGAUUCUGAUAGGAAGCCUCAAGGCCUACACCUAAGGCCCCACAAAAGCACCUAUUUGGGUUCAUUCCGUUCUGCGAUCUAGAGCGUUCUGAGUAGAAAGAACAAAUUCUGAUAGAAAGCCUCAAGGCCUACACCUAAGGCCCCACAAAGGCACAUAUUUGGGUUUGUUCUAUCUCUCGGACGCAGGUAAUCAGAAGUAUAAUAGUUAUAAAACUCCUGCAAUCAAUGGAAUAAGUAUUAUGUAUUCGAGUACUGGUUUAGUAACCGAUGGGAAGCCUCAAGGCCUACACCUAAGGCCCCACAAAGGCACCUAUCAUAACUAACCCGGUUCCUCGGGCACAUAUAUAUAUACAUACAACUAAAACUCGACAUCCAUUUCAUAUCUGCCAUGCUGAAGAUGGCAGUGGCACGCCUGAGCACCUAAAAGUUAAUUUUGAUUGUGAGCCUCAAGGCCUACACCUAAGGCCCCACAAAGGCACAUUUCAAAGUUAACUUUGUCCUUCUCUUUCAGCCUUGCCCGACGAGCCUUGCCCGACGAGUCUUGCCCGAUAAAGAUUCGCCUGACGAAACUUGCCCGACAGAGCCCAACCGUGAAGCAGAAGCCCGACAGCAGCCCUCAACCGACGCCAAACCUCCAGGGGAGCUGUGCAUCUCGCCGACCAGGAAACUUGCCCGACGGGAAUUCCUGAAGCGAACAAGUUAGGUGGGCAUUGUUGUCAGUUAGGGUUGCAUUCGGUGGGAUCGAUGGCUCGGUGUGGGAUUUGGUGGGAAUGCAUGUUGCUUGCAAAGAGGAGGAGAGAGGGAAUGAGGGAGGGGGAGGGAGAGAUAUGGGUUUGGUGAGGGGAAGGCAUGCGACUUGCAGAGAGGAGUGAGGGAGAGAGGAUGAGAGAGGGAAUGAGGGAAGGGGAGGGAGAGAGAGAGGGGUUUGGUGAGGGGAAGGCAUGCGACUUGCAGAGAGGAAGGAGGGAGAGAGUUGGAGAGAGAGGGAAGGAUGGAGGGGGAGGGAGAGAGAGAGGGGUUUGGUGAGGGGAAGGCAUGCGACUUGUAGAGGGACGGAGCGAAGCUUAAAAGCAACUGCAAAAAGUUCAAUGGACAGGGUCGCAGCAAUGGAGACACCUCGCUCUGAACCAUUUCCCCUCUCCUCAGGCGAAUGCUGAACAAAGUUUUGAAGGAACAAAAAGAAGAAGAGCUACACAUAAUAGAAUCCGAUUUGCAAGGAAAAGAAGAAAGCCAGCUUUUCAAUGAAAAAGCUAAAAUCAAUCCCUUCAACCUCCUCAUCGGCAGCGGCACCCACGACCACCAGGUUCACUUUUAAUUUAAUUUUAAUUUUAAUUUUUUGCUUUUUUAGUGGAUUAAAGAAUAUGAAACGAAUUAUAAUUUAAAAUGGGGAAAUUUUGUUGAUUUUUGCGUUCAGUGUUCUGACUUUUGAGUGAUCAUCGAGCUGUGAUGGGUUGGUGUUGGAUUUGAUUCAAUUGAGGUAAAAGCUCUGCAUGAUUGUGAUACGGAGAAAAUGCUAGAAUCUUACCUUCGAUCCAAAUAUCUGAUUUUUGUUACAAUUGCUAUUUUCAUUGCAGGAAAAUGUGGCGGAGACAAUAAUUCCCAAAUCCUCGAGUUUUAUAAAUGCAUUCCAAUUGAUAGCCAUGUCAAAUGAUCUCGAUUUGUCAGGUAUGUUCGAGGAACAGGCAAGUUUACAAGAAAUAGAUUUACUAAAAUAACUAAUCCUACUUUUUUAGCUUAUAACGAAUAAUGUUGAACUGUUAACUUAAUUUAGGAUGAGAAAUAGAAGACAACAAGAAUUGGACCCAAGCAUACCAUUACUGAAACCAUGAAGAAAAUAGAAGCGGCUGCAACAGAUGCGAGUAUUCUGUAGCAAGAACAAACAACUUCAGGGUACAUGAAACUUAUAUUCAAUCGUACUUCUUUAUCUGCUUAUCAAAGUUCCUUCCUGCCAACUAAUGAUGUAUUAUUUUUUCAUCAGAUGUAAAUGCAUGCAAAAAUUCCAAUGGAAACGUAAAUCACCAUAUCCAGGUAAAUCCGAAUUGUAGAUCAGACUUAUAUUACAAUUUGCUUUCUUUGUGAAAUUUUAUUGUAAUCUCUGGCUUUUGAAAUUCUAUAUGAAAUUGUGAAUGUCAUUCGGAAUCAAGUCUGGCCGAGUUCUUUACUAAAUAGUGCGAAAAUAUGCAUGAUGAAACUAAAUUACUUUUGUAUCAUCUAUAUUUACCUGUUAUCAUAACAGGAUUUAAAAUAUAGAAACAUACUGCUUAAUGUAUAAUUGAGUGAAAUGCUAGUUUACAUAGAUAUUGUGCUUAUUUGUUUUAGGUGGAUUACCAAAAGGAGCUCAUCAAGUAUUCUGCGAGCACGAUCGACCUUGAUCAUUUGGAUAUUUAAAGGAGCCAUUGAUAAAGGGAAGACGACGAGUUGUGAACCUGUGUGCCAAUUUUGCCAAUUUUGCAGACAAGCAGAAACUCUGGCACUUGCCUCUGUCCUAUCCUCCUCUCGCCGCCGUCUCCCUUCUCUCACCUCCGUCGUCUUACUCCUCCUUUCUCUGUCUCUGGAAUCCUAUCGUCAUCUUCCUCGCAUGCAAGGCUCUGGCCCUUUCAAUUGAAACCAAAACGUGUUUCAGGUGCCUAACACAACCUCUCACUACUCACUCACAUCAGUUGGUUUUUGUAAUUUGAACUUUUUUUUCUAAUAAAUUUGUAUGCUUUCUGGAUUUUUAUGGCAGUUUUGGACCUUAUCUUUUCUGAAUUUGUGUGCUUCUCUGGGUUUUUUAAUGGCAGUUCUGAGGAAGAGCAAGAAAAAGGAAGAACCAGUAUUAGAAGAUCUUCCCAAAGAGUACUGUGAUGAUGUGAGUGCCUUUAUUCUUUAACUUGGCCAAAUGGGUGCUCAAAUUUCACGUUUUUCUGUGAUUAUACGAGUAAAUUUAUGUUUUUUGUUUUUGGGUUUUGCCAAAUUCAAUGGUGGUAUUUAUGGGUUUGGUAUUGAUUUUCAGAUUAACAAUGACUUUGGGGAAAUUGAUUGAGUCUGCAUUCAAUGUAACUUUUCAUGCAGUUACAUACUGAUGAAAUAGAAUUCAAUUUUUUCAUUCCUUUUUUUUUAAAUGCAGUUACAUUUAUAUGAUGAUUUACAGCAUAUAUUUAUCUUUUAGAUUCUAAUUCUUCAUGCAGUCUAAGCCAUGAAGGAUUUGAUAAACCCACAAUUGAUAACAAUGUGCGGCGGCACCAACGGUUUUGGACAAGGAACAAGUAAGUACCAUUUUGUUUCAUUGUUUCAAAGUAUUAUGUAGAGAUUGCUUUAAUAUCUUGGCUUCUUUGCUGUUUGUGGGGUGUAUGAGAUAGGAUUUAGGAGAUCUGGUUUAGAUUUUGCAAAGAGAGUGUGUCCGAGAGAAAUGUGGGAGGAUUUAGGCGAGGGAUUUCAGGGAUUUGUUUAGGGUUUCUUUUCUGCGAUUUGCAGACAGAGAGAUGGGACAAGGGUGAGAGAGAGAUGGGAGGAUUUUCUGCGAGGGUAGAGGGAACGGGUAAGGGAGGUAUGGGUAUGGGUAGGGGAUGGAAAAACAUUUCGUUUUCCAUUUGCUUCCUCAAACCCGAGGGAUUGCUGCAAUUGCAGAGAGAGAUGGGGGUGUUCGUUAGGUCCCCUUUCAGUGUCACAUUUGUGCUUUGUCCACCCUUGAUUGUUGUGUGAUUCAUUCUCACGAACGUUCUAUGCACAAGGUUUCAUGUUAUUCCUUCCUUUUAAUUUUGAUAUUAUUGUGCUUAAUUUCUAUUUUAUUUUAUUGGGUGAUUAGAUUAACAGACUUUGGAUAUUUGGUAUAAUAAUUUCACAUCACGUGUUGCCCUUUUGCAUCACCUUAAUUGUUCAUCAGAUGCUAACUUUUAAUUAUGUUUUCUUUGGGUCAGUCUCCAUCUGGUACAUGUGUCCAUCCUUCUGGAGUGGAGCACUAUCUUUCUGACAGCAUAAAUGCUCUGAGAAGCUACUAUGGAGACAAGCAGUUGUUUACUCCGUUCUAGGUAUGUUUUUCUUUAGUAUUUUAGAGGGAUUCUUAACUAUUCCCCAUUGUAAUCUUUACCUUUGUAUCUAUCUCUCUCAAAAGACGAUGAGAGUAGCAACUGUUGCAAAGCAAAUUCUCAGAUGUAUAUAAGCAUAUACAUACAUUGGACAAAAACCGAAUCUUAAAUUGGGGCAGUGAGUUCUGCAACAUCUUGGUGCUGCAUAUAUUCUCACACUUUUAAAAGUUGUAUUUCUCAUAUACAUUGGGAAUUUUAAUUAGUUUUAUUUCAUUUUUGUAGGGCAAUUUAGUAGAUAUUUAGACAUAAAAGAAGAUGCGUGAAUCAAUACAAUUAACCUAAUAGUGAUUUGGUUCAGCGUAAAGACCAUUGCUAGGGCACUCAAGCCAUUUUCUUAAUUUAUGCGCAUAUAUAUUAUACGUAACCAGAACAUGUUUCCAAAGGAUGUUAGUUAGUGUUCAUGCUCUGCUGAUAUUUUAUUCUGUUCAUUUUGAUUUUGUUUUUCAGUUGUGGUUAUAGGAUUGUUUUGUCUCUCUUUUUUUCUUUUUUGUUUUCCCUCGUACAACUUUUCUAAAAUUGAACUGUAGUUCUCAAUUUGGUUCUUUGAACCGAGGCCAAUUGGGCUGUGCCUUUGGAAGGUCUCACUGCUAUUAAAGUUGAAUGGUGCUAACUGAAUAUAAUGCGUUCAUUCUUCGGUGUGUGUGAGUGUAUGUGUAUGCAGUCUAUGCGAGUGCAUGCAGUGCGGUUAGGUUCAUUCCCGCAUGGGUUUUCGUCUUUUUUUCGUUAAAUGGUUAGGUUCAUUCCCGUAUGGGAGAGGUGUGUUUUUGCCAUCAAAUUGGUAGAGACUGAUCUUAAUCAAAUAUCAUGCCAUAGUGUUAUUUUGUUUGCAUCUAUGGAACUAUAUAUUUACUUCGUUGUUGUUGACAGCUUCGCAUGUUCCUUCCAGAUAAUGCUGCCUUUUUGGAUUUCGUAUGAGUGUCCCGGGUCGGUUCUGGACCAACAAAAGAGGGAUGAUCGCUGUCAUUCGGACUGCAGGCGUCCACUUCAAAAUCCCGGUAAACACAUCCUUUUCUUGAUUUCAGGCCAUGCAAAAUUCAUGGUGAAAAAACUGAGCUCAUGUCGUUGGUUUGUGCCUCUGUCCUAUUUCUUAUUUAUUUAUUUAUUUUAUCAAUCCUUUUCCUUCUUGGUUCUAUUUGUUGCUGCUGGUUCCGAUAUUUCAUUGCCCUAUGUGUGCAUGAUAUCAGUGCUGCCACUUUUCAUAUUCUUAUCAAUGCUUACAUCUUCACUCUUUUCCUUCUGUUUCUUUUGCUUAACAUGGUUUCGGCUUUUUGAGAUUGUGUGUUUGAUUAACAUUUGAUCGUAUGGUGUUAGAUUUUAAAUUUGAUGUGAAUAAAUUCUGCCAGCGGGGAUUUUGGUCUCUGGAUUUUUCAUGGUGUAAUUUUUAUGGCAUGAUCCAUUGGUGUUGUGUGCAUUUUUAUCAACAAUAAUAAGCUUUUUCUCAGCAUUGCAAACAAGUUUUCUUAUAACUAAGAGACGAGUGCAUGGUGCAUGUGUCUUAAUUUAUUCAGGUUAAAUAUAUCUUAUUUAUGCAGUUAAGGUGGGUGCAUUCAAGUCCCGCAGCAACACGCGGGCAUAUUUUCUCGUUGAGACUAAAGGAGGUCUUAACGCCAAAUACUGUUCUGUAUAUUUACGAAUGGUUUAAAGUUUGGGUUUAAUUGGAUAAUCAGAGAGUAGUGCGUCAGACUAUGGAUAUUCAGAAACUGAAAGCAUAAUUCAUAUUCUUCUAACAAGUCCACGCAAAUAACCACAAUCACAAUGUUAUUUAUAACUGGCCAUGUAGAACGCAGUACAAAAGCACUAAAAGCGUCCAAGUGAAAGUACUUUCUUCUCAUGUAGUUUCAUUUAACUUAGUUUUGACAUGCCAAUCAGUCACACACUCAAGUCCUGAACGUUCGGGCUCAAUGGCUCCAAGAGAGCUUCCACUUCACUCUGAUUCACCUCCUCUAACCUUGACAGGUUCCACUUCGGAUUCUGCAUUGACAAGAAACCGAAGCCAAAGAUAAAGAUCCGUUCUGAUAUACAGAAAGUAAGAUGAUUAUAUAACUGUAGGUCUUGUAGAGGCGAUCUUAUAGCAACUCAGUCCACAAAGACGAUCUUAUAGCAAGGCGAUAUUAUCACAUCAGUCAACUUUUGUUGGUCAAGUAAAGCACAUGUUACUCACAGAAAAUGUGAAAUACUACAAAACAAAACCUAUCAAAAGGAUGCAACCAUGUGAUGAAAGAAACGAAAAGGUACGAAGUCCAGACUCACUGGAUAAUUCAUAAUUGGUUGUCAUUUUUCCCAAGCGCAGAUGCCAACUUUGGAGAAGUAAUUUUUUGUCAAAUAAAGUGAAAAAGGAGCACCCUCUCCAAGACCUUGAAGAGCUUUGUUAGCCCACUCCACUGCAAUAGAAACAAUUUGGUCGAAAAUACUUGACAGUGACAUACAAGCCUCUCAAUAGAAGAGUACGACAAACUUACCAGUAGCAUCUGAACUCAGCUGCUGCUUUUUAAGUUCAUCAAUUGUCUCAAGAACCGACUUAUUUACACCAAAUGCUGAAGUUAUUUGAGGCAAAAGCCUCUUGAGUUGCGUUCCAGAAUCUGGGUUGCUGCUGAAUUUGGCCACAGUUGUUUCAAUGUUCUGAAGGGGAUCCUGGGAACUGCAUCAACAAUGGAGUUGCUUUUAUCUCAACAAACGCAUUAGACAAUGUGAUGAUGCCAACUAAAGCAUCGGAAACGCAUAGCAAGAACAGUGCUCUGAAAUUUGAAAAGCCACUGCAAUGUAAUUGACAACAUUGACAAUCUCUGUCUGACAAGGCAAUAGUACCUCUGCAAUGAUCCGGUAGCGACCGGUGACCUGAUAGGCCAAUACCAAAGCCCACUGUUAUGUCACCCAUGAAGCUUAUAUAGGGCUUCUUGCACAGAGAUUUUGCAUAUUAGAGAAUACUCAGCAGUGGAUACCUGAAAAACCUGCAGCACAGAUAUCAUAUCGCUAGCCUCUGAAUCUUGAGAAUACUAUAAAUGGUAGCUUAUAAAAGAAAUGAAUCCUAUCCAACCAAUACAUAUCAUACUACCCAAGUCAAAGCAAAAUCAAGACUAACAAAUGAUCAGAUGUUGUAGGUUGCCCGAGAAUGCCAAACAUGAAAUUACAAAAGGAAAAAUCGUAUGUGUUGGACAUUAGUAAAUAAAUGAUGAAAGCACAAUCUUAGCAAUUAAAGAAAUGUUGAAAUUUUACAUGGGUUUUUGUAAUGUUGAAAUGUUUCCGGAUGCAAUAUGUCUUCAAAAUUCAAAACAAUUACUUACUGGAAAAUCAUAAGAAUCUGAAAGAAGUAUGAAAUGUUGACUUGCUGAUGAUGAAGCUGGAGGUAAUCUGUAGUCCAGGAGCUCAGAAUGUGAUGAUGAGGAUGAGUCUGAUGAUGACAAUGCAACACGACCUUGAUCGUGUCUCACCAUAGAACCGAUCUGGGUGUGACUUAAUCUUGACAGAAGAUGCUUUCACUUCAAAAUUUUUGCCUUUUCCCCUUUCUGUCAUCUGUAGUAAUUCUCAUUUGAUUACUGGGAUUACUAUUAUCAGAUGAUUCAUGGCUUGGUUCUGCCUCAUCAUAGAACCAAGCUGGAUGUGGGUCAGAAACAUAACCAGCACUAUUCAUAGCAAGCAUAUUUUCUUUCAUUGGCUUAUCCCACGCUAGAUUAACUCCUGUUCUCUUAACAGUAAAUAAAUAAUAAGGAUCCACACUUACAAAAGGUUCUUCAAAAAUUAUAUCAACUUUAUCCCCGCCUUGCAAAUUGAGCUUAUCGUUCGAUAGUUGUCCUAGCCAAAUAUAAUCAGGUUCAGGCAUGUCGUCUAUUUCUUCUCCGUCUAUUUCUUCUCCGCGUAUGGCUAUGCAGGCUCGCAACUCAGUACGCUUGGUGUGAUUUAUAACAGUAAUGUGAAGAGAAUAAUAAUUAUUUUUUGAGUGGUAAAAGCAGAAUAGAGUCAGGCCUUUAAAAUUACGAACACUCCGGGGAAUAUCAAAACUGACUUUAUUGCCAUUGUUGACAAACUCAAACCAACCAGGAACAUAAUUCCCAUGGAAGAAAAUGCCACCAAAUCCGCAAGAAGUCCAUCCCUAUAUAAACAAUGCAAGUGUCAUAUAUAUACAUGUACAUGUGCGUUUGUGCGUGCAUGCGCACGAUAGGAAGGCAAUUAAAAGAAAGAGGGAGAGAUACCUGUAGGAUGUUCUUCUUAAAAUUAUCUGUGAGAUUGGUGCACCUUUUCAUAUCAAUCAAUGUCAUGGAGGAUAAUGACUUAUCCAAGCCUGGAACCUCAGUGAGUUUGGACGAAUCACUUAAAUUCAGUUUUCUCAUCUUUGACAUUUCCGAAAAAUUGGGCAUUAUUUUCAAUGUAGGGCAACCAGGUGCCUUCAAGACUUCCAAAUUUGUUGGUAAAUUGGGGAUUGUAUGAAGAUUUCUGCAUUUACUGAGCUUCAGAGUUUCAAGCUUUGAAAGAUCAUUGAGGCUCGGUAGGCUACAAAAAGAAUUCCCUUUAAGAUUCAAAUCUUGUAAGGAAAUUAGACUCCCAAGAUCCUUAGGGAUUUUAUUAUCAUCUAAUUUGCACCAUGAGAGAUCUAACCGAGUGAGAUUGUUCAAUCUUACUAUGGAAGGUGGUACUCGUUUUAUGGCUGUGGAAUCUGCAUCAAGUAUUUUCAAUGAUAUCAUCUUCCCUAAAUCCUUAUGCAGUUUUUUGAAAUUUGAACAGAACGAAAGAAAAAGAGUCUCAACAGAUUUCGACUUAUAGAAAUCCCCUGGAAGAAAAAUAAGAUUGUCACAGAAUCUAAGGUUCACCAAAGAAAGUCUUUUAAGAUAACCAAUAGAGGGGUGAAUUCCGGACAAUUUAUUGCAGUAUUCCAAUAUCAACUCUUCAAGAUUUGGGACUUGUGAAAAGUCUGGUGAUUUAAUUAGGUCACUAGAAAAACUGAGAUCAAUGAUCUUCAACUUCUGGAGCGAGAGCGACUAAUGCACAAAACCAAAGAAAAAUUGAAAUUAAUAUCCAAAAAGAAAAUCUUAUAAAAAAGAAGGAAUCCAAAAACAAAUAGAAACAGAACAUUAUGACGUGUAAUUGAUUAUACCUUGGAACCCUGCCAAAACUGUACCAAUUUACUAUCGUGCAUCUGUAUAGCAACUAGUUUCUCUUGAUUUAAAAAGUCAUCUGGUAUGGACUGUAAAGGGAAUUUACUCCAACAGAACCAUAUUAACUCUUUGGGAAGAUGUUCGUAUUUUCCAUUGAGCUUAUUAGCGUAGUCGAGCCGAAGUAAUCUCAGUUUCUUCAUAUUGGCAAAUGCUUCUGUACUGAAACUAGUCUUGUCAGAGCUUGGUAACCCGGGAUAAGGGAUAUCUAGAGCAAGUCCUUCAACUUCUUCAGUUCCCUGUUAAAAAAAAAAAAAAAAAGUUUAAGUAAGAAAUAGAUUAUUUGCAUAUGUUUACAUGAUUUUGCAUAAUGAAUUAUACUUGCAUUCCCCCUUUGGGGUGACAAGCUCAUUCUGCCGCUUGCAAAUAACAUUUCUUAAUCGUACAAAUUUUCAUUGUGGAACCAUUCAAUUUCUUACUCUUAUAAUCAUUACAAAAAAUUUGAAUCAGAGAUCACUUAAUUUAGACAUCCAAAUGUAUCAAUAAAUGGAUAAUUCAUUAUUGAUAUGUUACUUAGGCAAAAUCACGUACUAUGAAUAAAUGCGAGUACUAUUGUUGGCUAAUUGAGCUUUCCUUGUGCAACUAACAUAUAUACACAUGAAUGUUGUCUAAUGUAUAAUAGACAUUUUGUUAAAGAAAAAAUGUAUAAUAGACAUACGUGGGUUAUAUAUGCUUUUCCUGUACAAUGCAUUAAUCCAAAAUUUUAUUGGGAAUAUACUUACAAAUUUAUUUGUUAAUACAUUGGUGACCUCUCGAGAAUUCCACAACCUGCUCCAUUUUCCAGGGUGACCGGGGGACUUUUCAGAAAUGAUUACUCUGGCCAUUUCUCGAAGCAAAUCAUGCAUAUACAAUAUGUUGCGUUCAACAGUUACAAGGCAUCGUUCACAGAGGACACUGAUUUCUAUUGUUGCAAAAAAUUCACAUCCAUCUAAUACUUUUGCGACAUAGUCCUUUUCCCAUCCAAUAAAGAAACAAGAUAUGUCAAGGAAAGUAGCCUUUUGUGUACGAUCCAGCUUUUCAAAGCUUACUCUUAGCGGUUUCAUUAUUCCUUCAUGAGGAAUUUUUUUUAAUUUCUCCAACUGACUUUUCCACUCUGUUGGGACUCUUUCAAUCAUAGAAGAACCUAAAACUUCAAGGGCUAGUGGCAAACCACCACAGUGAGAAACAACCUCUUUUGAGAGUUCAAGAUAUCCUUCAUUAGGACAACUAUUUCCAAAGGCAUGCCAACUAAAGAGUUUCAAAGCUUCUUCUUCAUUCAUUUCCUUAAGCGGAUAUGUCUCGUCCACUUUCAUGUUCACUUGCUUUAGUAAACGAUCAUCUCGUGUCGUUAUGAUAAUUCUACUUCCUAGGCCAAACCAAUCACGAUUUCCAGCUAUUGCAUUUAGUUGUUCCACUUUGUCUACAUUGUCAAUAAUGACAAGUACUCUUCUACUUUGGAGAUGAUGUUUUAUCAGACUGAUACCUUCAUCAACACUGGUUAUCUCACGCUUGUUCUGUUUCAAGAUGUUAGAAACAAGUUGUUCUUGCGAAACAACCAGAUCUUUUUCACUAACGUUGUUAAGGAAACUUUUGAAUUGGAACUCAUGAUGAAUUUUGUUAUAAAUGGCUUUGGCAGCUGUUGUUUUACCCAAUCCACCCAUCCCCCAAAUUCCAACCAUGCGAACAACAUUUGAUCCACCAUUUGAAAGAAAAGUGAUGAUAUCUUGAAUGCGAGUAUAUAUUCCAACUGGGUGCUUGGCCACAUGUAAACUUUCUGCGCUCGGAAGCCAUUCCGGGAUAAUCUUGUUAACAAUUUCUCUAAUAAGCUUUGCUUCGCACCUGAAAAAUUGAAUUGGUAAGCUUAGUAAGUAGGCUCAGUAUGAGCUAUUAGUAUAUUUCCUUGUUUCCUUCGCGCGCGUGUGUGCACACAAACUAUCUACUAUAGCUAGUAUGUGAUUUUGGGACCAACGUCAAUAAAAGAAACAAAUUCAUUCAUGGAUAUAUUAAAGUUUGGUGUAUCAAUUAAACUCCAAUUAUGGUUUAGGUUUUACAGGAAAUUGGAGAAAUGGUCCCUGAACUAUGAUUGAACUGUAGCUUUGGUUCUUAAACUAAAAAAUUCAAUAAAUCUUGUCCUUGAACUUAACAAAAUAUGGAGCAUUCAUCCCUCCAUGUUAACACCGUAAGAUUUUCUGUUAAUUUGAUGACGUCAUCUUUGUGGGCUCUAUAUUUUUGUUUACUAGAUGCCACGUGGCUUGAAAAUUCAAAAUAAAAGAAAAUAAAUACAAACAUAGAGAAAGAAAAAGAAAAAAAAAAUAUUUCAAUUAUAAAAGUUAACUCUCUCCAAUCCUCCCUUCCGCCUCCCCUCCUCCAAACCCCAGCCACACCAUUGUAGCACUUUCCCAACAGCAAAAACAAAGAAAGUUUAUAAUCCAAAUUUGGAACACAUCUCCCUUUGCAAACAAAUUCACAAUGACAUCCAUCCACGUUGUCUCGACAGGUAAGAUUCAAGAAAUUUGUGAGAUGUGGGUUUGGGUGACGGCUGUGGUCCAUGGGCUACAGGUUGGGGCCGGCUGGGGAGUGGGGAUUAGGGAUUUGGGGUUGGAAGUGGGAGGUUGACGGGUGUGAAUCAAAGAUUGAAGGUGAAGGGGUGGGCUGCGAGCCUGCGAGUGUUGGUGGGAUGAGGUACGCCUGCAAUUAUAUAUAUAUAUAUAUAGUAGACACUUUUAACUAAAAUUUAAAGGAAUUGGUUACGAAGGACUAAUGCUCCAUAUUUUAUCAAGUUCAAGGACAAAAUAUAAUGAAUUUUUAAUUUAGGAACCAAAGCUACAAUUUUCCUCAAGAUUUUAUAUGAGAGAUUAAGGUGUAUUAAUUAAGCAUGUUAAUUAGAGUAAUACAACUUAAAUAUUGAAAAGCACAAUGAUUACCUGCAAUUAUAUAUAUAUAUAUAUAUAUAUAUAUAUAGUAGACACUUUUAACUAAAAUUUAAAGGAAUUGGUUACGAAGGACUAACGCUCCAUAUUUUAUCAAGUUCAAGGACAAAAUAUAAUGAAUUUUUAAUUUAGGAACCAAAGCUACAAUUUUCCUCUAGAUUUUAUAUGAGAGAUUAAGGUGUAUUAAUUAAGCAUGUUAAUUAGAGUAAUACAACUUAAAUAUUGAAAAGCACAAUGAUUACCUCUUAUCAGUGAUUUGAAGAUGGUAGCCAGACAAAUUUGCAGCUUUUGUAAGAACCUCUCCCCACUGCUUUAUCCCUUCUUGUUUAGCUUCACGUUUCUUGUCAUCCUUUUCUUCACCGAUGCCCUCUUCGUGCUUCUGAAAUUCUUCAGCCAACUCUGCAGCUUCUCUAAGAGCCUCUGUCCACUGCUUUACCCUUUCUCGUUUUUCUUCACGUUUCUUGUCAUCUUUUUCUUUACUGAUGUUCUCUUCGUGUUUCUUAAAUGCUUGGGCCAAAACUCCAUUCUGCUUCCUGACAUGUGAAGGAUCAACGUGAUAGAAUAUUGGCAAAACAUGUCGCCCCAAUUUGUCUCUGCACUCCAUGAUCUUCACCAGCUCGUUAAGACACCAACUCGAAUCCGCAUACCUCUCUGAGAAGACAAUGAUAUAGAUCUUCGAUUUUUCGAUUGCCUGUUCCAGUUCUUUUUUUAUUUCUUCCCCUCUUUCUAGAUCGUCCUCAUCGAUAUACGCUUGAUAUCCCCUAUCUGUUAAUGCCGCGUGGAGGUGGUCCGUGAAGCCACUGUGUGUGUCUACACCGCUGAAGCUCAAGAACACGUCGUAAUUCCAAAGUUUUGACUUGGGGGAGGAUGAAGAGGAGGCUUCAUGGUUUGUCAUGGCGGUAUCCACUGUUAUGGCACUGCAGUGGUUCAGAUUAUGACUGAAAAAUGGCAGUAGUUGUGUUUGUGCUAUUGAACAGAUGAUCCUGAAACACCUAAACCCAAGUCAAGCUCCUUAAGUCAACAAGAACAAAGUUUAUAAUAUAAUAAUGUUGGCGUAUGGAAACGACAUAAUGUUGGCCAGAAGGUGCAGAGACAAACUUGAAUGCAAGCUUUCUGAAAUCUUCCAACCAAUACAGAUAAAAAGGUAACACCCUAGUCAGAAAUGAACUGAGGUGUUAGCUUUCUAAGACACCCAGAUGACAAAAUCAACAAAAUAGAAUGGAAAACUGACUUACACUUUUAAGGCAUGCUAGAAUCUUGAUCUAAAAUUGGUGGUGGGUCGAUUGUUGGUCACCAACUCUAAAUGAAGAAUUCAUCAGAACCUAGAAAAUUAAACAAAGAACUUUCCAAAAUCAACAUUUACUAAAAACCAUUUACUUGGUUAUCAUGCAAGAUGGCUUGCCAAAGAUUGAAUUAAGGAAUGCAAAACUUUACUUUUAUGAUGAUUUCCAAUGACAGCUAAAAGGUCAGAACCAAAUGAAAAUAAAAGUUAGGACUUCACAAAACCAAUUAAAAUCUAAUUCCAAAGUUACAAACACCCACCAAAUGAUUCCAGAUAAAGUUUUAAACUCAAGGUCAGACCCAAAUGAAAUUAAAAGUUAGGACUUCACAAAACCAAUUGAAAAUCUGAUUCCAAAGUUUCAAACACACACCAAAUGAUUCCGAAUAAAGUUUAAACUAAAAAACCCAACAGAAACAAAAGCAUUGGUGUGAAUUAACAGUAUCUAAUUGAAGAAACUAAAACAAAAGUAAAGUAAAGUAUAUACCUCAAAAUAUCAAGCAAUUAAGUUCUUCCUCCGAUGACCCAAAACUCUGAAAAUUCCACACAAAAAAAAAGGUAAAUCCAUUAGCAAUUCAUAGCUUUCAAAAUCAGCAAAAACUUGGGCAACAAUAAAGAUGCGUUGAGAACCAUCACUCUUUCUCCUUAUGUAUUUGAAAAGAUAUUUUAUAAGCAAUUUAUGUAGUCAUUCUGAUCAUGUUGCAUAUAAAUUCCUUUUCUACAGAGUUCAAAAAAAAUAGGGCAGUUUAUGGCAUCUGUUGAAUAACAUGGUUGAAAGAUUUAAAAUUGAUAAAUUCAAUUUUUAUGUGUAAAACUAUAACAUAUAGCUAAAGCUAUUGGGUCUAUAUAUCCAUAUCAAUCAUGUCGUAAUUGAAGGUUUAUCGAUGUAAAUAGAUGAUUUCAGUCAUGUGAAGUAUAUGCUGAAGUUUGGUCUAAGUUAGAUAAAAAUUGACCAAAAUCUUAAUAAGAGACUCUUUUAGCUUUUAACCAAAAAAUGAGCACCACAAUACUACACUUAUAAGUUUUAUCAUGCACAAAAUACAUAGCACUGAUUGCUACUUUUAGAGCAAGAACAAUACUUUCCAAGAAAACAACAAAACACUCAAAACCCAGAAACAGAAACACACUUAGGACUCCAACUCCUCAAAAACAUGAGAAAGAGAGAGAGUGUGUGCGAGGAGAGAGAAUAAAAAACCAUAUUAAUUUUCACACAAACUCAAAAUUGCUUAUAAAAUUACAAAUCAAAACAAAUGAAAGCAAAUCCAAAUUGCCCUAAAUUAAAUCUGAUUAGUUAAACGUUUGUUGCCCUACAAAUGUCGUUACACCCGACACAACUUGCUUUGAAGUUGAUAUUUUGGUCAAUCCAGGGAAAAAGGAGUUAUUGGUUUUGGAGCGGUUGUCAUGGAGAAUACCAUCUCCCUGUUGAAUGAUCUAAAAAAGGACUUACAGCUUCUGCUGGCCAUAAUAAGGCCCUUCUCUCCAGAUUUUCUCAAUAACUUUCCUUUUCGUAGCUGGUAAGAUUGCAACUCCAAGAAUUGCUCUGAAGAGAUAUACAAAAAAAUCAAACUAAAACUAAGCUAUUGGAAGAAAUUUAGAAAACACAAACAUCACUACAACUCAGAUUUAAAGUCAACAGAAACCAAAUGGUAGAAGUUGAAAAAAUACAUGGUCAUGAAUCGAGAACUUCAUCAAGCUACAACAACAACAACAACAACAAAGCCUUUUCCCACUAAGUGGGGUCGGCUAUAUGAAUCCUAGAACGCCAUUGCGCUCGGUUUUGUGUCAUGUCCUCCGUUAGAUCCAAGUACUCUAAGUCUUUUCUUAGAGUCUCUUCCAAAGUUUUCCUAGGUCUUCCUCUACCCCUUCGGCCCUGAACCUCUGUCCCGUAGUCACAUCUUCGAACCGGAGCGUCAGUCGGCCUUCAUCAAGCUAACAGCAAUAAAAUCUCAUAUAAUCUGUCAAAAACCAAAAAAGAGAGAGAGGUAAUUUCAAGACCUUGUAAUGCCGAGGCCUCGUACAAUUGUAGUAAUAAUAUAUGGUUGAUGCACCUGUUGCUCAAUCAAAUCCUUUGUCUGGCUAAAAAAAAUAAAAAUCUAUAAAUACAUUCAUGUCCAAUUUAUGAGAAAUCAUGGGAAAGCAAAUGCACUGAUAACGGAAUCAUGAAUAUGAAAAACUUGCCAAAAAGAAAAAGAAAACUUCUUAUAGUGUGCCAAGAACAUCCUCCUACUCCUAGCAAACUUUUUAUGGCAUUAUCCACUUCUCAAUUCAUAAUUCAACCACUAACUCAAAGUCUAUAGUGUAUGAAAAAGUGAUAUCUUAGUUGAUCACGAUGAUAAUUAAGCAGAUUAAAUGACAACCCAUAAAGCAUACAAAUUCAGAAAAGAAAAGGUUCAAAACUGCCAUAAGAAAACAUAGAAUAUAUAAACGGGAAAUCAAAAGAAGAGAGGCGAAAAAGGAAGAAAAAACCAAACAAAAUUAUUAGGUUUGGGAUAUACCUUUAUCUGAAACGCCACAAUCAUCAAAGUCAAACAUAAACAAUCCAAAAAGUUGUGGAAAAUAACAAUAAAUGCUCAACGAAAAACGAAAGAAACGUAGAAUAAGUUUACCUGUCCUCCCCCUAAUAAUACAAUUCACCACUUAUAUUCUCGUCAUCCUCUUCAGCCUGAAAAAUUUAGUAGAAAUAUUCAAUGAAGGCGCUUAAUGGAGACAGUAAUAUUAGCAAUGGAGGAAUUGAAUUGAUAACUAAAACUGCAAGACCAAUUGACUACGAUAGGUUCAAAACAGAAACUCAUCUGUUAGAUGUCUCAUCUUUAGGCAGUGCCUUGUUCUUUUCUUUUUUUUGUUCUUUUUUUUUUUUUGUUUUUGGUUGCACGUCUUGUGACGUUCAUGUAAAUGAACAAAAUUGAUACUUUUGACACAACCAACAAUGGAGAGGUAAAAAGUUAAAAACAGAAGGAAUGUCUUUUGUUAUGUAAUAGAUUUUGCAAGUCAGAAAUUCUGUUCGAGAAUUUGCAACCCAGAAAGUCCGCCAGCAAUUAUUAACAAUCACAGAUAAGCACCGAAUGAAGGCCAAUCUAAUAAGCCAAAAUAUGUAGGGCACUAAAGAAAUUAUUGCCCAGUAACAAAUGAUAGAUAAGCACAUGUGAAACUAAAGAAAUUUUUCCUUACUAUCAACUCCAAAAAAAUAACCUAUACAAUUCAAAAAAUGUUGAUACAUGCCUGAAAUUGGUAUUUGAACCACCAACUACCUCCGUGAAUAUGUUUGUUUGCUUAAUGGUUUGCGUUGAAGUUGUGAAAGGAAAUGCAAUUUCUUAAAAGAAGGAGAAUGCAGAGACAAAUACAGAAUGGUUCACGUGGCCACCCUCAAAACAAUAAUGUCGUAUACAUUAAGCCUGCCAAUUACUAAAAACAAAACAUUUUGCCAUGAGGAGAAGUAAGAACAUACCGAAACUUGUUUGCAAAUAGAUGAGAAAAAUUAUACCUCAAACAGAUGGGAAAUUUAUUAGGAAAGAUAGAUCAGCCCACAUGUGUGUAAUCUAUAUACAAAAAACCACUCUCUUCAUUAGCCAAAUCGUUUCAUAAAUCCAACAACACAUAAUUAUAUCUUGAACAAUGCCAAUUAAUGAUUUCCCAUUUACUUAAGCCGGACAACAAAGCCAAUGAACUGAUGAAAGAGCGAAAAAGAGAAACAAAAAACCUCAAUUAAGCAAUUAAAUGGAGUAUUACUUGAUAGAGCUGGAAAUUACCCAAUUCCUCAGAGAGAGGAUCAAGAGUGACUGAUGAGAGUGCAGAGAAACGAAUUAUUGAGAAAUUCAAGUUCUGAGCUCAAAGUUGGGGCCUCCACUUUCCAACUGGGGAAGAAAUAACAGAGAAAACACAGAGAGAGCCAAUCCACCAAAAAUAUUAAUCAAAUGGGUUUCUUCUAAUUCAAAAUUUGGACCACCCAAUUUCCGAUGAAGCAAUAACCAUUCAAAAUUCCAACAGAUUGAAGCCCUCACAGACUACAAAUUAUCAAUACCCAGCAAUAAAAAAUUUGAAAACAGUAAUAAUGAAGGAAAAAGAAAUUAAAGCUGCGAGCCAUUCUCUAAAUCUCAGGCACCAAUCCAAAUCACCAGUAAUUUGCACAUAAUGAUAAGAAUCUAGCGGUAUUUCCAUUGUUUAAAAACCCAAAUUCAAGAAAUCAUGAAAAAUGGAAACUUUAUUUGGAAAUUGAAGCUUUACCUGCAGAUCAGCAGCAGCAAACGGAAUCCAACGGCAUGUACCUCAAAAGUGAGAGAGAGAGAGAGAGUUGAGAGAUGAGUGAGAGAAUCGAUAAACAAAACCCCCCAAAAUCACAAAAGGAAAAUUGAACAGAAAACAAAUUUGCAAAUCCAAAAUCACAAAAACGAAAUUGAAACACCCACACUGAGAAAGCUGCAAUACUCACCAGGAAGCUAGCUUUUCUGGGUAAAAAAAUUGUUCGAAUCGAAUUGAAGAACCGAGGAAAAUUCUACUGGUUCAGUGGUUUUUCCAGCAAGAAAGCACCUUGUUUGUAAUUCGUGAGAGGUUGGACGGCGAGAGAGAAAAACGUAAAGGAAAGGAAAAGCGGAGAAGAAGUCACGAUUAUCGACGCGUGGGUUGCAUUCCACUGUGCCAAGUUCGAAAAUGAACGGGGAAUGGGGAGCUUGGCUGAGGGAGACAGAAUUCGAGAAGCAACGUUCUGAUUUUUUUUUUUAUAUGAGAGAGGGAAAGAGGAAUGAAGAGAAUCGACAAGAGGAGGAACCAUUUUAAGCGAUGAUGGACGCGUGGGAAUUGAGGGCAAAUUUGCCAUUUUGCUGUGAACCCAAAAGUCAAGACUUGGCUUGGUUUAUAUAAUUAAUCAAUAAUAUUUCAUAACAAGAGCUAGGUCCAUAUAUUAUACAAGGUUCUAAUAUAAUAGAUGUUGUGGCUAGGCGAGGCUUAUUGUCUAUGCGAAUUUAAGUAAAUUUACUCUAUAUUAAAUAAAUAAAUAUAUUUUUACACUUAAAAUGACACAUAAUUGUAUUGUGAUAUAUAAAUUAUAAAAUAAAAUGAUAUAUAUAUUAUAAAGUAUUGGAGACCCAAAUGUGAAAUGACAACUAUAAACAAUUAUUCAAGGUGGACGGUAAAUGAUUCAGCCAUUUACAAGAUUCAAAACGUAGGAUCACGAUCUACUGGAUGAUUGUAUUAACUAUUAGGCGGUGCUCUAAUAUAAUACAUCCAAAUGGGGGUGGACCACAUAAUACACCCAAUAGGUCGUUUUAAGCUACUCCACUGCUAAAACUAUUGCAAAAUGCGCAUUAGGAUUUAUACUUCUAUUAGCUACGCCUUUCCUUACUAGGCAAAUGAACCAUAUAGUACACCAAGAUGGAUGUUAUACACGUUGGAGUUUGAGCAGAAUUCUUUUUGUUAUCAUGUCUCACAUUGCUAGAAUUGAAAAGUUCAUAAUAUAAUAACAUUCACGUAUGAACUUGAGAAACAACAUACUACUGGUUGGCCUGGAAGGUGCAGUGAAGGAGAGGAAAGAAAGUAACAAACACGAAAGGAUAAGGACUAUCCAAUAGAUUAUAAACAAUGACUUCUUGGGGGUGAUUACAGCUAUUCAACCAUCAAUAAUGCAUUAUUUUAGUUUGGAAUUUGGAAGCAUUUGAGAAGUAACAUGACAACAACCACAUAAUAAACAAAGAUGAUUAGAAAAAAGACCCGAAUGUGAAAGAAUAAUUAAAAACAAUUAUUCAAGAUUAGUGAUAAAUGAUUCAACCAUUUACAAGAUAUGAACUUAGAACAACAAUCUAUUAGAUCGUUGUAUUAAUUAUUAAGUGGUGCUCUAAUAUAAUAGAUCCAAAUCGGAACGGACCACAUAAUACACCCAAAUGGAUCAUUUUUAGGCUCCACUGCUAAAAACUAAUGCACCAUGGGCAUUAGGAGUAGACUUUUAUAGCUAUCUUUCCUUACUAGUCAAAUGAACCAUACAAUACACCCAAAUGGAUGCCAUCAUGCCAUAUAUAAACAAUGUUUUGAAAGGACAAGGUAGCUAACGCUGUCUUUUUAUAUAUGUAAGCAACAACCCUAAAUGAAUCUUAUUGGAGCUAAUUAACUAAUGUAUUUAUUAGACAGUUGGAUUCCUUAGCAAGGGGUUAACUAUUUUUGUUUAGAUUAGUAGUCAGGUGGUAAUUAAUUAGUCAAAUGAACCAUAUAAUACACCCAAAUGGAUGUGCAUAUAUAAACAAUGUUUUCGAAGGAUGAAAUGACUUUCUUGCCGGUAUGGGGGAAGAGGAUUGCGCGAAAAUUUUCGCACUAAUCUAAAUAUUGUGUUUCAAGCUUUGAAAAACCAUUGAAGCUUUGAAAAGUUUGGUGAUUUUGUUAGGUUAUGUGUAUGAGUGACAUUAAUAAUUUUCAACUUCCCAAGCAAUUGUUACACAAAAUUAAAUUUAAAAUCCAAGAGGCCGUGGUUACAGCUAUUCAACUUUUGUAGAUUUUCCGGUUUUAUGAGAUUGGCAUUCUUUUUCAACACAACUUCUAUUGAGUUCAUAUAAACUAUUAUAUGAAGGAGAAAUGGUAAAAAGACUCCCUCAAAAUCCCAAAUGUGAUAGGAGAAAAGACACAAAUAUGAAACAAUUAAAAACAAUUAUUCAAGGUGGGUAGUAAAUGAUUCAGUCAUUUACAAGAUUCAAACAUGGGACCACGAUCUACUGGAUGACUGUAUUAACUAUUAGGCGGUGCUUUGAUAUAAUACAUCCAAAUGGGGGUGGACCACAUAAUACACCCCAAUGGUUCGCUAAAAACUAUUGCAAAAUGCGCGUUGGGCUUAUACUUCUAUUAGCUGCGCCUUUCCUUACUAGGCAAAUGAACCAUAUCCAAAAUGGAUGUUAUACACGUUAGAGUUUGACCAUAAUUUUUUUCGGUUAUCUCAUUGUCUCACAUUGCUAGAAUUGAAAAGUUUUAAUAACGUUUGUGUAUGAACUUGAGAGACGACAUACUAUCGGCCGGCGGGGAAGGUGCAGUGAAAGAGAGGAAAGGAAGAAAGAAGUCAACACGGAAUGACAAAGACUAACCAAUAGGUUAUAAGCAAUUACUUCUUGGGGUGAUUACAGCUAUUCAACUAUCAACAACGCAUUAUUUUAGUUUGGAAUUUGGAAGCAUUUGAGAAGUAACAUGGCAACAACCACAUACUAAACUAAAGUGAUUAGAAAAAAGACCCAAAAUGUGAAAGAAUAAUUAAAAACAAUUAUUUAAGAUAAGCGAUAAAUGAUUCAACUAUUUACAAGAUAUGAACUUAGAACAACAAUCUAUUUGAUCGUUGUAUUAACUAUUAAGUGGUGUUCUAAUAUAAUAGAUCCAAAUGGGGACCGACCAUAUAAUACACCCAAAUGGACCAUUUUUAGGCUCCACUGCUAAAAACUAAUGCAAAGUGGACAUUAGGAUUAAACUUGUAUUAGCUAUCUUUCCUUACUAGUCAAAUGAACCAUACAAUACACCCAAAUGGAUGGCAUCAUGCCAUAUAUAAACAAUGUUUUGAAGGGACAAGGUAGCUAACGCUGUCUUUUUAUAUAUGUAAGCAACAACCCUAAAUGAAUUUUACUGGAGCUAAUUAACUAAUGUAUUUAUUAGACAGUUGGAUUCCUUAGCAAGUGGUUAACUAGUUUUGUUUAGUUUAGUAGUCAGGUCGUAAUUAAUUAGUCAAAUGAACCUGCAUAUAACACACGCAAAUGGAUGCCAUAUAUGCAUACUAUUUUUGUUUAGUUUAGUAGUCAGGUCGUAAUUAAUUAGUCAAAUGAACCUGCAUAUAACACACCCAAAUGGAUGCCAUAUAUGCAUAUAUAAACAAUGUUUUCAAAGGAUGAAAUGACUUUCUUGCCGGUAUGGGGGGAAGAGGAAAGAAACUAGCACGAAACUGCAGACCCUAUCGAUCCAUUAUAAUAAAUUUCAAUGGUCCAAGUUGUAAGUUAAUUGUGUAACGUAAAAACUUAUUUACAGUUAUCAACUUAACCACGUACAUGUGGAAGACAUUAUCUCAGAAAACUAGAAAGUUCAAUUGCAACUCUACACAACUGAAAGCAAGGCUCGCUCAAUAGGGCUUGAGUUUUUUUGUAAACUUGCGUAUUUUUGUAAACGCAUCACAUAGUAGUUAAAACAUCCGGCCGUAAAUAAAGGGUUUGAGUGUCACAUCCUAGCUCGGGGCAGACCACUUCCCGGGCUCACUCCACUACCGUAGCAUGAUAUUGUCCGCUUUGGGCCCCGACCACGCCAUUACGGUUUUGUUUCUAGGAACUCACGAGCAACUUCCCAGUGGAUCACCCAUUAUGGGAGUGCUCUGGCCACCUUCUCGCUUAACUUCGGAGUUCCGAAGGAACCCGAAGCCAGUGAGCUCCCAAAAGGCCUCAUGCUAGAUAGGGAUGAGAAUAUACAUUUAAGGAUCACUCCCCUGGGCGAUGUGGGAUGUUACAAUCCACCCCCCUUAGGGGCCUGACGUCCUCGUCGGCACACUUCCGGCCAGGGAUUGGCUCUGAUACCAUUGUCACAUCCCGGCCCGGGGCAGAACACUUCCCGGGCCCGCUCCACCACCGUAGCACGAUAUUGUCCACUUUGGGCUUACCAUUCCCUCACGGUUUUGUUUUUGGGAACUCACGAGCAACUUCCCAGUGGGUCACCUAUCCUGGGAGUGCUCUGGCCCCCUUCUCGCUUAACUUCGGAGUUCCUACGGAACCCGAAGCCAGUGAACUCCCAAAAGGCCUCGUGAUAGGUAGGGAUGAGAAUAUACAUUUAAGUAUCACUCCUCUGAGCGAUGUGGGAUGUCACAAUCCAAUUGUAACAGUGUCAUGAUCAGACUUGUAAGACUGUCUUUAAUAAGAAGUUGUUGCGUUUUGUCAAAACUAGGUAUGGGCAACGGUUAUGGCGGGCGGGUAACCGCGGUUAAUUAUCCAUAACCGUUUAUUCUCAUACAUGCAUAACUGUUUACCCGUUGGGUAAUUGUCUAAACGGUUAUACCCAUACCCAUAACCGUUUAUAAACGGUUAACCAUAACCAUAACCGUGUACCCAUUUAACCGUAACCGUUUAGUACCCAUUUACCCAUUUAUCAUUUUUAAACCCGUUUAUCCUUUCUUUUUUACCAUUUACUCAUUUUUCACGCAUCUACGUGUUUUUUUAACAACUUGAAAAUUAAAAAAGAAAAAUUUGUCAUAAUUUUCUUUUUCUAACAAUUAAACACCGUUGUAGUAUUCAUCAUACAUUUCCGUAUUUUAAUUUUUAAGUCCUUAUACCAUUUCAAUAAUUGAAAUAAUAGUUUACAGACAAUAUUUUUAAUUGUUAGCAAUGAAGGUAAUAUAAAAUUUGCUAAGUAUUCUUUGGUUACGAAAACUGUUAAAAGACAGUAUUCUUGGGUUAUUUAACUCAGAAUGUAUAAUAUAUAUAAUGGACCAUGAAAUUUAAAGUGGUUAAGGAAAACUAUAUUAUAUUAGCUAUAGAAAUCAUGCACUAUAGUCAAUAGCAUUGAUCUAAGUUUUGUCCGAUAGUGAACAUGGUUUGUGUUAAUUUUACAUAUAUAAAAUAAAUGGGUAAAUGGUUACCCGUUUAUAACCACGGUUAAUACCCAUACCGCCCAUUUAAAUUUCACGAGUAAACGCCCAUAACUGUAACCGUGAAAUUUAAAUAGGCGGAUAACCGCAGUUACCCAUAACCAAUGAGUAUUUACCCAUCCCUAGUCAAAACCGGUCCAUCUAAUUACAAAUUGUAACCAUAUUAGUUGAGUGCAUAUGCUACAUCACAUUUAGUGAAUAUUCAGUACGGGUGACACAUGGUCAGACUUGUAGGUUGUUCAUUAAGAAGUUAGUUACCACGUUCUCAAGAGUGGAGCUAGAGGGGAGCACUUCCCUACCAAAGUGUUUUCCUUCUCCCCUUUGCAAGGGAUUUGUGUCACUAUUAGAUAGGAGAUUCAAACACAAGACCUUCAAUUGAGAGGUAAACGCUUUUACAAAGCUUCUACGAGCACCUUCUUGUUUACCAAACUUAUUGAGACUAAAGGAGGUCUUAACGCCAUUUUGGCUAAUACUAUUCUGUAUAUUUACGAAUGGUUUUAAGUUUGGGUUUAAUUGGAUAAUCAGAUAGUAGUGCAUCAAACUAUGGAUAUUCAGAAACCGAAAGCAUAAUUCAUAUUCCUCCAACAAGUCCACGCAAAUAACCACAAUCAGAAUGUUAGUUCAUAACUGGCCAUAUAGAACGCAGUACAAAAGCACUAAAAGCGUCCAAGUGAAAGUGCUUUCUCCUCAUGUAGUUUCAUUUAACUUAGUUUCACAUGCCACUCCGUCACACACUCAACUCCUCAACGUUCGGGCUCAAAGCAUUCUUUAUCCCUUCUGCACGAGAGACAAUAAGUUUAAAGUUCUUGUGAUGAAAUCAUGUAAAACAUUCAGAAAUCUUGAUUUAACCCUUUAUCAAGAUCAUAGGUUGUGUCAUCUCAACUUAUAUCUUAGGUCUUAUGAGUGCUCGUAAUACACUAAUAUGACACUUGUUUUCUGGCCAGGACAGAAACAAAAUCAUGCAGGAAAUUGUCAUGACAACUUCAGUGUAAAAUAAAGGUCGUACCCAGUGCACAAGGCUCCCGCUUUACGCAGGGUCUGGGAGAGGUGAAUGUCGGCUAACCUUACCCCCAUUUAUGGAGAGGCUGCUCCCAAACAACUUCAGUGUAAAAUGCGACCGGAAAAACACUAAACAAGAUUGCUAUGCUCUCUUAGUGUAAACCUUAACAACAAAGACUAUACCGUAUCUGUCACAGUGAUAUGCGACCAUAAGCCCAACUCCAAGAGCUUUGAAGGCUACAAAUCAAAAGUUACAUGCAGUGACGACAUAAUCAUGAAAAAAUACAAUCAUAAAUUAAAGGAAAACAUACCGACUUCUAGUUCUGGCAAUUCACUAUUGGGCCAUAUAUUUGAACCACAGUAUGAUGGAUACCUACAAUACAGAUCACAAAUAAAAUCUGAGCAGACACAAAGUAUUAUGUUCUGUUUACACAAAAUCUGUAAGUUCUCAAAUAGGAUAAAUAAAGAUAAACAUAUCCCAGCAUAAAGACGAUUUGUCCUGGCUAAUUCUAAGAAACCUUGUAUCAAAUGUAUGAUAGUUAUUCAUAACUAACACAAACAAUAGUUUUGCCGAACAUUUCUGGUCUGAGCCGUAUACUGUGUGACCUCAGACAAAACAGAUCCCACAUGGACCCAGAUUAUGAUUGAUGUCCCUAUAGACUUUUACCUUUGAAUUAGAGAUUCAUCUGUUGUAGGGCUUCCAAUAUUGGAUUUGCAUAAAACGAGCCUUUUAACGUAUCUGCAAAACCAGAACAGAAACGGAAAAUGAAUGAUCCUACGUUCUUAGAGUUUCCAAAGAAACAAAAUUUAAAACAAAGAACAUAAAGUGAUACCAGGCUUUCCAGAUUCCAGCUUCUCUUUUCCAUGACUCCAUCCAAAAUUGUACCUAAACAUGGAUGGCAGGUAAAAAGAAGAUAAGCAAUAAGACUUUGUAAAGAUUCCCAAGAAAAGCAAUAAAACUACGUAAAUAUUAGUUAAUAAUGCCAAGACCAUAGUCUGUGACAAAUCCAAGAGUUGAGAUGAGACUAUCUUUCAGGCAGGAAUUUUUGGAAUUUUUCUCUAUUGGGACUAAAAUGAAAGCAUAACAAUGGGACUAAAAUGACUUAGCUACUAUGAGGAUCUUCAAGUUCCUUCUUCACCUCUUCGGGCAGAUUGGCUAAUCUAAUAAACGAAAAGAAAACUCCCAUGAGCAGUGCUAUAACAAACUAUCUUCCUAAAUUCAUUAUGAAUUGCAGUUAAAACUUAAAAUGAACAUGAAAAUCCUACGUAGAAGGGAUAUACCUAGGUGACAAGCCUAGAAGAUUCUCACGCAAGGAAGAAUAUCCCGGAACCUACUGCCAUUAAGGUUGUUAUUAAUAUCAAUUCAUGUAUAUUUCCGCAUGUGUCAUAUUAUUAAGUUAGACAGUGAAAAAUAUAUAUCGGAUGUUAUGAGAAUAUGUGUGGCUGUCAAGCUUGACACGUGAAUAACAUGCUCUCUACUACUUUAUUACACUGUGAAGAUUUUAUCCAAAAUUAAUUGACGAUGAGCGAAUAAACUGAAAGAUUAUGCGCUACUUUGAUUAUGCAACGAGUGAAGAGGCAAUUUACGCCAACCUCCAGUCAAGAAUUUGGACUCACAAUCACUAGCCAAUAUGCUUUUUUCUCACAUUUCCCCUGACACGGCAAGUUCAUUGUUCAAUAUUCUGGUUCUGGUGUCCUAUGACCCUGACACGGCAAGUUCCACUUUUUGUUCAUUUUCUUGACGAAACCAUCACACUUACCCUUACGGCACGGCACGGUUCCGGGCAUAGAGCAUGGAUUGGGUUUCGUUGCAGUCCCGACACUACUUAGCACUGUAGAGAAGGAAAUACAAAGACAAGUUUGGAUUUCUUACAACGUAUUGAGUCUCUCGUCAUGGCUCUUGCUGUGUUGUUCUUAUUUCACAUCCUGUUUCUCGAGUUUGGUGUUUCCGGUUGCAAAUUUGGUUCGGCAGUGUAGUGCUCAAGAGAGGGGACUGUCUCACAUUGUUCCAAGCAGACACAGGCGGUUGACAACGAUUGCGAUAAUGUGUUUUUCUACUGGGAGAACAUACAGCAGUCAGCAGUCAUCUUUUCACAACCGUCUUCAGUAUUUGGAGGCACCUCAAGAAAUUAUCAAGGACAAACGAAUGUAGAAAAGAAGAAAUAUCGAAGUUAGUUGACAAAAGGGGCCGAAAAAUUGUGAGAUACAGAGAAGAAGAUUAGACGAAACUCGAUGCAAAUUUUAAGCUAGAUUAGUUAUUUUUCAUUAACGAGCGAUACAGAGAAGAAGAAACAGCUGCAUUUGGAGAAAGCUGCUUUAGUUGCCUAGUUUGUAACAUUAGCUUUCUGUAAUUCCGGGGAAGAAACAGGAGUAAAAAAAAAACACAAUCAGGCAGUACCAAAAAAGAAAAAUGUACAAUUAGGAACAAUCGCCACUUCUCAAACUUUGUAGUAGAUCCAGGUAUCUGAUGGACUCGGGGCUAAUGUACCUGCAUUAACAAGAAACAAAAAUCAGAUUUGUGGAAGGGAGUCACAUAGUGGUUAAAAUACUUGGCCGUGCAUGAAUGGUUUGAGAUACCAUCAUAGAGGCAUCCUCCAGGUGUGAGUUUCUCUCGUAUCUGAUCACUUAUUAUAAGAAUAUCAGUAGUGAAAGUGAAAUACCCGUGUCGGGAAAGGAAGUCAAUGAUGACAAAAGAGCAAUUUGGCUUGAAAUAUUGUGUCCUCCGUAUGAUGCUUGCAACAUGCAUCACCGAAUCCACUUGAAGCUCUCCACCUCUCCAUCUGUUAAAUGUUUCAUAAGCAGCAUUGUUAAAGUUCUCUCUAUUUGGGGGGAUAUUGCAGAUGGUUUUGAAUGAAGAAAGGCAAAAAUUCAUGCAGAAGGCAUAAUUUACAACUAGUUUUGUAAAAGCUAAGCUCUAAAGGUCUCACCUUGAUUCUUUGGCACAAAUAGCUAAAGUUUUGAGAUGGGACAAAAUGGGUCCCAAGACCCACAUACAGCGCAUCCGAUGGUGUUGAAAUCCUUUUCCCAGUAAGUCAAAGAUAAGCGCCAAGAAAGACAUGACAGUGUUAAACUUAAAACAAAUACAGAACUAAGAAUUGAUGCAUGAAUCAAACAGAGAAAUGGUACAGGCCAUUCUCUUUAUAUUCUUAUAAUCUAAACAUUUCUCCUUAUCAACACUGGAAAAACAGCUUGCUUCAGUCAUAGGAAAUAAAUUGCGCCUGGAGUAUAGAAAAGACAUACCUACAGAUCCUCCUCCUGGACUCUUUGCCGCUAUACGUGAAAACCCAACAUCUGGGAACAAACAAAUUACAUUCUCUGCCAUAGCAAGAACAGUCCUCUGAAAUGUAUCCAUACAAAGUUAAGACACAAAAAAUUCAAAAAGGCAAUGUAAUUCACAACAUUGACAAUCUCUGUCUGACAAGGCAAUAAUACCUCUGUAAUGAUCUGGUAGUGACCGUGACCUGAUAGGCCAACACCAAAGCCCAUUGUUAUGCCAUCCAUGAAGAUAGGGCUUCUUGUACUCAGAGAUUUUGCAUAUUAGAGAAUACUCAGCAGUGAAUACCUGAAAAACAUGCAGCACAAGUAUCAUACCGGUAGCCUCUCAAUCUUAAGAAAUGGUAGCUUAGAAAAGAUAUGAAUCCUAUCCAACCAAUACAAAUCAUAUUACCCAAGUUCAAGCAAAAUCACGACUAAACAAAUGAUCAGAUGUUGUAGGUUGCCCGAGAAUGUCAAACAUGAAAUUACAAAAGAAAAAAAAACAAUCGUAUGUAUUGAACAUUAAUAAAUACUUGCUGAAAGCACAAUCUUAGCUGCAAUUUAUGACAUUUAUACGAGAUUGAAUAGCCAAAGCAAUUAAAGAAGUAGCAGAACUCAUAUAAGUGAUUUUCACUUUGAACUUUUAGGCUUAUCAGCAAAUACAUCAUUACGAUUCUAACGCAUGAAUUUUGUUAAAAGGGGCUUGCUUGCUUGUAUUAAGGCUUAAUCAUCAAUGAUUUUGCAAGGGUCAAUCGUCUUGCUAGUUGUAAAUCCAUGCACUAUGAAAAUUACCAAAAUUACAUCUUAUAUGGUAGAGAAGGAAGUCAUCUUAUAUUAUCUGGAUUUUAGAAGACGGUGUAAGGUUAUAAGUCUGUUAUUCUAUAUAGUUUAAAGGACACAAUUAGACAACAAUCAUAUUCGGUGGUUGGUUUUUGGCCGUGAUCUGCUUCACAUCACCGCCCGCAGGUAAUCUAAAUCUGGGUUAUUACUUAUCAAUGAAUCAAAGUGCCAACUUAUCGGACACCAACUAUCUCUCUAUGGCAAAAAAAUAACACAAAAAGGAACAAUGAAGUGAAACAAUAAACAACAUGACAUGAAACAGCACAAACAUCAAAGACCAACAAUCUAUCACAUAAGCACCUAAACAAGAAACAACUUUAGUUCAAAGCAAAGCGUAAUGUAGAAACCUUCAGCACAAGAGGCGUGUUUUUGUCCUUUUGAAUUUCGGCAACAACAACUUUAAUAUCCUUACCUGCAUUUACCAUGAUUGGUCACUCUCAAAACCUUACCUAAGAGACCCAAAAACCAAAAUAACUGCUAAAAGAGCUGAACAUACAUAUCUAGAAAAACUUAUUCAACUACAUGCUAAAAUGGAAGUGUAAAAUUGCCAGGAAAGAUAAGAAACUAUUCAAAUACGAGUUCUGGGCGUUACCGCCACAAAAGGCACGAGCCGAGCGGCUAUCAACAAGAACACACUUCACAUUUGGGUCAGAUUCCCAUUCAUCCAGAUAGCUCUUGUAUUUCACAUCCAAAUCUGCAUUUUCCAACAAUUCCCACUUAAACAGAAACACAAAAUUCUUCCAAAAAGAGCUAACUUCUUUGAAAUUUGAAUCCAACGUUUCGUCUUAUAACAAAUGCAAUAACAUAGAUUUGUAAUCAAUACGAUGCCAUAAAGUUCAAGCUCAAAAAUUCAAAUCAUCUCCAAAUCAAAAGCAAUUACAGAUAUAUACAUAUAUACAUAUGCGUGUGUGUGUUUAUCUACAUACCUAGGUUUAUGGCGUUGAGAGCUCGGGGGGCGACCGAGGGUGAUGACGGCGACGCCAAAGGUGCGGAGAAGGCGAGGGGAUUUGGAGGGUUUUGUAAAGAGGGGAUUUGCUCAGAAUUUGGGUCGCUCGUCCCUCUUAUGAGAGUGAUUCAAAAAUCGAAAAAGUUGAAAUUUAUUGAUUGUGAUCUGACUCAAACAUGUGAUGAUGACGAUGCAUCACAACCUUGGUUGUGCCUCUGGAUCAAAAUCCUGUUCCAUCAAAUUCGUGCUCAUUUUCCUUCAUAGGUUUGUCCCAUACUAGAUUAACCCCUGUUCCCUUAAUUGUCACAUUACCAUAUUUACUGUAUGGCUCUGGCAUUUCAAAAGUUAUAUCAACUUUAUCCCCGCUUUGCAAAUUGAGCUUAUCAUUCGAUAUUUGUCCCUGCCAAAGAUAACAUUUUCCAGAUACAUUGCACAUUUUUAUAACCCAAUCUUCUUUGCCUAUGUAGGUCUGCAACUCAGUACGCUUGGUAUUAUUUAUAUCAAUAUUGGCACGAGGAUGACAUUCUCCACAACUGGCAUAAGGGCUUCUUGACUCAUUAGUAUUUGAGCAGUAAAAGCAUAAUAGAGUCAGUCCUUCCAAAUUACGACCAUCACUCGGGAGGAUAUCAAAACUGACUUUAUUACCAUCGUUGACAAACUCGAACCAAUCAGGAACAUAAUUCCCAUUGAGAAAAAUGCCAUCACUUGGGAGGAUAUCAAAACUGACUUUAUUACCAUCGUUGACAAACUCAAACCAAUCAGGAACAUCAGGAACAUAAUUCCCAUUGAGAAAAAUGCCAUCACUCGGGAGGAUAUCAAAACUGACUUUAUUACCAUCGUUGACAAACUUGAACCAAUCAGGAACAUAUUUCCCUUUGAAAAAAAUAUCCGCAAGAAGUCCAUCCCUACAUAUACAGUGCAAGUGUCAUAUUUAUAUAUAUACACACACACAAUGUACAUGUGCGUUGUGUGUGUGCAUGUGCGCAAUAGGAAGACAAUUAAAGAGAGAUACCUUUAGGACGUUACUCAUAAAACCAGCGGUGAGUUUGGGGCAGUACCUCAUAUUAAAAUGUCGUGGAGUUUAAUGACUUAUCCAAGUCUGGAACCUCAGUGAGUGCGCGUGAAUCACAUACAUGUAGCUCUCUCAUAUUCGACAUUUUCGAAAAAUUGGGCAUUGUUACCAAACGGGAGCAAUCAGACGCAUACAGAAAUUUCAAAUUUGUUGGUAAACCAUAGAUUGUAUGAAGGUUACGGCAGUAAUUUAACUGCAAACGUUCAAGCUUUGAAAAACCAAUGAGGCUGGGUAAGGUAUGAAAAUCAUUACAUGUGAGACACAAAUCUUGCAAAGAAAUUAGACUCCCAAAAUCUUUUGGGAAUGCAUCAUCGCUUAAGCGCUGGAAUGAGAGAUCUAAAUUUCUUAAAGAGUCUAAGCCGUGUAACGAAUUGGGAAAUUGUGUGACAUGCCCCCUUAAAAUGAAAUCAGUGGUAAACCAUGAUUUCCGUAGAAAUAAAUGAGUGAGAUUCUUCAAUCUUACUGUGGAACGCGGUACUUGUCUUAUGGCUGUUUCAGACGCUUUAAGUACUCUCAAUGAUAUCAUCUUCCCUAAAUCCUCGGGCAGUUCAUUGAAUCGCCUACAAAAAUCAAGAACAAGAGUCUGAACGGAUUUGGACUUGUAGAAAUCCCCAGGAAGAGAAAUAAGAUUAUGGCAGCAUGUGAGGUUCACCAAAGAAAGUUUUUUAAGCUGACCAAUGGAGGGGUGAAUCUCGAACAAACUCUCACACCUUCCCAAUAUCAACUCUUCAAGACUUGGGAGAUUUGAUAAGUCUGGUGAUUUUUUUAAGUCACAGCAAUUACUGAGAUUAAGGAUUUUCAAGUUUUCAAGCGACUGUUGCACAAAAUCCAAAAGGUCAUACCCAGUGCACAAGGCUCCCGCUUUACGCAGGGUCUGGGAGAGGUGAAUGUCGGCUAGCCUUACCCCCAUUUAUGGAGAGGCUGCUCCCAAGUCUCGAACCCGAGACCUACCGCUUAUGGGCGAAGGCAUUUGUCAUCGCACCAAGUGCGACCUCUUUGGGGAAAUCCAAGAAAAAUUAAAAUUAAUAUCCAAAAGGAAUAUCUCAUAAAAUAAAUAAAUAAAUAAAUAAAUAAAGAGAGAAGGAAAUCCAAAAACAAAUAGAAACUUAACAUCAUCAUGUGUAAUCGAUUGUACCUUGGAGCCCUCCCAAACUUGUACCAGUUUGCUAUGCUUUAUCUCUAAAAUAACUAGUGUUCUUGGUUGAUCAAAGAAGUCAUCUGGUAUGGACUCUAAAAGGUAUCCUUCCCAACGCAACCAUACUAACUCUUUGGGGAGAUGUUUGUAUUCUCCAUUGAGCUGCACGUUCUGGAGCAUGAGCAGUCUCAGUUUCUUCAUAUUAGCAAAUGCUUCUGUACUGAUACAACUAGACUUUAAAGGGAAUUCUCCACGGAGCUGCACGCGGUGGAUCAGUCCCAGUUCCCUCGAAUUGGUAGGGAAACUUACAACAAGUCCUUCAACUUCUUUAGUUCCCUGUUAACAACACAUUAUACUGGGUAAGAAAAGGAUUAUGUGCAUCUAUUUUACGUGAUUUUGCUAAUUGAGCUUCUUAAUGCAAAUACAUAUAUUUACACAUGAAUUUUUUAAUGUAUAAUAGGCAUACGUGGGUUACAUAUAUGCUUUUCUUGUACGAUGCAUUAAUACAAAUUUUUUUUGGGAAUCUACUUACAGAUUUAUUUGUUAGUACAUCAUAGACAUCUCCAGGGAUCCACAACCUGCUCCAUUCUCCAGGGGGACGAGUGGAUUUUUCAGAAAUGAUUAAUUUGGCCAUUUCUCGAAGCAAAUCAUGCAUAUUCAACUUCUUGUCUUCAACAGUUAUAAGGCAUCGUUCACGGAGGUUACUGAUUCCUAUUGUUGCAAAAAACUUACAUUCAUCUAAUAUUUUUGCGACAUCGUCCUUAUCCCAUCCAAUAAAGAAACAAGAUAUGUCAAGGAAUAUAUCCUUCUGCGUAGGAUCUAGCCUUUCAAAGCUUACUUUUAGCGGUUUCAUUAUUCCUUCAUCAUGAAAUUUUUUCAAUUUCUUCAAUUGACUUUUCCACUCUGCUGGGGUUCUUUCAGUCAUAGAAGAACCUAAAACUUCAAGGGCUAGUGGCAAACCACCACAGUAAGAAACCACCUCUUUUGAGAGUUCAAGAUAUCCUUCAUUAGGCCAACUAUUUCCAAAGGCAUGCCAACUAAAGAGCAUCAGGGCUUCUUCUUCAUUCAUUUCUUGAAGCGGAUAUGUCUUGUCCACUUUCAUGUUCACUUGCUUUAGUAAACGUUCAUCUCGUGUCGUUAUGAUAAUUCUACUUCCUGGGCCAAACCAAUCACGAUUUCCAGCCAUUGCAUUUAGUUGUUCCACUUUGUCUACAUUGUCAACAAUGACAAAUACGCUUCUACGUCGGAGAUGAUUUUUUAUCAGACUGAUACCUCCAUCAACACUGGUUAUCUUAUUAGACUCGGUCUGUUUCAAGAUGUCAGAAACAAGUUUUCUUUGCAAAUCAACCAGAUCAUAUUCGCUAACGUUGGCAAGGAAACUUUUGAACUGGAACUUAUGAUGAAUUUGGUUAUAAAUGGCUUUGGCAGCUGUUGUUUUACCCAAUCCACCCAUCCCCCAAAUUCCAACCAUGCGUACAUCUGAUCCACCAUUUGAAAGAUAAGUGAUGAUAUCUUGAAUGCGGGUAUAUAUUCCAACUGGGUGCUUGGCCACAUGUAAUUUUUCUGCGCUCGGAAGCCAUUCCGGGAUAAUCUUGUCAACAAUUUCUCUAAUAAGCUUUGCUUCGCGCCUGAAAAUUGAAUUCGUAAGCGUUAGUGGGACUCAAUGAACAGUAGGAGCUAUCAGUACAUAGACAAUUGUCUUUACUUCAUAAAAGAAAGAAAUUCAUUCACUAAAAUGUUUCAAAACUUGAAAAGCAGGUGAAUGAUUACCCAUUGUUAGUGAUUUGAAGAUGUUGGCCAAACAAAUUUGCAGCUUCUGUAAGAGCCUUUCUCCAUUGCUUUACCCUUUCUUGUUUAGCUUCACGUUCCUUGUCAUCUUUUUCUUCAUGGAUGCCCUCUUCGUGCUUCUGAAAUGCUUGAGCUAAAUCUCCGUUCUGCUUCCUAAUGUGAAGGAUCAACAUGAUAGAAUAUUGGCAAAACACGUCGCCCCAGUUUGUAUCUGCACUCCAUGAUCUUCACCAGCUCGUCAAGACACCAACUCGAGUCCGCAUAACUCUUUGAGAAGACAAUGAUAGAGAUCCUCGCCUCUUUGAUUGCCCGGACCAGUUCCUCUUUUAUUUCUUCCCCUCUUUCUAGAUCGUCCUCAUCGAUAUAAGCCUGGUAUCCCCUGUCAGUUAAUGCCGCAUGGAGGUGGCCCGUGAAACCAUUGCGUGUGUCUACACCGCUGAAUCUCAAGAACAUGUCGUAAUUCCAAAGUUUUGACUUGGAGGACGAUGAAGAGGAGGCUUCGUGGGUCGUCAUGGCGGUAUCCACCGUUAUGGCACUGCAGUGGUUCAGAUCACGACUGAAAAAUGGCAGUAGUUGUGCUCAUGCUGUCGAACGAAUGAUCCUGAAAUACCUAAAACCCAAGUCAAGCUCCUUCAGUCAACAAGAAUAAAGUUUUAAUAUAAUAAUGUUGGUGUAUGGACUUGAGAAACGACAUAAUGUUGGCCGGAAAGUGCAGAGAAAGAGAGAGGAAAAGAGGAACAAAAGGAGAAAGACUAUCCAAAUGAUUCUUGGCUGUGAUUACAGCUAUUCAUAGGAGAAACAACGUACAUAUUUUCAUAGGAGAAACAACUUGCCCAUCUUCAUAUAUAAUACAUUUCAACAGACAUAUUUUAAUAGGAGAAACUAGGGGUGGGCAAACGGGUCCAGGAACCGCAGGUCGGGGCGGGUAAUGGCGGUUCAGGGCGGGUACAGGCCGGGUCUUAUUUUUUUAAAGAAGAAACGGGGUGGGGGCGGGGAGGUGGUAUUUAUGGGGCGGGUCGAGUUCAAAUUUGUACAAGCAUGGGGCCCCGGGCCGACCCGUUCCUAAAAUGGACUGAUUGGAACCUGGACAAUAUGUUGUGGGCUUACUACACAAGGCAAUGGCCCAUGUGGGCUUACUGCUCGAAUACUCUAGAAACUAUGAUCCGACUCCUAUCUCUCCUGGAUCGAUCCCCAAAUCCCACUACUCUCUCUCCUCGUCGGCAUCACCGAACACAGAACCACCGAUUCACCACCAUCGUCACCCAUCACCGCCGUGGCGACCAUCACCAUCGCAGACGCUAUUAACCGUUAGUUUCACCCUAGGUCUCCCCUAUGUCUAUCACUCAAGUCCUCGAUCGUUUCUCUCCCGCGUGCGUCAUUCCCUCCACGGUUCUUCCACUACACUCUGUCACUCUCCGUCACUCUCCGUCAGUCACCUCCUCCACCACCCCGACAUCAACCCCGUCGCGAGUCUGGGCCCUGGCGACCACCACGACGAGCCAGCAACCUCGAUUGUCUUCCUCGAGUCCUCGAUGGCAUCCCAGAUUUAGAGAACUUUAGGGUUCUCUUUCUCCCUCCCACCCCUCGAAUCGACUGCGUCGACAUCAAAUCAGCCACCACACGAGUCACGAGGCUUCAAAUUCGGCUGGUGACUGCCCAAUCUGGUGCGACUCAACCGAUUCCGAGCGCUCUUGACUCUGUCGACGAAGAAGAAGAAGAGAAGAAAAAAAAAAAUAACCCGUGGACCCGGGCCGGGUUAGGUCAGGUUUCUGUGUUAAAAUUAGUUGUACCCGCCCCUGCCCGACCUGUUUCUUUUAAACCUGGGUCCGGCCGGUCCCUUCAAAAUUGGGCCCGGCCCUGGGCCCGGCCCGGCCCAUGCCCAGCCCUAGGAGAAACAACUUUAGUUUUUACUAGAAAUUUUUACCCACACGUUGCUACAGGAUUUGAAAUUGUAUAAAAGAUUAUCUUUGAAAUAUAUAAUAGAUUGUGUGAUUGAAGAUUAAUACUAUUUACACUGAAAACGUUGGGAAAAGUUUUACAUACAAAAGAUUUUACAAUACAAUCCACAUACAAAAGAUGGUAAAUUUUUUUCUAUCUACAUGCAUUAUGUUAUGGAAUGAUAUAUAUAUAACUAAGUUCCAGAAUACGUAAAUUUCAUAAUUUCGAAUUUUUUUGACAAAUUAAUCAGAUUCAACUGUGGGAUAGAAAGGUCGCCUAUAAAGUUGUGAAGUCGUGGAAGCAUAAAGGACAAAUAACAAAUGAGUUUUGAGAAAUUAUUCCACAAAAGUCAUUUUGCAAAAUGCAAAUGUAUUAAAGACGAUUGGUACAAGAUUAGUAAUCAUAAGUAGUGUAACAACAUCAACAAAAUAACUAUAAACCAUAGUUGAACAUAAUUCAAAUUUCGUUUGCAAAAACAAAAGAAAAAGAAAGAAAACAUACUUACAAUAAUUCAGCCUUUAAUCCUAAAGUCCUACUCAAAGAUCCAAACUUGAAUGCAAGCUUUCUGAAAUCUUCCAAACAAUACAGAUAAAAAGGUAACACCCUAGUCAGAAAUGAACCAAGGUGCGAGCUUUCUUAGAAACUCAGAUGAAAAAAUCAACAAAAUAGAAUGAAAAAAUGACUUACACUUUUAAGGCAUGCUCGAAUCGUGAUCUAAAAUUGGUGGUGGGUCGAUUGUUGGUCACCAACUCUAAAUGAAGAAUUCAUCAGAACCUAGAAAUUUAACAAAGAAUUUUCCAAAAUCAACAUUUACUAAAAACCAGUUACUUGGUUAUCAUGCAUGAUGGCUUGCCAAAGACUAAAUUAAGGAAUGCACAACUUUACCUUUAUGAUAUUUUCAAUGACAGCUAAAAGGUCAGAUUCAAAUGAAAAUAAAAGUUAGGACUUCACAAAACCAAUUAAAAAUCUAAUUCCAAAGUUACAAACACCAACCAAAUGAUUCCAGAUAAAGUUUUAAACUCAAAGUCAGACCCAAAUGAAAUUAAAAGUUAGGACUUCACAAAACCAAUUGAAAAUCUGAUUCCAAAGUUCCAAACACCCACCAAAUGAUUCUGGAUAAAGUUUAAACUCAAAAACCCAACAGAAACAAAAACCCAAAGUUCCAAACACCCACCAAUUGGUGUGACUUAAUUGUAUCUAAUUGAAGAAACUAAAACAAAAAUAAAGCAAAGUAUAUACCUCAAAAUAUCAACCAACUAAGUUCUUCCUCCGACAACCCAAAACUCUGAAAAUUCCACACAAAAAGGGUAAAUCCGUAAGCAAUUCAUAGCUUUCAAAAUUAACAAAAACUUGGGCAACAAUAAAGACACGUUGAGAACCAUCACUCUUUCUCCUUGUGUAUUUGAAAAUAUAUUUUAUAAGCAGUUUAUGUAGUCAUUCUGAUCAUGUUGCAGUUAAAUUCCUUUUCCACAGAGUUCAAAAUUAUAUGGCAGUUUAUGGCAUCUGUUGAACAACAUGGUUGAAAGAUUUAAAAUUGAUACAUUCAAUUUUUAUGUGUAAAACUAUAACAUAUACCUAAAGCUAUUUGGUCUAUAUAUCCAUAUCAAUCAUGUUGUAAUUAAAUGUUUAUCGAUGUAAAUAGAUGAUUUCAGUCAUGUGAUAACAUGUUUCUUGUUAGUAUACGCUGAAGUUUGGUCUAAGUUGGAUAAAAAUCGACCAAAAUCUUAGUAAGAGACUCUUUUAACUUUUAACCAAAAAAUGAGCACCACAAUACUACACUCAUAAGUUUUAUCAUGCACAAAAUAUACAACACUGAUAGCCACUUUUAGAGCAAGAACAAUACUUUACCAGACGAAAACAACAAAACACUCAAAACCCAGAAACAGAAACACACUUAGGACUCAAACUCCUCAAAAACAUAAGAAAGAGAGUGCAUGAGGAGAGAGAAUAAAAAAAAAUAUUAUUUUUCACAAACUCAAAAUUGCUUAUAAAAUUACAAAUCAAAACAAAUGAAUGCAAAUCCAAAAUUGCCCUAAAUUAAAUCUGUUUAGUUAAAUGUUUGUUGCCCUUCAAAUGUCAUUACACCUGACAAUUGCUUUGAAGUUGAUAUUUUGGUCAAUCCAGGGGAAAAGGAGUUAUUUCUUUUGGAGCAGUUGUCAUGGAGAAUCCCAUCUCCAUGUUGAAUGAUCUAAAAAAUUACUUACAUCUUCUGGUGGCCACAAUAAUUUAGGAGGCCCUUCUCUCCAGAUUUUCUCAAUAACUUUGCUUUUCGUAGCUGGUAAGAUUGCAACUCCAAGAAUUGCUCUGAAGAGAUAUAUACAAACAAAAUCAACCUAAAACUAAGCUAUUGGAACAAAUUUGGAAAACACAAACACCACUACAACUCAGAGUUAAAGUCAAUAGAAACCAAAUGGGAGAAGUUGAAAAAAUAUAUGGUCAUGAAUCGAGAACUUCAUCAAACUAACAGCAAUAAAAUCUCAUAUAAUCUGUCUAAAACCAAAAGAGAGAGAGAGGUAAUUUCAAGACCUUGUAACGCUAAGGCCUCGUACAGUUGUAGUAAUAAUAUAUGGUUGAUGCACCUGUUGCUCAAUCAAAUCCUUUGUCUGGCUAAAAAAAUAAAAAUCUAUAAAUACAUUCACGUCCAAUUUAUGAGAAAUCAUGGGAAAGCAAAUGCACUGAUAACGGAAUCAUGAAUAUGAAGAACUUGCCAAAAAGAAAAAGAAAACUUCUUAUAGUGUGCCAAGAACAUCCUCCUACUCCUAGCAAAUUUUUUAUGGCAUUAUCCACUUCUCAAUUCAUAAUUCAACCAGUAACUCAAAGUCUAUAGUGUAUGAAAAAGUGAUAUCUUAGUUGAUCACGAUGAUAAUUAAGCAGAUUAAAUGACGACCCAUAAAGCAUACAAAUUCAGAAAAGAAAAGGUUCAAAACUGCCAUAAGAAAACACAGAAUAUAUAAACGGGAAAUCAAAAGAAGAGAAGCGAAAAGGAAGAAAAAACCAAACAAAAUUAUUAGGUUUGUGAUAUACCUUUAUCCGAAACGCCACAAUCAUCAAAGUCAAACAUAAACAAUCCAAAAAUUUGUGGAAAAUAACAAUAAAUGCUUAACUAAAAACGAAAGAAAACGUAGAAUAAGUUUACAUGUUCUCCCCCUAAUUAAACUGGAAUACAAUUCACCACUAAUAUUCUCGUCAUCCUCUUCAGCCUGAAAAAUUUAGUAGAAAUAUUCAAUGAAGACGCUUAAUGGAGACAGUAAUAUUAGCAAUGGAGGAAUUGAAUUGAUAACUAAAACUGCAAGACCAAAUGACUACAAUAGGUUCACAACAGAAACUCGUCUGUUAGAUGUCUCAUCUUUAGGCAGUGCCUUGUUCUUUUUUUUUCUUUUUUGUCCUUUUGAAUUUCGGCAACAACAACUUUAAUAUCCUUACCUGCAUUUACCAUGAUUGGUCACUCUCAAAACCUUACCUAAGAGACCCAAAAACCAAAAUAACUGCCAAAAGAGCUGAACAUACAUAUCUAGAAAAACUUAUUCAACUACAUGCUAAAAUGGAAGUGUAAAAUUGCCAGGAAAGAUAAGAAACUAUUCAAAUACGAGUUCUGGGCGUUACUGCCACAAAAGGCACGAGCCGAGCGGCUAUCAACAAGAACACACUUCACAUUUGGGUCAGAUUCCCAUUCAUCCAGAUAGCUCUUGUAUUUCACAUCCAAAUCUGCAUUUUCCAACAAUUCCCACUUAAACAGAAACACAAAAUUCUUCCAAAAAGAGCUAACUUCUUCGAAAUUUGAAUCUAACGUUUCGUCUUAUAACAAAUGCAAUAACAUAGACUUGUAAUCAAUACGAUGCCAUAAAGUUCAAGCUCAAAAAUUCAAAUCAUCUCCAAAUCAAAAGCAAUUACAGAUAUACACAUGUAUACAUAUGCGUUUGUGUGUUUAUCUACAUACCUAGGUUUAUGGCGUUGAGAGCUCGGGGGGCGACCGAGGGUGAUGACGGCGACGCCAAAGGUGCGGAGAAGGCGAGGGGAUUUGCUCAGAAUUUGGGUCGCUCGUCCCUCUUAUGAGAGUGACUCAAAAAUCGAAAAAGUUGAAAUUUAUUGAUUGUGAUCUGACUCAAACAUGUGAUGAUGACGAUGCAUCACCACCUUGGUUGUGCCUCUGGAUCAAAAACCCACCAUCACCAUCAAAAUCGUGCUCAUUUUCCUUCAUAGGUUUGUCCCAUACUAGAUUAACCCCUGUUCCCUUAAUUGUCACAUUAUCUAAUGUAACGUAUGGCUCUGGCAUUUCAAAAGUUAUAUCAACUGUAUCCCCGCUUUGCAAAUUGAGCUUAUCGUUCGAUAUUUGUCCCUGCCAAAGAAAACAUUCUUUAUAUACAACAUCGCGCAUGAGGUUUUUUCUUUUUUUGGCGUAACAAUCGCGCAUUUUUAUAACCCAAUCUUCCUUGCUUAUGCAGGUCCGCAACUCAGUACGCUUGGUAUUAUUUAUAUCAAUCCUGGCAAGAGGAUGACUAUCUUUACAUCUGAUAUAAGGGCCGAACUGAGAAGGACUUGAGCAAUAAAAGCAUAACAGAGUCAGCCCUUCAAAAUUACAACCAUCACUCGGGGGGAUAUCAAAAGUGAUUUUAUUACCAUCGUUGACAAACUCGAACCAAUCAGGAACAUAAUUCCCAUUGAGAAAAAUGCCACCAUAUCCGCAAGAAGUCCAUCCCUAUAUACACAGUGCAAGUGUCAUAUAUAUAUACAUGUACAUGUGCGUUGUGUGUGUGCAUGUGCCCAAUAGGAAGACAAUUAAAGAGAGAGAUACCUUUAGGACUUUCCUCAUAAAAUCAGCGGUGAGUUCGGCGCAAUACGUCAUAUCAAUCCAUGUCAUGGAGUUUAAUGACUUAUCCAAGUCUGGAACCUCAGUGAGUGCAUGUGAAUCACGUACAUUUAGCUCUCUUAUAUUCGACAUUUUCGAAAAAUUUGGCAUUGUUAUCAAACGAUAGCAACGAGACGCAUCCAGAAAUUUCAAAUUUGUUGGUAAACCAUAGAUUGUAUGAAGGUUAUGGCAGUAACCUAACCACAAAUUUUCAAGCUUUGAAAGACCACUGAGGCUGGGUAGGGUAUGAAAAUCAUUAGAUGAGAGAUCUAAAUUUCUUAAAAAGUCUAAGCUGAGUAACGAAUCGGGAAAUUGCAAAUGAGUGAGAUUCGUCAAUCCUAGAGAUAAAUGAGUGAGAUUCUUCAAUCUUACUGUGGAACGCGGUACUUGUCUUAUGGCUGUCUCAUAUGCUUUAAGUACUCUCAAUGAUAUCAUAUUCCCUAAAUCCUCGGACAGUUCACUGAAUUGCCCACAAAAAAUCAAGAACAAGAGUCUGAACGGAUUUGGACCUGUAGAAAUCCCCAGGAAGAGAAAUAAGAUUCUUGCAGCCUGUGAGGUUCACCAAAGAAAGUUUUUUAAGAUGACCAAUGGAGGGGUGAAUCUCGGACAAACUCUCACACCAUUCCAAUAUCAACUCUUCAAGACUUGGGAGAUUUGAUAAGUCUGGUGAUUUUUCUAAGUCAGAGCAACCACUGAAAUCAAGGAUUUUCAAGUUUUUAAGCGACUGUUGCACAAAAUCCAAGAAAAAUUAAAAUUAAUAUCCAAAAGGAAUAUCUCAUAAAAUAAAUAAAUAAAGAGAGAAGGAAAUCCAAAAACAAAUAGAAACUUAACAUCAUCAUGUGUAAUCGAUUGUACCUUCGAGCCCUCCCAAACUUGUACCAGUUUGCUAUACUUUAUCUCUAAAAUAACUAGUCUUGGUUGAUCAAAGAAGUCAUCUGGUAUGGACUUUAAAGGGCAUUCAUUCCAACACAACCAUAUUAACUCUUUGGGGAGAUGUUUGUAUUCUCCAUUGAGUUGCACGUUGUAGAGCUGGAGCAGUCUCAGUUUCUUCAUAUUGGCAAAUGCUUCUGUACUGAUACUUGGAGACAGAAGAUCAGGGAAACCUACAACAAGUCCUUCAACUUCUUUAGUUCCCUGUUAACAACACAUUAUACUGGGUAAGAAAAGGAUUAUGUGCAUCUAUUUUACGUGAUUUUGCUAAUUGAGCUUCUUAAUGCGAAUACAUAUAUUUACACAUAAAGGUCGUACCCAGUGCACAAGGCUCCCGCUUUACGCAGGGUCUGGGAGAGGUGAAUGUCGGCUAGCCUUACCCCCAUUUAUGGAGAGGCUGCUCCCAAGUCUCGAACCCGAGACCUACCGCUCAUGGGCGAAGGCACUUGCCAUCGCACCAAGUGCGACCUCUGAAUACAUAUAUUUACACAUAAAUGUUUUUAAUGUAUGACAGCUAUACGUGGGUUACAUAUUUGCUUUUCUUGUACGAUGCAUUAAUACAAAAUUUUAUAGGGAAUGUACUUACAGAUUUAUCUCUCAAUACAUCAGUGACCUCCUGCUGGUUCCACAACCUACUCCAUUCUCCAGGGUGACGAGGGGAUUUUUCAGAAAUGAUUAAUUUGGCCAUUUCUCGAAGCAAAUCAUGUAUAUUCAACUUGUUGUCUUCAACAGUUAUAAGGCAUCAUUCACGAAGGACACUCAUUCCUAUUGUCGCAAAAAAGUCACAUCCAUCUAAUAUUUUUGUGACAUAGUCAUUAUCCCAUCCAAUGAAGAAACAAGAUAUGUCAAGGAAUAUAGCCUUCUGUUUAUCAUCUAGCCCUUCAAAGCUUAUUCUUAGUCGUUGUAUUAUUUCUCCUUCAGGAGUUGUUUUCAAUUUUACCAAUUGAUUUUCCCACUCUGCUAUGGUUCUUCCAAUUAAAAAAGUGCCUAAAACUUCAAGUGCUAGUGGCAAACCUCCACAGUAAGAAACGAUCUUCCUUGAGAGUUCAAGAUAUCCUUCAUUAGGCCAACAAUUUCUAAAGGCAUGCCAACUAAAGAGCUCCAGAGCUUCUUCUUCAUUCAUUUUAUGAAGCGGAUAUAUCUUGUCCACUCCAACUUGGCGUAGUAAAUGUUCAUCUCGUGUCGUUAUGAUAAUUCUACUUCCUAAGCCAAACCAAUCACAAUUUCCAGCUAUUGCAUUUAGUUGUUUCAUUUUGUCUACAUUGUCAAUAAUGACAAGUACGCUUCUACGUUGGAGAUGAUAUUUUAUCAGGCCGAUACCUUCAUCAACACUGGUUAUCUCAGGCUUGGUCUGUUUCAAGAUGUCAGAAACAAGUUUUUUUUGCGAAACAACCAGAUCUUUUUCACUAACGUUGUCAAGGAAACUUUUGAAUUGGAACUCAUGAUGAAUUUUGUUAUAAAUGGCUUUGGCAGCUGUUGUUUUACCCAAUCCACCCAUCCCCCCAAAUUCCAACCAUGCGAACAUCAUCUGAUCCACCACUUGAAAGAUAACUGAUAAUAUCUUGAACGCGAGAAUUGAUUCCAACCAGGUGAUUGGCCACAUGUAAUUUGUUUGCUCUCCGAAGCCAUUCCGGAAUAAUCUUGUCAACAAUUUCUCUAAUACGCUGUGCUUCGCAACUGAAAAUUGAAUUGGCAAGCUUAGUAAGCUCAGUAGGAGCUAUUAGUACACAAACAAUUUUCUUUCCUUCGUGUGUGUGUGUGUGUGUGUGUGUGUGUGUGUGUGUAUACACACUAACUAGCUACUAGCUAGUAUGUGAGUUUGUGAUCAACUUCAAUAAAAGAAACAAAUUCAUUCACUGAUAUAUUAAAGUUUGGUGUAUCAAUUAAACUCAUUAUGGUUUAGAUUUUAGAAGAAAUUGGAGAAAUGGUCCAUGAACUAUGAUCGAAUUGUAGCUUUGGUUCUUAAACUAAAAAUUCAUUAAAUCUCGUCCCUGAACUUAACAAAAUAUGGAACAUUGGUCCCUCCAUGUUAACACCGUAAGAUUUUCUGUUAAUUUGAUAACGUCGUCUUUGUGGGCUCCAUAUUUUUGUUUAUUAGAUGCCACGUUGCUUGAAAAUUCAAAUAAAAGAAAAUAAAUACAAGCAUUGAGAAACAAAGAGAAAAAAAAAUACUUUAAAUUAUAAAAGUUAACUCUCUCCCAUCCUCCCUUCCGCCUCACCUUCUCCAAACCCCAGCCACACCAUUGUAGCACUUUCCCAACAGCCAAAACAAAAGAAAAGUUCCUCAUCCAAAUUUGGAACACACCUCACCUUGCAAACGACUUCACAAUGACAUUCAUCUACGCUGUCUCGAAAGGUAAGAUUCAAGAAAUUUGUGGGAUGCGGGUUCGGGGUUCGGGUGAAGGCUGUGGUCCGUGGGCUAAAGGUUGGGGUCGGCUGGGGAGUGGGGAUUAGGGAUUGGGGGUUGGAAGUGGGAGGUUGACGGGGUGGGAAUCAACGAUUGAAGGUGAAGGGGUGGGCUGCGAGCCUGCGAGUGUUGGUGGGAUGAGGUAGGCCUGCAAUUAUAUAUAUAUAUGUAUGUAUGUAUGUAUGUAUGUAUGUAUGUAUAUAUAUAUGUAUGUAUGUAUAUAUGUAUAUAUAUGUAUGUAUAUAUAAUAUAGGUGAAACUAACAUGUAAAGUUGUAAACACUUUUAACUAAAACUGAAAGGAAUUGGUUACGAAGGACUAACGCUCCAUAUUUUAUCAAGUUCAAGGACAAAAUAUAAUGAAAUUUUAGUUUAGGAACCAAAGCUACAAUUUUCCUCUAGAUUUGAUAUGAGAUUUAAGGCGUAUUAAUUAAGCAUGUUAAUUAGAGUAAUGCAACUUAGAUAUUGAAAAGCACGUGAAUGAUUACCUAUUAUCAGUGAUUUGAAGAUGGUAGCCAGACAAAUUUGCAGCUUCUCUAAGAGCAUUUCUCCACUGCUUUACCCUUUCUUGUUUUUCUUCACGUUUCUUGUCAUCUUUUUCUUUACGAAUGUUCUUUUUGUGUUUCUUAAAUGCUUGGGCUAAAACUCCAUUCUGGUUCCUGACAUGUGAAGGAUCAACGUGAUAGAAUAUUGGCAAAACAUGGCGCUCCAGUUUGUCUCUGCACUCGAUGAUCUUCAUCAGCUCAUUAAGACACCAACUCGAACUCGCAUACCUCUUUGAGAAGACAAUGAUAGAGAUCUUCGAUUCUUCGAUUGCCUGGAACAGUUCUUUUUGUAUUUCUUCCCCUCUUUUUAGAUCGUCCUCAUCAAUAUAAGCCUGGUAUCCCCUGUCCGUUAAUGCCCUGUGGAGGUGGCCCGUGAAACCAUUGCGUGUGUCUACACCGCUGAAGCUCAAGAACACGUCGUAAUUCCAAAGUUUUGACUUGGAGGACGAUGAAGAGGAGGCUUCGUGGGUCGUCAUGGCGGUAUCCACCAUUAUGGCGCUGCAGUGGUUCAGAUCACGACUGAAAAAUGGCAGUAGUUGUGCUCGUGCUGUCGAACGGAUGAUCCUGAAAUACCUAAACCCAAGUCAAGCUCCUUCAGUCAACAAGAACAAAGUUUUAAUAUAAUAAUGUUGGUGUAUGGACUUGAGAAACGACAUAAUGUUGGCCGGAAAGUGCAGAGAAAGAGAGAGGAAAAGACGAAUGAAAGGAGAAAAGACUAUCCAAAUGAUUCUUGGCUGUGAUUACAGCUAUUCAUAGGAGAAACAAUGGACAUAUUUUCAUAGGAGAAACAACCUGCCCACUUCAUUUAUAAUAUAUUUCAACAGAGAUAUUUUAAUAGGAGAAACAACUUUCGUUUGUACUAGAAAUUUUUACCCGCGUGUUGCUACGUGAUUUGAAAUUGUAAGAAAGAUUAUCUUUGAAAUAUAUAAUAGAUUGUGUGAUUGAAGAUUAAUACUAUUUACAUUGAAAACGUUGGAAAAAGUUUUACAUACAAAAGAUUUUACGAUACAAUCCACAUCAAAAGAUGGUAAAUUUUUUUCUAUCUACAUGCAUUAAGUUAUGGAAUGAUAUAUAGAUAUAUAUAUAUAACUGAGUUCCAGAAUACGUAAACUUCAUAACUUGGAAAUUUUUUGACAAAUUAAUCAGAUUCAACUGUGGGAUAGCAAGGUCGCCUAUAAAGUUGUGAAGUCGUGGAAGCAUAAAGGACAAAUAACAAAUGAGUUUUGAGAAAUUAUUCCACAAAUGUCAUUUUGCAAAAUGUAUUAAAGACGAUUGGGUACAAGAUUAGUAAUCAUGAGUAGUGUAACAACAUCAACAAAAUAACUAUAAUCCAUAGUUGUUGAACAUAAUUCAAAUUUCGUUUGCAAAAACAAAAGAAAAAGAAAACAGACUUACAAUAAUUCAGCCUUCAAUCCUGAAGUCCUACUCAAAGAGCCAAACUUGAAUGCAAGCUUUCUGAAAUCUUCCAAACAAUACAGAUAAAAAGGUAACAUCCUAGUCAGAAACGAACCGAGGUGCAAGCUUUCUUAGAAACCCAGAUGACAAAAUCAACAAAAGAGAAUGGAAAAAUGACUUACACUUUUAAGGCAUGCUCAAAUCUUGAUCUAAAAUUUGUGGUGGGUCGAUUGUUGGCCACCAACUCUAAAUGAAGAAUUCAUCAGAAACUAGAAAUUUAAACAAAGAAUUUUCCAAAAUCAACAUUUACUAAAAACCAGUUACUUGGUUAUCAUGCAUGAUGGCUUGCCAAAGACUGAAUUAAGGAAUGCACAACUUUACUUUUUAUGAUUAUUUUCAAUGAUAGCUAAAAGGUCAGAUCCAAAUGAAAAUAAAACUUAGGACUUCACAAAACCAAUUAAAAAUCUAAUUCCAAAGUUACAAACACCCACCAAAUGAUUCCAGAUAAAGUUUUAAACUCAACGUCAGACCCAAAUGAAAUUAAAAGUUAGGACUUCACAAAACCAAUUGAAAAUCUGAUUCCAAAGUUCCAAACACCCACCAAAUGAUUCCGGAUAAAGUUUAAACUCAAAAACCCAACAGAAACAAAAGCAUUGGUGUGAAUUAACUGUAUCUAAUUGAAGAAACUAAAACAAAAGUAAAGCAAAGUACAUACCUCAAAAUGUCAAGCAACUAAGUUCUUCCUCCGACGACCCAAAAUUCUGAAAAUUCCACACAAAAAAAGAGUAAGCCCAUUAGCAAUUCAUAGCUUUCAAAAUUAGCAAAAACUUGGGCAACAAUAAAGACGCGUUGAGAACCAUCACUCUUUCUCCUUAUAUAUUUGAAAAGAUAUUUUAUAAGCAGUUUAUGUAGUCAUUCAGAUCAUGUUGCAUAUAAAUUCCUUUUCUACAGAGUUCAUAAAAGUAUGGCAGUUUAUGGUAUCUGUUGAAUGACAUGGUUGAAAGAUUUCAAAUUGAUAUAUUCAAUUUAUGUGUAAAACUAUAACAUAUAGCUAAAGCUAUUGGGUCUAUAUAUCCAUAUCAAUCAUGUCGUAAUUGAAUGUUUAUCAAUGUAAAUAGAUGAUUUCAGUCAUGUGAUAACAUGUUUCUUGAUAGUAUACGCUGAAGAUUGGUCUAAGUGGGAUAUGAAUCGACCAAAAUCUUAAGAAGAGACUCUUUUAACUUUUAACCAAAAAUGAACACCACAGUACUACACUAAGUUUUAUCAUGCAUAAAAUACACAACACUGAUUGCCACUUUUAGAAAACAACAAAACACUCAAAACCCAGAAACAGAAACACACUUUAGGACUCAAACUCCCCAAAAACAUAUGAGAGAGAUAGAGAGAUAGAGAGAGAGAGAGAGAGAGAGAGAGAGAGAGAGAAUAAAAACAAUAUUAUUUUUCACACAAACUCAAAAUUGCUUAUAAAAUUACAAAUCAAAACAAAUGAAAGCAAAUCCAAAAUUGCCCUAAAUUAAAUCUGAUUAGUUAAAUGUUUGUUGCCCUACAAAUGUCAUUACACCCGACAAAACUUGCUUUGAAGUUGAUAUUUUGGUCAAUCCGGGGGAAAAUGAGCUAUUGCUUUUGGAGCAGUUGUCAUGGAGAUUACCAUCUCCCUGUUGAAUGAUCUAAAAAAGGACUUACAGCUUCUGGUGGCCAUAAUAAUUUAGGAGGUCCUUCGCUCCAGAUUUUCUCAAUAACUUUCCUUUUCGUGGCUGGUAGGAUUGCAACUCCAAGAAUUGCUCUGAAGAGAUAUAUGCAAACAAAAUCAAACUAAAACUAAGCUGUUGGAAGAAAUUUAGAAAACACAAACACCACAACUCAGAGUUAAAGUCAACAGAAACCAAAUGGUAGAAGUUGAAAAAAAUAUAUGGUGAUGAAUCGAGAACUUCAUUAAACUAACAGCAAUAAAAUCUCAUAUAAUCUGUCAAAAACCAAAAAAGAGAGAGGUAAUUUCAAAACCUUGUAACGCUGAGGCGUCGUACAGUUGUAGUAAUAAUAUAUGGUUGAUGCACCUGUUGCUCAAUCAAAUCCUCUGUCUGGCUAAAAAAAUAAAAAUCUAUAAAUACAUUCACGUCCAAUUUAUGAGAAAUCAUGGGAAAGUAAAUGCACUGAUAACGGAAUUAUGAAUAUGAACUUGCCAAAAAGAAAAAGAAAACUUCUUAUAGUGUGCCAAGAACAUCCUCCUACUCCUAGCAAUUUUUAAUGGCAUUGUCCACUUCUCAAUUCAUAAUUCAACCAAUAACUCAAAGUCUAUAGUGUUUGAAAAAGUGAUAUCUUAGUUGAUCACGAUGAUAAUUAAGCAGAUUAAAUGAUGACCCAUAAAGCAUACAAAUUCAGAAAAGAAAAGGUUCAAAACUGUCAUGAGAAAAUACAGAAUAUAUAAACAGGAAAUCAAAAAAAGAGAAGUGAAAAAGGAAGAAACAACCAAACAAAAUUAUUAGGUUUGGGAUAUACCUUUAUCUGAAACGCCACAAUCAUCAAAGUCAAACUUAAACAACAACAACAACAACAACAACAACAAAGCCUUUUCCCACUAAGUGGGAAAGUCAAACUUAAACAAUCCAAAAAUUUGUGGAAAAUACCAAUAAAUGCUCAACUAAAAACGAAAGAAACGUAGAAUAAGUUUACCUGUUCUGCCCCUAAUUAAACUGGAAUACAAUUCACCACUAAUAUUCCUUGGUGUAUGCUUUUCGCAGACGAUAUAGUGUUGAUAGAUGAAACUCAGGAAGGGGUAAAUGCAAAGCUUAACCUUUGGAGAGAAGUGUUGGAAUCUAAAGGUCUUCGCCUAAGCCGAUCAAAGACAGAAUAUAUGGAGUGCAAGUUCAGUGCAAAUGGAGGCCAAAACGAGUUAGGGGUGAGGAUCGGAGAUCAAGAAAUACUAAAGAGCGACCGUUUUCGUUACCUAGGAUCUAUCUUGCAAAAGAACGGAGAAUUAGAUGGAGAUCUCAACCAUAGAAUACAAGCUGGAUGGAUGAAGUGGAAGAGUGCAUCCGGCGUGUUAUGUGACCGCCGUAUGCCACUGAAGCUCAAGGGAAAAUUUUAUAAGGACGGCAAUAAGGCCGGCGAUGCUGUAUGGCACAGAAUGUUGGGCGGUGAAACAUCAAACACGUACACAAAAUGGGUGUAGCGGAGAUGAGGAUGCUUCGUUGGAUGUGUGGGCACACGAGAAAGGAUAAGAUUAGGAAUGAGGAUAUCCGGGGUAAAGUAGGAGUAGCCGAAAUUGAAGGAAAGAUGAGAGAAAAUCGGUUACGGUGGUUUGGACAUGUGCAAAGAAAGGCCUACUGACGCUCCGAUUAGAAGAUGCGACUAUGGGACAGAGGUUCAGGGCCGAAGGGGUAGAGGAAGACCUAGGAAAACUUUGGAAGAGACUCUAAGAAAAGACUUAGAGUACUUGGAUCUAACGAAGGACAUGACACAGGAUCGAGCACAAUGGCGUUCUAAGAUUCAUAUAGCCGAUCCCACUCAGUGACUUGGAUUUUCCAAGUCUCCAACCGAGAAGUUUUCCUCACUCGGAAAAUUAAGGGAACACUACCCCAACCUACAUGCUCCACUCAGAAAGCUUCAACAUACAAGCUUCAACAAAAGAAAAUUCAAAGAACUUAGCGAAGAAGGCUUUGGUGUAUUAACACAAUACGUUGAAAUGAAGGAAAGCUUAUUUAUUGAUAUCCCCGAUAAGCUACAAAUAUGUACAUAUACAUGAGUCAAAAUAAACACACAAGAGGGAGCCUUCACAAAGGUUGCUUAGGAGAAGUCUCAGCAGUCGGUAGAGCCCCAGAAAGAGAAGGCACCGGAGGGGGAUCAUUUGGAGCCUCAGUACUGGACAGAACCCUAGAAGGAGGAGGCAUCAGAGGUUGAUCAUUUGGAGCUUCAUUACGCGGUACAGCCCCAGAAGACGAAGGCAAUAAAUGCCUUUGGAACAAACCCACAAAUCUCUGAUGAUCAAGUAAAACCUGACCAUCAGUUUCCUUCAUCUGGUCAAGCUUCCUCUUCAUGUUUGUAGCAUAGUCAUGUGCGAGCCGGUGCAACUGUUUAUUCUCAUGCUUGAGCCCUCUAAUCUCCUGUUUGAGACUCAUCACUUCAGCCGCCAAUGAUUCAACUUGGCGGGUUCGAGCAAAUAGGCGUUGGGCCAUAUUAGACACAGAACCUGCACACUGAACACUGAGAGCCAGCGAAUCCUUAACAGCUAACUCAUCAGACCGUUUGGAAAGUAGUCUGUUAUCUUUGGGAGUGAGAAGGUUCCUGGCCACCACCGCAGCGGUCAUAUCAUUCUUCAUCACGGAAUCCCCAACGGUAAGAGGACCAGUAGGGGAGACGAAGGAUGGGCGCCAUAUGUUGUCUGGAGAAGGCGGGGCUGCCUCUUCAACAAGGUUCAAGUCAAAACGACGGUCGGAGGGGCCAGACAUUUUCAAAGGUGUUGAAGAGAGAAGAGGUCGGACAAAUCAAGAUCUUAGAAGUGCAAGAAUGAAGCUUCUACUGGUGGAGAUUCAAGUGUGCUUUGGAACUUAAUGCCAGCCCCUAUAAAAAUCUGCACUCGACGGAGCUUCAGAAAAUCGAAGAGGCGCCUGCUCAGAAAUCGAAGAGGCGUUUGCUUUCUCAAAAGCUGGGCUGCUUAGAGAUCACGAGGGUUGAUCUCAGAAAUCGAAGAGGCGUUUGCUUUCUCAAAAGUUGGGCUGCUCAAAGACCACGAAGGCCGAUCUCAGAAAAUCGAAGAGGCGCUCGCUUUCUCAAAAGCUGGGCUCCCCAGAGACCACGAGGGCCGAUCUCAGAAAUCGAAGAGGCACCUACUUUUCCAGCCUUGUCAGCACCUGUCACACGCACACUCAGCUUUGCGGAAAUUAUGGGCAUUCUGUCGAAGACUUCUGGGGAAGUAGAAAACACAUGAAUCUUACUGUUCAAUCACCCACUUCCCACACGCAACAAUAGCUCAUGGGUACCACAGAUAACUUUGCCAAAGUUCUCUGCCAAAGUUGAGCACGUGAAGCUUGCAGCUCCCACUACAUCGCUCUGACCAAGAAGGGUAAAAGAAUAGCAAAGAAACAGCACUAACAAAGUUUAGACCCAUAAAUUUUGAAGGUCUAGCUACCAUAUUAUUACCCACAAGGGUAAAGGAACAGUACCACUGCUGGAUAAUUGGAAAGUCCCUGUGUGUCAACCUCUGUGCUUCGUGGCAAGGUAGACUAGCAAACAUGCCCAACCUUUACUCACAUUCGAGAAAACACUCCCAAUAAGAUUGCUUGCUCCAAAAUCGAAGAGGCACCGUCCUCCGAAUCUCGAGAGCCAGACUCCCAACAUGACUACUUUCUUAAAAAUCGAAGAGAGGGUAAAGGAACAGUACCAUUGCUGGAUAAUUGGAAAGUCCCUGUGUGUCAACCUCUGUGCUUCGUGGCAAGGUAGACUAGCAAACAUGCCCAACCUUUACUCACAUUCGAGAAAACACUCCCAACAAGAUUGCUUGCUCCAAAAUCGAAGAGGCACCCGCCCUCCGAAUCUCGAGAGCCAGACUCCCAACAUGAUUACUUUCUCAAAAAUCGAAGAGACACUGCUCCCCGAAUCUUCGAGAGCCAGACCCCCAGCAUGAUUGCUUUCUCAAAAAUCGAUGAGGCAUCGUUCUCCGAAUCAAUCGAAGAGGCGCUCGCUUUCUCAAAAGCUGGGCUGCUCAGAGACCACGAGGGCCGAUCUCAGAAAUCGAAGAGGCACCUACUUUUCUAGCCUUGUCAGCACCUGUCACACGCACACUCAGCUUUGCAGAAAUUAUGGGCAUUCUGUCGAAGACUUCUGGUGAAGUAGAAAGCACAUGAAUCUUACUGUUCAAUCACCCACUUCCCACACGCAACAAUAGCUCAUGGGUACCACAGAUAACUUUGCCAAAGUUCUCUGCCAAAGUUGAGCACGUGAAGCUUGCAGCUCCCACUACAUCGCUCUGACCAAGAAAGGUAAAAGAAUAGCAAAGAAACAGCACUAACAAAGUUUAGACACAUAAAUUUUUGAAGGUCUAGCUACCAUAUUAUUACCCACAAGGGUAAAGGAACAGUACCACUGCUGGAUAAUUGGAAAGUCCCUGUGUGUCAACCUCUGUGCUUCGUGGCAAGGUAGACUAGCAAACAUGCCCAACCUUUACUCACAUUCGAGAAAACACUCCCAACAAGAUUGCUUGCUCCAAAAUCGAAGAGGCACCGUCCUCCGAAUCUCGAGAGCCAGACUCCCAACAUGACUACUUUCUCAAAAUCGAAGAGAGGGUAAAGGAACAGUACCAUUGCUGGAUAAUUGGAAAGUCCCUGUGUGUCAACCUUUGUGCUUCGUGGCAAGGUAGACUAGCAAACAUGCCCAACCUUUACUCACAUUCGAGACAACACUCCCAACAAGAUUGCUUGCUCCAAAAUCGAAGAGGCACCCGCCCUCCGAAUCUCGAGAGCCAGACUCCCAACAUGAUUACUUUCCUCAAAAAUCGAAGAGACACUGCUCUCCGAAUCUCGAGAGCCAGACCCCCAGCAUGAUUGCUUUCUCAAAAAUCGAAGAGGCAUCGUUCUCCGAAUCUCGAGAGCCAGAUACCACAGACCACUUUUUCAAAGUGCUCUGACAGAGUUAAAACAUGUGAAACUGGCAGCUCCCACUACCGUGCUAUGACCAAGCAGGGUAAAGGAAUAGCAUUACUACUUGUUGUUAGGGAGACUCCUAUAUAUGUCGACCUCCAUCCCCAACGGACAGGCAGACCUGCAAAAAUGCUCAACCCUUCAUCAUAUCUGAGAGGGCACUCCCAACGAAGCCUUUCGAAAUAUUCAGCUUUCUUUCCCCCCGAUAAUACCUCUGCAAACAAGCUAUACUACUAGAGCAAGAAUAUCUCAUAUCAUCAGGGUUAAAAGCAAGAGUAUCCCAUAUCAUGCUUUUUCCCUGUCUUUUCCUUUGGCCUUGUUUUUUACCUGCAAGACAAGGAGAAAGAGAGAGCAAUCAGUCAGCACUUGGAAUCAAGCUUCCAGCCAGGAACUGACUGCCUGGAACCCCUUACCUGAUUACUUACCUGGCAUUGCUCUCGAGUACUCAUCUUCAACAUCUUAUGUUUCCAGGGAAGAUUCCGCAUCUGCUUGAGGAACAGAUAGGGCAAGUGCGAAGGAUACAAGGAAGCAUGUGGAGACAAGCGUAACAGCACACGUGCCGAUACAUCCAUUACUCUGUCAAAAGCAAAAGUAUCCCAUAUCAGCAGGGUGGAACGUACUCUAGAUUUGAUGGACUUGUUUUGACCCUCAAAUUCUUCAGUCGGCCUUAUACUCUGGAGGAAACCAGAAAACCCUCCAGCUCAGUUCAAGAAUAAGCCUGUGGAAAGUUACUUCUUCAAAAGCAAAAGUAUCUCUCAUAUCAUCUCUUCUCAUUUUUUCUUCUCUUUAUCCUUCAUGCUGCUGCAAGAUGGGGAGAAGGUGAACAAUCAGUCGGAGCUCUGAUUGCUUACCUUGUCUGUCACCUCUUUCAGCAGACCCCCUAGCUCGGCGACUUGGGGGACUCCUACUACAUGGUUUGUAUCGCGCUUGACCAAGCCUGAAACUACAAGUAAGCUUCAAGUGAAAUUGAUACAUUACCUUGUGCAUCUCCACCAGUUAAAGAUACCACCCCUGGAUGGAGGAAGAGUACUUCCAGAGAAGAUGCCACAUCUACCUAUGAGACAGAUAAGGCAAGUCAAGACGACACCACACUCCGAUACUUAGAAGUUUCGUGAUUACGAGAUCAUUCUCCCACAAUAUUUCCUAAUGUCAUUUGUACUAAAUCAUUCACUUGUACUCACUAAAGGAGAGCUUGAACCUAUGUACUUGUGUAAACCCUUCACAAUUAAUGAGAACUCUUCUAUUCCGUGGACGUAGCCAAUCUGGGUGAACCACGUACAUCUUGUGUUUGCUUUCCUAUCUCUAUCCAUUUAUAUACUUAUCCACACUAAUGACCGGAGCAAUCUAGCGAAGAUCACAAAAAAGCGACCGUUUUCGCUACCUAGGAUCUAUCUUGCAAGAGAACGGAGAAUUAGAUGGAGAUCUCAACCAUAGAAUACGAGCUGGAUGGAUGAAGUGUAAGAAUGCAUCCGGCGUGUUGUGUGACCGUCGUAGGCCACUGAAGCUCAAGGGAAAAUUUUAUAGGACGGCAAUAAGGCCAGCGAUGUUGUAUGGCACAGAAGAAUGUUGGGUGGUGAAGCAUCAACACGUACACAAAAUGGGUGUAGCGGAGAUGAGGAUGCUUCGUGGGAUGUGUGGGCACACGAGAAAGGAUAAGAUUGGGAAUGAGGAUAUCCGAGGUAAAGUAGGAGUAGCCGAAAUUGUAGGAAAGAUGAGAGAAAAUCGGCUCCGGUGAUUUGGACAUGUGCAAAGAAGGCUGAAUGACGCUCCGGUUCGAAGAUGUGACUACGGGACAGAGGUUCAGGGUUGAAGGGGUAGAGGAAGACCUAGGAAAACUUUGGAAGAGACUAUAAGAAAAGACUUAGAGUACUUGGAUCUAACGGAGGACAUGACACAAAACCGAGCGCAAUGGCGUUCUAGGAUUCAUAUAGCCGACCCCACUUAGUGGGAAAAGGCUUUGUUGUUGUUGUUGUUGUAUUCAAUGAAGAUGCUUAAAGGAGACAGUAAUAUUAGCAAUGAAGGAAUUUAAUUGAUAACUAAAACUGCAAAACAAAAUGACUACAAUAGGUUCAAAACAGAAACUCGUCCGAUAGAUAUCUCAUCUUUAGGCAAUGCCUUGUUCCCUUUUUUUUUUUUUUUUUUUUUUUUUUUUUUUGUUGCAUGUCUUGUGAACUUCAUGUAAAUCAACAAAAUUGAUACCUUAACCAACAAUGGAGAGGUAAAAAGUUAAAAACAGAAGGAAUGUCUUCAGUUUUGUAAUGGAUUUUGCAAGUCAAAUUCUGUUCGAGAAUUUGCAACCCAGAAAGUCCCAGCAAUUAUUAACAAUCACAGAUAAGCACCGAAUGAAGGCCAAUCUAAUAAGCCAAAAUAUGUAGGGCACUAAAGAAAUUAUUGCCCAGUAACAAUGAUAGAUAAGCACAUGUGAAACUAAAGAAAAUUUUCAUUACUAUCAACUCCAAAAAAAAUUACCUAUGCAAUCCAAAAAAUGUUGAUACAGAGUUGGAGUAUCGAUGCCUGAAAUUGGUAUUUGAACCACCAACUACCUCCGUGAAUAUGCUUGUCACUUAAUGGUUUGGGUUGAAGUUGUGAAAGGAAAUGUAAUUUCUUAAAAGGAAGGAGAGAAUGCAGAGAAGAAUACAGAAUGGUUCACGUGGCCACCGCAAAACAGGUUAAUAAUCAAGCUUCACUAUGAAUGGAAAGAUUAAUAGAUGAUAAUUAAGAAGGCCUGAUACCCAAGCCGAAAUCAGAGAUAUCCUUUGUAAACAAAGAGAUUGAACAUUUCCUCUCAAAAAAUAACUUUUUUUUUUGUUUUGGGGGGGAGGUUGGGAAGGCUCAGAAAAAGACAUCCAAUAUAAUACUUAUUGCAUGCAAGGUAUGAAACAGCCUCCCCCCGAGUAAAAUCACAGAAAUAAAAGAAAUCGAAUCAAGAAAAAAGAUAAUUACACAAGAAUUACACCUUCACUAAGAAAAUAAAUUAUAAAAACGAAGACUCUGAGAAUAAUUGCCUGUGAUUUGCUGCCAAAAACAAAAAUAAUGUCGUAUACAUUAAGCCUGCCGAUUACUAAAAACAAAACAUUUUUCCAUGAGAAGAAGUAAGAACAUACCGAAACUUGUUUGCUAAUAGAUGAGAAAAAUUUAUAACUGAAACAUAUAGGAAAUUUAUUAGGAAAAGAUAAACAAAACACCUAAAUUAAGCAAUUAAAUGGAGUAUUACUUGAUAGAGCUGGAAAAUUACCCAGUUCCUCAGAGAGAGGAUCAAGAGUGAAUGAUGAGAGUGCAGAGAAACGAAUGAUUGAGAAAUUCAAGCUCUGAGCUCACAGUUGGGGCUUCCACUUUCCAACUGGGGAAGAAAUAACAGAGAAAACACAAGGCCAAUCCACCAAAAAUAUUAAUCAAAUGGGUUUCUUCUAAUUCAAAAUUUUGACCACCCAAAUUCCGAUGAAGCAAUAAUUGUUCAAAAUUCCAACAGAUUGAAGGAAAAAGUAAUAAAUUUUUUUAAAACAGUAAUAAUGAAGGAAAAAGAAAUUAAAGCUGCGAGCCAUUCUCUAAAUCUCAGGCACCAAUCCAAAUCACCAGUAAUUUGCACAUAAUGAUAAGAAUCUAGCAAUACUUCCAUUGUUUAAAACCCAAAUUCCAGAAAUCAUGAAAAAUGGAAACUUUAUAUGGAAAUUGAAGCUUUACCUGCAGAUCAGCAGCAGCAAACGAAAUUCAAGAAGUCACGAUUAUCGACGCGUGGGUAGCAUUCCACUGUGCCAAGGACGAAAAUGAACGGGGAAUGUAGAGCUGGCUGACGAAGACAGGAUUCGCGAAGCGCUCUGAUUUUUUUUUUCACGAGAAUGCGGAAUGAAGAGAAGCGAGUAGAGGAGGAAUCAUUUUAAGCGAUGAUCGACGCGUGGAAAUUGAGGGCAAAUCUGCCAUUUUGCUGUGAACGAAAGUGAAAAAAGGCACAAUCAAAGAGUAAUUUGAGGGCAUUCUAGCCACUUUAAUAAACAGUAGCUUUGUGUUUGAGAUUUAAUAUAGGUAUAUAUAGAGCCCUACAGAGCAACUCCACCCAUGGAGCCCUCCUCUCUGACAAUCUACUAUUGAAUUCACCUUUUUGAACAGUAACUGCCUUUAAUAAAUAGUAACUACCAUUAAUGAACAAUAAUUGUCAUUUGCAUCUCCACCCUUGGAGCCCUCCCCCCUGGCAAUAGGCAAUAAAAUAUUAAUUUUUUUUGUUUGUUUAAAUAAUACAAAAUAAAAUUAUUUGUAAUUUUGGAUAAGAUUUUUUAAAUCGUUCUCGUUGCGCCACGUGUCAUUUUAUAAAAAAAACAAUUAUUUAGCGAUGGAUUUCGAUAAGAUUUUUAUCCAAUGUCAUCGUGUCACAUGUCGUUAUCUUUUGAUAAUCUUUGACGAUAUCUUUCGAUCAGAUUUUAACUCGUUCAAAAUUGCGUCACGUGUCAUUAUUCGAAAAGAUAAUUAUUGGAGAUCGAUUUCGAUAAGAUUUUUAUCCAAUACGAUCUUGUCACGUUUCAUUAUCUUUCAUAAUAUUUGAGGAUAGAUUUCGAUCAGAUUUUUAACGAAUGACGGCAUGCCACGUGGCCUUAUCUACAAUCCAAUCCUUUCUGAAUCAUCCAUAUAAUCCACCAUCCAUCCUCACAAAUCUCACACCAAAUUUCUCAACAUUUCUAUCUCAUUAUUCAUAGUUUCUGCUUCUUCUUCACCAUCCAUCAUUACAAUGUCUUCUUCUUCAUCAAGGAUGAUGUGGGAAAUCGAUCAGCAAGAGGAAGAAUUGUUUAACCAAUCUGAAGGAAUGUUCAACCUUCAGAUAGCCGAAAAUGAGAUGGAUGAGGAUGAGGAGCGUAGAAGGAGAGACGACGAAACAAGAAUGGCCAGAGCCUCACAUUCCCGUUGAGUCAUCCAGACUGUUGCUCAGAUAUGCAUGCCCAACCGUUCAAGAAACCUUGGUAGAAGCAGGCAACGAUGGGGUGAAGAGCUAUUGGACGAUUACUUUGUCCAUAACAGUGCAUUUCCUGAUACGUACUUCAGACGUCGUUUUAGAAUGGAACGACAUUUGUUCAACAGAAUCAUGACUGAUGUUUACAACCAUGAUUCUUACUUUGUGCAAAAGAAUGAUGCUUGUGGUGUUAUGGGUUUCCUGCCUGAGCAAAAAAUCACUGUUGCGUUGCGGAUGCUUGCGUAUGGAGCAUCUGUAGACCAAGUGGAUGAGAUAACGAGGAUGGGGAAAUCAACCAUUCUUGAGGCCCUUAUGAGGUUUUGCGGAGCAGUCGAAUCUUUGUACACCGCAUAGUACCUCCGAAAACCUACUUGUAGGGACUUGCAAAGGCUUCUGAAGAAGGGCGAGAUGCGAGGUUUUCCUGGGAUGAUAGGAAGCAUCAAUUGUAUGCACUGGACGUGGAAAAAUUGUCCAAGUGCAUGGCAAGGCGCAUAUGGGGACAUAAAAGGAUCAAAAACUAUCAUUUUGGAGGCAGUGGCAUCUUUUGAUACAUGGAUAUGGCACGCCUUUUUCGGGGUUCCGGGGGCUCAAAAUGAUCUCAACGUCCUUGCCCAAUCCCCAGCGUUCAACGACAUCCUGCAAGGAAAGGCACCAAAAGUCACGUACAUCGUCAACGGACGUAGGUACGACGGGCCAUACUAUCUAGCUGACGGCAUUUACCCACGGUGGGAAACAUUUGUCAAAACAGUGCCACGUCCGCGAAGUGCAAAGGAAAAACACUUUGCAAGCUGUCAAAAGGGGUGCAGGAAGGAUGUGGAGCGUUGUUUUGGUAUCCUUCAAGCUCGUUGGGCGAUCGUCAGGGGUGCUGCCAGAAUGUUCGAUGUAGAGUCACUUUGAUCCAUCAUGAUGACAUGCGUCAUUCUUCACAAUAUGAUUGUGGAAGAUGAGUUCGAUUAUGAUGCGGUUGAUGAAUAUGAGCCAGAGCCAGACACGAUGAACAAUUCAAGAACACGGAUAUAUUGUGCGCAUGAUGCCACCAAAGAACCCGUGCAACAUGAGCCAUUAGAAAGGGAUGAACGUUACAAUGAAAUGGUCAUUCAACGAUAUACUGCACUUCAAAUGUCAUCUAUGCACAAUGAUCGGCAAAUUGACUUGAUAGAGCACCAGUGGACAUUAAAACAAGCUGAAGAUACUUAAGUUUAUUUAGUAUGUUUGUUUGUAUUUGGUAUGUUUAUGUAAUUUUAUUUGGUGUGUUUUUUGUAGUGAGUUUUUUAUUAUUUCGUAUGUUUAUGUAAUUUUAUUUGGUGUGUUUAUGUAAUUCCAAUUGGUAAGAAAAUAUGAAAUUGUGGUGUAAGGUAGAUGGAGAAGAAGUGGUAUUUAUAGAAAAGUAAAAACAAUUUUUUACAAAUUUUUUUUUUUAGAUUUUUUACAAUUUUUUCGGAUUUUUUCCAUUUUUUUUAAUUUUUUUUUCAAAUAAUUAAUCUCUGCCGUUGGAUUUAAAAAAAAUUGAAUUCCAACACUCCAGAUUGUGCCACGUGUCACAACGGUAAUUUUUCUUAAUUUUAAAACUAUUUUUUCUUUAUUUAUAAAGCAUAUUAAUAUCGACCGUUGAUCUGAAAUCGAACGGUUGAUAUUAAAUAAGAUUUGUUUUAUUUUUUUUACCGUUGAGAUCCAACAGUCCAAAUGAAAGAGCCGUUGAGAUCGAACGGACCGUGGGAAACCACGUGGCUUCCCAAUGGUAACUGAGACAACUGCAAAAGUGGGCUGCUUUUCUGAAAAGCUGUCAGGCGACGCGCCCCCACGCGCGAGUGGGGUGCACGCGCCUGACAAAAAAAAAAAAAAUGGGUGAAGAGCUCGGGCUCACGGCUGUCACAAAUUGACAGGCCUUCUGCUCGGGCCUUCUCCACGAGCUCGGGCUCUUCAAGACUGGAGCUGAUUGACUAGCCCUCGGGCCUUUCUUUUCCCCUGUCCCCCGGCCUACAUGCAUGGGUGGAGUUGCUCUAAGAGAAGGGAUUUCCAUUCUUGUUUUUUUAAAUGUGGACACCUUUUUUACUGUUAGAUUUGACUUUAACGAAAUUUUGUGGUUGAGAUUAAAUCACAAACCACAGAAUCUCAACCAUAGAAUUUCAUUAAAGCUAUAUUUAACGAUCAAUAGGGUGUUCCCAUUUUUUUUGAAAAAUAGGAAUCCCUUCCCUUAAGGCUUUCAGUAUAUUAUAUACACUAAAACUCAAUUGAUGAACACUGUUCAUUAACAGUGAUUUUACGUUUUAGCCCCUGUUUUGCUGUUUGUUUGCCCUUUUAUUUUUCGAUCUUAACAGUAAAAUGACAGUUUUGCCCGUUCUUUCCACGCGUCAGUCAUCGUUGAGCUCUUCACUUCAAGAGUCUUCUUUUAGGUUUAGCCUUUUCUUUGCACUGGUGAUUCUCUGAUUUCGUCUCUUCGUCUCGCCCUCUGUUUUUUCUCAAAUCCUCCAUUCCUCUCAAAUAUUCCGUUCUUUAUUUCACAAAAUAUUCAGGAGAAAGUUCCUGAUUUUCGUGUUUUAAGGGAUAUAAUGAUUUGGUGUUGUUUAUCUCAAACAGCGGGCUUGCAGGUAAAAUGUUAAGCUUUAUGUCCAAAGCAAUCUUUCUCUGCAUGCUGACUGUGUGUUGAUUUGAAGGGGUGGUUUAGUGAAUGGGUGCUUCUUAUUUUUGGCCUUUCUCUAUUAUCAUAUAUGUUUCUCUAUUCUCAGGUAUCAGAUCAUUCGAAACAAAAACAUUUUAACGUUAUUUUUGCAGGUUAAUGUUGGGUUUGAGUCCAACACGAUAUACACUUGAACAGAGUAGAGUAGAAGACAGUAUGCAAACAUGAUUUAGGACACAGUUUACCUAAUUGUAAACACUCUGUGAAAUAUUAUUAGUUAUGAACAUCCAAUUUGAAUCCCCCACAUGCUAAAUUAGGUACCAUUAAAUUAGUUUUAUGUCUUUUUUUUAUUUGAAAGCUGCUUCUUAUUUCUGUCUCUAUUAAGAUUCUGGGGUGUGCUUUGGAUUUGCUACAUAUGGUCAUAUUUUUUGUCAUUGGCUUUUUGUUCUGCUUAGUUUUUUUUAAUCGAGUGUUUUAUCUGGUAUUUCAUUUUGUUUUGUUUAUUUGUUUCCUUUUUAUGUUUAAAUGUUUUUUGUUCUUUCUAAAUUUGGGCUUCUGGGAAAUUCUUGCUCACUGUUUGGAUUCCGAGAAAAUUUAGGGGAUGUCCAGUAAUAUUCACAUCCUGAAAACUCAGUGAAAAUAGAUACCAAUUUAUGUGCAGCUGAAAAUUUUGUUAUCUGAUUCUGUUCUAAAUAACAUGAUUUAUUUGUUUUUUAAACUUUUAAUUAUUUCGUAUUUAUUUUGUGAUUGCAGAUGUUUAAAUGAUGGAGAGUUUCGCAAAGCUGUUACUCGGAGGAGACAUGUCUAGAUGAGGGAAAGGUGUCUCCACUGCCCUUGCUAUCUCAAAUGCCAUCACCAAUCUCUCUGGUUAGUCACAUUCCUCUUGGAAUAUGCAUAUUCUUAUGUGAUGUUGGCUGAUACCUUGGUGAGUCAACUUAAUAAAAAAUGUGAGAUGGACAAAUUGAAAAGUCUAUUUUCUUCUCAUAUGCAUCCUUUAACAUAUGUCAGUUUUAAUUAUUGAUGAGCAAUUGAAAAUUUAGUUUUUCUUCUCAUGGUACACUUACAUUGGUAGUUCAACAUAUGUUUGUUUAACAUAUCUUAUUAAAUGCAUUUGAGAAUCGAUUGAAGAAACUCAGUUCUUUUAGCAAUUAAGAACAAGGUAAACAUAGUUGUAAAUAUGUGUAAAUAAGAUAGGAAUUUUGAUGAAUUUAUGUUUUUUCCUCCGUUUUUCAGUGUUUUCAGGCAUUGAAGCUAAAUAUGGAGAGGGUUUUGAGACUUUUAGACCUAUUGGACCUCUCAAGGUUUGCGUGGUAAGGAGUUUAUGGAGUUAUACGCAUAGUAGGCAUUAUAUUUUAUGUUCUGUUGAAUUUAAUUUAAUGGUUAUAUUUUAUGCUCCUAUGAGUUAUUACUGUUAUGUUUACUCUGAGUAGGAUUUGUUGAACGACAAACUGCAAGGAGGUUUUCUUAAACGAAUAUGAUAUGCUAUGAAACCGAAUGAAGCUUACUGUCUUCUAUUCUCUUUUGUUAAUUUCGUGGUAAGUUUCUAUAACACUGAUUAGUUAUGUCUUCGAGGUUCUAAUGGCUAGAUAUGCUAAUGUAAUGAACUAUGGAAUAUUGUAAUAGUUUAUGGUCAAUGUGAUCCCAUAUCUGUUUGAUUGAAAUAUUGUUCUAUAACAGGUUUAAACUUUGUUUUUCCAAUACCUUAUCACAAAAUAAUUCCACCUUGGACAAAUUACAAGGUAUGCUGCAACAUGUGCUUUGAUUAAUUGCAUUCAAAUUGAUACUGCUUAAGAAUGCAUUUGAACAUGUUGAAUUUCACGCCCGCAGCAUCGCGCGGGCAAUAUUGCUAGUAUAAUAUAUAAUUGGGUGAUAAAGAGAGUAGGUGAAAGAACACAAUUUGCUCUUAAAAAUGUUGUUUUUAAGAACGAGUGAUUUUUCUUUUCUGACUCUUUCUGUCUAACCCAAAAGCAUACUGGUAAUAGGGUCCAGUAAGAAAAUUAUUUUUAGAAAUUAAACAUGAAAAAAUACAAAAUUUACAAUUUCGAAUUAUACAAAAAAGACAAAAAAAGCGCAAAAUAAAAAGAGCAGGACAGAAAAACAGAAACAAAAGAAAGGAGACACUAAGAAUACAAAUAGCGUGAUUUGAGCCCUCAAUUUUGGCAGGCAACAUGAUUGUUAACGCAUGAUUGUGAACCCAUCCAUUGAAGAAAGAAGCAUCAUAAUACACAAGAGUCAAGACUGGGCUUGGUUUAUAUAAUGAAUAAUGUUAGGGAGAUCAAAUUUUUUAAACUAAAUUUGUAAAUUAAAUGAUGUAGUUAUAGAUGAUUGGGUUAUUACUAAGUGUCGAUUAAUAUGUUUAUUUCUUAUUGGUGACAUAUCAUUUGGUUUAAAAAUUUGGUCUCCCUAGCAUUAUCCUUAUAUAAUUAAUCAAUAAUAUUCCAUAACAAGAGCUAGGUCCAUAUAUUACGAGGUUAUAAAAUAUGCUAGGUGCUAGUCGAGAGGCGGGCGGGGCCUAAGCAGAUUUAAGUAAAUUUAUUAUAUAUUGUAUAAAUAAAUGCCUUUUUAUACUUAAAAUGACACACAAUUGUAUCGAAAUAUAUAAAUUGCAAAAUAAAAUGACAUAUAGAUUAUAAAUUACUAGAACAUAAUGAACAAUCAUAUAAUGAGGGUUUAUCCAAAUAUUUAUUGGAAAACAAAAAACAAAAUGAGUGUUAUCGAUUUUCUGUCUAAAUGAAAGUUGCGGGCUAGGCAGGUUUAAGUGGGUUAGGCGGACGCCUAAGCAAGUCUAGAGCACUUUCUUAAUUUUUAAAUGAUUAGGGACUAAUUAGGGUGGUGGACAACUGCCUAGCGCUAGACAUGGGUUUUUAGAACAGUAAUUACUUGUUCUCAUAGAUCUCUGGGUUCAAGAAAAUUAUGAUCACCUAUUGUUCGAUCUUAAUACCGUCGGUAAGCGGUUAUUUAACCAUUUUUUAUAUUGAGUAAUUUUCCUGGAUCCUGAAAUCUAGAAGAACAAAACUCUUAUGUCACAUGGAUAAACAUAAUCAGGCAUAAGAAAAAGGUUGAAGAAUUCAUAAGUCAUAUAGGGGGCGUUUGUUUGCCCUCACUAAGUAUCACUGGACUAACUAUUAGUCCAGUCCCGUGUUUCUUCUGUAGAGGGAUUAUGUUUCAUGAGACUAAAGGGGAGUCACACGGACAAACUCCUUCACUAGGAGUUCUUAGCGAGAUCCCCCAAUGCCCAUGGGAUUGCUAAGACCUCGUAUACUCCAUCUUUGUAUGCUAUGUCUCAUCCUCUCUAUGCUCUCUAUUAUCUUGAGCACCAUCACACCACAACUCACCAACUCCAGUGAGAUCACACCACCAACCCACCACCACUUUCUCCCUCUCUCUUCACAUGAACCCAAAAUUUCGAACUGAGGAAGAUCCCGUUCUUACAGUAAUUCGUCCAGCUCUAGCUGUCUGCUUCGCUUCGCUGCACUUCAAACUCGACCUUGGACUCGUCUGAUUCGCUUUGAACUCGACCUCGUAUUUGUCGACUUUACGCAAUUGACGAGAUCUUGUGAACUUGAUGAUGGGUGAGCCACCCAGUGCACUUGAAGGAAUAUGGGAGGCCAAGAACGCCAAAGCCUACGACGGCAAUGAAGACGUUGGCUGGAUUGGGAUGACAGCGACGUGUUCCACAUCAAGGGCAGCGGCUUGGGAUUCUUGUUUUCAUUUGGUUUUGAUUUAAAUUAGGUUUUGAUUUCGAAUUGGGUUUGAUGUGAUCUGGUAUUGGCAUUUGAUUUGCUCUGUAAUUGUUUGAAUGUGUGGAAUAAAUUUUGGGGAAAGAGGAAGAAAAUUUAGAAAAAGAAAAAUAGACUAAAUAAUAAAAUAUUAAUAUAUAUUAGAUUAAAUAAUAUCAUAUUAGAAUUUAUUAUUAUCCUACUUCUUGGUCCGACACUGCACCAAACGCUUUACUAAGCUAAUCCAACUUAGUCUAGUCUAAGUCAAUCCAGCUUAGUUCCUGAAGUUAGUCUAGUCCAAGACAAUCCGGUGCAACAAACACAUUCAUAGAGUAAUUAUAGGGAUACUAAAUUUGUAAAUAAAAUUUUGUAAACUAAAUGACAUGGAAGUUGAUCGUUGAAUUAUUACUUAAACGUUAAUAAAUGUACUCAUUAUCACUAAAGACACGUUAUUUAAUUUGUAAAUUUUAUUUAUAAAUCUAAAGCAUUACCCAAACUCAUAAUACAAAUAGCUACUUUGAGAGAAGAAAAGAUGGAGAGUGAUAUGAUUGCAUUCUUUUUUAAAGCAACUUCUGAAGAUUCCAUAAUAAACUAUUAUUAUAUAUGAAGAUGUGCCGUGGUAAAAGAGAGGAAAAAAUGAAUGGAAAGUUUAUCCAAAAGAUUCUUGACCGUGAUUACAACUAUUUAACUUUUGUAAAUUUUCAUGGACCGAGAUCCAAGAAAAGAUGGAGAGUGAGAUUGGCAUUCUUUUUUGUAAAGGGAUUUUUUUUCCGAUCCCUUCCAUCUAAUUCACCUGAGUCAACCAUUUGAGUUCUUGAAAUUUAUUUAAACAACUAAAAUUAUUAUAACUUUUAAUGAAGCCCCUAUUUGUAGUCGUUAAAUCAAAUUUUAAAGAUUCGAAUUAGUGAAUUAGGUGGAUUAGGUGGAAGGGAUCCGAAGAAUAUCAAUUUCCUUCUUUUUCAACACAACUUUUGUUGAGUCCAUAAUAAACUAUUAUAUGAAGAAAGAAUACUAAAAAGACUCUCUCAAAAUCGAAACUUUUUGCGAACUUUUUAGCAUCUCAUGUUUUUGAGAUUAAUAACUAACAUUAUCUGAGAUUUAUUAAGUUUUCACAAAAUUCCCUUACGUAUGAGAUAUUACGCUAACAACACUUUAGUGUAAUGUCUCAAACGUAAUGGGACCUUGUAAAAUUUGAUUAACUUCGACAGUAUUAGUAUAUUUUUAUGUAAAUAUUAUAAAAUAUUAUGUUAAAUACAUUAAAUAACAGAUAGUCUUUAAGAGAGAUUUCUUACAUCUUUCUAAUGGAUACGGACGGUGGAAAAAGAUCAUUCCAUAAUUAAAUAUUGUGCUGUUGAUUACGCGUCUCUCCAUUUGACUAAGUUCCUUUUCACAUUCUUCCCUAAAUAAAAUGGUUCACUUUUCACAUUAUUACAAUAUUUAUAUUUAUAUUUUUACAAAAGGGAUUCGUCUAAAUUAAAUUUUUCGAAAAAUUUCGUAUAGUGAGUGAAAGUGAAACACUCCCUUUGUUAUGAUUAUGACAAUAUUUAUAUUUUUACAAAAGGGAUUUAUCUAAAUUAAAAUUUUCAAAAUUCCGAACAAGAUUUGAACUUUCGUGUAUAUGAAUAUAUGGAGUAAAUUGAUCAUGGCUGAAAAUAUGGCAGUGGUUGUGUUUGUGUUGCCUAACGGAUGAUAUUGAAAUACCUAAACACAAGUCAAGCUCCUUCAGUUAACAAAAACAGAAGUUUAUAAUAUGAUAAUGUUGGCGCACGGACUUGAGAAACAACAUAGGCCGGGAAUGUGCACAAAAAGUAAGAGAGAGGUAAAGAGGAAAGAAACGAACAUGAAAGAACAAAGACUAUCGAAUACAUUAUAAAACAAUGACUUCUUGGUAGUCAUUACAUCUCAACCAUCAAUAAUGCAUUAAUUUUGGUUGAAAUGUAGAAGUAUUUGAGAAGUAGCAUGACAACAACCACAUAAUAAACAAAAGUGGACGCAAAUGUGAAAGGAUAAUUAAAAACAAUUAUUCAAGAUGGGCGGUAGUUGAUUCAGCCAUUUAGAAGAUUCAAACCUAGAAUCAUUAUUGUAUUAACUAUUAACAGGUGCUAUAAUAUAGUUCUUAGGGAUUUCAAGGAGGCAUAUGGGGGACUACAUAAUGUGCAAUAGGAUUAAACUUUUUUUGUUACUAGGCAAAUGAACCAUAUUGAAAAAAGUUGAGGUUUAACCAUAAAAUUAAUUGACGAUAUAAAAAGUAGCUCAACCUCUUAUAAGCGUUUGCAAGAUUUCUCUUUUGACCUAUACAAGACUCUUUUACUUUCACAUCCUCGAACAUAUAAUACACCCAAAUGGAUGCCAAUAUAUAAACAUUGUUUUGAAAGGACAAGGGAGCUAACAGUGUCUUUUUAUAUGACUUGGACUUGGAGUACGGGCUGCAAAUUGCAUGCAAUUGCAACGAGAGCCAAAGAUAAUUGCCUUGUCCUUCAAAUUUGUUGGUAAAUUGGGGAUUGCACGAAGAUUUUCGCACUAAUCUGAAUACAGUGUUUCAAGCUUUUAAAGACCACUGAAGCUUUGAAAACUCUGUUGAUUUUACUUCCCAAGUAAGUGACAUAAAACUAAAUUGGGCAGUUGCAUGACAACAACCACUUAAUAAUCAAAAGUGAUUCGAAAAAGACCGAAAGUGAGAUGACCGCAUUCUUUUUCAGACAACUUUGGUAGAUUCCAGAAUAAACUAUUAUACAUGAAGAUGGGCGGUGGUAAUUGUCCUUUUGAUUAAAGUUUUUUGAGUCGAAAAUCAUUUUUCUAUAAUUAAUUCUUAACUAGAAAUUUGUACCAGUACACCGUUGUGGGACUGAAAAUCUUAUGAAAUAUUUUAUAACUUUAAUUUUCAUAAAUAAUGUGCGAGUGAAAAACAAAAAAUUACGAAUGGUAAUGCAAUUUAUAUGUAACCUUAUCAUGAACGGAACAAAUUUAGAUACUAAAAGAAAAAUUAAAAAUCUAUUUUUUCAAAGUGCGAAGAGAUAAUUGUUUAUUAAAAAAGUUGGACCAAUGAUAACUGCAUAAAUUACAAAUGCAAUAUUAAGAGUAUACCAGUCAAACUAAGCUUGCUACAGGCUAAACAAUGUUGAAAAACAUCAUUAGCUUUUUCAAGUGUUAUAUGCAAUGAAUGUAAUUAGCACGAAACUAGCACGAAACUGCAGAGGCUUUCGAUCCAUUAUAAUAUAAAAUAAAUAAUAAUAUUUACGUAUAAAAUAUGAUAUGAUUAUAUGAAAGUAACGACCCAAAUCUUAUUGGAGCUAAUUAACUAAUGUAUGCUCAUCAGGCAGCUGGAUUCCUUGGCAAGUGUUUAACCCCUACUUUCUUCACGCUCACAGAAUCACCAUUUGCAAAGUCAAUCGGCCUCACACCAAUAAAAACUUAAUCCCCGGCUAGUAAACUGAUCAGCUUAUCGUCCGAUAUAUGUCACUGCAAAGAUAAUCACCUUGUCUUUCAAAUUUGUUGGUAAAUUGGGGAUUGCGAGAAGAUUUUCGCACUAAUCCAAAUAUAUUGUUUCGAGCUUUGAAUGACCACUGAAGCUUUGAAAAGUCUGAUGGUUUUGUUAGGUCAUGUGUAUGACUAACGUUAAUGAUUUUCAACUUCCCAAGCAACUGUUACACAACUAAAUUUAAAAUCCAAGAGGAGGAUAUGAUCAGAGAAGAAAGAAAUGCAAUCCACUAAUAAUCAACAUCGAUAUUGUCUUCAACUUAAUCAUGAAUAAGUUUUAAGGCACAAAAGACCUCAUGCUUUUGUAGUUGAGCCAUUUAAUGUAAGGAGAAUCACAAUGUUAGUUAACCACAUCACAGUACAAAAGCACUAAAAGCGUCCAAGUGAAAGUGAAAGUGCUUUCUUCUCAUGUAGUUUCAUUUAACUUAAUUUUCCACAAUGGUAAUUAUGUUUCAAUGGUUCUGUUUUCACAUGCCAGUCGGUCAGUCACAUACUCAACUCCUUAAUGUUCGGGCUCAAUGGCUCGAAGAGAGCUUCCACUUCACUCUGAUUCACCUCCUCUAACUUUGACGGAUUCCACUUCGGAUUCUGCAUUGACAAGAAACAGAAGCCAGAGAUAAAGAUUCGUUGAUAUACGGAAAGUAAGAUGAUUAUACAACCGUAGGUCUAGUAGAGGCUGUAAUGGUUUAUGUUGCAGCAACUGCGUCAGCAAGUGAUUUUAUAGCAAGGAAUCUUGAGCAUAAUUAACGAACCUGAUCCUUGUCCACCAAAACUGCCGUACACCUUCAGCAAAAUCAUUCCGUAAAGACGAUCUUAUAGCAACGUGAUAUUCAGUUUCAUCACACCAGUUAACUGGUAUUGGUCAAGUAAAGCACAUGUUACUUUCUGAAAAUUUGAAAUACUACAACGCAAAACCUAUCAAAAGGAUGCAACCAUGUGAUGCAAGAAACGAAAAGGUACAAAGUCCAGACUCACUCUGGAUAAUUGAUUGUCAUUUUUCCCAAGCACGGAUGCAACUUUAGCGAAAUAAUUUUGUGUCAAAAAAGUGAAAACAGAGCACCCUUUCCAAGACCUUAAAGAGCUUCGUUAGCCCACUCACCACUGCAAUACAAACAAUUUAUACAAAAUACUUGACAGCGACAUACAAGCUGCUCAAUAGACAAAUGGCAUUAAAAAACUUACCAGUAGCAUCUGAACUCUGAUGCUGCUUUUUAAGUUCAUCAAUUGUCUCAAGAACCAACUUAUCUGCACCAAAUGCUGAAGUUAUUUGAGGUAAAAGAGUCUUGAGUUGCGCUUCAGAAUCUGGGUAGCUGGUGAAUUUCACCACAAUUGUUUCAAUGUCCUGAUGGGGAUCCUGGGAACUGAUUCAACAAUGGAGUUGCUUUUAUCUCAAGAAACGCAUUGGACAAUGUGAUGAUGGCAACUAAAGUUAAACCCACUGAAGCAUUGGAAAUUGCGUCUGAGGAUAGAAAAGGCAUACCUGCAGAUACUCCUCCCAGACUCUUUGCCUCUAUAUGUGAAAACCCAUCUGGGAACAAACCAAUUCCAUUCUCUGGCAUAGCAAGAACAGUCCUCAGAAAUGUAUCCAUACAAAGUUUGACACACAAAAUUAAAAAAGCCAUUGCAAUGUAAUUGACAACAUUGACAAUCUCUGUCUGACCGGGCAAUAAUGCCUCUGUAAUGAUCCGGUAGCGACUGUGACCUGAUAGGCCAAUACCAAAGCCCACUGUUAUGCCAUCCAUGAAGCUUAUAUGGGCUUCUUGUACUCGGAGAUAUUGCAUAUUAGAGAAUACUCAGCAGUGAAUACCUGAAAAACGUGCAGCACAAAUAUCAUAUCGGUAGCCUCUCAAAUCUUAAGAAAACUACAAAUGGUAGCUUAGAAAAGAAAUGAAUCCUCUCCAACCAAUACAAAUCAUAUUACCCAAGUUCAAGCAAAAUCAAGACUAAACAAAUGACCAGAUGUUGUAGGUUGCCAGAGAAUGUCAAACAUGAAAUUACAAAAGAAAAAAAUAAUCGUAUGUAUUGAACAUUAAUAAAUACAUGCUGAAAGCACAAUCUUAGCCGCAAUUUAUGACAUUUAUACAAGAUUAAAUCGCCAAAGAAAUUAAAGAAAUUGCAGAGCUCAUAUAAGUGAUGUUCACUAUGAACUUUUAGGCUUAUCAACAAAUACACCAUAACGAUUCUAAUGCAUGAAUUUUGUUAAAGGGGGCUUGCUUGCUUGUAUUAAGGCUUAAUCAUCAAUGAUUUUGCAAGGGUCAAUCGUAUUGCUAGUUGUAAAUCUAUUCACUAUGAAAAUUACCAAAAUUACAUCUAAUAUGGUAGUGAAGGAAGUCAUCUUACAUUAUCUGGAAUUUAGAAAACUGUGUAAGGUUAUAAUAUAUGGUUACAAGGACACAAUUAGACCUCAAUCAUAUUCGGUGGUUGGUUUUUGGCCGUGAUCUGCUUCACAUCACCGCCUGCAGGUAAACUAAAUCUGGGUUACUACAUAUCAAUGAAUCAACGUGCCAACUUAACGGACACCAUCUAUCUCUAUAUGGCAAAAAAAACAACACAAAAAGGAACAUGAAGUGAAACAAUAAACAACAUGACAUGAAACAGCACGAACAUCAAAGACCAACAAUCUAUCACGUAAGCACCUAAACAAGAAACAACUUUAGUUCAAAGCAAAGCGUAAUGUAGAAACCUUCGGCACAACAGGUGUGUUUUUGUCCUUUCGAGUUUCGGCAACAACCACUUUAAUAUCCUUUCCUGCAUUUACCAUGAUUGGUCACUCUUAAAACCUUAACUCCGCCGUGUAAGUUUAUCUUACAUUGCCGGUCCCAAGCCCGGAUAAAGGAGGAGGGGGAGGGCGUCAGGUAGUCGACAGCCGGCACUCCAUGAUUACGUCGAAUCCUUACGAAAAUGAAUCCAGAACGAAAUCGCGCUAAAGCUAGGGCGUCACCCGUAAGUGGCGCGCUGUGUGGCCCGAGCACAGUGAUAAGUGAGCAAGGGUCGCUAUAUCUCCAUCGGCACCCGGAUGCAGUGUUAAAUGAGCAAGGGGGCUAUAGAAACUUCUUUUCGAACGACUCCACUCAAAGUUGUUUGGGAGCAUAUGCUCCUAUCAACUUUACACGGGACACACAAAAGAAGUACUUUGAUCCUAUUAGACGGGGAAGGGUGAAGAAGCUAGGACAGAAGGGUAGAGUUCAAGAGAGCAAAAUGCGUUUAGGAACGUGGAAUAUAGGAACCUUGACGGGAAAAUCUAUGGAAGUAGUAGCAGUUAUGGUGAGGAGAAGGAUAAAUAUUAUGUGCCUACAAGAAACUAAGUGGGUUGGGCGUAAGGCAAAGGAUCUAGAAAACUCAGGGUUUAAACUAUGGUAUUCGGGCACAAAUAGAACGAGAAACGGUGUUGGCAUCAUCGUGGACAAGACCUUGACACAAGAUGUUGUAGAUGUUAAGAGGGUAGGAGAUAGAAUCAUGUCAAUCAAGAUUGUAAUAGGACAAGAACUUAUCAAUGUGAUUAGUGCGUACGCACCUCAAGUAGGGUUGGAUACGAGUUCGAAGGAGAAAUUUUGGGAAGACCUUGGAGACUUGGUGCAAGGAAUUGCUCAGACGGAGAAGUUAUUUAUAGGAGGAGAUUUAAAUGGACACGUGGGCAGGGAGACAGACAACUAUGGAGGUUUUUAUGGUGGCCAUGGUUUUGGGGAGAGAAAUGAGGAUGGGGAAGCUAUCUUGAAUUUUGCAAUGGCAUAUGAUCUCUUCUUAGCCAACACCUUCUUUAAGAAGAGAGAAGAACAUGUGAUCACCUACAAGAGUGGGUCGUCAAAAACACAAAUAGAUUUUCUCCUAAUGAGGAAAGGGGAUCGUAUAACUUGUAAGGAUUGCAAAGUUAUACCAGGAGAGAGCGUGGCUAAUCAACAUCGCUUGUUGGUGAUGGAUGUAAAUAUCAAAAGAGUGAGAAAAAAGAACAAGACUUGGAAGUGCCCAAGGACUAGAUGGUGGAAUCUAAAAGAAGAAAAACAAGCCAUUUUCAAAGAGAAAGUAAUCACCCAGUGUGUGUGGGAUAGAGAGGGGGAAGCUAACCAAAUGUGGGAUUCCAUGGCUAGUUGUAUCCGAAAAGUAGCAAAAGAGGUAUUAGGAGAGUCCAAGGGCUUUGCCCCACACCAAAAGGAAUCUUGGUGGUGGAAUGAGGAGGUACAAACAAAGGUGAAGGCUAAGAAGGAAUGUUGUAAAGCCUUAUACAAGGAUAGGACCGAUGAAAAUGGUGAAAGGUAUAGAAAAGCGAAGCAAGAGGCGAAGAAAGCUGUGAGAGAAGCUAAGUUAGCGGCUUAUGACGAUAUGUAUAAGCGACUAGAUACCAAAGAAGGAGAGUUGGAUAUCUAUAAACUAGCUAGAGCAAGGGAAAAGAAAGACAAGGGACCUAAACCAAGUGAGGUGCAUCAAGGAUGAGGAUGGAAAGGUUCUUGCUACAGAGAACGCGGUUAAAGACAGAUGGAAAGGUUAUUUUCAUAAUCUUUUCAAUGAAGGACAUGAAAGGAGUGCUUCUUUAGGGGAGUUGAGUAACUCAGAAGAGUGUAGAAACUACUCUUUUUUAUCGUAGAAUUCGGAAGGAAGAAGUGGUUGUAGCUUUGAAGAAGAUGAAGCAUAGAAAAGCAGUAGACCUAGACGAUAUACCAAUUGAAGUGUGGAAAGUUUUGGGAGAGACAGGUAUAACAUGGCUCACUGACCUUUUCAAUAGGAUUUUGAAAACGAAGAAGAUGCCAAAUGAGUGGCGAACGAGCACUUUGGUGCCUAUCUACAAGAAUAAGGGUGAUGUACAAAAUUGCAUGAACUAUAGGGGUAUUAAGCUAAUGAGUCAUACAAUGAAGCUCUGGGAGAGAGUCAUUGAGCAUAGAUUGAGGCAAGAGACACGGGUUUCGGACAACCAAUUCGGGUUCAUGCCAGGGCGCUCAACCAUGGAGGCAAUCUAUCUCUUACGAAGAUUGAUGGAAAGAUAUAGAGAUGGGAAAAAGGAUUUACACAUGGUCUUUAUAGAUUUGGAAAAAGCGUAUGAUAGGGUCCCAAGAGACAUUCUUUGGAGGAUUUUAGAGAAGAAAGGAGUACGAGUAGCAUAUAUCCAAGCUAUACAGGAUAUGUAUGAAGGAGCAAAGACUGCCGUAAGAACUCAUGAAGGACAAACCGAAAGCUUUCCCAUAACUGUAGGAUUACAUCAAGGCUCAUCCUUAAGUCCUUACCUUUUUGCGUUGGUAAUGGAUGAGUUAACAGGACAUAUUCAAGAUGAUAUUCCUUGGUGUAUGCUUUUCGCAGACGAUAUAGUGUUGAUAGAUGAAACUCAGGAAGGGGUAAAUGCAAAGCUUAACCUUUGGAGAGAAGUGUUGGAAUCUAAAGGUCUUCGCCUAAGCCGAUCAAAGACAGAAUAUAUGGAGUGCAAGUUCAGUGCAAAUGGAGGCCAAAACGAGUUAGGGGUGAGGAUCGGAGAUCAAGAAAUACCAAAGAGCGACCGUUUUCGUUACCUAGGAUCUAUCUUGCAAAAGAACGGAGAAUUAGAUGGAGAUCUCAACCAUAGAAUACAAGCUGGAUGGAUGAAGUGGAAGAGAGUGCAUCCGGCGUAUUGUGUGACCGCCGUAUGCCACUGAAGCUCAAGGGAAAAUUUUAUAGGAACGGCAAUAAGGCCGGCGAUGCUGUAUGGCACAGAAUGUUGGGCGGUGAAGCAUCAACACGUACACAAAAUGGGUGUAGCGGAGAUGAGGAUGCUUCGUUGGAUGUGUGGGCACACGAAGAAAGGAUAAGAUUAUGGAAUGAGGAUAUCCGGGGUAAAGUAGGAGUAGCCGAAAUUGAAGGAAAGAUGAGAGAAAAUCGGUUACGGUGGUUUGGACAUGUGCAAAGAAGGCCUACUGACGCUCCGAUUAGAAGAUGCGACUAUGGGACAGAGGUUCAGGGCCGAAGGGGUAGAGGAAGACCUAGGAAAACUUUGGAAGAGACCCUAAGAAAAGACUUAGAGUACUUGGAUCUAACGGAGGACAUGACACAGGACAGAACACAAUGGCGUUCUAAGAUUCAUAUAGCCGAUCCCACUCAGUGACUUGGAUUUUCCAAGUCUCCAACCGAGAAGUUUUCCUCACUCGGGAAAUUAAGGGAACACUACCUCAACCUACAUGCUCCACUCACAAAGCUUCAACAAAAGAAAAAUUCAAAGAACUUAGCGAAGAAGGCUUUUGGUGUAUUUAACACAAUACGUUGAAAUGAAGGAAAGCUUAUUUAUUGAUAUCCCCGAUAAGUUACAAAUAUGUACAUAUACUUGAGUCAAAAUAAACAAACAAGAGGGAGCCUUCACAAAGGUUGCUUAGGAGAAGUCUCAGCAGUCGGUAGAGCCCCAGAAAGAGAAGGCACCGGAGGGGGAUCAUUCGGAGCCUCAGUACUGGACAGAACCCUAGAAGGAGGAGGCAUCAGAGGUUGAUCAUUUGGAGCUUCAUUACGCGGUACAGCCCCAGAAGACGAAGGCAAUAAAUGCCUUUGGAACAAACCCACAAAUCUCUGAUGAUCAAGUAAAACCUGACCAUCAGAUUCCUUCAUCUGGUCAAGCUUCCUCUUCAUGUUUGUAGCAUAGUCAUGUGCGAGCCGGUGCAACUGUUUAUUCUCAUGCUUGAGCCCUCUAAUCUCCUGUUUGAGACUCAUCACUUCAGCCGCCAAUGAUUCAACUUGGCGGGUUCGAGCAAAUAGGCGUUGGGCCAUAUUAGACACAGAACCUGCACACUGAACACUGAAGAGCCAGAGAAUCCUUAACAGCCAACUCAUCAGACCGUUUGGAAAGUAGUCUGUUAUCUUUGGGAGUGAGAAGGUUCCUAGGCCACUACCGCAGCGGUCAUAUCAUUCUUCAUCACGGAAUCCCCAACGGUAAGAGGACCAGUAGGGGAGACGAAGGAUGGGCGCCAUAUGUUGUCUGAAGAAGGCGGGGCUGCCUCUUCAACAAGGUUCAAGUCAAAACGACGGUCGGAGGGGCCAGACAUUUUCAAAGGUGUUGAAGAGAGAAGAGGUCGGACAAAUCAAGAUCUUAGAAGUGCAAGAAUGGAGCUUCUACUGGUGGAUAUUCAAGUGUGCUUUGGAACUUAAUGUCAGCCCCUAUAAAAAAUCUGCACUCGACGAAGCUUCAGAAAUCGAAGAGGCGCCUGCUCAGAAAUCGAAGAGGCGUUUGCUUUCUCAAAAGCUGGGCUGCUCAGAGACCACGAGGGUUUGAUCUCAGAAAUCGAAGAGGCGUUUGCUUUCUCAAAAGCUGGGCUGCUCAAAGACCACGAAGGCCGAUCUCAGAAAUCGAAGAGGCUUGCUUUCUCAAAAGCUGGGCUGCUCAGAGACCACGAGGGCCGAUCUUAGAAAUCGAAGAGGCACCUACUUUUCCAGCCUUGUCAGCACCUGUCACACGCACACUCAGCUUUGCGGAAAUUAUGGGCAUUCUGUCGAAGAUUUCUGGUGAAGUAGAAAGCACAUGAAUCGUACUGUUCAAUCACCCACUUCCCACACGCAACAGUAGCUCAUGGGUACCACAGAUAACUUUGCCAAAGUUCUCUGACAAAGUUGAGACACGUGAAGCUUGCAGCUCCCACUACAUCGCUCUGACCAAGAAGGGUAAAAGAAUAGCAAAGAAACAACACUAACAAAGUUUAGACACAUAAAUUUUGAAGGUCUAGCUACCAUAUUAUUACCCACAAGGGUAAAGGAACAGUACCACUGCUGGAUAAUUGGAAAGUCCCGGUGUGUCAACCUCUGUGCUUCGUGGCAAGGUAGACUAGCAAACAUGCCCAACCUUUACUCACAUUCGAGAAAACACUCCCAACAAGAUUGCUUGCUCCAAAAUCGAAGAGGCACCCGCUCCUCCGAAUCUCGAGAGCCAGACUCCCAACAUGAUUACUUUCUCAAAAAUCGAAGAGACAUCCGCUCUCCGAAUCUCGAGAGCCAGACCUCCAGCAGGAUUGCUUUCUCAAAAAUCGAAAAGGCAUCGUUCUCCGAAUCUCAAGAGCUGGAUCCCUGACAGGAUUGCUUGUUCGAAAACCAAAGAGGCACCACUUUCCCAACUUCAAGAGCUGGAUCUCCUUGGAUAAAGCUUGUCUGUAAUCUUCACACACGCAACAUCAGCUUUUCCAGAUACCACAGACCCACUUUUUCAAAGUGCUCUGACAGAGUUAAAACUUGUGAAGCUGGCAGCUCCCACUACCGUGCUAUGACCAAGCAGGGUAAAGGAAUAGCAUUAUUACUUGAUGUUAGGGAGACUCCUAUAUAUGUCGACCUCCAUCCCCAACGGACAGGCAGACCUGCAAAAAUGCUCAACCCUUCCUCUUAUCUGAGAGGGCACUCCCAACGAAGCCUUUCGAAAUAUUCAGCUUUCUUUCCCCCCGAUAAUACCUCUGUAAACAAGCUAUACUAGAGCAAGAAUAUCUCAUAUCAUCAGGGUUAAAAGCAAGAGUAUCCCAUAUCAUGCUUUUUUCCCGUCUUUUCCUUUGGCCUUGUUCUUACCUGCAAGACAAGGAGAAAGAGAGCAAUCAGUCAGCACUUGGAAUCAAGCUUCCAGCCAGGAACUGACUGCCUGGAACCCCUUACCUGAUUACUUACCUGGCAUUGCUCUCGAGUACUCAUCUUCAACAUCUUAUGCUUCCAGGGAAGAUACCGCAAUCGCCUGAAGAACAGAUAGGGCAAGUGAGAAGGAUACAAGGAAGCAUGUGGAGACAAGCGUAACAGCACACGUGCCGAUACAUCCACUACUCUGUCAAAAGCAAAAGUAUCUCAUAUCAGCAGGGUCGAACGUACUCUAGAUUUGAUGGACUUGUUUUGACCCUCAAAUUCUUCAGUCGGCCUUAUACUCUGGAGGAAACCAGAAAACCCUCCAGCCCAGUUCAAGAAUAAGCCUGUGGAAAGUUACUUCUUCAAAAGCAAAAAGUAUCCCAUAUCAUCUCUUCUCAUUUUUCUUCUCUUUAUCCUUCAUGCUGCAUGCAAGAUAGGGAGAAUGUGAACAAUCAGCCGGAGCUCUGAUUGCUUACCUUGUCUGUCAUCUCUUUCAGCAGAUCCCCUAGCUCGGCGACUUAGGGGACUCCUACUACAUGGUUUGUAUCGCGCUUGACCAAGCCUGAAACUACAAGUAAGCUUCAAGUGACAAUUGAUACAUUACCUUGUGCAUCUCCACCAGUUACAGAUACCACCCCUGGAUGGAGGAAGAGUACUUCCAGAGAAGAUGCCACAUCUACCUAUGAGACAGAUAAGGAAAGUCAAGACGAUACCACACUCCGGUACUUAGAAGUUUCGUGGUUACGAGAUCAUUCUCCCACAAUAUUUCCUAAUGUCAUUUGUACUAAAUCAUUCACUUGUACUCACUAAAGGAGAGCUUGAACCUAUGUACUUGUGUAAACCCUUCACAAUUAAUGAGAACUCCUCUAUUCCGUGGACGUAGCCAAUCUGGGUGAACCACGUACAUCUUGUGUUUGCUUUCCUAUCUCUAUCCAUUUAUAUACUUAUCCACACUAAUGACCGGAGCAAUCUAGCGAAGAUCACAAAAAGUGACCGUUUUCGCUACCUAGGAUCUAUCCUUGCAAGAGAACGGAGAAUUAGAUGGAGAUCUCAACCAUAGAAUACAAGCUGGAUGGAUGAAGUGUAAGAGUGCAUCCGGCGUGUUGUGUGACCGUCGUAGGCCACUGAAGCUCAAGGGAAAAUUUUAUUUUAUAGGACGGCAAUAAGGCCAGCGAUGUUGUAUGGCACAGAAUGUUGGGCGGUGAAGCAUCAACACGUACACAAAAUGGGUGUAGCGGAGAUAAGGAUGCUUCGUGGGAUGUAUGGGCACACGAGAAAGGAUAAGAUUGGGAAUGAGGAUAUCCGAGGUAAAGUAGGAGUAGCCAAAAUUGAAGGAAAUAUGAGAGAAAAUCGGUUCCAGUGGUUUGGACAUGUGCAAAGAAGGCCUACUGACGCUCCGGUUCGAAAAUGUGACUACGGGACAGAGGUUCAGGGCCGAAGGGGUAGAGGAAGACCUAGGAAAACUUUGGAAGAGACCCUAAGAAAAGACUUGAGUACUUGGAUCUAACGGAGGACAUGACACAAAACCGAGCGCAAUGGCGUUCUAGGAUUCAUAUAGCCGACCCCACUUAGUGGGAAAAGGCUUUGUUGUUGUUGUUGUUGUUGUGGUCACUCUUAAAACCUUACCUAAGAGACCCAAAAACAAAAAUAACCGCCGAAAGAGCUAAACAUACAUAUAUAGAAAAACUUAAUUAACUGCAUGCUAAAAUGGAAGUGUAAAAUUGCCAAGAAAGAUAAGAAACUAUUUAAAUACGAAUUCUGGGCAUUACCGCCACAAAAGGCAUGAGCCGAACAGCUAUCAACAAGAACACACUUCCCAUUCAUCCAGAUAGCCCUUGUAUUUCACAUCCAUAUCUGCAUUUUCCAACAAUUCCCACUUAAACAGAAACACAAAAUUCAUCGAAAAAAUGCUAACUUCUUCGAAAUUUGAAUCCAACGUUUCGUCUUAUAACAAAUGCAAUAACAUAGAUUUGUAAUCAAUUCGAUGCCAUAAAGUUCAAGCUCAAAAUUUCAAAUCAGCUCCAAAUCAAAAGCAUUUACAGAUACAUACAUAUAUACAUAUGCGUGUGUGUGUUUAUCUACAUACCCAGGUUCAUGGCGUUGAGAGCUCGGCAGGCGACGGAGGGUGAUGACGGCGACGCCAAUUGGGUGGACGCUGCCCUUCGAAUUGGGUCGCUCCUCGCAAUAAGCUUCCCAUUACUUCCGUUUGAGAGUGACUGUCAGUGUAGAGAGAGGGAUUUUUUUUUUGUGCUUCUGGACCGGACUACACUUGAUGUUUCGGUUAUAUUACCGGGAAAAAGAACUGCCGCGGUGGCUACGCAGGGAAACUUGAAAUUUGAAAGAAGUAUGAAGUAUGGACUUGCCUUCAUUUAUUGAACUGAGAAAUCGAAAUCUGAAAGAGGCGUUUGACGAAGUGAUUGUGAUCUGACUCAAACAUGUGAUGAUGACGAUGCAUCACCACCUUGGUUGUGCCUCUGGAUCAAAAACAUACCAUCACCAUCAAAAUCGUGCAUAUUUUCCUUCAUAGGUUUGUCCCAUACUAGAUUAACCCCUAUUCCCUUAAUUAUUGCAUAAUAAGAAUUAUAGCAUGUCUCUGGCAUUCCAACGGCUAUAUCAACUUUAUCCCCGCUUUGCAAAUUGAACUUAUCGUUGGACAUUUGUCCCUGCCAAAGAAAACAUUUUUCAGGUAAACCAUCGUGCAUUUUUAUAACCCAAUCUUCCUUGCCUAUGCAGGUUUGCAACUCAGUACGCUUGGUAUUAUUUAUAUCAAUACUGCCACGAGGAUGACAAUAUUUAAAGCUCAUAGAAGGGCUUGAGGGACAAGUUAAGUGAUAAAAGCAUAACAGAGUCAACCCUUCAAAAUUACGACCAUCACUUGGGGGGUAUCAAAACUGACUUUAUCACCAUCGUUGACAAACUCGAACCAAUCAGGAACAUAAUUCGCAUCGAGAAAAAUGCCAGCAUAUCCGUAAGAAGUCCAUCCCUAUAUAUACAGUGCAAGUGUCAUAUACAUACAUACAUACAUACAUACAUACAUAUAUGUAAAUGUGCAUUGUGUGUGCAUGUGCGCAAUAGGAAGACAAUUAAAGAGAGAGAUACCUUUAGGACCUUCCUCCUAAAAUCAGCUGUGAGAUUGGUGCACUUUUGCAUUACAAUCCAUUUCAUGGAGUUUAAUGACUUAUCCAAGUCCGGAAUCUCUGUGAGUGCGUGUGAACCAGUUACAUUCAGUUCUCUCAUAUUUGACAUUUUCGAAAAAUUGGGCAUUUUUACCAAACAACAGCAACCAUAAGCAUCCAGAAAUUUCAAAUUUGUUGGUAAAUCAUAGAUUGUAUGAAGCUGGGAACAAUAACUUAACCACAUACCUUCAAGCUUUGAAAGACCAUUGAGGCUGGGUAGGGUGUGUAAGAUACUGCAGUGACUUAACUCCAGAGUUUUAAGAUUUGAAAGACCAUUGAGGCUGGGUAGGGUGUGUAAGUUACUGCUGUGACUUAAUUCCAGAGUUUCAAGAUUUGAAAGACCAUUGAGGCAGGGAAGGGUGUGUAAGUUACCACAGUGAUUUAACCACAUAGUUUUAAGAUUUGAAAGACCAUUGAGGCUGGGUAGGGUGUGUAAGUUACUGCAGUGACUUAACCACAGAGUUUUAAGAUUUGAAAGAUCAUUGAGGCUGGGUAGGAUGUGUAAGUUACUGCAGUGACUUAACCCUAGAGUUUUAAGAUUUGAAAGACCAUUGAGGCUGGGUAGGAUGUGUAAGUUACUGCAGUGACUUAACUCCAGGGUUUUAAGAUUUGAAAGACCAUUGAGGCUAGGUAGGGUGUGUAAGUUACUGCAGUGACUUAACCAUAGAGUUUUAAGAUUUGAAAGACAAUUAAGGCUGGGUAGGGUGUGUAAGUUACUGCAUUGACUUAACCCCAGAGUUUUAAGAUUUGAAAGACCAUUGAGGCUGGGUAGGGUGUGUAAGUUACUGCAGUGACUUAACUCCAUACCUUCAAGCUUUGAAAGACCAUUGAGGCUGGGUAGGGUGUGUAAGUUACUGCAGUGACUUAACUCCAGAGUUUCAAGAUUUGAAAGACCAUUAAGGCUGGGUAGGGUGUGUAAGUUACUGCAGUGACUUAACUCCAGGGUUUUAAGCUUUGAAAGACCAUUGAGGCUGGGUAAGGUGUGUAAGUUACUGCAGUGACUUAACCACAGAGUUUUAAGAUUUGAAAGACCAUUGAGGCUGGGUAGGGUGUGUAAGUUACUGCAUUGACUUAACCCCAGAAUUUUAAGAUUUGAAAGACCAUUGAGGCUGGGUAGGAUGUGUAAGUUACUGCAGUGACUUAACUCCAAAGUUUUAAGCUUUGAAAGACCAUUGAGGCUGGGUAGGGUGUGUAAGUUACUGCAGUGACUUAACUCCAGAGUUUUAAGCUUUGAAAGACCAUUGAGGCUGGGUAGGGAGUGUAAGUUACUGCAGCGACUUAACCCCAGAGUUUUAAGCUUUGAAAGACCAUUGAGGCUGGGUAGGGUGUGUAAGUUACUGCAAUGACUUAACCCCAGAGUUUUAAGAUUUGAAAGACCAUUGAGGCUGGGUAAGGUGUAUAAGUUACUGCAGUGAUUUAACUCCAGAGUUUUAAGUUGUGAAAGACCACUCAGGCCGGGUAGGGUAUGAAGGUUACAGCAGUUACUUAACUGCAAAUUUUCAAGUUUUGAAAGACCACAUAGGCUGGGUAGGGUAUGAAAAUAAUGUUUUGAGAGAUCUAAAUUUCCGUCUAACGAAUUGGGAAACUGCAAAGUAAACUUCGAUUCCACAGACGCUAGAGAUAAAUGAGUGAGAUUCUUCAAUCUUACUAUGGAACAGGGUACUUGUCUUAUGGCUGUGGAAGAUGCUAUAAGUACUCUCAAUGAUGUCAUCUUCCCUAAAUCCUCGGGCAGUUCACUGAAUUGCUGACAUCCAUUAAGAACAAGAGUCUGAACGGAUUUGGACUUGUAGAAAUCCCCAGGAAGAGAAAUAAGAUUCUGGCAGCCUGUGAGGUUCACCAAAGAAAGUUUUUUAAGAUGACAAAUGGAGGGGUGAAUCUCGGACAAACUGUUACACCAUUCCAAUAUCAACUCUUCAAGAUUUAGGAGAUUUGAAAAGUCUGGUGAUUUUUUUAAGUCAAGGCAAUAACUGAGAUUAAGGAUUUUCAAGUUUCCAAGCGACUGUUGCACAAAAUCAAAGGAAAAUUAAAAUUAAUAUCCAAAAACAAAUGGAAACAUAACAUCAUCAUGUGUAAUCGAUUGUACCUUGGAGCCCUCCCAAACUUGUACAAGUCUGCUAUACGCUAUCUCUAAAAUAACCAGUGCUCUUGGUUGAUCAAAGAAGUGAUCUGGUAUGGACUUUAAAGGGCAUCCAAACCAACGCAACCAUAUUAACUCUUUGGAAAGAUGUUUGUAUUCUCCAUUGAGCUGCACGUUGUAGAGCUGCAGCAGUCUCAGUUUCUUCAUAUUGGCAAAUGCUUCUGUACUGAAGCUUCGAAGCCUUUGCAGCCAAUGAUCUCCAGAAAAAUUAAGAGCAAGUCCUUUAACUUCUUCAGUUCCCUGUUAACAAAAGGUUAUAUUCAUGUGUAAGAAACGGAAUAUUUGCAUAUGUUUACAUGUAUGAAUACAUGCAAGUACUAUUGUUGGCUAAUUGAGAUGAUGUUACUUAAUGUAUAAUACACAUCCGUGAGUUAUAUGUGCUUUUCAUGUACGAUGCAUCAAUUCAGAAUUUUAUUGGGACUAUACUUACAAAUUUAUCUCUCAAUACAUCAAUGACCUCUUGCUGGUUCCACAACCUACUCCAUUCUCCAGGGUGACGAGGGGAUUUUUCAGAAAUGAUUAAUUUGGCCAUUUCUUGAAGCAAAUCAUGCAUAUUCAACUUCUUGUGUUCAAUAGUGAUAAGGCAUCGUUCACAGAGGACAUUGAUUCCUAUUGUUGCAAAAAACUUACAUCCAUCUAAUAUUUUUGCGACAUAGUCCUUAUCCCAUCCAAUAAAGAAACAAGAUAUGUCAAGGAAUAUAUCCUUUUGUGUAGGAUCUAGCCUUUCAAAGCUUACUCUUAGUGGUUUCAUUAUUCCUUCAUCAGGAAAUUUUUUCAAUUUCUCCAACUGACUUUUCUACUCUGUUGGUGUUCUUUCAAUCAUAAAAGAAGAACCUAAAACUGCAAGGGCUAGUGGCAAACCACCACAGUAAGAAACAACCUCUUUUGAGAGUUCAAGAUAUCCUUCAUUAGGCCAACUCUUUCCAAAGGCAUGCCAACUAAAGAGCUUCAGAGCUUCUUCUUCAUUCAUUUCCUUAAGUGAAUAUGUCUUGUCCACUUUCAUGUUCACUUGCUUUAGAAAACGUUCAUCUCGUGUCGUUAUGAUAAUUCUACUUCCUGGGCCAAACCAAUCACGAUUUCCAGCUAUUGCAUCUAGUUGUUCCACUUUGUCUACAUUGUCAAUAAUGACAAGCACGCUUCUACGUUGGAGAUGAUUUUUUAUCAGACUGAUACCUCUAUCAACACUGGUUAUCUUAGACUCGGUAUGUUUCAAGAUGUCAGAAACAAGUCUUCCUUGCAAAUCAACCAGAUCACAUUCACUAACGUUGGCAAGGAAACUUUUGAAUUGGAACUUAUGAUGAAGUUGGUUAUAAAUGGCUUUGGCAGCUGUUGUUUUACCCAAUCCACCAAUCCCCCAAAUUCCAACCAUGCGAACAACAUAUGAUCCACCAUUUGAAAGAUAAGUGAUGAUAUCUUGAAUGCGAGUAUAUAUUCCAACUGGGUGCUUGGCCAAAUGUAAAUUUUCUGCGCUCGGAAGCCAUUUUGGGAUAAUCUUGUCAACAAUUUCUCUAAUAAGCUUUGCUUCGCGCCUGAAAAAUUGAAUUGGUAAGCUUAGUAAGUAGGCUCAGUAGGAGCUAUUAGUACUAAUAUAAACAAUUUUCUUUCCUUCUUUCCUUCGUGUGUGUGUGUGUGUGUGUACAUAUAUGUACACAAACUAGCUACUAGCUAGUACGUGAUUUUGUGACCAACUUCAAUAAAAGAAACAAGUUCAUUCAUUGAUAUAUUAAAGUUUGGUGCAUCAAUUAAACUCCAAUUAUGGUUUAGAUUUUAGAGGAAAUUAGAGAAAUGGUCCUUGAACUAUGAUCAAAUUGUGGCCUUGGUUCUUAAAACUAAAAAUUCAAUAAAUCUCCUCCCUGAACUUAACAAAAUAUGAAGCAUUGGUCCCUAAAUGUUAACACCGUAUGAUUUUCUGUUAAUUUGAUUAUGUCGUCUUUGUGGGCUCCAUAUUAUUGUUUACUAGAUGGCACGUGGCUUGAAAAGUCAAAAUAAAAGAAAAUAAAUACAAACAUAGAGAAAGAAAGAGAGAGAAAAAAAAACUUUAAAUUAUAAAAGUUAACUCUCUCUCCCAUCCUCCCUUCCGCCUCACCUCCUCCAAACCCCAACCACACCAUUGUAGCACUUUCCCAACAGCCAAAACAAAAGAAAGUUUCUAAUCCAAUUUUGGAACACGUCUCCGUUUGCAAACGAAUUCACAAUGACAUCCAUUCACGCUGUCUCGACAGGUAAGAUUCAAGAAAUUUGUGGGAUGCGGGUUCGGGGUUCGGGUGAAGGCUGUGGUCCGUGGGCUACAGUUUGGAGUCGGCUGGAGAGUGGGAUUAGGGAUUGGGGGUUGGAAGUGGGAGGUUGACGGGGUGUGAAUCAAAGAUUGAAGGUGAAGGGGUGGCUGCGAGUGUUGGUGGGAUGAGGUAGGUGAAACUAACAUGUAAAGUUGUAAACCCUUUUAACUAAAAUUUAAAGGAAUUGGUUACGAAGGACUAACGCUCCAUAUUUUAUCAAGUUCAAGGGCAAAAUGUAAUGAAUUUUUAGUUUAGGAACCACAGCUACAAUUUUCCUCUAGAUUUUAUAUGAGAGAUUAAGGCGUAUUAAUUAAGCAUGAUAAUUAGAGUAAUACAACUUAAAUACUGAAAGCACAUGAAUGAUUACCUAUUAUCAGUGAUUUGAAGAUGGUAGCCAGACAAAUUUGCAGCUUUUGUAAGAACCUCUCCCCACUGCUUUACCUCUUCUUGUUUAGCUUCACGUUUCUUGUCAUCCUUUUCUUCACCGACGCCUUCUUCGUGCUUUUGAAAUUCUUCGGCUGACUUUGCAGCUUCUGUAAGAGCCUUUAUCCACUGCUCUACCCUUUCUCGUUUUUCUUCACGUUUCUUGUCAUCUUUUUCUUCACUGAUGUCAUUUUUGUGCUUCUGAAAUGCUUGGGCUAAAACUCCGUUCUGCUUCCUGACAUGUGAAGGAUCAAUGUGAUAGAAUAUUGGCAAAACAUGUCGCCCCAGUUUGUCUCUGCACUCCAUGAUCUUCACCAGCUCGUUAAGACACCAACUCGAAUCCGCAUACCUCUCUGAGAAGACAAUGAUAGAGGUCUUCGAUUCUUCGAUUGCCUGGAGCAGUUCUUUUGGUAUUUCUUCCCCUCUUUUGAGAUCGUCCUCAUCAAUAUAAGCCUGGUAUCCCCUGUCUGUUAAUGCCGCGUGGAGGUGGCCCGUGAAGCCAUUGCGUGUGUCUACACCGCUAAAGCUCAAGAACACGUCGUAAUUCCAAAGUUUUGACUUGGAGGAGGAUGAAGAGGAGGCUUCGUGGGUUGUCAUGGCGGUAUCCACCGUUAUGGCACUGCAGUGGUUCAGAUCACGACUGAAGAAUGGUAGUAGUUGUGUUCGUGCAUUCAAACGGAUGAUCCUGAAAUACCUAAACGCAAGUCAAGCUCCUUCAGUCAACAAGAACAAAGUUUAUAAUAUAAUAAUUUUGGCGUAUGGACUUGAGAAACGACAUAGUGUUGGCCGGAAGGUGCAGAAAAAGAGAGAGGAAAAAAGAAAAGAAAGGAACGAAAGGACAAAGACCAUCCAAAAGAUUCUUGGCUGUGAUUACAGCUAUUCAUAGGAGAAACAACGGACAUAUUUUCAUAGGAGAAACAACCUUCCCAUCUUCAUAUAUAAUGCAUUUCAACGGACAUAUUUUAAUAGGAGAAACAACUUUAGUUUGUACUAGAAAUUUUUACCCGCACGUUGAUGCGGCAUUUGAAAUUGUAUGAAAGAUUAUCUUUGAAAUAUAUAAUAGAUUGUGUGAUUGAAGAUUAAUACUAUUUACAUUGAAAACGUUGGAAAAAGUUUUACAUAUAAAAGAUUUUAUGAUACAAUCCACGUAUAAAAGAUGGUAAAUUUUGUUCUAUCUACAUGCAUUAUGUUAUGGAAUGAUAUAUAUAUAUAUAUAACUAAGUUCCAGAAUAUGUAAACUUCAUAACUUGGAAAUUUUUUGACAAAUUAAUCAGAUUCAACUGUGGGUUAGCAAGGUCGCCUAUAAAGUUUGAAGUCGUAGAAGCAUAAAGGACAAAUAACAAAUGAGUUUUGAGAAAUUAUUCCACAAAUGUCAUUCUGCAAAAUGUAUUAAAGACGAUUGGUAUAAGAUUAGCAAUCAUGAGUAGUGUAACAACAUCAACAAAAUAACCAUAAACCAUAACAUAAUUCAAAUUUUGUUUGCAAAAACAAAAGAAAAAGAAAAGAGACUUACAAUAAUUCAACCUUCAAUCUUGAAGUCCAGCUCAAAGAGCCAAACCUAAAUGCAAGCUUUCUGAAAUUUCCCAAACAAUACAGAUAAAACGGUAACACCCUAGUCAGAAAUGAACCAAGGUGCGAGCUUUCUAAGAAACCCAGAUGACAAAAUCAACAAAAUAGAAUGGAAAAAUGACUUACACUUUGAAGGCAUGCUCGAACCUUGAUCUAAAAUUGGUGGUGGGUCGAUUGUUGGUCACCAACUCUAAAUGAAGAAUUCAUCAGAACCUAGAAAUUUAAAACAAAGAAUUUUCCAAAAUCAACAUUUACUAAAAACCAGUUGCUUGGUUAUCAUGCAUGAUGGCUUGACAAAGACUGAAUUAAGGAAUGCAAACUUUACUUUCAUGAUUAUUUUUAAUGACAGCUAAAAGGUCAGAUCCAAAUGAAAAUAAAAGUUAGGACUUCACAAAACCAAUUAAAAAUCUAAUUCUAAAGUUAUAAGCACCCACAAAAUGAUUCCAGAUAAAGUUUUACACUCAAGGUCAAACCCAAAUGAAAUUAAAAGUUAGGACUUCACAAAACCAAUUGAAAAUCUGAUUCCAAAGUUCCAAACACCCACCAAAUGAUUCCAGAUAAAGUUUAAACUCAAAAACCCAAUAGAAACAAAAGCACUGGUAUAAAUUAACUGUAUCUAAUUGAAGAAACUAAAACAAAAGUAAAGCAAAGUAUAUACCUCAAAAUGUCAAGCAACUAAGUUCUUCCUCCGACGACCCAAAACUCUGAAAAUUCCACACAAAAAAAAAGGCAAAUCCAUUAGCAAUUCAUAGCUUUCAAAAUUAGCAAAAACUUGGGCAACAAUAAAGAUGUGUCUAGAACCAUCAAUCUUUCUCCUUAUGCAUUUGAAAAGAUAUGUUAUAAGCAGUUUAUGUAGUCAUUCUGAACAUGUUGCAUAUAAAUUCCUUUUCUACAGGGUUCAAAAAAAUAUGGCAGUUUAUGGAAUCUGUUGAAUGACAUAGUUGAAAGAUUUAAAAUUGAUACAUUCAAUUUUUAUGUGUAAAACUAUAACAUAUAGCUAAAGCUAUUGGGUCCAUAUCAGUCAUGUCGUAAUUGAAUGUUUAUCGAUGUAAAUAGAUGAUUUCAGUCAUGGGAUAACAUGUUUCUUGAUAGUAUACGCUGAAGUUUGGUCUAAGUUGGAUAUAAAUCGACCAAAAUCUUAAUAAGAGACUUUUUUAACUUUUAACCAAAAAAUGAGCACCACAAUACUACACUUAUAAGUUUUAUCAUGCACAAAAUACACAGCACUGAUUGCCACUUUUAGAGCAAGAACAAUACUUUACCAAAAGAAAACAACAAAACACCCAAAACCCAGAAACAUAAACACACUUAGGACUCAAACUCCUCAAAAACAUGAGAAAGAGAGAGAGUGUGUGAGGAGAAAGAAUAAAAAAAAAAAUUAUUUUUCACACAAACUCAAAAUUGCUUAUAAAAUUACAAAUGAAUGCAAAUCCAAAAUUGCCCUAAAUUAAAUCUGAUUAGUUAAAUGUUUGUUGCCCCAGAAAUUUCGUUACACCUCACAAAACUUGCUUUGAAGUUGAUAUUUUGGUCAAUCCAGGGGAAAAGGAGUUAUUGGUUUUGGAGCAGUUGUCAUGGAGAAUACCAUCUCCCUGUAGAAUGAUCUAAAAAAGGACUUACAGCUUAUGGUGGCCAUAAUAAUUUAGGAGGCCCUUCUCUCCAAAUUUUCUCAAUAACUUUCCUUUUCGUAGCUGGUAAGAUUGCAACUCCGAGAAUUGCUUUGAAGAGAUAUACACAAACAAAAUACCAAAACUAAGCUAUUGGAAGAAAUUUAGAAAACACAAGCACCAUUACAACUCAGAGUUAAAAGUCAACAGAAACCAAAUGGUACAAGUUGAAAAAAUAUAUGGUCAUGAAUCGAGAACUUCAUCAAACUAACAGCAAUAAAAUCUCAUAUAAUCCGUCAAAAACCAAAAAAGAGAUUCAAGACCUUGUAACGUCGAGGCCUCGUACAGUUGUAGUAAUAAUUUAUGGUUGAUGCACCUGUUGCUCAAUCAAAUCCUUCGUCUGGCUAAAAAAAUAAAAAUCUAUAAAUACAUUCACGUCCAAUUUAUGAGAAAUCAUGGGAAAGAAAAUGUGAAUAUGAAGAACUUAACAAAAAGAAAAAGAAAACUUCUUAUAGUGUGCUAAGAACAUCCUCCUACUCCUAGCAAAUUUUUUAUGGCAUUAUCCACUUCUCAAUUCAUAAUUCAACCAGUAACUCAAAGUCUAUAGUGUAUGAAAAAGUGAUAUCUUAGUUGAUCACGAUGAUAAUCAAAAAGGAAGAAACAACCAAACAAAAUUAUUAGGUCUGGGAUAUACCUUUAUCUGAAACACCACAAUCAUCAAAGUGAAACACAAACAAUCCAAAAAUUUGUGGAAAAUACCAAUAAAUGCUCAACUAAAAACGAAAGAAAAAGUAGAAUAAGUUUACCUGUUCCUCCCCUAAUUAAACUGCAAUACAAUUCACCACUGAUAUUCUCGUCAUCCUCUUCAGCCUGAAAAAUUUAGUAGAAAAUAAUGGUAAGAAUCUAGCAGUAUUUCCAUUGUUCAAAACCCAAAUUCCAGAAAUCAUGAAAAAUGGAAACUUUAUAUGGAAAUUGAACCCCCAAAAUCACAAAAAGGAAAAUUGAACAGAAAAUAAAUUUGCAAAUCCAAAAUCACAAAAACGAAAUUGAAACACCCACACUGAGAAAGCUGUAAAACUCACAAGGAAACGCUAGCUUUUCUGGGUAAAAAAAAUUGUUCGAAUCGAAUUGAAGAACCGAGGAAAAUUCUACAGGUUCAGUGGUUUUUCCAGCAAGAAAGCACCUUGUUUGUAAGUCGUGAGAGGUUGGAGAGCGAGAGAAGCCGAUUUGGGAACCAAAGAAAGCGAGGUUGGAGACCGAAAGAGGCUGCGAAUUGCGAGAGAGAAAAACGAAAAGGAAAGGAAAAGCGGAGAAGAAGUCACGAUUAUCGACGCGUGGGUAGGAUUCCACUGUGAGAGGAUUGCAUUCUUUUAAGAGUGUUUCCUUAUUACAAUUUUAUGCUACUAGAUCCAUCCUAUUGUUCCAUUUCUAAACUUUAUAUUAUAAUAUCACCCAUCGUAAAAAAUUAAAAUCCUAUUAAUCCACCCCAAUUAUUUCUAAAAUAACCUCAAAUAUCUAAAUCCAUUUUUAUUUCACCCCAAUUGCAUGAUCAGGCCUCGAUUUGAAGCUAGUUGACGUUGGCCCAAAUGCCAAAUUGUUUGAAUUUCCAAUAAACAUAUUAUAAUUAUAAAAGGAUGGUGAAGAUAUGAAUCAAAUUUGAAAGAGAGAACAUUACUUGGUGAAGGAGGUGAUAGGUGAUGUUGGUAUGGGUUAUGCAGUCACCAUUGGACAUGAGAGGCUUUCUCCUCAAAAUUCCUUCUACAUCUACAGCAUGCAAAUCGAAUGAUGAUAGGUUUAUCGAAGCCCUAAUACCAACUUUAUGACAAAUCUGAACGGACCAAUAAACAACCAUGGAACGAUCUUGAGACGCGACCACUGCGCGUGAGACUCAACCAGGAAUAACUAGACCAUCAGCCGCCGUCGUCAAUAUUGUAGAGGUAGAUGGUGGGUCCGAGAACUCGAUUUUCUUGGAGCAGUUUGAGAUUGACGAAGGGACCUGACGAGGGGUUGGGGUUGUUGGUGACCGAGAGUAUAUGGGUUUGACGAUGGUGGUGGUGGUGGUGGUGGUUUGCAAUCUCUCUCUUUCCUUUUCUUGGGGUUGGACAUUCGGGUGACAGCCGCCUUGGGAUCGGAUGUCAAUGGGGACGUGCUUGAGAGCCAUGAUGACGACGCGAGCGUGGGUGGGGAGAAUUUUCCAGGUCCUUUGAUGUAAUUUUACAAAAGGGUAAAAAUGGAAGUAAAAAAAUUAUAAACUAGUGGGGUGGGAAGAUAAGACAACGGGGUUGUUGUGGUCUAUUUUUAUCUGAUAAAGCAAUAGGGCCGGCGGCAGGGGGAGAGAGAAAAGAGAGAUGUGUGUUUGUAGAAUUGUAGGGGAAUGUGUGUUGUUAUCUCUCAUACAUUGUGCCUUUAUUUAUAGUAGUAAAAGGAGAGAAGAUAUUCCUUCUUCUCCAAGUAAUAUAAGUUGUAAUAGGAAAGAAUAACUAGAAUCAAAUCUAAUAUAGGAUUUACACAAUUUACAAGUUGUUAUCCCUCCUACAUUGUGCCUUCUUCUUCAUAAGAGUUUGAAAGAAGUAUGAAAUAUUGACUUGUUGAUGAUGAAGUUGAUAGUGAAAUGUAGUAACGGUUAAUUUAACAGAAUUUUUAACGGAUGUAUGAAAUUAAAAAAUAAUAUAAGUAAAUGUAUGAAAUUAAAAUGUUUUAAAGAAAUUGUAUGAAGUUGCAAUUGACCCCAAAUACGAGAGAUAAAACAUAAUUUACACAAAAAACAAAGAUCAGAUUUGUAAAAAUGCACCACAUAGUAGUUAAAACAUCCGGACGUAAAUGAAUGGUUUGAGAUACCAUCAUAGUAGCAUCUUUCAGUGUAAGUUUUUCUCAUAUCGGAUCACUUACCAGUAGAAAAGUGUAAUACCGUGUCGGGAAAGGAAGUCAAUGAUGAAAAGAGAGCAAUUUAGCUUUAAAAAUAAGGAAAACUAAUGAAAAGAGUUUGAAAACUUUGCGUUUAAUGAUAAGGACAAAAUAAAAGGAUAAAGUGAAUAGUACUAUGAUUGAUUUUUUAGUGUAAAAAUAUGGUUUUUCGUUAAAGUUUCCUUAAAAAUAUUGCGUCCUCCGUAUGAUGUUUGCAACAUGUGUCGCCAGAGUAUCAACUUGAAGCUCUCCACAUCUCCGUCGUCAAAUGUUUUGUAAGCAGCAUUGUUUAAGUUCUCUCUGUCAGGGAAACUGCAGAUGGGUUUGAUGAAGAAGAAUGGAAAAUAUAAUUUUUAGAAAAUGAGAAAGAAAAUUAUAAAACUUCAUUAAUGAAAUUUCUUUAUCAACAAAAAAAGAUGAAAAUAUAUCUUUGUCUUCUAUCACAACAAAAAAGUUAAGGACAGUAACGUAAUUUUACAAGAUAAAAUUUUACUUUUUUUUUAAAUCUCACAUAUAUGUAAGUUUAUCAUCUUUAAUUUAAAAAAUAUAAAAAAACCUCUCUUCCACGUUCUCUCUCACUCUCUUCCUCUCCUUCAAAUUUAACAACCAAAGUAAAAAAAUUCAUACGCUUUGUGUGUGGACAUAUACUAGUUGAAAUUUAAAAAAGGAGACUUAAAAAGAGAGAUUUAAUAUUUUCUAGGUUGUCUUGGGAGUUGGCAAUGACAGUAAGAGAGGAGAAUCUCGGGUUCCACUGGAAAGGAGGAAAUUUUUCAAAGCGAGAAGGUAGGGGUUUUUUCACUUGCUCUCUUGGUCUUUGGGCUUUUGGAUUGGAUUGGGACAAUUCCAAUUACCCCAUCCCAACUUACGACUUUUUAUCGGUCUAUAUUGGCUAAAGUGAACGUACUAAAAUAGAAAUUUGAGAACUUGAAUUAAGGUCUUGAAUUAGCGAAUGAAUGUCCAGUAAGAAUGUCAUGUAGUCGGACUUGUAAGGCUACCCUUAAUAAGUAGUCACGUUUGUCAAAACUGGUCUAUCUGAUUAUAAUUGUAACCAUAUUAUGUGUGACACAUGAUCAAACUUGAAGGGUUGUCCAAUAAGAAGUUGUCAUGUUGUCAAGCGUAGGGCCAAAGGUGAGCACUUUCCUACCAAAGUGUUUUCUUUUUCCCCUUUUCAAGGGAUUUGUGUCACCAUUAGAUAGGAGAUUCAAACACAAGACCUUGAAUUUAGAGGCAAACGCUUUAAAAAAGCUUCUCUGAUUCAUCUCCUCUGACUUUGACGGGUUCCACUUCGGAUUCUGCAUUGACAGGAAACCGAAGCCAAAGAUAAAGAUCCGUUCUGAUAUACAGAAAGUAAGAUGAUUAUCAACUGUAGGUCUAGUAGAGGCUGUAAUUGUUCUGUCACUUUAUAGUAAGGAAUCUUGAGCAUAAUUAACGAACCUGAUCCUUGUCCACCAAAACUGCCGUACACCUUCAGCAAAAUCAUUCCGCAAAUACAAUCUUAUAGCAAUGCGAUAUUCAGUUUCAUCACACCAGUUAGUAUUGGUCAAGUAAAGCACAUGUUACUUUCUGAAAAUUUGAAAUACUACAACGCAAAACCUAUCAAAAAGAUGCAACCAUGUGAUGCAAGAAACGAAAAGGUAGAAAGUCCAGACUCACUGUGGAUAAUUGAUUGUCAUUUUUCCCAAGCGCAGAUGCAAUUUUAGCGAAUUAAUUUUGUCCCAAAGAAAGUGAGAACGGAGCUCCCUUUCCAAGACAUUAAAGAGCUUCAUUAGCCCACUCACCACUGCAAUAGAAACAAUUUGAUACAAAAUACUUGACAGCAACCAUACAAGCCGCUCAAUAGACAAAUGACAUUGACAAACAUACCAGUAGCAUCUGAACCUGCUGCUGCUUUUUAAGUUCAUCAAUUGUCUCAAGAACCGACUUAUUUGCACCAAACGCUGAAGUUAUUUGAUGUAAAAGACUUGAGUUGCGCUUCAGAAUCUGGGUUGCUGGUGAAUUUCGCCGCAGUUGUUUCAAUGUCCCCAUGGGGAUCCUAAGAACCGUAUCAACAAUGGAGUAUCUUUUAUCUCAAGAACGCAUUGGACAAUGGAGCAUCAGAAAUUGCGUCUGAGGAUAGAAAAGGCAUACCUGCAGAUCCUCCUCCCGUACUCCUUGCCGCUACAUGUGAAAACCCAUCUGGCAUAGCAAGAACAGUCCUCUGAAAUGUAUCCAUACAAAGUUAGACGCACAAAAUUUGAAAAGCCAUUGCAAUGUAAUUGACAACAUUGACAAUCUCUGUCUGACAGGGCAAAAUACCUUUGUAAUGAUCCGGUAGUGACCGUGACCUGAUAGGUCAACACCAAAGACCAUUGUUAUGCGAUCAAUGAAGCUUAUAAAGGGCUUCUUGUACUCAGAGAUUUUGCAUAUUAGAGAAUACUCAGCAGUGGAUACCUGAACGCAGCACAAAUAUCAUAUCGUUAGCCUCUCAAUAUUAAGAAAACUACAAAUGGUAGCUUAGAAAAGAAAUGAAUCCUCUCCAACCAAAUACAAAUCAUAUUACCCCAAGUUCAAGCAAAAUCAAGACUAAACAAAUGAUUAGAUGUUGUAGGUUGCCCGAGAAUGUCAACCAUGAAAUUACAAAAGAAAAAAAUAACUGUAUGUAUUGAACAUUAAUAAAUACAUGCUGAAAGCACAAUCUCAGCCGCAAUUUAUGACAUUUAUACGAGAUUGAAUCGCUAAAGCAAUUGAAGAAAUUGCAGAGCUCAUAUAAGUGAUUUUCACUUUGAAUUUUUAGGCUUAUCAACAAAUACAUCAUUACGAUUCUAAUGCAUGAAUUUUGUUAAAAGGGGCUUGCUUGCUUGUAUUAAGGCUUAAUCAUCAAUGAAUUUGCAAGAAGCAAUCGAUUUGCUAGUUGUAAAUCUAUUCACUAAUUACCAAAAUUACAUCUAAACGGUAGUGAAGGAAGUCAUCUUAUAUUAUCUGGAUUUUAGAAAACUGUGUAAGGUUAUAAGUCUGUUAUUAUAUAUAGUUAAAAGGGACACAAUUAGACCUCAAUCAUAUUUGGUGGUUGGUUUUUGGCCAUGAUCUGCUUCACAUCACCCCCUGCAAACAAAAAUGAACACUAAGAGAAACAAUAAACAAAUGACAUGAAACAACACGAACAUCAAAGACCAACAAUCUAUCACGUAAGUACCUAAACAAGAAACAACUUUAGUUCAAAGCAAAGCGUAAUGUAGAAACCUUCGGCACAAGAGGUGUGUUUUUGUCCUUUUGAAUUUCGGCAACAACCAUUUUAAUGUCCUUUCCUGCAAUUACCAUGAUUGGUCACUCUCAAAACCUUACCUAAGAGACCCAAAAACAAAAAUAACCGCCGAAAAAUUUAUUUAACUACAUGCUAAAAUGGAAGUGUAAUAUUGCCAAGAAAGAUAAGAAACUAUUCAAAUACAGAUUCUGGGCUUACCGCACAAAAGGCACGAGCCUAGCGGCUACCAAAAAGAACACACUUCACAUUUGGGUGAGAUUCCCAUUCAUCCAGAUAGCUCUUGUAUUUCACAUCCAUAUCUGCAUUUUCCAACAAUUCCCACUUAAACAGAAAUACAAAAUUCUUUGAAAAAAAGCUAACUUCUUCGAAAUGCGAAUCCAACGUUUCGUCUUAUAACAAAUGCAAUAACAUAGAUUUGUAAUCAAUACGAUGCCAUAAAGUUCAAGCUCCAAAAUUCAAAUCAGCUCCAAAUCAAAAGCAUUUACAGAUAUAUACAUAUAUACAUGUGUGUGUGUGUGUGUGUGUGUGUUUAUCUACAUACCUAGGUUCAUGGCGUUGAGAGCUUGGGGGCCGACCGAGGGUGAUGACGGCGACGCCAUUUGGGUGGACGCUGCCCUUGACGAACGCGUCGGCGGAGGCCAUGAUCCCGAAGGGGCGGAGGAGGCGAGGGGAUUUGGAUGGUUGGAAAAGAGAAAGCUUCGAAUUUGGAUUGAGGAAGAAGAAAGCGGACGACGAUUUGCUCAGAAUUUAGGUCGCUCCUCCCAAUAAGCUUCCCAUUACUUCCGGUCGGGAGUGACUGCAUCAGUGUAGAGAGAUAAAGAUAUUUUUGGUGCUUCUGGGCCGGACUACCCUUGAUGUUUCGGUUAAAUAACCGGGAAAAACAACUGCCGCAGGGAAAUUUGAAAGAGGCGUUUGACGAACUGAUUGUGAUCUGACUCAAACAUGUGAUGAUGACGAUGCAUCACCACCUUGAUUGUGUCUCUGGAUGAAAAACCUACCAUCAAGAUCAAAAUCGUGCAUAUUUUCCUUCAUAGGUUUGUCCCAUACUAGAUUAACCCCUAUUCCCUUAGCUUUCGCAUAAUUAAAUGCAUUAGUUUUCGCAUAAUUAAAUGCACCGCCUUUCAUUGGUAUUUCAAAAGUUAUAUCAACUUUAUCCCCGCUUUGCAAAUUGAGCUUAUCGUUUGAUAUUUGACCUUGCCAAAGAUAACAGCUUUCAAAUACAAUAUCGCGCAUUUUUGUAACCCAAUCUUCCUUGCCUAUGCAAGUCUGUAACUCAGUACGCUUGGUAUUAUUUAUAUCAAUACUAGCACGAGGAUGACCAUCUUUACCUCUCAUAUAAGGUCUUGGCCGAUCAAGAUAAGAGCGGUAAAAGCAUAACAGAGUUAGCCCUUCAAAACUACGACCAUCACCCGGGGGAAUAUCAAAGCUAACUUCAUUACCAUCAUUGACAAACUCGAACCAAUCAGGAACAUAAUUCCCAUUGAGAAAAAUGCCACCAUAUCCGCAAGAAGUCCAUCCCUAUAUAUAUAUUGCAAGUGUCAUAACUAUAUACAUACAUGUACAUGUGUGUUGUGUGUGUGCAUGUGCGCAAUAGGAAGACAAUUAAAGAGAGAGAGAUACCUUUAGGACGUUCCUCCUUAAAUCAGCCGUGAGUUUGGUGCACUUACUCAUAUCAAUCCAUGUCAUGGAGUUUAAUGACUUAUCCAAGUCUGGAACCUCAGUGAGUUCGUGUGAAUCACAUACAUUCAGUUCCCUCAUAUUUGACAUUUUCGAAAAAUUGGGCAUUGUUACCAAACGAUAGCAACUAGAUGCAUCCAGAAAUUUCAAAUUUGUUGGUAAAUCAUAGAUUGUAUGAAGCUGGGAGCAAUAACUUAACCACAAACUUUCAAGUUUUGAAAGACCACUGAGGCUGGGUAGGGUAUGAAAAUAAUUGACUGAGAGAUCUAAAUUUCUUAAAGAGUCUAAGCCGUGUAACGAAUCGGGAAAUUGCAAAGGAAACUUCGAUCCCACAAAAUUAUUGAGAGAUAAAUGAGUGAGAUUCUUCAAUCUUACUGUGGAACGCGGUACUUGUCUUAUGGCUGUAGUAGAUGCUUUAAGUACUCUCAAUGAUAUCAUCUUCCCUAAACCCUCGGGCAAUUCACUGAAUUGCCAACAAAAAUCAAGAACAAGAGUCUGAACGGAUUUGGACCUGUAGAAAUCCCCAGGAAGAGAAAUAAGAUUCUUGCAGCGUGUGAGGUUCACCAAAGAAAGUUUUUUAAGAUGACCAAUGGAGGGGUGAAUAUCGGACAAACUCCUACACCUUUCCAAUAUCAACUCUUCAAGAUUUGGGAGAUUUGAAAAGUCUGGUGAUUUUUUUAAGUCAGAGCAACUUCCAAGAUUAAGGACCUUCAAGUUUUCAAGUGACUGUUGCACAAAAUCAAAGAAAAAUUAAAAUUAAUAUCCAAAAGGACUAUCUCAGAAAAAAAGAAGGAAAUCCAAAAAACAAAUACAAACAUAACAUCAUCAUGUGUAAUCGAUUGUACCUUGGAGCCCUCCCAAACUUGUACCAGGUCGCUAGAUGUUAUCUCUAAAAUAACUAGUCUUGGUUGAUCAAAGAAGUCAUCUGGUAUGGACUUUAAAGGGCAUCUUUCCCAACACAACCAUAUUAACUCCUUGGGGAGAUGUUUGUAUUCUCCAUUGAGCUGCACGUUGUAGAGCUUGAGCAGUCUCAGUUUCUUCAUAUUGGCAAAUGCUUCUGUACUGAACCCAGGCAUGUUAGACCUUGGAGGCCAAGGAGGAGGGAUACCUAGAGCAAGUCCUUCAACUUCUUCAGUUCCCUGUUAACAAAAGGUUAUAUUCAUGUGUAAGAAACGGAUUAUUUGCAUACGUUUACAUGUAUGAAUACAAGCAAGUACUAUUGUUGGCUAAUUGAGAUGAAUGUUAAUGUAUAAUACACAUCCGUGAGUUAUAUGUGCUUUUCAUGUACAAUGCAUUAAUUCAGAAUUUUAUUGGGAAUGUACUUACAGAUUUAUCUCUCAAUACUUUAAUGACCUCUUGCCGGUUCCACAACCUACUCCACUCUCCAGGCUGACGAGGGGAUUUUUCAGAAAUGAUUAAUUUGGCCAUUUCUCGAAGCAAAUCAUGCAUAUUCAACACGUUGUCUUCAACAGUUAUAAGGCAUCGUUCACGGAGGUCACUGAUUCCUAUUGUUGCAAAAAAGUUACAUCCAUCUAAUAUUUUUGCGACAUAGUCCUUAUCCCAUCCAAUAAAGAAACAAGAAAUGUCAAGGAAUAUAUCCUUUUGUGUAGGAUCUAGCCUUUCAAAGCUUACUCUUAGCGGUUUCAUUAUUCCUUUAUCAGGAAAUUUUUUCAAUUUCUCCAACUGACUUUUCCACUCUAUUGGGGUUCUUUCAAUCAUAGAAGAACCUAAAACUUCAAGGGCUAUUGGCAAACCACCACAGUAAGAAACAACCUCUUUUGAGAGUUCAAGAUAUCCUUCAUUAGGCCAACUCUUUCCAAAGGCAUGCCAACUAAAGAGCUUCAGAGCUUCUUCUUCAUUCAUUUCCUUAAGCGGAUAUGUCUUGUCCACUUUCAUGUUCACUUGCUUUAGUAAACAUUCAUCUCGUGUCGUUAUGAUAAUUCUACUUCCUGGACCAAACCAAUCACGAUUUCCAGCUAUGGCAUUUAGUUGUUCCACUUUGUCUACAUUGUCAAUAAUGACAAGUACGCUUCUACGUUGGAGAUGAUUUUUUAGCAAACUGAUACCUCCAUCAACACUGGUUAUCUUAGACUCAGUCUGUUUCAAGAUGUCAGAAACAAGCUUUCCUUGCAAAUCAACCAAAUCAUAUUCACUAACGUUGGCAAGGAAACUUUUGAAUUGGAACUUAUGAUGAAUUUGGUUAUAAAUGGCUUUGGCAGCUGUUGUUUUACCUAAUCCACCCAUCCCCCAAAUUCCAACCAUGACAACGUCAUUUGAUCCACCACCUGAAAGAUGAUUGAUAAUAUCUUGAACGCGAGAAUUGAUUCCAACCGGGUGCUUGGCCACAUUUAAUUCGUUUGCACCCGGAAGCCAUUCCGUAAUGAUCUUGCCAACAAUUUCUCUAAUAAGCUUUGCUUCGCGCCUAGAUGUUGAAUUUGUAAGCAUUAGCGGGACUCAAUGAACAGUAGGAGCUAUUAGUACAUAGACAAUUUUCUUUCCUUCAUACAUAUUCUAACUAGCUACUAGCUAGCAUGUGAUUUUUUUACCAACUUGAUAAAAGAAAGAAAUUCAUUCAUUAAUUAAACUCCAAUUACGGUUUAGGUUUUAUAUGAGAGGUUAAGGUGUAUUAAUUAAGCAUGUUAAUUAUAUGAGAGAUUAAGUCAUUCACUAAAAUGUGUCAAAUCUUUAAAAGCAGGUGAAUGAUUACCCAUUGUCAAUGAUUUGAAGAUGUUGGCCAGACAAAUUUGCAGCUUCUGUAAGAGCCUUUCUCCAUUGCUUUACCCUUUCUUGUUUAGCUUCACGUUCCUUGUCAUCUUUUUCUUCACGAAUGCCCUCUUCGUGCUUCUGAAAUGCUUGAGCUAAAUCUCCGUUCUGCUUCCUAACAUGUGAAGGAUCAACAUGAUAGAAUAUUGGCAAAACACGUCGCCCCAGUUUGUAUCUGCACUUCAUGAUCUUCACCAGCUCGUCAAGACACCAACUCGAGUUCGCAUAACUCUUUGAGAAGACAAUGAUAGAGAUCCUCGCCUCUUCAAUUGCCCGGAACAGUUCCUCUUUUAUUUCUUCCCCUCUUUCUAGAUCGUCCUCAUCGAUAUAAGCCUGGUAUCCCCUCUCUGUUAAUGCCGCAUGGAGGUGGCCCGUGAAGCCAUUGCGUGUGUCCACACCGCUGAAGCUCAAGAACACGUCGUAAUUCCAAAGUUUUGACUUGGAGGAGGAUGACGAGGAGGCUUCGUGGGUUGUCAUGGGGGUAUCCACCGUUAUGGCACUGCAGUGGUUCAGAUCACGACUGAAUUAAGGAAUGCACAACUUUACUUUUAUGAUUAUUUUCAAUGACAGCUAAAGGUCAGAUCCAAAUGAAAAUAAAAGUUAGGACUUCACAAAACCAAUAAAAAAAUAUAAUUCCCAAGUUACAAAUACCCACCAAAUGAUUCCAGAUAAAGUUUUAAACUCAAGGUCCGGCCCAAAUGAAAUUAAAAGUUAGGACUUCACAAAACCAAUUGAAACAGAAACCAAAUGGUAGAAGUUGAAAAAAAUAUAUGGUCAUGAAUCGAGAACUUCAUCAAACUAAUAGCAAUAAAAUCUCAUAUAAUAUGUCAAAAACCAAAAAAGAGAAAGAGGUAAUUUCAAGACCUUGUAACGCCGAGGCCUCGUACAGUUGUAGUAAUAAUAUAUGGUUGAUGCACCUGUUGCUCAAUCAAAUCCUUUGUCUGGCUAAAAAAAUAAAAUCUAUAAAUACAUUCACGUCCAAUUUAUGAGAAAUCAUGGGAAAGCAAAUGCACUGAGAACGGAAUCAUGAAUAUGUAGAACUUGCCAAAAAGAAAAAGAAAACUUUUUAUAGUGUGCCAAGAACAUCCUCCUACUCCUAGCAAUUUUUUAUGGCAUUAUCCACUUUUCAAUUCAUAAUUCAACCAGCAACUCAAAGUCUAUAGUGUAUGAAAAGGUGAUAUCUUAGUUGAUCACGAUGAUAAUUAAGUAGAUUAAAUGACGACCCAUAAAGCAUACAAAUUCAGAAAAGAAAAGGUACGAAACUGCCAUAAGAAAACGCAGAAUAUAUAAACCGGAAAUCAAAAGAAGAGAAGCGAAAAAGGAAGAAAAAAAAAACCAAACAAAAUUAUUAGGUUUGGGAUAUACCUUUAUCUGAAACGCCACAAUCAUCAAAGUCAAACAUAAACAAUCCAAAAAUUUGUGGAAAAUACCAGUAAAUGCUCAACUAAAAACGAAAGAAAAUGUAGAAUAAGUUUACCUGUUCUCCCCCUAAUUAAACUGGAAUAACAUUCACCACUAAUAUUCUCGUCGUCAUCCUCUUCAGCCUGAAAAAUUUAGUAGAAAUACUCAAUGAAGACGCUUAAUGUAGACAGUAAUAUUAGCAAUGGAGGAAUUGAAUUGAUAACCAAAACUGCAAGACCAAAUGACUAUUUAGGUUCAAAACAGAAACUCGUCUGCUAGAUGUCUCAUCUUUAGGCAGUGCCUUGUUCUUGUUUUUUUUUCUUUUUUUUUUGUUGUUGCAUGUCUUGUGAAGUUCAUGUAAAUCAACAAAAUUGAUACUUUUGACACAACCAACAAUGGAGAGGUAAAAAGUUAAAAACAUUAGGAAUGUCUUCAUUUUUGUAAUGGAUUUUGCAAGUCAGAAAUUCUGUUCGAGAAUUUGCAACCCAGAAAGUCCGCCAGAAAUUAUUAACAAUCACAGAUAAGCACCGAAUGAAGGCCAAUCUAAUAAGCCAAAAUAUGUAGGGCACUAAAGAAAUUACCCAGUAACAAUAAUAGAUAAGCACAUAUGAAACUAAAGAAAUUUUUCAUUACUAUCAACUCCCAAAAAAAAAAAAAAAAAAAACUGUGCAAUCCAAAAAAUGUUGAUACAUAGUUGGAGUAUCAAUGCCUGAAAUUGGUAUUUGAACCACGAAUAUGUUUGUUAGCUUAAAGGUUUGGGUUGAAGUUGUGAAAGGAAAUGUAAUUUCUUAAAAGAAGGAGAGAAUGCAAAGAUGAAUACAGAAUGGUUCAUGUGGCCACCUUGUUAAGGCACAGAAAAAGACAUCAAAUUUUAUACUUGUUGCAUCCAAGGUAUGCAACAGCCUCCCACAGAAAUUACAGAAAUCAAAUCAAGAAAAAAGAUAAUUACACAAUAAUUACACCUUCACUAAGAAAAUAAAUUAUAAAAACGAAGACCGUGAGAAUAAUUACCUUACCUUUGUACGGUGAUUGGCUGCCAAAAAAAAAAAUAAUGUCAUAUACAUUAAGCCUGCCAAUUACUAAAAACAAAACAUUUUGCCAUGAGGAGAAGUAAGAACAUACCGAAACUUGUUUGCAAAUAGAUGAGAAAAACUUAUUCCUGAAACAGAUGGAAAAUUUAUUAGGAAAGAUAAAUCAGCCCACAUGUGUGUAAUCUAUAUACAAAAAACCACUCUCUUCAAUAGCCAAAUCGUUUCACAAAUCCAAAAACACAUAAUUAUAUCUUGAACAAUGCCAAUUAAUGAUUUCCCAUUUACUUAAGCCAACAACAAAGCCAAUGAACUGAUGAAAGAGCAAAACAGAGAAACAAAAAACCUCAAUUAAGUAAUUAAAUGGAGUAUUACUUGAUAGAGCUGGAAAAUUACCCAGUUCCUCAGAGAGAGGAUCAAGAGUGACUGAUGAGAGUGCAGAGAAAAGAAUGAUUGAGAAAUUCAAGUUCUGAGCUCGAAGUUGGGGCUUCCACUUUCCAACUGGGGAAGAAAUAACAGAGAAAACACAGAGAGCCAAUCCACCAAAUAUUAAUCAAAUGGGUUUCUUCUAAUUCAAAAUUUGGACCACCCAAAUUCCAAUGAAGCAAUAACCAUUCAAAAUCCAACAGAUUGAAGCCCUCACAGACUACUAAUUAUCAAUACCCAGCAAUAAAAAAUUUGAAAACAGUAAUAAUGAAGGAAAAAGAAAUUAAAGCUGCAAGCCAUUCUCUAAAUCUCAGGCACCAAUCCAAAUCACCAGUAAUUUGCACAUAAUGAUAAGAAUCUAGCAGUAUUUCCAUUGUUUAAAAACCCAAAUUCAAGAAAUCAUGAAAAAUGGAAACUUUAUUUGGAAAUUGAAGCUUUACCUGCAGAUCAGCAGCAGCAAACGGAAUCCAACGGCAUGUACCUCAAAAGUGAGAGAGAGAGAGUUGAGAGAUGAGUGAGAGAAUCGAUAAACAAAACCCCCCAAAAUCACAAAAGGAAAAUUGAACAGAAAACAAAUUUGCAAAUCCAAAAUCACAAGAACGAAAUUGAAACACCCACACUGAGAAAGCUGCAAUACUCACCAGGAAGCUAGCUUUUCUGGGUAAAAAAAUUGUUCGAAUCGAAUUGAAGAACCGAGGAAAAUUCUACUGGUUCAGUGGUUUUUCCAGCAAGAAAGCACCUUGUUUGUAAUUCGUGAGAGGUUGGACAGCGAGAGAGAAAAACGUAAAGGAAAGGAAAAGCGGAGAAGAAGUCACGAUUAUCGACGCGUGGGUUGCAUUCCACUGUGCCAAGUUCGAAAAUGAACGGGGAAUGGGGAGCUUGGCCGAGGGAGACAGAAUUCGAGAAGCAGCGUUCUGAUUAAUUUUUUUUUUUUUUUUUUUAUGAGAGAGGGAAAGCGGAAUGAAGAGAAUCGAGAAGAGGAUGAACCAUUUCAAUUUUUAAGCGAUGAUCGACGCGUGGGACUUGAGGGCAAAUUUGCCAUUUUGCUGUGAACCCAUGAAGCAUCAGAAUACACAAAAGUCAAGACUUGGCUUGGUUUAUAUAAUUAAUCAAUAAUAUUCCUAACAAGAGCUAGGUCCAUAUAUUAUACGAACAAUACUUAGCUGCUGAAUUCCUACUUUCAACCAAUCAAAUUUUGACACGUGUCCAAAUAAUGAAAUUAUAAAUACAAAUUGAACACGUGUCCAAAUAUGAUUGGGUGAAAAUAGGAAUGGCUGUUGAAUUUUCAGCCGCCAAGUAUUGUUCUUAUACAAGGUUCUAAAUCUAAUAGAUGUUGUGGCUAGACGAGGCUUAUUGACUAGACGGAUUUAAGUAAAUUUAUUCUAUAUUAUAAAUAAAUGUUUUUUUAUACUUAAAAUGACACAUAAUUGUAUUGAGAUAUAUAAAUUGUAAAAUAAAAUAACAUAUAUAUUAUAAAGUAUUGGAACAUGAGAGAAAAGACCUAAAUGUGAAACGACAACUAUAAACAAUUAUUCAAGAUGAACGAUAAAUGAUUCAACCAUUUACAAGAUUCAAAACAUGAGAUCACGAUCUACUGAAUGAUUGCAUUAACUAUUAAGCGGUGCCCUAAUAUAAUACAUCCAAAUGGGGGUGGACCACAUAAUACACCCAAUGGAUCGUUUUUAAGCUACUCCACUGCUAAAACUAUUGCAAAAUGCGUUAGGAUUAUACUUCUAUUAGCUGCGCCUUUCCUUACUAGGCAAAUGGGGGUGGACCACAUAAUAAUGUUAAAACUGCUAUGUCUAUUGGGUUUCUCUGUUUAUUUCAUGUACUAGUUUAUGUUCCUUUUAUUGUAUAAAUAACUUGUACUUGGGAUGUUGCAGAACAAGUUUGAUUUGAAUGAAAUUACUACUAUUGAGUUAGCUGUCAAGCUUCUCUUUAUUCCAAGCUUGCAUUUUGUUCUACCUUUUCCAAUUCUCUACAUCCCUAAGAGGACUGUAUCAGAUGUUAUACACAUUGGAGUUUGAGCAGAAUUCUUUUUGUUAUCUUGUCUCACAUUGCUAGAAUUGAAAAGUUCAUAAUAUAAUAACAUUCGCGUAUGAACUUGAGAAACAACAUACUACUGGUUGGCCUGGAAGGUGCAGUGAAAGAGAGGAAAGGAAGAAAGAAACAAACACGAAAGGACAAGGACUAUCCAAUAGAUUAUAAACAAUGACUUAUUGGGGAUGAUUACGGCUAUUAAAUCAUCAAUAAUGCAUUAUUUUAGUUUGGAAUUUGGAAGCAUUUGAGAAGUAAAAUGACAACAACUACAUAAUAAACAAAGGUGAUUAGAAAAAAGACCCAAAUGUGAAAGAAUAAUUAAAAACAAUUACUCAAGAUUAGUGAUAAAUGAUUCAACCAUUUACAAGAUAUGAACUUAGAACAACAAUCUAUUAGAUUGUUGUAUUAAUGAUUAAGUGAUGCUCUAAGAUAAUAGAUCCAAAUGGGGACGGACCAUAUAAUACACCCAAAUGGAUGCAAUCAUGCCAUAUAUAAACAAUGUUUUGAAAGGACAAGGUAGCUAAAGCUGCCUUUUUAUAUAUGUAAGCAACAACCCUAAAUCUUACUGGAACUAAUUAACUAAUGUAUUUAUUAGACAGUUGGAUUCCUUAGCAAGUGGUUAACUAGUUUUGUUUAGUUUAGUAGUCAGGUCGUAAUUAAUUAGUCAAAUGAAAAUGCAUAUAACACACCCAAAUGGAUGCCAUAUAUGCAUACUAUUUUUGUUUAGUUUAGUAGUCAGGUCGUAAUUAAUUAGUCAAAUGAACCUGCAUAUAACACGCCCAAAUGGAUGCCAUAUAUGCAUAUAUAAACAAUGUUCUCAAAGGAUGAAAUGACUUUCUUGCCGGUAUGGGGGAAGAGGAAAGAAACUAGCACGAAACUGCAGACCCUAUCGAUCCAUUAUAAUAAAUUUCAAUGGUCCAAUUUGUAAGUUAAUUGUGCAACAUAAAAACUUAUUUACAGUUAUCAACUUAACCACGUACCUGUGAAAGACAUUAUCUCAGAAAACUAGGAUUAAGAACCAAAGUUCUCCUGGAACUCUACACAACUUAAGGCUCGCUCAAUGGGGCUUGAGUUUUUUGUAAACUUGCGUAUUUUUGGAAACGCAUCAAAUAGUAGUUAAAACAUCCGGCCGUAAAUAAAGGGUUUGAGAUACCACCAUAGUGAUAUCCCUCAGAUGUGAGUUUCUCACGUAUCAAAUCACUUAUUGUAAGAAUAUUAGUAGUGAAAGUUAAAUACCCGUGUUGGGAAAGGAAGUCGAUGAUGACAAGAGAGAAAUUUGGCUUGAAAAAUGUAUGAUACUUGCAACAUGCGUCACCGGAGUAUCAACUUGAAGCUUUCCAUCUCUCCGUCGUUAAAUGUUUCGUAAGCAGCGUUGUUGAAGUUCUCUAUGUCAAGGGGAAACUGAAGAUGGUUUUAAAUGAAGAAGAAUGGAAAAUAUAAUUUAGAAAAUGAGAAAGAAAAUUAUAAUUGAAACUAAAAAAAUAAGAAAUAAAAAGAGAGAUUUACUAUUUUCUAUGAGGUCUUGGAGUUGGCCGUGACAGUAAGAGAGGAUAAGCGAAUGAAUUGGGCCAAUUACUUGCUCUCUUGGACUUUGGGCUUUUGGAUUGGAUUGGGCCAAUUACUUACUUGGGCCCCAUCCCAACUUAUGACUUUUUGUCGGUCGGUAUUGACUGAGGUGAACGUGCUAAACUAGAAAUUUGAGAUUUUGAAUUAGCAAAUGAAUGUUAAGUAAGAGCGUCAUGAUCAGACUUGUAAGACUGUCUUUGUUGCGUUUUGUCAAAACCGGUCCAUCUAAUUACAAAUUGUAACCAUAUUAGUUGAGUAUAUAUAUGCUACAUCACAUUAGUGAAUAUUCAGUACGGGUGACACAUGGUCAGACUUGUAGGUUGUUCAUUAAGAAGUUACCACGUUCUCAAGAGUGGAGCUAGAGGGGAGCACUUCCCUACCAAAGUGUUUUCCUUCUCCCCUUUACAAGGGAUUUGUGUCACUAUUAGAUAGGAGAUUCGAAUACAAGACCUUGAAUUGAGAGGUCACACUUUUACAAAGCUUCUACGAGCACCUUCUUGUUUACCAAACUCAUUGAGACUAAAGGAGGUCUUAACGCCAUUUUGGCUAAUACUAUUCUAUAUAUUUACGAAUGGUUUUAAGUUUGGGUUUAAUUGGAUAAUCAGAGAGUAGUGCAUCAAACUAUGGAUAUUCAGAAACCGAAAGCAUAAUUCAUAUUCCUCCAACAAGUCCACGCAAAUAACCACAAUCAGAAUGUUAGUUCAUAACUGGCCAUAUAGAACGCAGUACAAAAGCACUAAAAGCGUCCAAGUGAAAGUGCUUUCUCCUCAUGCAGUUUCAUUUAACUUAGUUUCACAUGCCAGUCCGUCACACACUCAACUCCUCAACGUUCGGGUUCAAAGCAUUCUUUAUCCUUUCUGUACGAGAGACAAUAAAUUUAAAGUUCUUGUGAUGAAAUCAUGUAAAACAUUCAGAAAUCUUGAUUUAAUCCUUUCUCAAGAUCAUAGGUUGUGUCAUCUCAACUUAUAUCUUAGGUCUUAUGAGUGCUCGUAAUACACUAAUACGGCACUUGUUUUCUGGCCAGGACAGAAACAAAAUCAUGUAGGAAAUUGUCAUGACAAUAAAGGUCGUACCCAGUGCACAAGGCUCCCGCUUUAAGCAUGACAAUAAAGGAAAUUGUCAUGUAGGAAAUUGUCAUGACAAUGUAAGUGUAAAAUGAGACCGGAAAAACACUAAACAGGAUGACUAUGCUCUCUUAGCGUAAACCUUAACAACAAAGACUAUACCGUAUCUGUCACCAAGGGCGGAGCCACCAUAGGCCUAGGGGGGCGGAUGCCCCCACUGAGAUUUUUCUGAUGCUGGCAUGAUGACCUUCAGAUGCUUGAGAUUCGGCAAUGGUGGAGAGCAGAUCUUUCUAAAUUUCUUUGGAAAGAAGAGAUCCUAAACCAAGCACACAAACAAAAAUUUGAGAACAGCAAAUACAAAAAUUCGACAGUGAUCAAACCCAUCAAGCAUGCAUAUAUAGAUACAUGUUAUAUUUAUAUACCAUAGCAUCAUGAACUUUUAGUGUAAUUUUUCUGAAGCAGUCAAAACUUUCAAGAUAAUCUCGUGCUGCUCAAAUUGAUAUGGUUCUACAGCAGCAAAGCCCACACUGCGAUUUUUCUGGUUCUACUCUCCGAUCUGGUUCUGUAGAAGCAGAGCUGGGUCUUAUUUUAUUUUUUUUCAAAACCAAGCCAAAACGACAUCGUUUUGGUCCUGGUAAAAAAAAAUUUAAAAAAUGUAAACGAAACGGUGUCGUUUCGUAUAUGUUUGAAAAAAUAUGUUCGAGGAUGCCCCCAUUCACCCAAAUGUCUGGCUUCGUCCCUGUCUGUCACAGUGAUAUGCGACCAUAAGCCCAACUCCAAGGAUCAGCUUUCCAAGAACUUUGAAGGCUACAAAUCAAAAGUUACAUGCAGUGAUGACAUAAUCAUGAAAAAAUACAAUCAUAAAUUAAAGGAAAACAUACCGACUUCUAGUUCUGGCAAUUCACUAUUGGCCCAUAUAUUUGAACCACAAUAUGAUGGAUACCCAAUACAGAUCACAAAUAAAAUCUGAGCAGACACAAAGUAUUAUGUUUUGUUUACGCAAAAUCUGUAAGUUCUCAAGUAGGAUAAAUAAAGAUAAACAUAUCCCAGCAUAAAGACGACUUGUCCUGGCUAAUUCUAAGAAAGCUUGUAUCAAAUGUAUGAUAGUUAUUCAUAACUAACACAAACAACAGUUUGGCCAAACAUUACUGGUCUGAGCCAUAUACUGUGUGACCUCAGACAAAACAGAUCCCACAUGUACUCAGAUUAUGAUUGAUGUCCCAAUAGACUUUUAGGCGGUGCUCUGAUAUAAUACAUCCAAAUUGGGGUGGACCAUAUAAUACACCCCAAUGGAUCGUUUUAAGCUCCUACACUGCUAAAGCUAUUGCAAAAUGCGCAUUAGGAUUAUAUUUCUAUUAGAAGCGCCUUUCCUUACUAGGCAAAUGAACCAUAUAAUACACCAAGAUGGAUGUUAUACACGUUAGCGUUUGGGCAGAAUUUUUUUGGUUAUCUCAUUGUCUCACAUUACUAGAAUUGAAAAGUUUAUAAUAUAAUAACGUUCGAAUAUGAACUUGAGAAACGACAUACUGCCGGUUGGCCGUAAAGGUGCAGUGAAAGAGCGAAAAGGAAGAAAGAAACAAACAUGCAUGAAAGGACAAAGACUAUCCAAUAGAUUAUAAACAAUGACUUCUUGGGAUGAUUACAGCUAUUCAACCAUCAAUAAUGCACUAUUUUAGUUUGGAAUUUGGAAGCAUUUGAGAAGUAACAUGACAUCAAUCACAUAAUAAACAAAAGUGAUUACAAAAAAACCCAAAUGUGAAGGAAUAAUUAAAAAAAAUUAUUCAAGAUAAGCGAUAAAUGAUUCAACUAUUUAUAAGAUAUGAACUUAGAACAACAAUCUAUUGGAUCGUUGUAUUAACUAUUAAGUGGUGCUCUAAUAUAAUAUAUCCAAAUGGAGACGAACCAUAUAAUACACCCAAAUGGACCAUUUUUAGGCUCCACUGCUAAAAACUAAUGCAAAACGGGCAUUAGGAUUAAACUAUAAGAACUAGGAUUGCAGGGAAGACAAAACACGCAGGAAAGCUAUAAGACUACACAAGGUUUUCACUGUGAUUGCAUACCCUCAACGUUGUAGGGAGCAACCUUUUUAUAAUCACUUUUCAGAUUACAUCAGGGUUUCAAAAACCCUAUUAACAAGCUUACAUUUUGAAAUUCAAAUACUAUAACUAAUUCUGACAAAACAAAUAUUUAAAAAUUCAAAUGAUUUUAACAGAAGCUCUACUUGAUAAGUGUUGUUGACUGAGUAAACCAACUGAAGAGUUUCUGUUUGAACAGGAAACUUGACUCCGUCUAACAUAAACUUGUAUUAGCUAGCUUUCCUAGUCAAAUGAACCAUAUGAUACACCCAAAUGGAUGCCAUCAUGCCAUAUAUAACCAAUGUUUUGAAAGGACAAGGUACCUUAACACUGUCUUUUUAUAUAAUGUAAGCAACAACCAUAAAUCUUACACAAAUCCUGGUAAGUCUACCACAAGUGUCAAUCCUUAUCUCCUUAUCAUUCCACAUCACCAAGUGUUUGCUCUCGUAUAGAACUUACAAAAAUCUCAUUUAGUUUCAUCUAACUUAUUUUUCACAACGGUGAAUAUAUUUCAAUGGCUUGGUUUUCACAUGCCAGUCAGUCACAUGCUCAACUCCUCAAAGUUCGGGCUCAAUGGCUCGAAGAGAGCUUCCACUUCACUCUGAUUCACCUCCCUCUUACUUUGACGGGUUCCACUUCGGAUUCUGCAUUGACAAAAAACAGAAGCAAAAGAUUGUUGAGAGUUGUCCCACGUUGGUGAGGGACAAGGCUUGCUAUGUACUUAUAUGAAUUUGGGCUACUUUCAAUAUUGUCAAUUGGUUUUAUGGUGGAACCUCAAUUUCAUCAUGGUAUCAGAGCCAAGUUGUUGACGUGUGAAGCCCAAUGGCCACACGCACUUCACGUCACCUAGCUGUUGUCCACGUGUAGGCUUGAAAAUCCGUCACACGUGCGGGGACGUGUUGAGAGUUAUCCUACAUUGGUGAGGGACAAAGUUUAGCUAUGUGCUUAUAUGAUAUUGGGCAACUUCCCAUAUUACCAAUUGAUUUUAUGAUGAACCUCAAUUUCAUCAAAGAUAACGACCUGUUCUCAUACAAGGAAAGUAAGAUGAUUAUAUAACUGUAGGUCUAGUACAGGCUGUAAUGGUUUAUGUUGCAGCAACUCCGUCAGCAAGUGAUUUUCAAGUAAGGAAUCUUGAGCAUAAUUAACGAACCUGAUCCUUGUCCACCAAAACUGCCCGCACACCUUCAGCAAAAUCAUUCCGCAAAGACGAUCUUCUAGCAACGCGAUAUUCAGUUUUCAUCACACCAGUUAGCUGGUAUGGAUCAAGUAAAGCACAUGUUACUCACUCAGAAAAUGUGAAAUACUACAACACAAAAUCUAUCAAAAGGAUGCAACCUUGAAGAGCUUCAUUUGCCCACUCCACCACUACAACAGAAACAAUUUGAUAGAAAAUACUUGACAGCCACGUACAAGCCUCUCAAUAGAAGAGUAAGACAGAUUUCAUUUCAUCAUCGAUAAACAAAUGGCAUUGACAAACUUACCAGUAGCAUCUGAACUCUGCUGCUGCUUUUUAAGUUCAUCAAUUGUCACAAGAACCGACUUAUUUGCACCAAAUGCUGAAGUUAUUUGAGGUAAAAGACUCCUGAGCUGCGCUUCGAAUCUGGGUUGCUGCUGAAUUUUGCCACAGUUGUAAUUGACAACAUUGACAAUUGUCUCUCUCGCAAUAGUACCUUCGUAAUGAUCCGCUACUGACCUUGGCCCGAUAGGCCAAUACCAAAGGCCAUUGUUAUGGCCACGAAGCUUAUACGUGGCUGUCAAGCCCGACACGUGAAUAGCAUACUCUACUACUGUGUUACAUUGUGAGAAUUUUAUCCAAAAUUAAUUGACAAUAAGUGAAUAAGUUGAAAGAUUAUGUAUGACUUUAAUUAUGCAAAGAGUGAAGAGGCAAUUUUCACCAAACCCCAGUAAAAAAUUUGGGCCUCACAAAUCACUAAACCCAAUAUGCUUUUCUCUUAUGCCUUUCGUUCAUGGUUUGAUAUUCUGGCGUCCGAGGACCCUGACAUGACAAGUUCCAACCUUUUUGUUCAAUUUCUUGACGAAACAAUCACAUUUACCCUUACGGCACGGCACGGUUCCGGGCAUAGAAUAUGGGUUGGGUUCCGCCACAGAUCCAACACUAAUUAGCACUGUAGAGAAGGAAGUAAAGACAACUAUUGAUUUCUUACAACGUAGCGAGUCUCUUGACAUGACUCCUGCUGUUUUGUUCUUAUUUCACGUCCUGUUUCUCGAGCUUGGUGUUUCCGGCAGGGCCGGUCUAAAGAUUUUUGAGGCCCGGAGCGACGUAAAAAAAUAUGCCCUCACUUAUAUAAGAAAAUUAUUUGUUUUCACAUGUAAGACAUCGAUAAAAUUAUACUUACAAAAACACUUAAAACUUAAUAAUUUAGAAACAAGGAAAAACUAAUUUAUUUUGUAUCGUGAGAAUGAUCCAAAAAAACUCUGGGUUUACAAGUAGAUAGAUAUGGGUUUACAAGUUGCGGAUUGCUUUGCUAACUAUGAUGUUGAUCUGGCUGGGGUUCAUUGGUGAGAUUCUUGAUUUCCUUGUGCUACUUUGACAUAUCACCAUAAGUUGUCUUUUUUGCCUUGUUAUAGUUUCGUGUGGGGUUUUUUUUCUUCUUCUAAUGCUGAUUGGGUUCUUUUCUUCCAACUCCUGCCCACUCAUUAUUGUCUGAACCACACCUAGUAUUACCCUCAUAUCCACUAAAACUUCAAGCUUUACCAAUUUGUCACAAGCGAAGAUGGUAGCUCCCAACACCAAUGAGGUUCCAAACAAUUACGAUCGAAAACGCGAAGUGAAAGCUUUUGAUGAGACAAGGGAAGGCGUUAAGGGUCUUGUUGAUGCCGGGGUAGCCGAGGUUCCUAGAAUUUUUCAUCAACCACCACAAUUGGACGAUCAGUACUCCAUCAACAAUACAAGCACUGACUCAGAAGCCACCCAGUUUAGCAUUCCGCUAAUAGACCUUGAAGACCAUGGUAAUCCAACUAAGCGCAAUGAGAUUGUUGCAAAGUUGGAGAGGCAUCAGAGACUUGGGGCUUCUUUCAAAUAGUGAAUCAUGGGAUACCUGUAGGUGUUCUGGAGGCGAUAAAGGAUGGGGUACGUGGGUUUUAUGAGCAGGACACUCGAGUCAAGAAAGAGUUUUUACACUCGUGAUCACUCUAAACCUUUGUUUUACAAUAGCAACUUUGAUCUUUAUAGUUCACUGGCAACGAAUUGGAGGGAUACUUUUAAGUGUUACAUGGCUCCAUAUCCUCCUAAGCCAGAAGACUUGCCAGAAGUAUGCAGGUAUUUGACAACCCAAUUCUCUGGUUUAAUUGGUGACAGUAACCUGGUGCAGAUUCCUUCCUUGAUGGAUUAGAUCAUUAAACUCCAUACUUUUGACAAGUUUAAUGUGCUUUCCUGGUUUUCAACUUGCAGAGACGUACUGAUCGAGUAUUCAAAGCGAGUAAUGGAGUUGGGGAAAUUGUUGUUUGAGUUGUUGUCGGAGGCCCUUGGGCUAAAGCCAAGCCACUUGAAUAGCAUAGAUUGUAGUAAGGGGCUACAGGUUUUAGGCCAUUACUAUCCUGCUUGUCCACAGCCAGAGUUAACUUUGGGCACAAGCAAGCACGCUGAUGAUUCCUUCCUUACGGUCCUUUCUGCAAGAUCAUAUUGGUGGUCUGCAAGUUGUUGAUCGUCAAAAUAAGUGGAUUGAUGUACCCCCUGUGCCUGGGGCUUUAGUGGUGAACAUUGGAGAUCUUUUACAAGUAAGCACACGUAUACAAUUGCCCUUUUUUUUUCUCCCUAAAAACUACUAUUAAAUUAAGAGAAUAGUAUCGUAAACUAAGCUAGUUUGUUAAUGACUAAUACUCGAGACAAGCUUUGGUCGCAUGUUAGCGUUCUCUUAGAAUAUGUCUUAGAAUUCUUCGAUUAUCAUAAUUAGGUCUUUUAUGUUCAAUUCUUUUUGGGAUUUUCAGCUCAUAUCAAAUGAUAGAUUCAAAAGCGUAGAACACAGGGUAUUGGCGAACCGUGAAGGUCCAAGGAUAUCCAUUGCCAGCUUCUUAGCACAGGUUUGCUACCAUUUACAAAUCUCUAUGGACCUAUUAAGGAGUUGGUAUCAGAAGACAACCCUCCAAAGUACAGGGAGACUACUGUGAGGGACUACGACACCCAUUUCUAUGACAAAGGCCUAGAUGGAACCUCUGCCUUAUCUCAUUUUAAGAUCCCAACUUAGACAUGGAGGAGCACAGAAGCAGAGACCGCAACGAACAAAUCCUGUCUACUAAAUAAUUUGGCAUGAAAAUAUAUAUUGGUUUGUUUAAUCUGAAAGCACUUUCGCACCACAAAAUUCUGGAUAUGCAUAUUAUUUUGUUUUCUGUUUGCAUAUGGUCUAAUAUACUUGUAGAAAGGGUUGGGUUUCUACCCUUGCGUCUCAGGUACGAAACUUCCCCUCCUAUAAAUUAUUGUAAUAGCUUCGAACUCUCUAUCUUCCGCAAAAAAAAAAAAAAAAAAGGGGGGUUUUCUAACACUUCUAUUCAUCAUGUUUACAGUUUUUGUGGCAUGCGCUUAACGAAUUCAACUGUGGUUGUGGUUGCGGUUGCGGUUGCAUAUCAAUACUAUUAUACCAUAAGUGUGGGCUUGUUUGAGAAUGUUUUUGUUUGUAAGAAGCGGUUUUACACAGUAGUUAAAAUAUAUAUAUGUAGAAAGAAAACAUACAAGUUGGUUGACAAAAGGGGAAGAAAAAUUGAGAGAUACAGAGAAUAAGAAAAGAAGAAAAUCGAUGCAAAUUUUAAUAUAUAUGUAGUAGAUCCAGGUAUCCAAAGGAUUCGGGGCUAAUGUACCUGCAUUGAUGAAAAAACAAAGAUGAGAUUUUUUGAAACGCAUCACAUAGUAGUUAAAAUACCUGGCGGUAAAUGAACGGUUUGAGAUAACGCCAUAGUGGCAUCCCUCAGGUGUGAGUUUCUCUCGUAUCGGAUCACUUAUUGUAAGAAUAUCAAUAGUGAAAGUUAAAUACCCGUGUCGGGAAAGGAAGUCGAUGAUGACAACUGACAAGAGAGAAAUUUGGCUUGAAAAAUGUAUGAUGUUUGCAACAUGCGUCAUGAAAACUUAAGUGUCAUGAAAACUUAAGUGUAAAAUGCGACCGGAAAAACACUAAACAGGAUAGCUAUGCUCUCUUAGUGUAAACCUUAACAACAAAGACCAUACCGUAUCUGUCACAGUGAUAUGCGACCAUAAGCCCAACUCCAAGGAACACCUUUCCAAGAGCUUUGAAGGCUACAGAUCAAAAGUUACAUGCAGUGAUGACAUAAUCAUGAAAAAAUACAAUCAUAAAUUAAAGGAAAACAUACUGACUUCUAGUUCUGGCAAUUCACUAUCGGGCCAUAUAUUUGAACCACAGUAUGAUGGAUACCUACAAUACAUAUCAUAUCACAAAUAAAAUCUGAGCAGACACAAAGUAUUAUGUUCUGUUUACGCAAAAUCUGUAAGUUCUCAAAUAGGAUAAAUAAAGAUAAACAUAUCCCAGCAUAAAGACGAUUUGUCCUGGUUAAUUCUAGGAAACCUUUAUCAAAUGUAUGAUAGUUAUUCAUAACUAACACAAACAACUGUUUGGCCAGACAUUACUGGUAUGAGCCAUAUACUGUGUGACCUCAGACAAAAUAGAUCCCACAUGUACUCAGAUUAUGAUUGAUGUCCCUAUUGACUUUUACCUUUGAAUUAGAGAUUCAUCUGUUGUAGGGCUAUCCAAUAUUGGAUUUGCAUAAAACGAGCCUUUUAACGUAUCUGCAAAACCAGAACACAAACGGAAAAUGAAUGAUCCUAAGUUCUUAGAGUUUCCAAAGAAACAAAAUUUAAAACAAAGAACAUAAAGUGAUACCAGGCUUUCCAGAUUCCAGCUUCUCUUUUUCCAUGACUCCAUCCAAAAUUGUACCUAAACAUGGAUGGCAGGUAAAAAGAAGAUAAGCAAUAAAACUUUGUAAAGAUUCCCAAGAAAAGCAAUAAAACUACGUAAAUUAUUAGUUAAUAAUGUCAAGACCAUAGUCUCUGAAAAUCCAAGAGUUGAGAUGCGGCAGGGAUUUUUGGAAUUUUUCUCUAUUGUAAGUAAAACAUAGAUUGAUGUUUGUGUUUACACGAAAAUUAUGCCAACGGCUUAAGAGAAAUCAAAGUAUAACAAUGGGACUAAAAUGACUUACCUACUAUGAGGAUCUUCAAGUUCCUUCUUCACCUCUUCGGGCAGAUUGGCUAAUCUAAUAAACAAAAAGAAAACUCCCAUGAGCAGUGCUAUAACAAACUAUCUUCCUAAAUUCAUUAUGAAUUGCAGUUAAAACUUAAAAUGAACAUGAAAAUCCUACGUAGAAGGGAUAUACCUAGGUGACAAGCCUAGAAGAUUCCCGCGCAAGGAAGAAUAUCCCGGAACCUGCAAUUGAAAACUCAAAGAAACAAUUACAAAGAUGCUAGAAAGAAAAUACGUAUCAGUUUACAACAAAACGCUAGCUCUCACAAGAAUCGAUUAGGUAUGAAGCAUCAAAACAACAGCAUGAGACAUCAUAAUUUAUGAGCUAUGAAUGGAAUAAUGGAGCAAAAUAUCGUUGCCCAAACAGCACAAUCUACAAUCUACAUGACGGAGAAAGUACCCCGACAUUACAUAUGCAAGUUCAUGUGGUUUAUGUGGUUUAUCUUUUUAACCGAUUCGUUAACAAAUUCUUUCUGCACAUAUAGUUUUAACUUACCAAAACUGGUAAUGGAAGAGAUAAUCAGUAAUUAACAACGGUAAUCGCAUAACGAAAUCAUACUUGAGUGAUUGAUAGGAUUCCCAACCCAUUUGGUCCAAAUCCUUCUUCAAUCUUCACUGACAAAUCUUUGUCCCUGUCCUGUAUCAAUCCAAAAUCAAAAAACGAUAAUUAGAAAAAUCGAAUUCUCGACAUGAUCGACGAGUUAAAACAUAGCAAUUAAACAAAACUAUGAAUAAAACAAUUAGAUUCUGUUUGGUUGCUGAGAAUGAAGAGAAUAACAACCACAAAGUCAACUGAAAUAAAAUUUUGCUCUAACUUCAACGAAUUCUCUUGAGUUUCUGAGCACCCAAACAGAAAAAAAAAAAUUAUAGGCAAUCAAACCAAACUCUCAUGCUCAAUUUUCUCGGCAACCACAAAAAGAACUUAGAGGAGGGGGAGAGAGAGAGUUACUUGGAGCUCGGAGUAGGAUAUGGUGACUGGUGUGACGGUGGGGACGACGGGGUCGGAGGACGGAGGCAUAGUUCGACAAUAAAUUUGGCGGGAAAGACGGCGGUUGGAGUGUGACGAUGGGGAAGAAUCCGUGGGAACGAAGAGGAAUUUUGGUGCGGAAGGAGGGUCUUUAUAUCGGAGGGAGGGAGGGAGGGAGAGAGGUUGAGAGCGAAAGGCGUGAUUGUCAAUUUCAAAUUUUUUUUUUUUAGGAAUAAAGAAAGAAAGAGAGGUUGAGUAUCAAUUCCCUUUCCCUCCAAACCAAAGAAUACAUUCACGAUCAUGAUGUGUGUGGCAAAAAUUAAAGGUGGAGACAAAUAAAUUAAAGAGAAUUUUCACGAAAAGUUCAUGGUACGAUUUAUUUUAAUGAAAAAUUAUAUUUUUAUACUAAAAAGUCAAUUUUGAUACUAUUUACUUUACAUUUUAUUUUUGUCAUUAUCGUUAAAACUAAAAACAAUUGAAGCAUUUUUUUACUAUUUUUCCUUAUAUUAAAUAGGUAUAAGUAUUAGUUAAAUUUAAAAUUAAUUGUGUACUAUUAAAAAUUUGUUUGAAAAUGUUUUUAAAAUGACUGAAAGCAUUUUUGAUUAAAAUGUUUUUUAAAUCAAUCCUUAGUAAAACCAAGUGGAUUCUAAAAAGUCAUUUGGAUUACUUUCUACAAAAACCACAUAUCUUGAGCACUUGAAGCACUUUUGGAAUCCAAAAUUAAUUUAACAAAGGUGUGUCUAGUCUUUUUAAUUUUUGAACAAACAAUAUUAUUUAUUUUAAGGGAGGAGAUGAGCUUAACCUCACAAUGGACUAUCAUAUUAAUAAUGUUGUUCAAAUCCACCUUUAUCCAAAAUCAAAUCUAAAACAUCUUACUCACAACUGAAGAGGAAUACCUUUACAUCGUAAUACUAAGCGACAUGUUUUUUUAUUUUUAAGAGACGUGUUUAUUCAUUUUUAAAAGACUUAAAAACCAGCACUAAUUUGUAUUAAAUUCUAAAACCUUUGAAUUGGGAUGUAAUAUGCAUUGGGUCUUUAAUAAUAUUUAAGUUGUUUUCGGCAAAAAAUAAGGGAUUCAAUUGGGAAAAAUAACAAAAUAUGAAAUAAGGAUAUUCUAAUUAAGGUUUUUAUUAAUUAUUUAAGGCGGAUGGUUCAUGUGAAGAUUAUGAAACGCUUUAAUUCUCUAAUGUGCGAUUCCAUUUCGAUCCAAAGUUAAACAGUGACAAAUACAAUUAAGGUUGUUAAUUUUUUUUGGUAAAAACAAUUAAGGUUGUUAUUAAUAUCAAUUCAUGUAUAUUUCCGCAUGUGCCACAUUAUUAAGUUAGGCAGUGAAAAAUAUAUAUCGGAUGUUAUGAGAACAUGUGUGGCUGUCAAGCCCUACACGUGAAUAACAUGCUCUCUACUGCUUUAUUACACCGUGAAGAUUUUAUCCAAAAUUAAUUGACGAUGAGCGAAUAAACUGAAAGAUUAUGCGCAACUUUGAUUAUGCAACGAGUGAAGAGGCAAUUUACACCAACCUCCAGUCAAGAAUUUGGGCUCACAAUCACUAGCCAAUAUGCUUUUUUCUCACAUUUACCCUGACACGGCAAGUUCAUAGUUCAAUAUUCUGGUUCUGGUGUCCUAUGACCCUGACACGGCAAGUUCCACUUUUUGUUCAUUUUCUUGACGAAACCAUCACAUUUACCCUUACGGCACGGCACGGUUCCGGGCAUGGAGUAUGGAUUGGGUUCCGUUGCAGUCCCGACACUACAUAGCACUGUAGAGAAGGAAAUACAAAGACAACUUUGGAUUUCUUACAACGUAUUGAGUCUCUCGUCAUGGCUCUUGCUGUGUUGUUCUUAUUUCACGUCCUGUUUCUCGAGUUUGGUGUUUCCGGUUGCAAAUUUUGGUUCGGCAGUGUAGUGCUCAGGAGAGGGGACUGUCUCACGUUGUUCCAAGCAGACAGAGGCGGUUGACAACGAUUGCGACAAUGUGUUUUUCUACUGGGAGAACAUACAGCAGUCAACAGUUAUCUUUUCACAACCGUCUUCAGUAUUUGGAGGCACCUCAAGAAAUUAUCAAGGACAAACGAAUGUAGAAAAGAAGAAAUAUCAAAGUUAGUUGACAAAAGGGGACGAAAAAUUGUGAGAUACAGAUAAGAAGAUAAGACGAUACUCGAUGCAAAUUUUAACGAGCGAUACAGAGAAGAAACAGCUGCAUUUGGAGACAGCUGCUUUAGUUGCCUUGUUUGUAACAUUAGCUUUCUGCAAUUCCGGGGAAGAAACAGGAGUAAAAAAAACAGAGUCAGGCAGUACCAAAAAAGAAAAAUAUACAAUUAGGAACAAUCGUCACUUCUCAAACUUUGUAGUAGAUCCAGGUUUCCGAAGGACUCGGGGCUAAUGUACCUGCAUUAACAAGAAACAAAGAUCAGAUUUGUGGAAGGGAGUCGCAUAGUAGUUAAAAUACUUGGCCGUGCAUGAAUGGUUUGAGAUACCAUCAUAGAGGCAUCCUCCAGGUGUGAGUUUCUCUCGUAUCUGAUCACUUAUUGUAAGAAUAUCAGUAGUGAAAGUGAAAUACCCGUGUCGGGAAAGGAAGUCAAUGAUGACAAAAGAGCAAUUUGGUUUGAAAUAUUGUGUCCUCGGUAUGAUGCUUGCAACAUGCAUCACCGAAUCCACUUGAAGCUCUCCACCUCUCCAUCUGUUAAAUGUUUCAUAAGCAGCAUUGUUAAAGUUCUCUUUAUUUGGGGGGAUAUUGCAGAUGGUUUUGAAUGAAGAAAGGCAAAAAUUCAUGCUGAAGGCAUAGUUUACAACUAGUAUUUGUAAAAGCUAAGCUCUAAAGUGAGCCUUGAUUCUUUGGCACAAAUAGCUAAAGUUUUGAGAUGGGACAAAAUGGGUCCACAUACAGCGCAUCCGAUGGUGUUGAAAUCCUUUUCCCAGUAAGUCAAAGAUAAGCACCAAGAAAGACAUGACAGUGUUAAACUUAAAACAAAUACAGAACUAAGAAUUGAUGCAUGAAUCAAACAGAGAAAUGGUACAGGCCAUUCUCUUUAUAUUCUUAUAAUCUAAACAUUUCUCCUUAUCAACACUGGAAAAACAGCUUGCUUCAGUCAUAGGAAAUAAAUUGCGCCUAGAGUAUAGAAAAGACAUACCUACAGAUCCUCCUCCUGGACUCUUUGCCGCUAUACGUGAAAACCCAACAUCUGGGAACAACCAAAUUACAUUCUCUGGCAUGGCAAGAACAGUCCUCUGAAAUGUAUCCAUACAAAGUUAAGACACAAAAAACUCAAAAAGGCAAUGUAAUUCACAACAUUGACAAUCUCUGUCUGACAAGGCAAUAAUACCUCUGUAAUGAUCCGGUAGCGACCGUGACCUGAUAGGCCAACACCAAAGCCCAUUGUUAUGCCAUCCAUGAAGAUAGGGCUUCUUGUACUCAGAGAUUUUGCAUAUUAGAGAAUACUCAGCAGUGAAUACCUGAAAAACAUGCAGCACAAGUAUCAUACCGGUAGCCUCUCAAUCUUAAGAAAUGGUAGCUUAGAAAAGAUAUGAAUCCUAUCCAACCACUACAAAUCAUAUUACCCAAGUUCAAGCAAAAUCACGACUAAACAAAUGAUCAGAUGUUGUAGGUUGCCCGAGAAUGUCAAACAUGAAAUUACAAGAAAAAAAACAAUCGUAUGUAUUGAACAUUAAUAAAUACUUGCUGAAAGCACAAUCUUAGCUGCCAUUUAUGACAUUUAUACGAGAUUGAAUAGCCAAAGCAAUUAAAGAAGUAGCAGAACUCAUAUAAGUGAUUUUCACUUUGAACUUUUAGGCUUAUCAGCAAAUACAUCAUUACGAUUCUAACGCAUGAAUUUUGUUAAAAGGGGCUUGCUUGCUUGUAUUAAGGCUUAAUCAUCAAUGAUUUUGCAAGGGUCAAUCGUCUUGAUAGUUGUAAUCUAUGCACUAUGAAAAUUACCAAAAUUACAUCUUAUAUGGUAGAGAAGGAAGUCAUCUUAUAUUAUCUGGAUUUUAGAAAACGGUGUAAGGUUAUAAGUCUGUUAUUCUAUAUAGUUUAAAGGACACAAUUAGACAACAAUCAUAUUUGGUGGUUGGUUUUUGGCCGUGAUCUGCUUCACAUCACCGCCCGCAGGUAAUCUAAAUCUGGGUUAUUACUUAUCAAUGAAUCAAAGUGCCAACUUAUCGGACACCAUCUAUCUCUAUAUGGCAAAAAAAAUAACACAAAAAGGAACAAUGAAGUGAAACAAUAAACAACAUGACAUGAAACAGCACGAACAUCAAAGACCAACAAUCUAUCACAUAAGCACCUAAACAAGAAACAACUUUAGUUCAAAGCAAAGCGUAAUGUAGAAACCUUCGGCACAAGAGGCGUGUUUUUGUCCUUUUGAAUUUCGGCAACAACAACUUUAAUAUCCUUACCUGCACUUACCAUGAUUGCUCACUCUCAAAACCUUACCUAAGAGACCCCAAAACCAAAAUAACUGCCAAAAGAGCUGAACAUACAUAUCUAGAAAAAACUUAUUCAACUACAUGCUAAAAUGGAAGUGUAAAAUUGCCAGGAAAGAUAAGAAACUAUUCAAAUACGAGUUCUGGGCGUUACCGCCACAAAAGGCACGAGCCGAGCGGCUAUCAACAAGAACACACUUCACAUUUGGGUGAGAUUCCCAUUCAUCCAGAUAGCUCUUGUAUUUCACAUCCAAAUCUGCAUUUUCCAACAAUUCCCACUUAAACAGAAACACAAAAUUCUUCCAAAAAAAGCUAACUUCUUCGAAAUUUGAAUCCAACGUUUCGUCUUAUAACAAAUGCAAUAACAUAGAUUUGUAAUCAAUACGAUGCCAUAAAGUUCAAGCUCAAAAAUUCAAAUCAUCUCCAAAUCAAAUGCAAUUACAGAUAUAUACAUAUAUACAUAUACGUUUGUGUGUUUAUCUACAUACCUAGGUUUAUGGCGUUGAGAGCUCGGGGGGUGACCGAGGGUGAUGACGGCGACGCCAAAGGUGCGGAGAAGGCGAGGGGAUUUGGAGGGUUUUGUAAAGAGGGGAUUUGCUCAGAAUUUGGGUCGCUCGUCCCUCUUAUGGGAGUGACUCAAAAAUCGAAAAAGUUGAAAUUUAUUGAUUGUGAUCUGACUCAAACAUGUGAUGAUGACGAUGCAUCACCACCUUGGUUGUGCCUCUGGAUCAAAAACCUACCAUCACCAUCAAAAUCGUGCACAUUUUCCUUCAUAGGCUUGUCCCAUACUAGAUUAACCCCUGUUCCCUUAAUUGUCACAUUAUCAGAUGUACUGUUUCAAAAGUUAUAUCAACUUUAUCCCCGCUUUGCAAAUUGAGCUUAUCGUUCGAUAUUUGUCCCUGCCAAAGAAAACAUUUUCCAGAUACAUUGUGCAUUUUUAUAACCCAAUCUUCCUUGCCUAUGCAGGUCUGCAACUCAGUACGCUUGGUAUUAUUUAUAUCAAUACUGGCACGAGGAUGACCAUCUUUGCAUGUGAAAUAAGGUUUGCUAUGAAUUGAAUAUUUAGGAAUAAAGCAGUAAAAGCACAACAGAGUCAACCCUUCCAAAUUACGACCAUCACUCGGGAGAAUAUCAAAACUGACUUUAUUACCAUCGUUGACAAACUCGAACCAAUCAGGAACAUAAUUCCCUUUGAAAAAAAUGCCACCAUAUCCGCAAGAAGUCCAUCCCUAUAUAUACAGUGCGAGUGUCAUAUAUAUAUAUACACACACAAACACAAUGUACAUGUGUGUGUGUGCAUGUGCGCAAUAGGAAGACAAUUAAAGAGAGAGAUACCUUUAGGACUUUCCUCAUAAAAUCAGCGGUGAGUUCGGCGCAAUCCGUCAUAUCAAUCCAUGUCAUGGAGUUUAAUGACUUAUCCAAGUCUGGAAUCUCAGUGAGUGCGCGUGAAUCACGUACAUUCAGUUCCCUCAUAUUGGACAUUUUCGAAAAAAUUGGGCAUUGUUAACAAACGAUGGCAACAAGACGCAUACAGAAAUUUCAAAUUUGUGUUGGUAAACCAUAGAUUGUAUGAAGGUUAAGGCAGUAAUCUAACCGCAAACUUUCAAGCUUUGAAAGAUCACUGAGGCUGGGUAGGGUAUGAAAAUCAUUAGAUGAGAGAUCUAAAUCUUGUAAAGAAAUUAGACUCCCAAAACCCUUUGAUAAUGGAUCAUCGCUUAACCUCUGGAAUAAGAGAUCUAAAUUUCUUAAAGAGUCAAAGCCCUGUAACAAAUCGCGAAUUUGCAAUGCAAAUUUGGCUCUUCUGGAAGGAAGACCCCCAAUUAGAGAUAAAUGAGUGAGAUUCUUCAAUCUUACUGUGGAACGCGGUACUUGUAUUAUGGCUGUCUCAGAUGCUUUAAGUACUCUCAAUGAUAUUAUAUUCCCUAAAUCCUCGGACAGUUCACUGAAUUGCCCACAAAAAUCAAGAACAAGAGUCUGAACGGAUUUGGACCUGUAGAAAUCCCCAGGAAGAGAAAUAAGAUUCUUGCAGCCUGUGAGGUUCACCAAAGAAAGUUUUUUAAGAUGACCAAUGGAGGGGUGAAUCUCGGACAAACUCUCACACCAUUCCAAUAUCAACUCUUCAAGACUUGGGAGAUUUGAUAAGUCUGGUGAUUUUUUUAAGUCAAGGCAAACACUGAGAUUAAGGAUUUUCAAGUUUUCAAGCAACUGUUGCACAAAAUCCAAGAAAAAUUAAAAUUAAUAUCCAAAAGGAAUAUCUCAUAAAAUAAAUAAAUAAAUAUAGAGAGAAGGAAAUAUAAAAACAAAUAGAAACAUAACAUCAUCAUGUGUAAUCGAUAGUACCUUGGAGCCCUCCCAAACUUGUACCAGUCUGCUGUGCGUUAUCUCUAAAAUAACUAGUGCUCUUGGUUGAUCAAAGAAGUCAUCUGGUAUGGACUUUAAAGGGCAUCCUUCCCAACACAACCAUAUUAACUCUUUGGGGAGAUGUUUGUAUUCUCCAUUGAGCUGCACGUUCUUGAGCAUGAGCAGUCUCAGUUUCUUCAUAUUAGCAAAUGCUUCUGUACUGAUACAACUAGACUUUAAAGGGAAUUCUCCAUGGAGCUGCACUUUAAUGCGCUGGAACAGUAUCAGUUGCCACGUAUCGGCAAAUGCUUCUGUACUGAUACUUGGAGACAGAAGAUCAGGGAAACCUACAACAAGUCCUUCAACUUCUUUGGUUCCCUGUUAACAACACAUUAUACUGGGUAAGAAAAGGAUUAUGUGCAUCUAUUUUACGUGAUUUUGCUAAUUGAGCUUCUUAAUGCAAAUACAUAUAUUUACACAUGAAUGUUUUUAAUGUAUAAUAGGCAUACGUGGGUUACAUAUAUGUUUUUCUUGUACGAUGCAUUAAUACAAUUUUUUUUUGGGAAUCUACUUACAGAUUUAUUUGUUAGUACAUCAUAGACAUCUCCAGGGAUCCACAACCUGCUCCAUUCUCCAGGGGGACGACGGGAAUUUCCAGAUAUGAUUACUUUGGCCAUUUCUCGAAGCAAAUCAUGCAUAUUCAACUUGUUGUCUUCAACAGUUAUAAGGCAUCGUUCACGGAGAUCACAAAUUCCUGCUGUUGCAUAAAAUUUACACCCAUCUAAUAUUUUUGCGACAUGGUCCUUAUCCCAUCCAAUAAAGAAACAAGAUAUGUCAAGGAAUAUAUCCUUCUGUGUAGGAUCUAGCCUUUCAAAGCUUACUCUUAGCGCUUUCAUUAUUCCCUCAUCAGGAAUUUUUUUCAAUUUCUCCAACUGACUUUUCCACUCUGUUGGGGUUCUUUCAAUCAUAGAAGAACCUAAAACUUCAAGGGCUAGUGGCAAACCACCACAGUAAGAAACAACCUCUUUUGAGAGUUCAAGAUAUCCUUCAUUAGGCCAACUAUUUCCAAAGGCAUGCCAACUAAAGAGCUUCAGAGCUUCUUCUUCAAUCAUUUCCUUAAGCGGAUAUGUCUUGUCCACUGUCAUGUUCACUUGCUUUAGUAAACGUUCAUCUCGUGUCGUUAUGAUAAUUCUACUUCCUGGGCCAAACCAAUCACGAUUUCCAGCUAUUGCAUUUAGUUGUUCCACUUUGUCUACAUUGUCAAUAAUGACAAGUACGCUUCUACGUUGGAGAUGAUUUUUUAUCAGACUCAUACCUCGAUCAACACUGGUUAUCUUAGACUCAGUCUGUUUCAAGAUGUCAGAAACAAGUUUUCCUUGCAAAUCAACCAGAUCAUAUUCACUAACGUUGGCAAGGAAACUUUUGAAUUGGAACUUAUGAUGAAUUUGGUUAUAAAUGGCUUUGGCAGCUGUUGUUUUACCCAAUCCACCCAUCCCCCAAAUUCCAACCAUGACAACGUCAUUUGAUCCACCACUUGAAAGAUGAUUGAUAAUAUCUUGAAUGCGAGAAUUGAUUCCAACCGGGUGCUUGGCCACAUUUAAUUCGUUUGCGCUUGGAAGCCAUUCCGGAAUGAUCUUGCCAACAAUUUCUCUAAUAAGCUUUGCUUCGGGCCUGAAAAUUGAAUUCGUAAGCAUUAGCAGGACUCAAUGAACAGUAGGAGCUAUCAGUACAUAGACAAUUUUCUUUCCUUCAUAUAUAUUCUAACUAGCUACUAGCUGGUAUGUGAUUUUUUGACCAACUUGAUAAAAGAAAGAAGUUCAUUCAUUAAUUAAACUCCAAUUACGGUUUAGGUUUUAUAUGAGUGGUUAAGGUGUAUUAAUUAAGCAUGUUAAUUAAUGUUUAAUUAGCUUCUGUAAAAUGUUAAUUAUAUGAGAGACUAAGUCAUUCACUAAAAUGUUUCAAAUCUUGAAAAACAGGUGAAUGAUUACGCAUUGUCAGUGAUUUGGAGAUGUUGGCCAGACAAAUUUGCUGCUUCUGUAAGAGCCUUUCUCCAUUGCUUUACCCUUUCUUGUUUAGUUUCACGUUCCUUGUCAUCUUUUUCUUCACGGAUGCCCUCUUCGUGCUUCUGAAAUGCUUGAGCUAAAUCUCCGUUCUGCUUCCUAACAUGUGUAGGAUCAACAUGAUAGAAUAUUGGCAAAACACGUCGCCCCAGUUUGUAUCUGCACUCCAUGAUCUUCACCAGCUCAUCAAGACACCAACGAGAGUCCGCAUAACUCUUUGAGAAGACAAUGAUAGAGAUCCUCGCCUCUUCGAUUGCCCGGAACAGUUCCUCUUUUAUUUCUUCCCCUCUUUCUAGAUUGUCCUCAUCAAUAUAAGCCUGGUAUCCCCUGUCUGUUAAUGCCGCGUGGAGGUGGCCCGUGAAACCAUUGCGUGUGUCUACACCACUGAAGCUCAAGAACACGUCGUAAUUCCAAAGUGUUGACUUGGAGGAGGAUGAAGAGGAGGCUUCGUGGGUUGUCAUGGCGGUAUCCACCGUUAUGGCACUGCGGUGGUUUAGAUAACGACUAAAAAAUGGCAGUAGUUGUGUUCAUGCUGUCGAACAGAUGAUCCUGAAAUACCUAAACCCAAGUCAAGCUCCUUCAGUCAACAAGAACAAAGUUUAUAAUAUAAUAAUGUUGGUGUAUGGACUUGAGAAACGACAUAAUGUUGGCCAGAAGGUGCAAAGAAAGAGAGGAAAAGAGGAAAGAAAGGAACGAAAGGACAAAGACUAUCCAAAAGAUUAUUGGCUGUGAUUACAGCUAUUCAUAGGAGAAACAACCUGCCCGUCUUCAUAUAUAAUACAUUUCAACAGACAUAUGUUAAUAGGAGAAACAACUUUAGUUUGUACUAGAAAUUUUUACCCGGGCGUUGCUACAGGAUUUGAAAUUGUAUGAAAGAUUAUCUUUGAAAUAUAUAAUAGAUUGUGUGAUUGAAGAUUAAUACUAUUUACAUUGAAAACGUUGGAAAAAGUUUUACAUACAAAAGAUUUUACGAUACAAUCCAUAUAGUCUCCUAUAAAGUUCUGAAGUCGUGGAAGCAUAAAGGACAAAUAACAAAUGAGUUUUGAGAAAUUAUUCCACAAAUGCCAUUCUGCAUAAUGUAUUAAAGAAGAUUGGUAUAAGAUUAGCAAUCAUGAGUAGUGUAACAACAUCAACAAAAUAACCAUAAACCAUAGUUGAACAUAAUUCAAAUUUUGUUUGCAAAAACAAAAGAAAAAGAAAACAGACUUACAAUAAUUCAGUCUUCAAUCCUGAAGUCCUACUCAAAGAGCCAAACUUGAAUGCAAGCUUUCUGAAAUUUUCCAAGCAACACAAAAAAAAAGGUAACAUCCUAGUCAGAAAUGAACCGAGGUGCGAGCUUUCUAAGAAACCCAGAUGACAAAAUCAACAAAAUAGAAAGGAAAAAUGACUUGCACUUUUUAAGGCAUGUCCAAUCUUGAUCUAAAAUUGGUGGUGGGUCGAUUGUUGGUCACCAAAUCUAAAUAAAGAAUUCAUCAGAACCUAGAAAUUUAAACAAAGAAUUUUCCAAAAUCAACAUUUACUAAAAACCAGUUACUUGGUUAUCAAGCAUGAUGGCUUGCCAAAGACUGAAUUAAGGAAUGCACAACUUUACUUUUAUGAUUAUUUUCAACGACAGCUAAAAGGUCAGAUCCAAAUGAAAAUAAAAGUUAGGACUUCACAAAACCAAUUAAAAAUCCAAUUCCAAAGUUACAAACACCCACCAAAUGAUUCCAGAUAAAGUUUUAUACUCAAGGUCAGACCCAAAUGAAAUUAAAAGUUAGGACUUCGCAAAACCAAUUGAAAAUCUGAUUCCAAAGUUCCAAACACCCACCAAAUGAUUCCGGAUGAAGUUUAAACUAAAAAACCCAAUAGAAACAAAAGCAUUGGUGUGAAUUAACUGUAUCUAAUUGAAGAAACUAAAACAAAAGUAAAGCAAAGUAUAUACCUCAAAAUGUCAAGCAACUAAGUUCUUCCUCCGACGACCCAAAACUCUGAAAAUUCCACACAAAAAAAAGGUAAAUCCAUUAGCAAUUCAUAGCCUUCAAAAUUAGCAAAAACUUGGGCAACAAUAAAGAUGCAUUGAUAAAUAUCACUCUUUCUCCUUAUGUAUUUGAAAAGAUAUUUUAUAAGCAGUUUAUGUAGUCAUUCUAAUCAUGUUGCAUAUAAAUUCCUUUUCUACGGAGUUCAAAAAUAUAUGGCAGUUUACGGCAUCUGUUGAAUAACAUGGUUGAAAGAUUUAAAAUUGAUACAUUCAAUUUUUAUGUGUAAAACUAUAACAUAUAGCUAAAGCUAUUGGGUCUAUACAUCCAUAUCAAUCAUGUCGUAAUUGUAUGCUUAUCAAUGUAAAUAGAUGAUUUCAGUCAUGUGAUAACAUGUUUCUUGAUAGUAUAUGCUGAAGUUUGGUCUCAGUUGGAUAAAAAUCAACCAAAAUCUUAGCAAUAGACUCUUUUAACUUUUUUUUUUUUUUGGCGAACAAAGGUGGGGGGGAUGCAACACGAGGACUUCCCAGGAGGUCACCCAUCCUAGUACUACUCUCGCCCAAACUCGCUUAACUUCGGAGUUCUGAUGGGAUCCGGUGCAUGUGAGUUGGUAUGAUCGCAUCCAAAAAAUGAGCACCACAAUACUACACUUAUAAGUUUUAUGCACAAAAUACACAGCACUGACUGGCAAAACAAUAAAACACUCAAAACCCAAAAACAGAAACACAAUUAGGACUCAAAACUCCUCAAAAACAUGAGAGAGAGAGAGAGAGAGAGAGAGUGUGUGUGUGUGAGAGAGAGGAGAGAGAAUAAAAAACAAUAUUAUUUUUCACACAAACUCAAAAUUGCUUAUAAAAUUACAAAUCAAAACAAAUGAAGGCAAAUCCAAAAUUGCCCUAAAUUAAAUCUGAUUAGUUAAAUGUUUGUUGCCCUACAAAUGUCAUUACACACGACAAAACUUGCUUUGAAGUUGAUAUUUUGGUCAAUCCAGGGGAAAAGGAGAGAUUGGUUUUGGAGCAGUUGUCAUGGAGAAUACCAUCUCCCUGUUGAAUGAUCUAAAAAAGGACUUACAGCUUCUGUGGCCAUAAUAAUUUAGGAGGCCCAUCUCUACAGAUUUUCUCAAUAACUUUCCUUUUCGUAGCUGGUAAGAUUGCAACUCCAAGAAUUGCUCUGAAGAGAUAUAUACAAAAAAAAAUCAAACUAAAACUAAGCUAUUGGAAGAAAUUUAGAAAACACAAACACCACUACAACUCAGAGCUAAAGUCAACAGAAAGCAAAUAGUAGAAGUUGAAAAAAUAUAAGGUCGUGAAUUGAGAACUUCAUCAAACUAACAGCAAUAAAAUGUCAUAUAAUCUGUCAAAAACCAAAAAAGAGAGAGAGGUAAUUUCAAGACCUUGUAACGCUGAGGCCUCGUACAGUUGUAGUAAAAAUAUAUGGUUGAUGCACCUGUUGCUCAAUCAAAUCCUUUCUGGCUGAAAAAAUAAAAAUCUAUAAAGACAUUCACGUCCAAUUUAUGAGAAAUCAUGGGAAAGCAAAUGCACUGAUAACAGAAUCAUGAAUAUGAAGAACUUGCCAAAAAGAAAAAGAAACUUUUUAUAGUGUGCCAAAGAACAUCCUCCUACUCCUAGCAAUUUUUUUUAUGGCAUUAUCCACUUCUCAAUUCAUAAUUCAACCAGUAACUCAAACUCUAUAGUGUAUAAAAAUGUGAUAUCUUAGUUGAUCGCGAUGAUAAUUAAGCAGAUUAAAUGACGACCCAUAAAGCAUACAAAAAUUAAGAAAAGAAAAGGUUCGAAACUGCCAUAAGAAAACGCAGAAUAUAUAAACGGGAAAUCAAAAGAAGAGAACCAAACAAAAUUAUUAGGUCUGGGAUCAUCAAAGUCAAACACAAACAAUCCAAAAAUUUGUGGAAAAUACCAAUAAAUGCUCAACUAAAAACGAAAGAAAACGUAGAAUAAGUUUACCUGUUCUUCCCCUAAUUAAACUGAAAUACAAUUCACCACUAAUAUUCUCGUCAUCCUCUUCAGCCUGAAAAAUUUAGUAGAACAUAAUGAUAAGAAUCUAGCAGUAUUUCCAUUGUUUAAACCCCAAAUUCCAGAAAUCAUGAAAAAUGGAAACUUUAUAUGGAAACUGAAGCUUUACCUGCAGAUCAGCAGCAGCAAACGGAAUCCAACGGCAUGUACCUCAAAAAUGAGAGAGAGAGCUGAGAGAUGAGUGAGAGAAUCGAUAAACAAACCCCCCCCCCCCAAAAUCACGAAAGGAAAUUUGAACGGAAAACAAAUUUGAAAAUCCAAAAUCACAAAAACGAAAUUGAAACACCCACACUGAGAAAGCUGUAUAACUCACCAGGAAACGCUAGCCUUUCUGGGUAAAAAAAUUAUUCGGAUCGAAUUGAAGAACGGAGGAAAGUUCUACUGGUUCAGUGGUUAUUCCAGUGUGUCAAGACUUGGCUUGGUUUAUAUAAUUAAUCAAUAAUAUUCCAUACCAAGAGCUAGGUCCAUAUAUUAUACAAUGUUCUAAGGGUUUAACGGAUAGGCGAGGCCUAGUGUCUAAGCAAAUUUAAGUAAAUUUAUUAUAUAUUAUAUAAACUUAAAAUGAUAAAUAAUUGUAUUAGGAUAUAUAAAUUACAAAAUAAAAUAAUAUAUAUUAUAAAGUAUUAAAACAUAGGAGAAAAGACCCAAAUAUGAAUGGGAGAAAAGACCCAAAUAUGAAAAGACAACUAUAAACAAUUAUUCAAGAUGGACGGUAAAUGAUUCAGUCAUUUACAAUAUUCAAAACGUAGGAUCACAAUCUACUGGAUGAUUGUCUUAACUAUUAGGCCAUGCUCUAAAUAUAAUACAUCCAAAUGGGGGUGGACCGCAUAAUACACCCCAAUGGACCGUUUUAAGCUACUCCACUGCUAAAACUAUUGCAAAAUGCGCAUUAGGAUUAUACUUCUAUUAGCUGCGCCCUUCCUCACUAGGCAAAUGAACCAUAUAAUAGUUUCCAAAAAAAAAAAAAAAAAAAAGAACCUUAUAGUACACCAAGAUGGAUGUUAUACACGUUGGAGUUUGAGCAGAAUUCUUUUUGUUAUUUCAUUGUCUCACAUUGCUAGAAUUGAAAAGUUUAUAAUAUAACAAUGUUCACGUAUGAACUUGAGAAACGACAUACUACCGGUUGGGCGGGAAAGUGUGAAGUGAAAGAGAGGAAAGGAAGAAAGAAACGAACACGAAAGGACAAGGACUAUCCAAUAGAUUAUAAACAAUGAUUUAUUGGGGUGAUUACAGUUAUUCAAUUAUCAAUAAUGCAUUAUUUUAGUUUGGAAUUUGGAAGCAUUUGAGAAGUAACAUGACAACAACCACGUAAUAAACAAAAGUGAUUGGAAAAAAGACCGAAAUGUGAAAUAAUAAUUAAAAACAACUAUUCAAGAUUAGUGAUAAAUGAUUCAACCAUUUACAAGAUAUGAAUUUAGAACAACAAUCUAUUAGAUCGUUGUAUUAAUUAUUAAGUGGUGCUCUAAUAUAAUAGAUCCAAAUGGGGACGGACCGUAUAAUACACCCAAAUGAACAACAAUCUAUUAGUUUUUAGGCUCCACUGCUAAAAACUAAAGCAAAAUAGGCAUUAGGAUUAAACUUGUAUUAUCUAUCUUUCCUUACUAGUCAAAUGAACCAUACAAUACACCCAAAUGGAUGCCAUCAUGCCAUAUAUAAACAAUGUUUUGAAAUGACAAGGUAGCUAACGCCGUCAUUUUAUAUUUGUAAGCAACAACCCUAAAUCUUAUUGGAGCUAAUUAACUAAUGUAUUUAUUAGACAGUUGCAUUCCUUAGCAAGUGGUUAACUAUUUUUGUUUAGUUUAGUAGUCAGGUCGUAAUUAAUUAGUCAAAUGAACCAUAUAAUACACCCAAAUGGAUACCAUAUAUGCAUAUAUAAACAAUGUUUUCAAAGGAUGAAAUGACUUUCUUGCCGGUAUGGGGGAAGAGGAAAGAAACUAGUGUUGUGUUUGACUCAUAUAUUUGUGUGUAAUUAUGAGUCAUGUGUUGACAACAAUUGAAGACCAUGUGAAUGCUACAAGGAAAUGGCAGCAACCUUGACUUUGUGUGCAUGCUUUCGGAGUAGUGGCCAAAUGUGGCCAAAUCUACCUUCGGCUAAUAGUGGAAGAUAGUGGAAGACAAUGAUGAUGUUUGCUUGAGAUUCUUUUCUUUGGCCUUUUUCUGUUUCCCAUUUGAAUGCCACGUGAGUGGCUAUGGGGUUUGAUUAAAAGGCAAAGCAGGGAGCAUGAUACAUCAUGAUUGUGUUUGUGAAAAAAGGGAAAGUUGAUUCCUUUUUGCUUUUGCUAUUUAUUUGCUAAGAACCGAAGAGAGCUAGAGUAAAGUGAGAAGCAUACAAGGGGAAGAGCAUUCGGCUCUCCCAUGGGAAAGGUUGAAUAUGAGUUGAGAGAAAAUCAAGAGAGCUAGAGUGAAAAGUAUUCUAGUGAAAGAACUCUUGGGGUAGAGUGAGGUUCUUGGGAAAAUUCUAUGAGUGGAUGUACAAGGGAUUUGGGAUUGGGUUAUGUCGAUUUAACUCAUGUGUACUUGUACUGUUAUUCUCAUAGUGAAGAGCAAUAUCUCUCCGGGGAUGUAGGCAGGUUUUUGCCGAACCUCGUAAAUUUCUCGGUGUCUUUAUUUUUUGUAUUUUAUUCUGUUCAACUGAGUGUGAUUAUGGUGAGGUUGUAAUUUGAAUAUCGAUUCCGCACUAACGAACGGGCCAAGGCACAACAACUAGCACAAAAUUGCAGACCCUAUCGAUCCAUUAUAAUAAAUUUCAAUGGUCCAAGUUGUAAGUUAAUUGUGCAAGAUAAAAACUUAUUUACAAUUAUCAACUUAACCACGUACCUAUGGAAGACAUCGUCUUGGAAAACUAGGAUUAAGAACUGAAGUUCUCCUGCAACUCUACACAACUGAAAGCAAGGCUUGCUCAAUGGGGCUUGAGUUUUCUAUAAACUUGCGUAUUUAGUGGAGAGAGCAGGGACCUCAUUUUUAUACAUGGAAUUCAAUAAGGAUCCCUCCCAUUAAGUGAUCCUUAUCAAAGAGUAGCAUUAUCACCGUAAAACACUUAUGCAUUAUAUCAGUUAAAAGAGUUUUAGUUUUAUUGGGAAUGUAUCUGAGUUGAAACUGUAAAGAUAUACAACUCCUGAUAAGUCUACCACAAGUGUCAAUCCUUAUCUCCUUAUCAUUCCACAUGUCUUUAAUCAAAUCACCAAGUGUUUGCUCUCAUAUAGAACUUACACAAGUCUCAUGUAAUUUCAUCUAACUUAUUUUCUACAACAGUAAAUAUAUUUUAAUGGCUCCGGUUUUCACAUGCCAGUCAGUCACACGCUCAACUCCUCAACGUUCGGGCUUAGUGGCUCGAAGAGAGCUUCCACUUCACUCUGAUUCACAUCCCUCUUACUUUGACGGGUUCCACUUCGGAUUCUGCAUUGACAAAAAACAGAAGCAAAAGAUAACGAUCUGUUCUGAUACAAGGAAAGUAAGAUGAUUGUAUAACUGUAGGUCUAGUAGAGGCUGUAAUGGUUUAUGUUGCAGCAACUCCGUCAGCAAGUGAUUUUAUAGUAAGGAAUCUUGAGCAUGAUUAACGAACCUGAUCCUUGUCCACCAAAACUGCCUGCACACCUUCAGCAAAAUCAUUCCGCAAAGACGAUCUUAUAGCACCGCGAUAUUCAGUUUUCAUCACACCAGUUAGCUGGUAUGGAUCAAGUAAAGCACAUGUUACUCGCUCAGAAAAAGUGAAAUACUACAACACAAAAUCUAUCAAAAGGAUGCAACCAUGCGAUGAAUGAAACGAAAAGGUAGAAAGUAAGACUCACUGGAUAAUUGAUUGUCAUUUUUCGCAAGCGCAGAUGCAACUUUGGAGAAGUAAUUUUGCGUCAAAUAAAGUGAAAGGGGAGCACCAUUUCCAAGACCUUGAAGAGGUUCUUUAGCCCACUCCACCGCUGCAACAGAAACAAUUUGAUAGAAAAUACUUGACAGCCACGUACAAGCCUCUCAAUAGAAGAGUAAGACAGAUUUCAUUUCAUCAUAGAUAAAUAAAUGGCAUUGACAAACUUACCAGUAGCAUCUGAACUCUGCUGCUGCUUUUUAAGUUCAUCAAUUGUCACAAGAACCGACUUAUUUGCACCAAAUGCUGAAGUUAUUUGAGGUAAAAGACUCCUGAGCUGCGCUUCGAAUCUGGGUUGCUGCUGAAUUUCGCCACAGUUGUAAUUGACAACAUUGACAAUUGCCUCUCUGACAAGGCAAUAGUACCUUCGUAAUGAUCCCGGUACCAACUGUGGCCCGAUAGGCCAAUACCGAAGGCCAUUGUUAUGCCCAUGAAGCUUAUACGUGGCCGUCAAGCCCGACAAGUGAAUAGCAUACUCUAGUGCUGUAGUACAUUGUGAGGAUUUUAUCCAAAAUUAAUUGACAAUGAGUGAAUAAGCUGAAAGAUUAUGUACUGACUUUAAUUAUGCAAAGACUGGAGACAAUUUUCACCAACCUCCAAUCAAGAAUUUGGACCUCACAAAUCACUACCCAAUAUGCUUUUCUCUCGUGCCCUUCAUUCAUGGAUCGAUAUUCUGGUGUCCUAGGACCCUGACAUGACAAGUUCCAACUUUUGUUCAAUUUCUCGACGGAACAAUCACAUUUACCCUUACGGAACGGCACGGCUCCGGGCAUAGAAUAUGGGUUGGGUUCCGUUACAGCUCCAUCACUAAUUAGCACUGUAGAGAAGGAAAUAAAAAGACAAGUUUGGAUUUCUUACAACGUUUGCGAUGAUGUGUUUUCUACGGGGAGAACAUACAGGAGUCAGCAGUUAUCUUUUCGCAACCGUCUUUGAUUAUGAAGGAAAGGAAAGAAAAGAAAAAAAACGAAUGUAGAAAGAAAACAUACAAGUUGGUUGACAAAAGGGGAAGAAAAAUUGAGAGAUACAGAGAAUAAGAAAGAAGAAAAUCGAUGCAAAUUUUAAUAUAAAUGUAGUAGAUCCAGGUAUCCAAAGGAUUCGGGGCUAAUGUACCUGCAUUGAUAAAAAACAAAUAUCAGAUUUUUGGAAACGCAUCACAUAGUAGUUAAAACACCCGGCCGUGAAUGAAAGGUCUGAGUUACCGCCAUUUUGGCUAAUACUAUUCUGUAUAUUUACGAAUGGUUUUAAGUUUGGGUUUAAUUGGAUAAUCGGAGAGUAGUGCAUCAAACUAUGGAUAUUCAGAAACCGAAAGCAUAAUUCAUAUUCCUCUAACAAGUCCACGCAAAUGACCACAAUCAGAAUGUUAGUUCAUAGCUGGCCAUAUAGAACGCAAUACAAAAGCACUAAAAGCAUCCAAGUGAAAGUGCUUUCUCCUCAUGUAGUUUCAUUUAACUUAGUUUCACAUGCCAGUCCGUCACACACUCAACUCCUCAACGUUCGGGCUCAAAGCAUUCUUUAUCCUUUCUGUACGAGAGACAAUAAAUUUAUAGUUCUUGUGAUGAAAUCAUGCAAAACAUUCAGAAAUCUUGAUUUAACCCUUUCUCAAGAUCAUAGGUUGUGUCAUCUCAACUUAUAUCUUAGGUCUUAUGAGUGCUCGUAAUACACUAAUAUGACACUUGUUUUCUGGCCAGGACAGAAACAAAAUCAUGCAGGAAAUUGUCACGACAACUUAAGUGUAAAAUGCGACCGGAAAAGCACUAAACAGGAUAGUUAUGCUCUCACAGUGUAAACCUUAACAACAAAGACUAUACCGUAUCUGUCACAGUGAUAUGCGACCAUAAGCCCAACUCCAAGGAUCAGCUUCCAAGAGCUUUGAAGGCUACAGAUCAAAAGUUACAUGCAGUGAUGACAUAAUCAUGAAAAAAUACAAUCAUAAAUUAAAGGAAAACAUACUGACUUCUAGUUCUGGCAAUUCACUAUUGGGCCAUAUAUUUGAACCACAGUAUGAUGGAUACCUACAAUACAGAUCACAAAUAAAAUCUGAGCAGACACAAAGUAUUAUGUUCUGUUUACGCAAAAUCUGUAAGUUCUCAAAUAGGAUAAAUAAAGAUAAACAUAUCCCAGCAUAAAGACGAUUUGUCCUGGUUAAUUCUAAGAAACCUUGUAUCAAAUGUAUGAUAGUUAUUCAUAACUAACACAAACAACUGUUUGGCCAAACAUUACUGGUAUGAGCCAUAUACUGUGUGACCUGAGACAAAACAGAUCCCACAUGUACUCGGAUUAUGAUUGAUGUCCCUAUUGACUUUUACCUUUGAAUUAGAGAUUCAUCUGUUGUAGGGCUAUCCAAUAUUGGAUUUGCAUAAAACGAGCCUUUUAACGUAUCUGCAAAACCAGAACACAAACGGAAAAUGAAUGAUCCUAAGUUCUUAGAGUUUCCAAAGAGACAAAAUUUAAAACAAAGAACAUAAAGUGAUACCCGGCUUUCCAAAUUCCAGCUUCUCUUUUCCAUGACUCCAUCCAAAAUUGUACCUAAACAUGGAUGGCAGGUAAAAAGAAGAUAAGCAAUAAAACUUUGUAAAGAUUCCCAAGAAAAGCAAUAAAACUACGUAAAUAUUAGUUAAUAAUGUCAAGACCAUAGUCUGUGACAAAUCCAAGAGUUGAGAUGAGACUAUCUUUCUGGCAGGAAUUUUUGGAAAUUUUCUCUAUUGUAAGGAGAUAGAUUGAUGUUUGUGUUUACACGAAAAUUAUGCCAACGGCUUAAGAGAAAUCAAAGUAUAACAAUGGGACUAAAAUGACUUACCUACUAUGAGGAUCUUCCAGUUCCUUCUUCACCUCUUCAGGCAGAUUGGCUAAUCUAAUAAACGAAAAGAAAACUCCCAUGAGCAGUGCUAUAACAAACUAUCUUCCUAAAUUCAUUAUGAGUUGCAGUUAAAACUUAAAAUGAACAUGAAAAUCCUAUGUAGAAGGGAUAUACCUAGGUUAAAAGCGUAGAAGAUUCCUGCGCAAGGAAGAAUAUCCCGGAACCUGCAAUUGGAAACUCAAUGAAACAAUUACAAAGAUGCUAGAAAGAAAAUACUUAUCAGUUUACAACAGAAUGCUAGCUCUCACAAGAAUCGAUUAGGUAUGAAGCAUCAAAACAAUAACAUGAGACAUCAUAAUUUAUGAGCUAUGAAUGGAAUAAUGGAGCAAAAUAUCGUAGCCCAAACAGCACAAUCUACGAUCUACAUGACGGAGAAAGUACCCCGGCAUUACAUAUGCAAGUUCAUGGGUUCACAUGUAAGCAUGUGGUUUAUCUUUUUAACCGAUUCGUUAACAAAUUCUUUCUGCACGUAUAGUUUCAACCCGAAACCUAAAAUUCCAUAGUCAAACAAAUAUGCAUAAUAGCAGAAUUAAGUAAAAAAACAACAUAUCACCAUACUGAUACUGAUGUGAUUCAGAAUUAAGCAUUUUAACUUACCAAAACUGGUAAUGGAAGAGAUAAUCAGUAAUUAACUAGGGUAAUCGCAUAACAAAAUCAUACUUGAGUGAUUGAUAGGAUUCCCAACCCAUUGGGUCCAAAUCCUUCUUCAAUCUUCACUGACAAGUCUUUGUCCUUGUCUUGUAUCAAUCAAUCCAAAAUAAAAAAACGAUAAUUAGAAAAAUCGAAUUCUCGACAUGAUUGACUGAGUUAAAACAUAGCAAUUAAACAAAACUAUGAAUAAAACAAUUAGAUUCUGUUUGGUUGCUGAGAAAAUGAAGAGAAUAACAACCAAAAAGUCAACUGAAAUAGAAUUUUGCUCUAAUUUCAACGAAUUCUCUUGAGUUUCUGAGCACCCAAACAGAAAAAAAAUUAAAGCCAAUCAAACCAAACUCUCAUGCUCAAUUUUCUCGCAACCACAAACAGAACUUAGAGGGAGAGACAGAGUUACUUGGAGCUCGGAGUAGGAUAUGGUGACUGGUGUGACGGUGGGGACGGCGAGGUCGGAGGACGGAGGCAUAGUUCGACAAGAAAUUUGGCGGGAAAGACGGCGGUUGGACUGUGACGGUGGGGAAGAAUCCGUGGGAACGAAGAGGAAUUUUGGUGCGGAAGGACGGCUUUUAUAUAGAAGGGAGGGAGAGAGGUUGAGAGCGAAAGGCGUGAUUGUCAAUUUCAAAUAUUUUUGAAGGAAUAAAGAAAGAAGGGAGGUUGAGCAUCAAUUCCCUUUCCCUCCGAACCAAAGAAUACACGCAACUUUAACGAAAAGUUUUCGGUACGGUUCAUUUUUACACUAAAAUGUCAAUCUUGAUACUAUUCACUUUACUCUUUAUUUUGUUCUUAUCGUUAAAACUCAAAGUUUUCAAGCCAUUUUCAUUAGUUUCCUUAAGAAUAUAUGCACGAUCACGAUGUGUGGCAAAACUUGAAGGUGGAGACGAAUAUAUUAAAUACAUAUAACUAUUACUGUAUUAGUUCAAUUUAAAAUUAAUUACAUACUUUAAGGAUUUGUUUGAAAGUAUUUUUCAAAUAAUUAAAAGUGUUUUUGAUUAACAUGUUUUUUAAAUCAAUCUUUAGUAUAACUAAGUGGAUCUUAAAAAAGAACUUGAGGUGCUUUCUACAAAAAAAUACAUGUCUGGAGCACUUGAAGUGUUUUUGGAACCCAAAAUCAAUUUAAUAAAAGUGGGUUUAAUCUUUUUUUUUUUUUUUUUUGAACAAACGAUAUCAUCUAUCUUUAAGGUGAGAAAAUAGGCUUAACCUCACAAUGGCCUAGCACAUAAAUAAUGUGAUUCAAAUUCGCUUUUGGUGAGAAUCGAAUCUAAGACUUCUCACUUACAAAUAAGGAGGAAUACCCUAAAUCAUAGUACUAAGUAAUGUGUUUAGUUAUUUUUAAAAGACUUCAAAACAAGCCCUAAUUUGUAUCAAAUUCAAAAAAUUUGAAUUGGGCGGAUGUAAUAUGUAUUGGGUAUUUCCUCAUUCAAUAAUAUUUACGUUGUUUUCGGCAAAAAAGAAAGAAUUCAAUUGGAAAAAAAUAAAAAAAUGGGAAAUAAGGAUAUUCUAGUUAAGGUUUUUAUUAAUUGUUUUAGGUGGAUGGUUCAUAUGAAGAUUAUGAAAACGCUUUAAUUCUCUAAUGUGAGGUUCCGUCUCGAUCCAAAGUUAAUCAGUGAAAAAUAUAAUUAAGAUUGUUAUUAAUUAUCAAUUCAUGUAUAUUUCCCCAUGUAUUACGUUACUAAGUUAGACAAUGAAAAAUACAUAUAAGGCGUUAUGAGAAUAUGCGUGGCUGUCAAGUCUGACACGCAAAUAGCAUGCUCAACUUGAAUUACUCUCUAAGGAUUUUAUCCAAAAUCGACGAUGAGUGAACAAGUUGAAAGAUUAUGCACGACUUUCAUUAUGUAACAAGUGAAGAGGCAAUUUUCGCCAACCCUGACACGACAAGUUCCACUUUUUGUACAUUUUCUUGACGAAACAAUCACAUUUACCCUUACGAUUCCGGGCAUAGAGUAUGUGUUGGGUUCCGUUACAGUUCCGACGCUACUUAGCACUGUAGAGAAGGAAAUAAAAAGACAACUUUGGAUUUCUUACAACGUAUUGAGUCUCUCUUCAUGGCUCUUGCUGUGUUGUUCUUAUCUCACGUCCUGUUUCUCGAGCUUGGUGUUUCCGGUUGCAAAUUUUGGUUCGCCGGUGUAGUGCUCAGGGGAGGGGACUGUCUCACAUUGUUCCAAGCAGACAGAGGCGGUUGACAACGAUUGCGAUAAUGUGUUUUUCUACUGGGAGAACAUACAGCAGUCAGCAGUUACCUUUUCACAACCGUCUUCAGUAUUUGGAGGCACCUCAAGAAAUUAUCAAGGACAAACGAAUGUAGAAAAGAAGAAAUAUCGAAGUUGAUUGACAAAGGGGGCCGAAAAGUUGAGAGAUACAGAGAAGAGGAAGAUAAGAAGAAACUCGAUGCAAAUUUUAAGCUAGAUUAGUUAUUUUUCAUUAACGAGCGAUACAGAGAAGAAGAAACAGCUGCAUUUGGAGAUAGCCGCUUUAGUUGCCUAGUUUGUAACAUUAGCUUUAUGUAAAUCCGGGGAAGAAACAGGAGUAAAAAAAACACAAUCAGGCAGUACCAAAGAAGAAAAAUGUACAGUUACGAACAAUCACCACUUCUCAAACUUUGUAGUAGAUCCAGGUAUCCGAAAGACUCGGGGCUAAUGUACCUGCAUUAACAAAAAACAAAGAUCAGAUUUGUGUAAGGGAGUCGCAUAGUAGUUAAAAUACUCGGCCAUGCGCGAAUGGUUUGAGAUACCACCAUAGAGGCAUCCUCCAGGUGUGAGUUUCUUUCGUAUCGGAUCACUUAUUGUAAGAAUAUCAGUAGUGAAAGUGAAAUACCAGCGUCGGUAUUGAAAAAUUGUGUCCUCCGUAUGAUGCUUGCAACAUGCAUCACCGAAUCAACUUGAAGCUCUCCACCUCUCCAUCUGUUAAAUGUUUCAUAAGCAGCAUUGUUAAAGUUCUCUCUGGUUGGGGCGAUAUUGCAGAUAGUUUUGAAUGAAGAAAGGCAAAAAUUCAUGCUGAAGGCAUAGUUUACAACUAGUAUUUGUAAAAGCUAAGCUCUAAAGGUCUCACCUUGAUUCUUUGGCACAAAUAGCUAAGUUUUGAGAUGGGACAAAAUGGGUCCCAAGACCCACAUACAGUGCAUCCGAUGGUGUUGAAAUCCUUUUCCCAGUAAGUCAAAGAUAAGCACCAAGAAAGACAUGACAGUGUUAAAACAAAUACAGAACUAAGAAUUGAUGCAUGAAGCAAACAGAGUAAUGGUACAGGCCAUUCUCUUUAUAUUCUUAUAAUCUAAACAGUUUCUCCUUAUCAACGUUGGAAAAACAGCUUGCUUCAGUCAUAGGAGGGAAAUUGCGCCCGAGUAUAGAAAAUACAUACCUACAGAUCCUCCUCCUGGACUCUUUGCCGCUAUACGUGAAAACCCAACAUCUGGGAACAAACAAAUUACAUUCUCUGGCAUUAGCAAGAACAGUCCUCUGAAAUGUAUCCAUACAAAGUUAAGACACAAAAAAUUCAAAAAGGCAAUGUAAUUCACAACAUUGACAAUCUCUGUCUGACAAGGCAAUAAUACCUCUGUAAUGAUCCAGUAGCGACCGUGACCUGAUAGGCCAACACCAAAGCCCAUUCUUAUGCCAUCCAUGAAGCUUAUAUAGGGCUUCUUGUACUCUGAGAUUUUGCAUAUUAGAGAAUACUCAGCAGUGAAUACCUGAAAAACGUGCAGCACAAGUAUCAUACCGGUAGCCUCUCAAUCUUAAGAAAUGGUAGCUUAGAAAAGAUAUGAAUCCUAUCCAACCAAUACAAAUCAUAUUACCCAAGUUCAAGCAAAAUCAAGACUAAACAAAUGAUCAGAUGUUGUAGGUUGCCCGAGAAUGUCAAACAUGAAAUUACAAAAGAAAAAAAAUAAUCGUAUGUAUUGAACAUUAAUAAAUACAUGCUGAAAGCACAAUCUUAGCCGCAAUUUAUGACAUUUAUACGAGAUCGAAUAGAAAAAGCAAUUAAAGAAGUAGCAGAACUCACAUAAGUGAUUUUCACUUUGAACUUUUAGGCUUAUCAACAAAUACAUCAUUACGAUUCUAAUGCAUGAAUUUUGUUAAAGGGGGCUUGCUUGCUUAUAUUAAGGCUUAAUCAUCAAUGAUUUUGCAAGGGUCAAUCAUCUUGCUAGUUGUAAAUCUAUUCACUAUGAAAAUGACCAAAAUACAUCUUAUAUGGUAGUGAAGGAAGUCAUCUUAUAUUAUCUGGAUUUUAGAAAACGGUGUAAGGUUAUAAGUCUGUUAUUCUAUAUAGUUAAAAGGACACAAUUAGACCUCAAUCAUAUUCGGUGGUUGGUUUUUGGCCGUGAUCUGCUUCACAUCACCGCCUGCAGGUAAACUAAAUCUGGGUUAUUACUUAUCAAUGAAUCAACGUGCCAACUUAAUGGACACCAUCUAUCUCUAUAUGGCAAAAAAACAACACAAAAAUGAACAAUGAAGUGAAACAAUAAACAACAUGAUGUGAAACAGCACGAACAUCAAAGACUAACAAUAUAUCACAUAAGCACCUAAACAAGAAACAACUUUGGUUCAAAGCAAAGCGUAAUGUAGAAACCUUCGGCAGAACAGGGGUGUUUUUGUCCUUUUGAAACAACCACUUUAAUAUCCUUUCCUGCAUUUACCAUGAUUGGUCACUCUUAAAACCUUACCUAAGAGACCCAAAAACAAAAAUAACCGCCGAAAGAGCUAAACAUACAUAUCUAGAAAAACUUAUUUAACUGAAUGCUAAAAUGGAAGUGUAAAAUUGCCAAGAAAGAUAAGAAACUAAUCAGAUACGAAUUCUGGGCGUUACCGCCACAAAAGGCACGAGCGGAGCGGCUAUCAACAAGAACACACUUCACAUUUGGGUCAGAUUCCCAUUCAUCCAGAUAGCUCUUGUAUUCCACAUCCAUAUCUGCAUUUUCCAACAAUUCCCACUUAAACAGAAUCACAAAUUUCUUAAAAAAAAAGAAGCUAGCUUCUUCGAAAUUUGAAUCCAACGUUUCGCCUUAUAAAAUGGAAGUGUAAAAACCUACUAUCACAAUCAAAUGCUUAUUUAACUGCAUGCUAAAAUGGAAGUGUAAAAUUGCCAAGAAACACACUUCACAUUUGGGUCAGAUUCCCAUUCAUCCAGAUAGCACUUAAACAGAAACACAAAAUUCUUAAAAAAAAAAGAAGCUAGCUUCUUCGAAAUUUGAAUCCAACAUUUCGUCUUAUAACAAAUGCAAGAACAUAGAUUUGUACUCAAUAAGAUGCCAUAAAGUUCAAGCUCAAAAUUUCAAAUCAGCUCCAAAUCAAAAGCAUUUACAGAUACAUACAUAUAUACAUAUACGUGUGUGUGUGUUUAUCUACAUACCUAGGUUCAUGGCGUUGAGAGCUCGGGGGGCGACCGAGGGUGAUGUCGGCGACGCCAUUUGGGUGGACGCUGCCCUUGACGAACGCCUCGGCGGAGGCCAUGAUCCCGAAUGUGCGGAGAAGGCGAGGGGAUUUGGAGGGUUUGUAAAGAGAGAGCUUCAAAUUUGGAAUGAGGAAGAAGAAAGCGGACGACUAUUUGCUCAGAAUUUGGGUCGCUCGUCAAUAAGCUUCCCAUUACUUCCGUUUGAGAGUAACUGUCAGUGUCGAGAGAGACAGAUAUUUUUGGUGCUUCUGGACCGGACUACCCUUGAUGUUUCGGUCAAAUUACCGGGAAAAGGAACCGCCGCAGUGGCUAUGGAGGGAAAGUUGGAAUUUGAAAGCAGUAAGUAUGGACUUGCCUUCAUUUAUUGAACUGAGAAAUCGAAAACUGAAAGAGGCGUUUGACGAACUGAGAAAUCGAAAACAUGUGAUGAUGACUAUGCAUCACCACCUUGGUUGUGCCUCUGGAUCAAAAACCAACCAUCACGAUCAAAAUCGUGGAUAUUUUCCUUCAUAGGUUUGUCCCAUACUAGAUUAACCCCUGUUCCUUGAAUUGUCGCAUAAUAAUUUUUAUAGUCCAUCUCUGGCAUUUCAAAAGUUAUAUCAACUUUAUCCCCGCUUUGCAAAUUGAGCUUAUCAUUCGAUAUUUGUCCCUGCCAAAGAAAACAUUCUUUAUAUACAACAUCGCGCAUUUUUAUAACCCAAUCUUCCUUGCCAAUGCAGGUCCGCAACUCAUUACGCUUGGUAUUAUUUAUAUCAAUACUGGCAUGAGGAUGAGCAACUUUACAUCUGAUAUGAGAGCUUGACUGAUGAAGAUCUGAGGAGUAAAAGCAUAACAGAGUCAGCCCUUCAAAAUUACGACCAUCACUCGGGGGGAUAUCAAAACUGACUUUAUCACCAUUGUUGACAAACUCGAACCAAUCAGGAACAUAAUUCCCAUUGAGAAAAAUGCCACCAUAUCCACAAGAAGUCCAUCCCUAUACAUACAGUGCAAAUGUCAUAUAUAUACAUGUGCGUUGUGUGUGUGCAUGUGCGCAAUAGGAAGGCAAUUAAAGAGAGAUACCUUUAGGACGUUCCUCCUAAAAUCAGCUGUGAGUUUGGGGCAAUCCCUCAUGUCAAUCCAUGUCAAGGAGUAUAAUGACUUAUCCAAGUCUGGAACCUCAGUGAGUGCGUAUGAAUUACAUACAAUCAGUUCUCUCAUAUUCGACAUUUUCGAAAAAUUGGGCAUUGUUACCAAAUGAAGGCAAUUAGGCGCACCCAGAAAUUUUAAAUUCGUUGGCAAAUCAUAAAUUGUACGAAGCUCCAAGCAAUCAUGUAACCAGAGACUUUCAAGCUUUGAAAGAUCACUUAGGCUGGGUAGGGUAUGAAGGUGAUGGAAGUUCCUUAACCGCAAACUUUCAAGCUUUGAAAGACCACUGAGGCUGGGUAGGGUAUGAAGGUGAUGGCAGUUACUUAACUGCAAACUUUCAAGCUUUGAAAGACCACUGAGGCUGGGUAGGGUAUGAAGGUGAUGGCAGUCACUUAACUGCAAACAUUCAAGCUUUGAAAGACCACUGAGGCUGGGUAGGGUAUGAAGGUGAUAGCAGUUACUUAACUGCAAACUUUCAAGCUUUGAAAGACCACUAAGGCUGGGUAGGGUAGGAAGGUGAUGGCAGUUACUUAACUGCAAACUUUUAAGCUUUGAAAGAUCACUGAGGCUGGGUAGGGUACGAAGGUGAUAGCAGUUACUUAACUGCAAACUUUUAAGCUUUGAAAGACCACUGAGGCUGGAUAGGGUAUGAAGGUGAUGGCAGUCACUUAACUGCAAACUUUCAAGCUUUGAAAGACCACUGAGGCUGGGUAGGGUACGAAGGUGAUAGCAUUUACUUAAUUGCAAACUUUCAAGCUUUGAAAUACCACUGAGGCUAGGUAGGGUACGAAGGUGAUGGCAGUCACUUAACUGCAAACUUUCAAGCUUUGAAAGAUCACUGAGGCUGGGUAGGGUACGAAGGUGAUGGCAGUCACUUAACUGCAAACUUUCAAGCUUUGAAAGACCACUGAGGCUGGGUAGGAUAUGAAGGUGAUAACAUUUACUUAACUGCAAACUUUCAAGCUUUGAAAGACCACUGAGGCUGGGUAGGGUUUCAAGGUGAUGGCAGUCACUUAACUGCAAACUUUCAAGCUUUGAAAGACCACUGAGGCUGGGUAGGGUAUGAAGGAGAUAGCAUUUACUUAACUGCAAACUUUCAAGCUUUGAAAGACCACUGAGGCUGGGUAGGGUAUGAAGGUGAUGGCAGUCACUUAACUGCAAAUUUUCAAGCUUUGAAAGACCACUGAGGCUGGGUAGGGUAUGAAGGUGAUAGCAUUGACUUAACUGCAAACUUUCAAGCUUUGAAAGACCACUGAGGCUGGGUAGGGUAUCAAGGUGAUGGCAGUCACUUAACUGCAAACUUUCAAGCUUUGAAAGACCACUGAGGCUGGGUAGGGUAUGAAGGAGAUAGCAUUUACUUAACUGCAAACUUUCAAGCUUUGAAAGACCACUGAGGCUAGGUAGGGUAUGAAGGUGAUGGCAGUCACUUAACUGCAAACUUUCAAGCUUUGAAAGACCAUUGAGGCUGGCUAGGGUAUGAAGGUGAUAGCAUUUACUUAACUGCAAACUUUUGAGCUUUGAAAGACCACUGAGGCUGGGUAGGGUAUGAAGGUGAUGGCAGUCACUUAACUGCAAACUUUCAAGCUUUGAAAGACCACUGAGGCUGGGUAGGGUAUGAAGGUGAUGGCAGUCACUUAACUGCAAACUUUCAAGCUUUGAAAGACCACUGAGGCUGGGUAGGGUAUGAAGGUGAUAACAUUGACUUAACUGCAAACUUUCAAGCUUUGAAAGACCACUGAGGCUGGGUAGGGUAUGAAGGUGAUGGCAGUCACUUAACUGCAAACUUUCAAGCUUUGAAAGACCACUGAGGCUGGGUAGUGUAUGAAGGUGAUAGCAUUUACUUAACUGCAAACUUUCGAGCUUUGAAAGACCACUGAGGCUGGGUAGGGUAUGAAGGUGAUGGCAGUCACUUAACUGCAAACUUUCAAGCUUUGAAAGACCAUUGAGGCUGGGUAGGGUAUGAAGGUGAUAGCAUUUACUUAACUGCAAACUUUCGAGCUUUGAAAGACCACUAAGGCUGGGUAGGGUAUGAAGGUGAUGGCAGUUACUUAACUGCAAACUUUCAAGCUUUGAAAGACCACUGAGGCUGGGUAGGGUAUGAAGGUGAUGGCAGUCACUUAACCGCAAACUUUCAAGCUUUGAAAGACCACUAAGGCUGGGUAGGGUAUCAAAAUCAUUGUUUGAGAGAUCUAAAUUUCUUAAAGAGUCUAAGCCGUGUAACGAAUCAGGAAAUCGCAAGGGAAACUCUGAUCCCACACCUGCUAGAGAUAAAUGAGUGAGAUUCAUCAACCUUACUGUGGAACGUGGUACUUGUCUUAUGGCUGUGAAAGAUGCUUUAAGUACUCUCAAUGAUAGCAUCUUCCCUAUAUCCUCGGGCAGUUCACUGAAUUGGCAACAUUCAUCAAGAACAAGAGUCUGAACGGAUUUUGACUUGUAGAAAUCUCCAGGAAGAGAAAUAAGAUUCUUGCAGCCUGUGAGGUUCACCAAAGAAAGUUUUUUAAGAUGACCAAUGGAGGGGUGAAUCUCGGACAAACUCACACACCAUUCCAACAUCAACUCUUCAAGAUUUGGGAGAUUUGAAAAGUCUGGUGAUUUUUUUAAGUCAAGGCAACUUCUGAGAUCAAGGAAUUUCAAGUUUUCAAGCGACUGUUGCACAAAAUCAAAGGAAAAUUAAAAUUAAUAUCCAAAAGGAAUAUCUCAUUAAAAAAAGAGAAGGAAAUCCAAAAGCAAAUAGAAUCAUAACAUCAUCAUGUGUAAUCGACUGUACCUUGGAACCCUCCCAAACUUGUACAAGUUUGCCAGACGUUAUCUCUAAACUAACUAGUCUUGGUUGAUCAAAGAAGUCAUCUGGUAUGGACUUUAAAGGGCAUCCAGACCAACUCAACCAUAUUAACUCUUUGGAAAGAUGUUUGUAUUCUCCAUUGAGCUGCACUUUGCAGAGCUGGAGCAGUCUCAGUUUCUUCAUAUUGGCAAAUCCUUCUGUACUGAAACAACUAAACUUAGAAGAAUGCUUCUGUACUGAAUCUGGAGCAAGUUCAACUUCUUCAGUUUCCUGUUAACAAAAGGUUAUAUUCAUGAGUAAGAAACGGAUUAUUUGCAAAUGCUUCUGUACUGAAAGAACUAGACUUGUUAGAGCUUUGUACCCGAGGAGGAGGGCCAUAUAGAGCAAGUCCUUCAACUUCUUCAGUUCCCUGUUAAGAAAAGGUGAUAUUCAUGUGUAAGAAACGAAUUAUUUGCAUACGUUUACAUGUAUGAAUACAUGCAAGUACUAUUGUUCGCUAAUUGAGAUGAAUGUUACUUAAUGUGUAAUACACAUCCGUGAGUUAUAUGUGCUUUUCAUGUACGAUGCAUUAAAUUCAAAAUUUUAUUAGGAAUGUACUUACAGAGUUAUCUCCUAAUACUUUAGUGACCUCUUGAUGGUUCCACAACCUACUCCAUUUUCCAGGGUGACGAGGGAAUUUUUCAGAAAUGAUUAAUUUGGCCAUUUCUCGAAGCAAAUCAUGCAUAUUCAACCUGUUAUGUUCAACAGUUACAAGGCAUCGUUCACGAAGGUCACUGAUUCCUACUGUUGCAAAAAACUCACAUCCAUCUAAUAUUUUUGCGACACGGUCCUUAUCCCAUCCAAUAAAGAAACAAGAUAUGUCAAGGAAUAUAUCCUUCUGUGUAGGAUCUAGCCUUUCAAAGCUUACUCUUAGCGGUUUCAUUAUUCCUUCCUCGGGAAAUUUUUUCAAUUUCUCCAACUGAUUUUUCCACUCCGUUGGGGUUCUUUCAAUCAUAGAACCACCUAAAACUUCAAGGGCUAGUGGCAAACCACCACAGUAAGAAACAACCUCCUUUGAGAGUUCAAGAUAUCCUUCAUUAGGCCAACUAUUUCCAAAGGCAUGCCAACUAAAGAGCUUCAGAGCUUCUUCGUCAUUCAUUUCCUUAAGUGGAUAUGUCUUGUCCACUUUCAUGUUCACUUGCUUUAGUAAACGUUCAUCUUGUGUCGUUAUGAUAAUUCUACUUCCUGGGCCAAACCAAUCACGAUUUCCAGCUAUUGCAUUUAGUUGUUCCACUCUGUCUACAUUGUCAAUAAUGACAAGUACACUUCUACGAUGGAGAUGAUUUUUUAUCGGACUGAUACCUUCAUCAACACUGGUUAUCUCAGGCUUGGUCUGUUUCAAGAUGUCAGAAACAAGUUUUUUUUACGAAACAACCAGAUCUUUUUCACUAACGUUGUCAAGGAAACUUUUGAAUUGGAACUCAUGAUGAAUUUUGUUAUAAAUGGCUUUGGCAGCUGUUGUUUUACCCAAUCCACCCAUCCCCCAAAUUCCAACCAUGCAAACAACAUCUGAUCCAGCAUUUGAAAGAUAAGUGAUGAUAUCUUGAAUGCGAGUAUAUAUUCCAACUGGGUGCUUGGCCAUUUGUAAUUCUUCUGCGAUCGGAAGCCAUUUCGGGAUAAUCUUGUCAACAAUUUCUCUAAUAAGCUUUGCUUCGCGCCUGAAAAUUAAAUUUGUGAGCAUUAGUGGGACUCGAUGAACACUAGGAGCUAUCAGUAUAUAGACAAUUUUCUUUCCCCCAUGGCCCCAUAUAUAUUCUAACUAGCUACUAGCUAGUAUAUGAUUUUUUGACCAACCUGAUAAAAGAAAGAACUUAAUUAAACUCCAAUUACGGUUUAGGAUUUAUAUGAGAGGUUAAGAUGUAUUAAUUUAAUUAAGCAUGUUAGCCAAUGUUUAAUUAGCUUCUGUAAAAUGUUAAUUAAGCAUGUUAAUUAUAUGAGAGAUUAAGUCAUUCACUAAAAUGUUUCAAAUCUUGAAAAGCAGGUGAAUGAUUACCCUUUGUCAGUGAUUUGAAGAUGUUGGCCAGACAAAUUUGCAGCUUCUGUAAGAGCCUUUCUCCACUGCUUUACCCUUUCUUGUCUAGUUUCACGUUCCUUGUCAUCUUUUUCUUCACGGAUGCCCUCUUCGUGCUUCUGAAAUGCUUGAGCUAAAUCUUCAUUCUGCUUCCUAACAUGUGAAGGAUCAACAUGAUAGAAUAUUGGUAAAACAUGUCGCCCCGGUUUGUAUCUGCACUCCAUGAUCUUCACCAGCUCAUCAAGACACCAACUCGAGUCCGCAUAACUCUUUGAGAAGACAAUGAUAGAGAUCCUCGCCUCUUUGAUUGCCCGGAACAGUUCCUCUUUUAUUUCUUCCCCUCUUUCUAGAUCAUCCUCAUCGAUAUAAGCCUGGUAUCCCCUGUCUGUUAAUGCCGCGUGGAGGUGGCCCGUGAAACCAUUGCGUGUGUCUACACCGCUGAAGCUCAAGAACACGUCGUAAUUCCAAAGUUUUGACUUGGAGGAGGAUGAAGAGGAGGCUUCGUGGGUUAUCAUGGCGAUAUCCACCGUUAUGGCACUGCAGUGGUUCAGAUCACGACUGCAAAAAUGGCAGUAGUUGUGUUCGUGCUGUCGAACAGAUGAUCCUGAAUUACCUAAACCCAAGUCAAGCUCCUUCAGUCAUCAAGAACAAAGUUUAAAAUAUAAUAAUGUUGGCAUAUGGACUUGAGAAACGACAUAAUGUUGCCGGAAGGUGCAGAGAAAGAGAGAGGAAAAGAGGAACGAAAGGACAAAGACUAUCCAAAAGAUUCUUGGCUGUGAUUACAGCUAUUCAUAUGAGAAACAACAGACAUAUUUUCAUAGGAGAAACAACCUGCCCAUCUUCAUAUAUAAUACAUUUCAAUGGACAUUUUAAUAGGAGAAACAACUUUAGUUUGUACUAGAAAUUUUUACCCGCGCGUUGCUGCGGUAUUUGAAAUUGUAUGAAAGAUUAUCUUUGAAAUAUAUAAUAGAUUGAGUGAUUGAAGAUUAAUACUAUUUACAUUGAAAAUGUUGGAAAAGUUUUACAUACAAAAGAUUUUACGAUACAAUCCACAUACAAAAGAUGGGAAAUUUUUUUCUAUCUAUAUGCAUUAUGUUAUGGAAUGAUAUAUAUAUAUAUAUAUAUAUAUAUAUAUAUAUAUAUAUAUAUAUAUAUAUAACUAAGUGCCAGAAUACGUAACUUCAUAACUUGGAAAUCUUUAGACAAAUUAAUCAGAUUCAACUGUGGGAUAGCAGCGUCGCCUAUAACGUUGUGAAGUCGUGGAAACAUAAAGGACAAAUAACAAAUGAGUUUUGAGAAAUUAUUCCACAAAUGUCAUUCUGCAAAAUGUAUUAAGAUUAGCAAUCAUGAGUAGUGUAACAACAUCAACAAAAUAACUAUAAACCAUAGUGGAACAUAAUUCAAAUUUCGGUUGCAAAAACAAAAGAAAAAGAAAACAGACUUACAAUAAUUCAGUCUCCAAUCCUGAAGUCCUACUCAAAGAGCAAAACUUGAAUGCAAGCUUUAAUCUUCCAAACAAUACAGAUAACAAGGUAACACUCUAGUAAAAAAUGAACCGAGGUGCGAGCUUUCUAAGAAACCCAGAUGACAAAAUCAACAAAAUAGAAUGGAAAAAUGACUUACAUUUUUAAGGCAUGCCCGAAUCUUGAUCUAAAAUUGGUGGUGGGUCGAUUGUUGGUCACCAACUCUAAAUGAAGAAUUCAUCAGAACCUAGAAAUUUAAACAAAGAAUUUUCCAAAAUCAACAACAACAACAACAACAACAAAGCCUUUUCCCACUAAGUGGGGUCGGCUAUAUGAAUCCUAGAACGCCAUUGCGCUCAUUUGUGUCAUGUCCUCCGUUAGAUCCAAGUACUCAAGUCUUUUCUUAGGGUCUCUUCCAAAGUUUUCCUAGGUCUUCCUCUACUCCUUCGGCCCCGAACCUCUGUCCCGUAGUCACAUUUUCGAACCGGAGCGUCAGUAGGCCUUCUUUGCACAUGUCCAAACCACCGGGACCGAUUUUCUCUCAUAUUUCCUUCAAUUUUGGCUACUCCUACUUUACCUCGGAUAUCCUAAUUCUCAAUCUUAUCCUUUCUCGUGUGCCCAUACAUCCCACGAAGCAUCCUCAUCUCCGCUACACCCAUUUUGUGUACGUUGAUGCUUCACCGCCCAACAUUCUGUGCCAUACAACAUCGCUGGCCUUAUUGCCGUCCUAUAAAAUUUUCCCUUGAGCUUCAGUGGCCUACGACGGUCACACAACACGCCGGAUGCACUCUUACACUUCAUCCAUCCAGCUUGUAUUCUAUGGUUGAGAUCUCCAUCUAAUUCUCCGUUCUCUUGCAAGAUAGAUCCUAGGUAGCGAAAACGGUCAUUUUUUUGUGAUCUUCGCUAGAUUGCUCCGGUCAUUAGUGUGGAUAAGUAUAUAAAAUGGAUAGAGAUAGGAAAGCAAACACAAGAUGUACGUGGUUCACCCAGAUUGGCUACGUCCACGGAAUAGAGGAGUUCUCAUUAAUUGUGAAGGGUUUACACAAGUACAUAGGUUCAAGCUCUCCUUUAGUGAGUACAAGUGAAUGAUUUAGUACAAAUGACAUUAGGAAAAAUUGUGGGAGAAUGAUCUCGUAGCCACGAAACUUCUAAGUACCGGAGUGUGGUAUCGUCUUGACUUGCCUUAUCUGUCUCAUAGGUAGAUGUGGCAUCUUCUCUGGAAGUACUCUUCCUCCAUCCAGGGGUGGUAUCUGUAACUGGUGGAGAUGCACAAGGUAAUGUAUCAAUUUCACUUGAAGCUUACUUGUAGUUUCAUGCUUGGUCAAGCGAGAUACAAACCAUGUAGUAGGAGUCCCCCAAGUCGCCGAGCUGGGGGAUCUGCUGAAAGAGGUGACAGACAAGGUAAGCAAUCAGAGCUCCGGCUGAUUGUUCACAUUCUCCCUAUCUUGCAGGCAGCAUGAAGGAUAAAGAGAAGAAAAAUGAGGAGAGAUGAUAUGGGAUACUUUUGCUUUUGAAGAAGUAACUUUCCACAGGCUUAUUCUUGAACUGGGCUGGAGGGUUUUCUGGUUUCCUCCAGAGUAUAAGGCCGACUGAAGAAUUUGAGGGUCAAAACAAGUCCAUCAAAUCUAGAGUACGUUCGACCCUGCUGAUAUGGGAUACUUUUGCUUUUGACAGAGUAGUGGAUGUAUCGGCACGUGUGCUGUUACGCUUGUCUCCACAUGCUUCCUUGUAUCCUUCUCACUUGCCCUAUCUGUUCCUCAGGCAGAUGCGGUAUCUUCCCUGGAAGCAUAAGAUGUUGAAGAUGAGUACUCGAGAGCAAUGCCAGGUAAGUAAUCAGGUAAGGGGUUCCAGGCAGUCAGUUCCUGGCUGGAAGCUUGAUUCCAAGUGCUGACUGAUUGCUCUCUUUCUCCUUGUCUUGCAGGUAAGAACAAGGCCAAAGGAAAAGACAGGGAAAAAGCAUGAUAUGGGAUACUCUUGCUUUUAACCCUGAUGAUAUGAGAUAUUCUUGCUCUAGUAUAGCUUGUUUACAGAGGUAUUAUCGGGGGGAAAAAAAGCUAAAUAUUUCGAAAGGCUUUGUUGGGAGUGCCCUCUCAGAUAAGAGAAAGGGUUGAGCAUUUUUGCAGGUCUGCCUGUCCGUUAGGGAUGGAAGGUCGACAUAUAUAGGAGUCUCCCUAACAUCAAGUAAUAAUGCUAUUCCUUUACCCUGCUUGGUUAUAGCACGGUAGUGGGAGCUGCCAGCUUCACAUGUUUUAACUCUGUCAGAGCACUUUGAAAAAGUGGUCUGUGGUAUCUGGAAAGCUGAUGUUGCGUGUGAAGAUUACAGACAAGCUGUCGGGGGUCUGGCUCUCGAGAUUCGGAGAACGAUGCCUCUUCGAUUUUUGAGAAAGCAAUCCUGCUGGGGGUCUGGCUCUCGAGAUUCGGAGAGCGGUGUCUCUUCGAUUUUUGAGAAAGUAAUCAUGUUGGGAGUCUGGCUCUCGAGAUUCGGAGGGCGGUGCCUCUUCGAUUUUGGAGCAAGCAAUCUUGUUGGGAGUGUUUUCUCGAAUGUGAGUAAAGGUUGGGCAUGUUUGCUAGUCUACCUUGCCACGAAGCACAGAGGUUGACACACAGGGACUUUCCAAUUAUCCAGCAGUGGUACUGUUCCUUUACCCUCUCUUCGAUUUUUGAGAAAGUAAUCAUGUUGGGAGUCUGGCUCUCGAGAUUCGGAGGGCGGUGCCUCUUCGAUUUUGGAGCAAGCAAUCUUGUUAGGAGUGUUUUUUUCUCGAAUGUGAGUAAAGGUUGGGCAUGUUUGCUAGUCUACCUUGCCACGAAGCACAGAGGUUGACACACCGGGACUUUCCAAUUAUCCAGCAGUGGUACUGUUCCUUUACCCUUGUGGGUAAUAAUAUGGUAGCUAGACCUUCAAAAUUUAUGUGUCUAAACUUUGUUAGUGUUGUUUCUUUGCAAUUCUUUUACCCUUCUUGGUCAGAGCGAUGUAGUGGGAGCUGCAAGCUUCACGUGUCUCAACUUUGUCAGAGAACUUUGGCAAAGUUAUCUGUGGUACCCAUGAGCUACUGUUGCGUGUGGGAAGUGGGUGAUUGAACAGUACGAUUCAUGUGCUUUCUACUUCGCCAGAAAUCUUCGACAGAAUGCCCAUAAUUUCCGCAAAGCUGAGUGUGCGUGUGACAGGUGCUGACAAGGCUGGAAAAGUAGGUGCCUCUUCGAUUUCUGAAAUCGGCCCUCGUGGUCUCUGAGCAGCCCAGCUUUUGAGAAAGCAAGCCUCUUCGAUUUUCUGAGAUCGGCCUUUGUGGUCUUUGAGCAGCCCAGCUUUUUGAGAAUCUCUGAGCAGCCCAGCUUUUGAGAAAGCAAACGCCUCUUCGAUUUCUGAGCAGGCGCCUCUUCGAUUUCUGAAGCUUCGUCGAGUGCAGAUUUUUAUAGGGGCUGACAUUAAGUUCCAAAGCACACUUGAAUAUCCACCAGUAGAAGCUCCAUUCUUGCACUUCUAAGAUCUUGAUUUGUCCGACCUCUUCUCUCUUCAACACCUUUGAAAAUGUCUGGCCCCUCCGACCGUCGUUUUGACUUGAACCUUGUUGAAGAGGCAGCCCCGCCUUCUCCAGACAACAUAUGGCGCCCAUCCUUCGUCUCCCCUACUGGUCCUCUUACCGUUGGGGAUUCCGUGAUGAAGAAUGAUAUGACCGCUGCGGUAGUGGCCAGGAACCUUCUCACUCCCAAAGAUAACAGACUAUUUUCCAAACGGUCUGAUGAGUUGUCUGUUAAGGAUUCUCUGGCUCUCAGUGUUCAGUGUGCAGGUUCUGUGUCUAAUAUGGCCCAACGCCUAUUUGCUCGAACCCGCCAAGUUGAAUCAUUGGCGGCUGAAGUGAUGAGUCUCAAACAGGAGAUUAGAGGGCUCAAGCAUGAGAAUAAACAGUUGCACCGGCUCGCACAUGACUAUGCUACAAACAUGAAGAGGAAGCUUGACCAGAUGAAGGAAUCUGAUGGUCAGGUUUUACUUGAUCAUCAGAGAUUUGUGGGUUUGUUCCAAAGGCAUUUAUUGCCUUCGUCUUCUGGGGCUGUACCGCGUAAUGAAGCUCCAAAUGAUCAAUCCUCUGAUGCCUCCUCCUUCUAGGGUUUUGUCCAAUACUGAGGCUCCGAAUGAUCCCCCUCCGGUGCCUUCUCUUUCUGGGGCUCUACCGACUGCUGAGACUUCUCCUAAGCAACCUUUGUGAAGGCUCCCUCUUGUUUGUUUAUUUUGACUCAAGUAUAUGUACAUAUUUGUAACUUAUCGGGGAUAUCAAUAAAUAAGUUUUUCCUUCAUUUCAACGUAUUGUGUUAAAUACACCAAAGCCUUCUUCGCUAAGUUCUUUGAAUUUUCUUUUGUUGAAGCUUGUAUGUUGAAGCUUUGUGAGUGGAGCAUAUAGGUUGAGGUAGUGUUCCCUUAAUUUCCCGAGUGAGGAAAACUUCUCGGUUGGAGACUUGGAAAAUCCAAGUCACUGAGUGGGAUCGGCUAUAUGAAUCUUAGAACGCCAUUGUGUUCUGUCCUGUGUCAUGUCCUCCGUUAGAUCCAAGUACUCUAAGUCUUUUCUUAGGGUCUCUUCCAAAGUUUUCCUAGGUCUUCCUCUGCCCCUUCGGCCCUGAACCUCUGUCCCAUAGUCGCAUCUUCUAAUCGGAGCGUCAGUAGGCCUUCUUUGCACAUGUCCAAACCACCGUAACCGAUUUUCUCUCAUAUUUCCUUCAAUUUCGUCUACUCCUACUUUACCCCGGAUAUCCUCAUUCCUAAUCUUAUCCUUUCUCGUGUGCCCACACAUCCAACGAAGCAUCCUCAUCUCCGCUACACCCAUUUUGUGUACGUGUUGAUGCUUCACCGCCCAACAUUCUGUGCCAUACAGCAUCGCCGGCCUUAUUGCCGUCCUAUAAAAUUUUCCCUUGAGCUUCAGUGGCAUACGGCGGUCACACAACACGCCGGAUGCACUCUUCCACUUCAUCCAUCCAGCUUGUAUUCUAUGGUUGAGAUCUCCAUCUAAUUCUCCGUUCUUUUGCAAGAUAGAUCCUAGGUAACGAAAACGGUCGCUCUUUGGUAUUUCUUGAUCUCCGAUCCUCACCCCUAACUCGUUUUGGCCUCCAUUUGCACUGAACUUGCACUCCAUAUAUUCUGUCUUUGAUCGGCUUAGGCGAAGACCUUUAGAUUCCAACACUUCUCUCCAAAGGUUAAGCUUUGCAUUUACCCCUUCCUGAGUUUCAUCUAUCAACACUAUAUCGUCUCUGCGAAAAGCAUACACCAAGGAAUAUCACCUUGAAUAUGUCCUGUUAACUCAUCCAUUACCAACGCAAAAAGGUAAGGACUUAAGGAUGAGCCUUGAUGUAAUCCUACAGUUAUGGGAAAGCUUUCGGUUUGUCCUUCAUGAGUUCUUACGGCAGUCUUUGCUCCUUCAUACAUAUCCUGUAUAGCUUGGAUAUAUGCUACUCGUACUCCUUUCUUCUCUAAAAUCCUCCAAAGAAUGUCUCUUGGGACCCUAUCAUACGCUUUUUCCAAAUCUAUAAAGACCAUGUGUAAAUCCUUUUUCCCAUCUCUAUAUCUUUCCAUCAAUCUUCGUAAGAGAUAGAUUGCCUCCAUGGUUGAGCGCCCUGGCAUGAACCCGAAUUGGUUGUCCGAAACCCGUGUCUCUUGCCUCAAUCUAUGCUCAAUGACUCUCUCCCAGAGCUUCAUUGUAUGACUCAUUAGCUUAAUUCCCCUAUAGUUCAUGCAAUUUUGUACAUCGCCCUUAUUCUUGUAGAUAGGCACCAAAGUGCUCAUUCGCCACUCAUUCGGCAUCUUCUUCGUUUUCAAAAUCCUAUUGAAAAGGUCAGUGAGCCAUGUUAUACCUGUCUCUCCCAAAAUUUUCCACACUUCGAUUGGUAUCGUCUGGGCCUACUGCUUUUCUAUGCUUCAUCUUCUUCAAAGCUACACCCACUUCUUCCUUCCGGAUUCUACGAUAAAAAGAGUAGUUUCUACACUCUUCUGAGUUACUCAACUCCCCUAAAGAAGCACUCCUUUCAUGUCCUUCAUUGAAAAGAUUAUGAAAAUAACCUUUUCAUCUGUCUUUAACCGCGUUCUCUGUAGCAAGAACCUUUCCAUCCUCAUCCUUGAUGCACCUCACUUGGUUUAGGUCCUAAAAUCAACAUUUACUAAAAACCAUUUACUUGGUUAUCAUGCAAGAUGGCUUGCCAAAGAUUGAAUUAAGGAAUGCACAACUUUACUUUUAUGAUUAUUUUCAAUGACAGCUAAAAGGUCAGAUCCAAAUGAAAAUAAAACUUUGGACUUCACAAAACCAAUUAAAAAUCUAAUUCCAAAGUUACAAACACCCACCAAAUGAUUCCAGAUAAAGUUUUAAACUCAAGGUCAGACCCAAAUGAAAUUAAAAGUUAGGACUUCACAAAACCAAUUGAAAAUCUGAUUCCAAAGUUCCAAACACCCACCAAAUGAUUCCGGAUAAAGUUUAAACUCAAAACACCAACAGAAACAAAAGCAUUGGUGUGAAUUAACUGUAUCUAAUUGAAGAAACUAAAACAAAAGUAAGCAAAGUACAUACCUCAAAAUGUCAAGCAACUAAGUUCUUCCUCCGACGACCCAAAACUCUGAAAAUUCCACACAAAAAAAAAGGUAAAUCCAUUAGCAAUUCAUAGCUUUCCAAAUUAGCAAAAACUUGGGCAACAAUAAAGAUGCGUUGAGAACCAUCACUCUUUCUCCUUAUGUAUUUGAAAAGAUAUUUUAUAAGCAGUUUAUGUAGUCAUUCUGAUCAUGUUGCAUAUAAAUUCCUUUUCUACAGAGUUCAAAAAUAUAUGGCAGUUUAUGGCAUCUGUUGAAUAACAUGGUUGAAAGAUUUAAAAUUGAUACAUUCAAUUUUCAUGUGUAAAACUAUAACAUAUAGCUAAAGCUAUUGGGUCUAUAUAUCCAUAUCAAUCAAGUCGUAAUUGAAUGUUUAUCGAUGUAAAAAGAUGAUUUCAGUCAUGUGAUAACAUGCUUCUUGAUAGUAUAGCUGAAGUUUGGUCUAAGUUGGAUACAAAUCGACCAAAAUCUAUAAGAGACUCUUUUAACUUUUAACCAAAAAAUAAGCACCACAAUACUACACUUAUAAGUUUUAUCAUGCACAAAAUACACAGCACUGAUUGCCACUUUUAGAGUAAGAACAAUACUUUACCAGAAGAAAACAACAAAACACUCAAAACCCAGAAACUAGAAACACACUUGGGAUUCAAACUCCUCAAAAACAUGAGAAAGAGAGAGAGUGUGUGUGAGGAAAGAGAAUAAAAAACAAUAUUAUUUUUCACACAAACUCAAAAUUGCUUAUAAAAUUAGAAAUCGAAACAAAUUAAUGCAAAUCCAAAAUUGACCUAAAUUAAAUCUGAUUAGUUAAAUGUUUGUUGCCCUACAAAUGUCAUUACACGUUGAUAUUUUGGUCAAUCCUGGGGAAAAGGAGUUAUUGGUGUUGGAGCAGUUGUCAUGGAGAAUACCAUCUCCCUGUUGAAUGAUCUAAAACAGGACUUACUGCUUUAGCUGGCCAUAAUAAUUUAGGAGGCCCUUCUCUCCAGAUUUUCUCAAUAACUUUCCUUUUCGUAGCUGGUAAGAUUGCAACUCUAAGAAUUGCUCCGAAGAUAUAUAUACAAACAAAAUCAACCUAAAACUAAGCUAUUGGAAGAAAUUUGGAAAACACAAACACCACUACACCUCAGAGUUAAAGUCAACAGAAACCAAAUGGUACAAGUUGAAAAAAUAUAUGGUCAUGAAUCGAGAACUUCAUCAAACUAACAGCAAUAAAAUCUCAUAUAAUCUAUCAAAAACCAAAAAAGAGAGAGGUAAUUUCAAGACCUUGUAACGCUGAGGCCUCGUACAGUUGUAGUACUAAUAUAUGGUUGAUGCACCUGUUGCUCAAUCAAAUCCUUUGUCUGGCUAGAAAAAAUAAAAUUCUAUAAAUACAUUCACGUCCAAUUUAUGAGAAAUCAUGGGAAAGCAAAUGCACUGAUAACAGAAUCAUGAAUAUGAAGAACUUGCCAAAAAGAAAAAGAAAACUUCUUAUAGUGUGCCAAGAACAUCCUCCUACUCCUAGCAAAUUUUUUAUGGCAUUAUCCACUUCUCAAUUCAUAAUUCAACCAGUAACCCAAAGUCUAUAGUGUAUGAAAUAGUGAUAUCUUAGUUGAUCAUGAUGAUAAUUAAGCAGAUUAAAUGAGGACCCAUAAAGCAUACAAAAAUUCAGAAAAGAAAAGGUCCAAAACUGCCAUGAGAAAACGCAGAAUAUAUAAACGGAAAAUCAAAAUAAGAGAAGCGAAAAAGGAAGACAAAACCAAACAAAAAGGCCACAAUCAUGAAAGUCAAACACAAACAAUCCAAACAUUUGUGGAAAAUACCAAUAAAUGCUCAACUAAAAACGAAAGAAAAUGUAGAAUAAGUUUACCUGUUCUUCCCCUAAUUAAACUGAAAUACAAUUCACCACUAAUAUUCUCGUCAUCCUCUUCAGCCUGAAAAAUUUAGUAGAACAUAAUGAUAAGAAUCUAGCAGUAUUUCCAUUGUUUAAAACCCAAAUUCCAGAAAUCAUGAAAAAUGGAAACUUUAUAUGGAAACUGAAGCUUUACCUGCAGAUCAGCAGCAGCAAACGGAAUCCAACGGGAUGUACCUCAAAAGUGAGAGAGAGAGGUGAGAGAUGAGUGAGAGAAUCGAUAAACAAAACCCCCCAAAAUCACAAAAGGAAAUUUGAACAGAAAACAAAUUUGAAAAUCCAAAAUCACAAAAACGAAAUUGAAACACCCACACUGAGAAAGCUGUAUAACUCACCAGGAAACGCUAGCCUUUCUGGGUAACAAAAUUAUUCCGAUCGAAUUGAAGAACGGAGGAAAGUUCUACUAGUUCAGAGGUUAUUCCAGUGUGCCAAGUACGAAUAUGAACGGGGAAUGGGGAGCUGGCUGAGGGAGACAGAAUUUGAGAAGCAGCGUUCUGAUUCUUUAUAUGAGAGAAAGCGGAAUGAAGAGAAUCGGGAAGGGGAGGAACCAUUUUAAGCGAUGACGGACGCGUGGGAAUUGAG